AUCUCUAUUACUAAAUCGUAACGUUGUACACCAUACCUGGAUUACUCGAUGGGUAGAAUGAUGGUGUGAACAGCAAUAAUAGCAUAAGGCAGCCUUUGAUUCCUCACAAUCUAUGCAAAACAGGUUACACUCAUUGCGAGUAGAGGAGAGAUGGUUGGUGCAUAUUGCAAAGAACUGUGUUGCAAGCAGUAGCUCUAGCCAUGUAGGCACCGUCCCCCCCUUCAUUGCAAAAACAAAGAUGCUUUGCACUUGGACUACUAUGUGUUGUGCUUAGUAAGGGGUGGUAUGGAGUACCUUUAUAGUGUGAUCUUGGCAGUAAAACAACUGGCGCACAUAGUUUGUUGCGGAAUUUGUGGGGCUAAAAACUGACAUCUAGUCCAGAAAGGCAGGCCCACAUAUCUUUUGUCAAUUAAUGGGUGCUUAGGUUAGGGACAACCAAGCAUUUGGCGUCUCUCCAUUUCAAUGGAUGGUUCUCCAUUCUUCUUAGUACAUCUAGGAAUACAUUUCAUGCGCACACAAAAAAUCUUUAAUGAGGACAAUUAAAUAUUCAUUAUUUCCAUGACACAAAUGCCAAAAGGGUAGUCACCAAGCAUAAGGGUAGUCACCAAGCAUAAUGCUAAAAGGUCACGAAAAAACAAUGAGAAUUUCUGCAGGAAGAUGAAUGGCUUGGCUGGAUCAUUGAGCCAGCACAUGAUUAGUUGUAUGGGUCAAAUAUUCUGAGAUACGAUAUAUAAAUACUAGAAAUUAUAUGGCCCACAUAAAUACUAAUCCAACUGUGAAAAUAAAUUGCAGAUGAAACAAAAGAUUUGAUCUACAAAAUAUAUUAUUAUUACUACGGGAAUCACCUUUAAAUGUGCCCAUUUUAUCAUUUUGUUGUGUGUGCUUCCUAUGUGCUUCUAGCAUGGUUGCUUUUACAUGAAACACCUGAUUUUUACAUGCUAUGCGCUUUGUGUGUGAGAGAGAUGGUAGUCCGACGCUCGACGCAACAUGCCACUAAAUGGGCGCAUACCAUCGCACUAAGACACAGUUCGCUUUGGGACCUGUUCACUGAUUUUGCUGUUGUUUUCUGUUCACGGCUUUUCUCGCUCAGUUUGGGCCUUUUCUCGUUGAUUCCCUAUUCACUGAUUUUGCUGCAACUUUUCUGUUGGUGUUCUGUUAUGGUUUUGUUUUUGUUUUUGUUUUCAGUUUUUUCUUUUUAUUUUAUUUGUUUUUUACUGUAUUUUUUAUACUUGAUGAAUAAAAUUUUAAUGCAAGGUGAUUAAAAAAAUAGUGAAUAUUUUUUUGAAUAUAGACUGAUUUUUUUAAUAUACAUAGAAAAAUUUAUAUAUGAUAACAUGUUUUAAUUUACACAACAGACAUUUUUAAAUAUAGGAUGAACUUUCAAAGAUAUACGAUGAAUGUUUUCUUAAUAUACACUAACUUUUUAAGAAAAGACACUGAACAAUUUUCUAAAAUUUUUUACUUAUUUAUAAUAGGUUUUAAACAUAUAUUUCCAGAAAAAACAACAGUCAUUUGUUUUCAGAAAACAAGCUAAACCAAAAAUAAAUAAAUAAGCACGCUCAUGAACAGUGUGGGCUGGCCCAUUUGCCCUGGCUUUUUAGGCGGAGCCUCUCCUAUUUUACGCAGAUGAAGGUUGGUUUGCUAAAAAAAUAUUUGCAACAUUCGAAUAAGCAAACUAGGCCACCCUCAAAAAUAAAACUGCACCCUAAAAAAUCCACCCAAACAGCUUUCCCCGUCAAAUCCAAAUUUUUUCAAACCGGAGCAUAAGGAACUUGUCGAACAUCUGCAUGAGUGUGACAACAAUCAAUGGUUGGUGGUGAAAAGUACACUGCAUGGUGUCCGAACAAGAGGGAAAGGAGGCUUGGAUGGCUGUCUCCUACACAAUAUGGUACAUCUGGAAGAAACUUUCCAGGAACGAAAUUGGAGGACUUUGGAAACCAAAUCCUGCAACCCAAUGGCAAUCUUCUAGGUAAUAUAAGCCUCCACCAAGAUGCCUCGAGAGAGUAUCUCUUUCUGUGAUUUCGCAGGAGGAUGUGAUGUAAAUAGUGUGAACAUGUUUCAUGUUCUUUGCGUAGGUUUAGAUCCCUUCUUAUAAACUAAAUCUUACCAGACGGAAGUACAAAAUAAUUUUGUGAAUACGCAAAGUUUGCGCUUUUCACUAUCAGGAGGAAUAGAGUAGUACCAUUACAAGGAAAAGUGAUCCGCAAGAGCGCAUAGACACGAACAGAGCGAGCAGAGACGGAAUGGGGAUACUUAGCCCCGAGUCAUGCACACACUAGCCCGCCGCAAGAAUGUUGCUUAAUCCAAUAGCACCCGCAGGUGCCCAAAGCCUGACAUCCUCCUUUUUUUGCGAAAGGGCGUAGAUCUCUUGCAAAGAUUCAUGAUAAGUACAAAGCACCAUAAACAUUAAAAAAAUUGUAACGAGGUCAAUGAAUCGCCGAACAAACGCUACCAUUGCCAGAACAAACCACCCACGCGUCGUUAUCAUCGCUCCCAUAUCGGAGUUAGCAAGAACUUGUCAUUGACAAUUGGGAAGUCUUCGUCUGGCAUCCUCCUUGAUGAAGCACAAGUCGAAUGUACGGUCCCCCUACUCAAUUGAACAACAGAGCUCCUAGUGUUUGCGGUCCAAAAACUACUAUAACAAGAUGAUGCCCCGUGCAUUUCUGCACGAACCUUGCUUAAAAAUGCAUAAGUAUUUACCACAAAAGCAUCUAAAACUAUUGGAAAUCAAAUGUUAGCUUAAAAAUAAAUAAUUAAAAUGAAACGUCUAAAAGGAGAAAAUAAAUUGCAACUAAAAGAAUAUCAUUUCCAGCAGAAUGUGAAGGAUGAACUCUAAUGCAAAAAUUACUUACAACUAGCAUGCAUGAAUUGAUGAUGUGGCACCUUUGCAUGCAUAGAGUAAUGCAAAAAAUGUAAUUGCAUAUAUGACUUGAUUAAGUGGCAGUUGCAUGGCUAGGAAAAAUAGGCAAUGGGUUGUAGCUAUUUAGGAAUAGAAGAUACAUUCUCAAGAGCAAGCCACAAUACUUGCCUGUCAUUUUCAUGAAGACUUGUAAAAGAGUUGUACAUACAGGAUGGUUGAUACAACAACACAAGACAUGAGAUAGACAACCCGUUUCAGAAAUUGUAUAUAAAUUGAACUGCAAAAACGUCUUAUAUUUAGUUACAAAGGGAAUACACUCUUUCGUGGUAGGAGUAACCUGAAUCGGUAUGCAUCGGGGCGGACCGAACUACGGUUUCAACAUAAAACCUGUUUUACAAAUUACCCCCAUAUAUACAUAUGAGUUUUCCUUGGUGAAAGGAGAGUGCGUAUGCCUGGCAAUAAUGAACGUAAAGAAGACAUCUGCUAAUUGCAUCACUAGUCACUACAGUACUACUAACUACGUACUCGGUGGAUCGAUACAGUGAAAGCUAAGCUUUUGCAUUGAGGAACCAUGCAUGCCAAGAGGGUGAGCACCAUGGAAGGUCGACACCAUGCACUGGCGAAGGCAAGAAUAAUUUUCAGGUGUGACGGAGUUUACGAAGGAGGGAACCAUGUAUAAUAUGACUAUGUGAGAGCUCAAAUACCUUCAACAAAUACAACACAAAUAUAGAAAUUAAGUAUUGGCACUCAAAAUACCUCAUGAGAUGAGGAUUAUAUGGAUGACCACUUAGAUCCCGGUCUUGGAUGGUCAGAUCCGGUGAAAAUGAUGCUUGAGCGUUGCUCCCUUCUUGAAGGCAUUGUUGUUGAAGUACCUCGUCGUCUGUGUGGGUCAUGAGUUAGUUGGUGCGAAUAUGGUGAGUUUGCCGGUCGCGGAUCUAAUUGGUUUGGUGCUUUUUCCUUUUUCCACGCAUACGCAUAGCUAUGGUCAUAUACGACUUUGCUAUUUGCCAGUAUGUUUUGUGUGUGGGUUAGUGUUGGUUUUGUGCAUUUUGGCUAUGCAGAGAUAGGGUGCGUGCUCAUUGCGUUUGUAUCUUCUUGAUGCUUCAUUUUAAGCCAAUAAAAUCCCCCAUUUGUCAAAAAAAAAAAACUUAUGACCGGUCUAAACCUCGCCAGAUGGCCUCGCCACUGACACCAUGCAUCUUCAAGCAGCCGUCCCCGAGAUCAUACUCCCAAACACCAUGCAUGCGGCCGGGAAUCGUCUUCAGCCAACGGCUCCGGCGUGCGCACGCCGUAACGGCGUCGUGCGUUCGUCUCUACGAAUUCGCUGCAACCGAUCCUUCGACCUACACCUUCCCGGCCGCACGUCUUCCGAGUCCAUUAACUGCUGCAACCCAUGGACCGCCGUCUUCUCGUCUUCUGAGAGUCUCCAUUAACGAGGCACGCACCGCUGAACGAAGCGGCUCGAUGGUGUAGUUCGCCGUCCGUGUAUGCAUGCGUGCGCGCGCUCCGUAUAAAAUGAGAGGCAUUGCUUAUCCAAACGCCACAAGCCACACACCGAGCCCCCCGGCAUCGGCGCACGCACGGUCGGUCGGUCAUGGCGGACUGGUCGGCUCUUCCGGCGGACCUCGUCCGCAGCGUCGCCGACCGCCUGCUCGCCGCCGCGGGCGACGUCGACUACUACAUGGGCAUGCGCGCCGUCUGCCACAGCUGGCGCCUGGCCAUAGCCGAUCCAUGCGGCGGUGCUGGCCUCCACCGUUUCCGUCCCCGGCACUGGAUCAUGCUGGACGACGCCGCGGAGCAGCAGCCGGUCCAUGACGAGGGAGGUGUCCGCCUCUUCCUCAACGUCGCCACCGGCCGCGUCCUCCGCCUGCGCGUCCCGCUGCUCCGGGACCACGUCCUCGUCGCCGCCUCCGACGGCUUCCUCGUCCUCGGCGACAAGAAGUAUCCGCACCGAGCCAGCGUCCUCAACCCUUUCACGGGCUCCUUGGUCCGCUUCGUCGCCGCCAUACCCCGCGUGAACCGGGUGCGAGCAGUGGUGACCGGCUCCGAGGACGACCGGUCCCUCUCGCUUGUCUUCUCCUUCUACCACGACCCCUGCAGCGACGCUAUCACGUGCGCGCACCCGACAGCCGCCCGACUCUCGCCGGUGCAGCUCCCAUACUACGUCGGUGCCGGCCCCUUCUACAGCUUGAAGCAAGAGAACAUGGUCGCCUACCGAGGACACGUCUACGUGGCCUACCGCGACGGGCUGAUUGUCAGGUUUGUCGCCCCGUCGGCGCAGCACCACCAGCACUGCCAUGCCAAGCUCAUAGUCUCGGCCGUACCUUCAUCGGAUUACACCGGCCGCUUCGGCCGAGCUUUUCUCGUGGCGUCCGGCGGGGAUCUGCUGCUCGUCCGUCUGUAUCACCUCCGGCGACGGCGGGCCGUGGAGGUCUUCAGAGUCGACGUGAAGCGAAAGGCGCCGCUGGAGCCCGUGAGGAGCAUCGGCCGCCAUGCGCUCUUCCUUGGCGGCAGGUCUCUGUCUGUCAACGCCGUCGAGCUUCCUUCCGUCGACGGCGACUGCGUGUACCUCGCCUCGGAGAACCGCAAUGUUGCUUGGAGGUACGAUCUCCGAGACGGCAGCGAGACGAUGAUCUCGAGCUUCGAUGCUCGGCCGUUUGGCUUGGUACAGGUGCUGCUCAACUACUGCGUCGUGCUACCCGAUGCAAAGGCUCAGCUCCACUCUGUCUACCGGACGGAGUGUUUGCUGUCGGUUCAGAGUUCAGGGUCGGACUAAUUGGGAUAUCUUCAGUUUGUAUGCUUCUUGCCAGCAUAUCCGGCCAAGUCGAAAGUGCUCUGCACACGAUUGACUGCUGGACAGAUUAAAAACCCCAGCACUCUAUCUAAGUUGCCAAAUGAUCAGAUCUGCCAUGUAUGCUGUAAUCUGCUGAUAUUAUUAAUAUAAAUAUGUCACUUUUCCAAAAAAAUAUGCUCAGAAUAGUUCCUCUUACCAGAGGAAAGUUGUCAUAAAGUGCCAUUUCCGGACAAGGUUUUGGUGGCACUAUAAUCGAAAAACUCUUCGAAAAUCAUUUCUAUGUAGUGCAAAAUUACACAAUCUCAUAAAAACUAGGAUGGUAACAAAUACACAUGAAUAUAAAAUCAUAAAUGUUCUUUUCUUUUCGCCAACCUAUUCAUGAUCUUUUCCAGGAGUAAGAACCUAAAUGUUCUAUCUCUUUGAAGCGCGAGACAACUUUUUUUGUCACAAUGGCUUUUUUUUGAAUAAUACUACACGCACGGACGCUUGCGACGGACUUUCACGGGCAGCCCUGCGUUCCCACAUCUAAUUGCCCCCCUCAUUUAAUUUAAUCUCAACCAAUCAAUCCUUAACCAUCUUGUAAAACCCAAGUAAAAAAAACCACCCUGUAAAACCCCGUAAAGGGUUUGUGUGUCUAGCAUUUACCUUUUUUGUGCAAAGGCACUCUAGCUCUCUAUCGCUCCACCCAUGUGAACUGUUGGGUCAGAAACGCUAGUGUUAGUGGACCCGAGAUUGCGUAAGCUAGUCUUUUGGGGAGAGAGGGCCCAAGGCCUCUCAUAAGUCGGUGUUGAUCUCCGGUUAGGCCUGGUGACGCAGGUGGGUCAGAAACCCUGGUGUUAGCGGACCCGAGAUUGCGUAAGCUAGUCUUUUGGGGGAGAGGGCCCAAGGCCUCUUAUAAGUCGGUGUUGAUCUCCGGUUGGGUUGGGAACGCUAGUUUUAGUGGACGCAUGAACACACACACUGACAGAGAGUACUUGCGCUACGUGCAACACUUGCAGCCUUUUCUGUUUUAUGUAUUAUUUAGUCCAGUACAGAGACUUGGAUCGCAACUGCUGGUGAGCAGGUCUAUCGGACACGCCAUCCCACAUCCACUUGAACCCAACUACAAUGGCGCUGCAUGCACUGGUUUCGUGCCAUCCCACGAAGUACAUGCAGCGGCCAGAACUAACAAACCUGAAUCUAGCCAAGACGUGGACAGGAAGACGUUACUUGGACUCUUAUUUAGCAGAAAAACAAAACUACUAAUGCUAACUACCAGGCUCAACGGGAUUACUUGUACAUCAUUCAGCCCGUUCUGCAGCCUUGAUCUCCACAACACCCAGUUUCUGUCUCAUCUCAACGAACUUGACUCUGCCGAGCGCCUUGGUGAGCAAAUCUGCAAGUUGUUCGUCAGCUCCAAUGUGUUCAACAUCAGUUUUUCCCUCCUCAAUGCAUGACCUGAUGUAGUGGUACUUCACGUCAAUGUGUUUGCUACGAUCAUGAUGCACCUGAUUCUUGCUCAAUGCAAUGGCCGAUUUGUUAUCAACCAUCAACAUGAACUUUGUUGGAGCUUGCCCAACCAUCUCUGCAAGUAGACGACUAAGCCAAACUCCCCGACAAGCACCGCUCGCUGCUGCGACAUACUCAGCUUCGCAAGAUGAUACUGCCACAACCUUUUGCUUUUGUGAGCUCCAUGUGACAGUGUUCUUCCCAAGCAUAAAAAGGACACCCGAGGUGCUCUUUCUGUCAUCCAAUCAGUGUCGGUGUAGCAUGUCAACACAGCCCCUUUUUCAUCUCUUUUGUAGCAGCAACAUAUCCAAGUGUGCCCUGAAUAUACCUUAGGAUCUGCUUGACAAUUGUCCAAUGAUUCUUGCUUCGAGCCUCCAUAUACCAUCUGGCUAUGCUACUGCAAGGGCAAUAUAGGGCCUGGUAUUGACCAGGUAGCGAAGGCUCCCAAUCACACUCCUGUAGUGUGAUGCAUCAAUGGCCUCACUCCCGUCUUUCUUCUUGAUCUUGAGACGGCUCUCCAUUGGCAGAAGGGUUGCAGCCACUCAUUCCUGCCAUCUCAAGGAUCUUCUUUGCAUAGCUGCACUAACUCAGCUUGACCUCUCCAUUGCGCUGCUCCAUCUCGAUGCCCAAAUAACAUUACAAGAGCUCAAGAUCACUCAUUUUGAACAGUAGCUGCAUCUCGGCCUUGAACAACUCAAUGUCGCUUGUGCUUGUACCAGUAAUGAUCACGUCAUCUACAUAGACACCUAUGAGCAUAAACGACUUGGUAUCACCUCUCCGAUAUACAACAUGUUCCAGUGGCAUCACCUCUCCGAUCGCCCAGUCAUUCGUGCUUGGUCCCGGGCUGAGCUGCACUCAACUAUAGACUAUGAAGGAGGACGACCAAGGCGACCGAGACGUGUGAUGGCAAGUCUCCUUCAUCGCCGACCUCAUGGCGUGUACUCUCAAGUUCGCCGACGGGGAGACCAUUCUCCGACGAGAGGCGCUUCGCCUCAUGCUCCUGGACGAGCGAGGCAUCAUCAUUGAUGCACGUUAUCUGCACGAGGGCGAAUCCAUUGACAUAGGUGAUAUGGUCUCAUUCCCCUGCAAUUUCGCUAAGAUUCGAGAUCGCUCGCCGACGGCGGGCUCGUCAGCCGGGAUUGCACGGAGGGGGCGGGACAGACAGGUGCGGUACACGGGAUCGAUGUGGGGUGGUGCACGGGUGGACAGGUUUGAAGCAACACGGGCCUGACCUCCCGCACCCACCCAUUCAUGGCGGAUGUGCGACACGUGGGUGCACAUCCGGACCCCCGUUCGCAUCCGCGGGCGCACUACGGGGGUAUAAAACCUCAGCCUCGCCCGAUGCUUGACCUGGAUUCCGCUCUCGCCCACUUCUGGACGGCGGUGAAAAACCGUAGAUCGAGAUUCUCUGGCGAUUGGGGGUGGUGGAGAGGCAAGGUAGGCAGAGAUCCCUGCUCUUUCGCGGAAGUGGCUGCCUCGCCUCCCAUGGCGGCUGAUGCGGGGUUCGGGUACCAUGGGGAGCGGUGCCAGGGCUCUGAUGCGGGCCGCAUGGGACGCGGCGCGGAGAGGAACUCUGGCCACGGGAACGGCCACGGUGGAGACAAGAGCAAGUACUCCUGGAAGCGGAGCAAGGGCGACAGCGACCGCACAAUCUCCGCUUCGUCCAACCUCGCAUCUGCAUCGGGCGACACCUCGCGUUGUGAAGCUACGGCGGCGCCAAGGCGCCAUGAACCCUAGGACGGAGGCGUCUGGGUGGAGAAGAAGCAUAUGGCGAUGACAUCGGAUGCCACAGGGAGCGGGCAUCAAACAUCCUCCCCGAUCCGCCGCCCACAUGGAAAGUAGAACAUCACUCAGGUGCCUCCUACCAAAAAUCCUGUCCCAUGCCCUAUCUGCAAAUCGCAUGAGCACCUUCCUUCUUGAUGCCCUCAGGCUUUCUGUGAGCGAUGUAACAAUCUAGGGUAUCUUGCAUCAGUUUGCACGGAUUUUCUUCCUUGGGAGUGCAUUGCCCCGAUGUGUGCAUUUUAGUCUAGGGGGCAGGGUUUCUAUUACAUUCACGAUUCCUGCAUGGCCAAUCAGCUUAAGGAAAGGUCAAACAAUAUUGUAGUGACCAUUGUUGAGGGGGAGACGUCGACUAGGCAGAUAGAACUGGAUCUGUCUGAUUACCUUGCCACGGGCUGGUGCUGUUCGGCCCAUGCCAUAGGCCCUGGGGUGUUUGUUGUUCAGUUUCCUAAUCCUCGGGCUGUUGCUCAAAUUUGCUAUGUGGGUACAGUCACUCUGAAAAAAGUUGUGAUGUUAUCCAUGCUACUCCUUGGUCUUCAGCAGUGGGUGUGAAGGGGGUGAUGGAAGUGGCGUGGGUAAAAGUGAGUAAUGUUCCAUUGGACAAGAUAAGUGAGAGGAAUCUAGCGUAUGUCGCCUCAUUCGUGGGAGUUCCCCUUGAGAUAGAUGCAGCAACCCCGCACCGCCCUGCAUCUGUUCGUGUGAGACUGGGGUGCAAGGAUGUGGAUGUUGUACCUGGGGUGGCUGAGGCAGUCUUAGGUGGACACUUUUAUGACUUUCUCUAUGAGGUGGAGCACGCGUUGGUGAGGGAUUCGAACCGGGAAAAAAGUUGUGAAUGUUUCUCCUCGCUCAGGUGGGGGAAAUACAAAAAAACUAUGCAUAAUGUGACUCCUGGAGCUAAUGUGGGCAGCUCUUCGACUGAGCUUGGGUAGAAAUCUCUUCCCAUUCCCCAGGGAGAAGUGCAUGACACGAUUCGGGAGUCGCAGGAGAGUAUGGAAUCUGAUGAUUCUCUCCAUACUACCCUGCUCAUUGACACCAUGCCAUGUGAUUAGGAGUAUGAGGAGAAAGAAAAAGUAAGUUCACCUCUCCAGCAAAAAUCGGUGGUGCAGAAUUUUGCUAAUAAAAAUAGAAUGAAAACCUACUCUGAUGUGGUCAAAACCUUUCCUCAGGUCGUGGAAGUGGUUGGGCAGCAUGAUUCUGCUUUAAAAGUAAUCAGUGAAUACAGGGUGGAGUCCCCGGAGAUGAAUGUUAAGGUGAUCCCUACUCCCCCUUUAGUCACCGAGGAGAAUCUUCGCUUCAGGUUGAGGAAUGUGCAGAGUAAACUGGAGCGGGAGGAUGACAAGGCUGCGACUGCGGCUAAAAAGAGAGAUAUGGAGUUUCAGAAGUAACAUAUUUAAGGUGGUAAAACCCCUAUUCACGGAGCAAGGUGAGACUAAAUUUUUGUAGUAAACUUAGCAGUAGCGGGCAUUGUGAGAAGGCGCUACUGCAAUGAUCUGUAUCAGUAGUGCUCUUUGUAUUAAUGCGCUGCUGCUAUAACUGGCUUGGCGGCGGGGUCGUAGCAAUUAUAGUAGUAGCGCGACUUAUUACGGAAGCGCUACUGCUACAUUUAUAUCAGCAACGCGUCUUGUUGGCGCGUGCUACUGCUAAGUAGCAGCAGCGCCUUUUUAUAGAGUGUUGCUGGUAAGAUUCUGUGUAUAGGCUUUUUCCUAGUAGUGUCCACUUCAAUUUCUUAAUCUAACUACUCUGACGAAGCAGCAAAAGGAUUUUCCUCAUCAUUGUCAUCUGGAAUGACAUAUUCUUCUCCAAAAGGAACCAUUUCCUUGGAUGGCACAAUAGAAAUUGGAACAACAUCAAUGAUUGGUGAAGGAACCUCACAAAGUCUUCACUUUCUUUGGAGCUGAAGGCUCUAAAGUCGUUGAUGCUUUCCUCUUUUUCACAUCUGCCUUUUCCGCAACCUUGGUUUUUUUCACUUCUAAAGCAGAAGGACGGAUGAUAUUCUUCAUCUAUGAUGACUUUGCAGGAGGAGCAGAUGAAGUUAGUGCAAUUUCUCCAGGCACAACUGAUGCAGUUGCCCAGGCUUGUUCAGUUUCUUCAGGCGCAGCAGCAGAUUCUUCAGCUGGCCUGGGUUGUUCUUCAGGCGCAACAUUGGAGGUUGCUCUGGCAAUUUCAUCAGAAGCUGGAAUUUCUUCAGCAGCCCUGGUAUUUUCAGUUUCAUCAGCAGCCUGAUUUUCAUCAGACGUGCUUUCAGUUUCUUCAACAAACCGAGCAGAUGCAUCAGCCUGAGGAGUUUGUUGUUGCGAUGAUGCUGCAACAUUCAUCUUGAGGGACUUGGAGAGCUUGACGAAUCUGACUUUGGCACCUAGCCAAUCUGCACGGUAGGUGUUAAAUUCAUCACUGAGCUUCUUGAUCUCCUUUUGCAAGUUAACAAGUUCUUUAGGAGUCAUAUUCAGACCAUUUUUCUUCAUAAAUCUCUCCUUUCUAUAUUGGGCCUUCUUGAGUUGUCUGGCCUUCUCAAACUUCCAUUUUUCUUCAUUGAUGAAGGACAUCAACAUAUAACUUUGACUAGGAGUGAGGUUCAACUCAGGCAUAGGAGUGUUUGGAUCCUUGUGCCAGAGAUCAAUGAAGUCUAGGAUCUUCUUCGGAUCCAGCAAAAGAGGCACAACACUUCCUUUGGCUGUAGCAGCCCUUUCUGGCCUGUUCCUGAUGAUUUCUGCAAGUUCUUCAUCAUCAGCUUCAUCGUCAUCAUACAGAACUUGGAACGCAACUUGCUUCUUGUGAGGACUUGGCCUCGAGCCACAUCUAGUAGUGGCCUUUUUCUUCAACAGAAUUGGACCAGUUGAGGACGGUGGUGGAGUUGAGGAACUAGCAGAUGCUCCUGAUGCAAUGGAGAAUCCUGCAGUCCUUUGGCACGUGGCAAGAUGGACAAGUGUUGAGGACUUUGCAGCGGCAGUUAAGUAUUUGGGGCAACAUAGAGGAUUGGAGAUGCCCUUGAAGAAGUUGCCCGAGGAAUUUUCCGUGAGGGCUUUGGUAUUGGCUAUGAGAGCAUAGCUGUUGAGGAACUCGGCUUCACAACUGAUUUCUUUGGUAUGGCCUUCUUGGGAUUGCUAGCAGAGGCCUCAGCAGUAGCAGCAACAGAAUCUUCAUUGAAUUUCUUCACUACUUCUUUUGCAACUUUGGUCAAUUUGGCUUGUCGCUUGGCCCAUUCUUUGGGAAAUUCCUCACCUUGCCUCAUGCUUGAGGGGUCAACUUCUUGGCCUGGAGCCAAUGGAGGUCUUGGACAUGGAGGGUUAACCGCGAAUUUCUUCAUGUAUUUUGGAGUAACAUAACGAUAUUCCCUCCAUUCCUUAGUCCAUCUUGUUUCAAUCCUCUGUAUGCACACUUUGCACUGAUUCCUGUUUUCUUUGCCAUGUAUCGCUUCCUUAGGUGUACAGUACCCAACAUAUAUGUCAUCAGGGAUCUCAAAAGCAGUGUUGCAUUCUGGACUCUUUCCUCCCUUCUAAGGUCUUUUACCUUCAAACAUUUUCUUCACUUGAGGAAUUUGAACAAUUGAUGUUUCUGAGGAAGUAUGCAAUUUUGUUCGAGAAAUGAUGCAAAUGAGUUAAGUCGAUGAGAACCUAGUGAUUCAGCAGCAGACAUUUGUACCUAUGAAUGGAGUAUAGGUGCGAAGAAUUUGGAGAGGUCAUAUGCAUUCUCAGAAAUAUUUCAAAAGAAUCAAGUUUGAGGAAUUUGAACAUGGGUGUCUUGAAGAAUUUUACUAAGCAUUCUUGUUUUAGGUUCCAGAGUUGUAUAGAUUGAAAAUCCACACAAUUGAGAAACCUUGAAUAAAAACACAUCUUAGAGAAACAAGUCAAGGAACAAAUGCAACUGGGUGUUUAAGGAUUGGGAAGUUGAAGAAUAAACACCUUUUGAAGAUUUUGUGAAAAACAUGAGAAUCAAAGUAGGGUAUUAAAAUCAGAUUUUAAUUACCCUGGAUGAAGAACACGACCAACAGUGAGUAGAGAUGGAGAAGCUCGUCAGUCCAGAUCUGCCACGCCCUAACUUGGCGGUGAGAGACAGCUAUGGCGGCGGCGGAGGUGAAGAUUUCCACUGCCGACGUGAGUACGAUGGCGACGAGGUCGAGGCAGUGAAGCUCUUCCUCACCAGUGACGAUCGAGUGUAGCGGCGACGCUAGGCCUGAGAGUUCGAGCAGGAUGAGAUCGAGUGGAGUAAAUGAAGUAUGAGGAAGGGAGGGGGUAUUUAUAGCCAUGGUGAAAAACUGCCUGUCCGAAGAAUUUGGACGAACAUGCCCCUGACCUGUGUCUUGCUAGCGACAUGUGUCACCCACGUACUGAGAGGUAGAGAUCGUGUUAGAUCGUGGGUGAAUAUUUUAAUCCUGUCAUGGGAUGCGGAACGAUUUGAGCAGCAAAAGUCGAAAAACUAGAUAUAAAUAUUUUAAAAUUCCGUUCGCAAAUUCUUCAACUGUUAAGGACACAGUGAAAAUUUUGAACGGGUUUGACAGUAGAACGCAUAUGAAGAAUUUGUGAACAGUCUGGGUUGAGUUUAGGAUAGAGGGGGAACGGGUCCGAUCGCAUUCACUUAGAUGGAAAAAACAACUUGACGAAUUAGCAAUAAGUGAAUGUUGCUGAGGACAUGAAAACUCAUAUAUAUAGGCAAUGAAAAACACCAGUCGAAAAUAUUGAAGAUUUUCCAAAGUUGGAGAAUUUGGAAAAUUCAAGAGUUUGCAAAAAUGAAGAAAAACUCAAAUUUUAAGAUUUUCAACUUUGGUUGGUGGCGUGACCCACCGUAUAAGAAUGAUGAUUUCAUACACCGCCUACAAUUGUCGUAGGGUUCUGAGAAUCAAAUUCUUCAUUAAUUUCUUCACACUUAAAGGGUUAGUCUUCAUUGAUUGAAAAAAAACGUUAUUUCGUGUGUUGCACAUCUAAGUCAUCAAUUUUGCAUAAGUGUUAGGAUGUGUGUCCUUUCAAAGGACAUUCGAAGAUUCUAAGAUAUUUAGCUCACACCGCAACUUGCUAAUUCUCUUCUCAUCCAAGGGCUUUGUGAAGAUAUCUGCCAGCUGAUCUUCAGUCUUCACGUGGUUGAUGGAAAUGUCGCCCUUCAACACAUGAUCAUGAAGAAAAUGAUAAUGAAUCUGGACGUGCUUUGUCUUCGAGUGCUGAACUGGGUUGUGAGCAAUCUUGAUGGCACUCCAGUUGUCGCAGUAGAGAGGCACAUUCUUCAUAUUGAUGCCAUAGUCCUUGAGGGUUUGCUUCAUCCAUAGCAAUUGAGCACAGCAAGAACCAGCAGCAAUGUACUCAGCUUUAGAAGUAGAGAGUGAUACACAAUUCUGCUUCUUCGAGGACCAACAUACCAAAGAUCAUCCGAGGAAAUGACAUGUGCCUGAUGUUAACUUGCGAUCCACCUGAUCACCAGCAUAGUCAGAGUUAGAAUAUCCAAUGUGAUAAAAAGCCGAGCCCUUGGGAUACCAUAAUCGAAGUGUUGGUGUGUGAGCUAGAUAUCGAAGAAUAUGUUUCACAACCUUGUGGUGUGAUUCUUUCGGUGUAGCUUGAAAGUGGGCACACAUGCAAACACUAAGCAUAAUAUCUGGCCUAGAUGCACAUAUAUACAGUAAAGAGCCAAUCAUGGAGCGGUAUACCUUUUGAUCGAAGUCUUUACCAUUUUCAUCGGUGCAUAGAUCGCCAUUUGUGGGCAUAGGGAUUUUGACGCCUUUGCAAUCUAGUAUGCCGAAUUUCCUCAAUACAUCCUUGGGGUAUUUCUCUUGAGAUAUGAAGAUGUCGUUGCAUUGUUGAUGAAUUUGAAGACCUACGAAGAAUUUCAAUUCUCCCAUCAUAGACAUUUGAUAUUCUUCACUCAUCAUAUAGGCAAAUUUGUCACUGUAACGUUGGUUAGUACAACCAAAGAUAAUAUCAUCCACAUAUUUUUGGCACACGAAUAAUUCACCAUCAUAUGUUUUGGUGAAAAGAGUUGGGUCAAGUGAACCGGGUUUGAAGCCUUUCUUCAUGAAGAAUUCCUUCAAAGUAUCAUACCACGCCCGAGGGGCCCGCUUGAGGCCAUAGAGGGCCUUAUUGAGUCUGAAGACAUGGUCAAGAUGCUUUGGAUCUUCAAAACCUGGUGGUUGAGCAACAUAUACUUCUUCCUCAAGCUUACCAUUGAGGGAUGCACUUUUCACAUCCAUUUGAAAUAAGAUGAUAUUAUGAUCGUUAGCAUAAGCAAGCAAUAUGCGAAUAGUCUCAAGUCUAGCAACAGGUGCAAAAGUUUCAUCGAAAUUAAUUCCUUCAACCUAUGUGUAGCCUUGCGCUACAAGACGAGCCUUAUUCCUCACCACGAGGCCAUUUUCAUCUUGCUUGUUGUGGUAGAUCCAUUUGGUACCGCUGAUAUUGUGCUUGCAUGGGUCUGGUCACUUGACAAGCUCCCACACAUUGUUGAGCUCGAAUUGAUGUGAUUCCUCUUGCAUAGCUUGAAUCCACUUAGGCUCCAGAAAUGCCUCAUCAACUUUGGCGGGCUCCAUGAUAGCGACAAAAGCAAAGUGCCCACAAAAGUUAGACAAAUGUGAAGCUUUUGAGCGUGUGAGAGGACCUGGUGCGUUGAUGUCACUGAUGAUUCUCUCAAUCUGCACUUCAUUUGCAACGCGAGGAUGAGCAGGUUGAUGACUUGGAUUAGGCUCAGCAUUUUCUUCAGAGCCAUUUUCUUCAGAUGCACUAGCAUGAUUUUCUUCACAUUCUGGAAUGACUUCUUCAGCAGAUUCUUUAGUGGGUAUGACAUCCUUAGUAGCCUUGAACUUUAUGGAUUCCUUAGGUGACAUUUAUUCUAGCACAGGAGGUAGGUGCUCUCUUUGUGAGCCAUUAGUUUCAUCGAACCACACAUCUACAGUUUCAACAACCUUGUGGUGAUAGGUGUUGAAGACUAUGUAGGUGUGCGAGUCCUUUCCAUAACCAAGCAUAAAACCUUCAUGUGCUUUUGGUGCAAAUUUAGAAUUGUGAUGAGGAUCUCUAAUACAGCAUUUAGCAUCGAAGACUUUGAAAUAACUCAACGUUGGUUUUCUUGUCAGCGAGGAGUUCAUAUGAGGUCUUUUUGAAGAAUUUUUGAAGAUAUACCCUAUUAAUGAUGUGGCAUGCAGUAUCAAUAGUGUCAAGCCAGAAAGGAGGAGGUGUCUUGUAUUCAUCAAGCAUAGUGUGAGCCAUCUCAAUAGGAGUCCUAUUCUUGCGCUCCACGACGCCAUUCUGCUGAGGAGUGUAAGGGGUAGAUAAUUGAAAUUUUUAUUUGGAAUCAAAUUGGAUAUUUACUUGAUACCUAAUGGAGUUUCACUAAGUCCUAAGAUGACGAUAAUAAUGUUUUUUUAUGUUUUAUUUUUGCAGAAAUCAAGGAGCCCCUGCAUCAUCCCCGCUGUCGUCCCCAUCACCGACCCCCUCCGACCUCGAGGUGAGACCAGCCACCCCAUGUUGUUAAUUUAAUUUAGGUAUUUUAGGUGUUUAAUCUUAGAAUAAUGUAGUAUGAACCCUAGUUAUGAUCGAACCAUGUUCAAAAUGUAGGUUUUUAAUUAGGUGUAGUUCACAGAAUUUAGGUGUUUUAGGUGUAUUUAACAGAAUUCUAGGUUGAUUCGUUUUGAAGUGGACAUCUCAUAUAUUGAACAUGUCACAUUUUUUGUUAUUUUUUUAGUUAAAGCAUUUAUUCCCGCAUCGACAUCGAUGAUGCCUAUCCCGUAUCCUCGUCGGCGACUCGCCGGAGGAGGCAUGCUUGAUCAGAGGGGCCAUGCCCGGGACUGGGCUCCGCCGGGCUGGUACUGGGUGGUGCUACCUUCCGGGGGGCGCAGCUUGGUGAGGAGCGAGCCUGUCGUUGACCCGAAACUUCUUUGGUGGCGGUCGUGUAGGCCACUGACGAUGCGGAGUGAUACAUCUCCAUCGUAUCUAUAAUUUUUUAUUGUUCCAUGCCAAUAUUCUUCAACUUUCAUACACUUUUGGGAACUUUUUAUAUUAUUUUUGGGACUAACAUAUUGAUCCAGUGCCCAGUGCCACUUCUUGUCUGUUGCAUGUUUUAUGUUUCGCAGAAAACCAAUAUCAAACGGAAUCAAAACGGGAUAAAAACGGACGGAGAAUUAUUUUGGAAUAUUUGGAUUUUUCGGAGGAGGAAUCAACGCGAAACGGUGUCCGGGGUGGCCACGAGACAGGGGGGCGCCCUCCCCCUGGGCACGCCCUGGGCCCUCGUGGGCCACCCGUAAGGCGGUUGACGCUCUACUUUUUCCACAAGAAAGCUAAUUUUAUGAGAAAAAUCUGGGCGAAAGAUUCACCCCAAUCGGAGUUACGGAUCUCCAGAUAUAAAGGAAACGGUGAAGGGGCAGAAACAGAGAACGCAGAAAUAGAGAGAUAGAUCCAAUCUCGGAGGGGCUCUCGCCCCUCCCACUCCAUGGGAGCCAAGGACCAGAGGGGAAACCCUUCUCCCAUCUAGGGAGGAGGUCAAGGAAGAAAAAGAAGAAGGGGGGCUCUCUCCCCCUUGCUUCCGGUGGCGCCGGAACACCGCCGGGGGCCAUCAUCAUCACCGCGAUCUUCACCAACACCGCCGUCAUCUUCACCAACAUCUCCAUCACCUUCCCCCAUCUAUAUCCAGCGGUCCACUCUCCCGCAACCCGCUGUACUCUCUACUUGAACAUGGUGCUUUAUGCUUCAUAUUAUUAUCCAAUGAUGUGUUGCCAUCCUAUGAUGUUUGAGUAGAUUUUCGUUGUCCUAUUGGUGGUUGAUGAAUUGCUUUGAUUGAUUUAAUUUGCUUGUGGUUAUGUUGAUGUCCUUUGGUGCCCAUCAUAUGAGCGCGUGCGUGGAUCACACCAUAGGGUUAGUUGUAUGUUGAUAGGACUAUGUAUUGGAGGGCUAGAGUGACAGAAGCUUCAACCUAGCAUAGAAAUUGAUGCAUACGGGAUUGAAGGGGGGCCAAUAUAUCUUAAUCCUAUGGUUGGGUUUUACCUUAAUGAACGUUAGUAGUUGCGGAUGCUUGCUAAUAGUUCCAAUCAUAAGUGCAUAAAAUUCCAAGUCAGGGAUGACAUGCUAGCAGUGGCCUCUCCCACAUAAAACUUGCUAUCGGUCUAGUAACGUAGUCAAUUGCUUAGAGACACUUUCGCAACUCCUACCACCACUUUUCCACACUCGCUUUAUUUAAUUUAUUGCAUCUUUAUCUAAAGAGCCCCUAGCUUUUAUUUACGUGUUCUUUAUUAUCUUGCAAACCUAUCCUUUCACACCUACAAAGUAUUUCUAGUUUCAUACUUGUUCUAGGUAAAGCGAACGUCAAGCGUGCGUAGAGUCGUAUCUGUGGCCGAUAGGACUUGAGAGAGUAUUUGUUCUACCUUUAGCUCCUUGUUGGGUUCGACACUCUUACUUAUCGAAAGAGGCUACAACUAUCCCAUAUACUUGCGGGUUAUCGCGGAGGUGGUACGUCACCGUGUCAGCGAGGAGGACGAGCACGUCCGUCGCUACAUGGUUGCGUUGGAGGGCAGGUUCGACAAUACCUAGCAGGUUCUUCAUGGAUCUCGCUGGAGCUAUGAUCCUGUGAUAGUUCCUUCUCUUUAUGUGUCCACCGCCAACGCCGAUAGCCGUCGUUCGCGAGGGUUGUAGCUGUAUUAGUGAUGUUAUAUGUAUGAUACUAUUCGAGCCAUAUUAGUGAUAAUAUUCGAUGAUGUACAGACGCAAGAGAUGAUUUAGUUUUGCUUAUUGAAUGCAUGCUAAUUUGAAUACUAAUUUUGAAAUGUUUAAGUUUUGCUUAUUAGUGAUAAUAUUCGACGAUGUACGGAGCCCUGCAUCAUCCCCGCUGUCGUCCCCGUCACCUACCCCCUCCGACCUCGAGGUGACCAUCAAGUUUGAAUGCUCAUAUGAUGUAGAUAUAAACAUCUAUAUCUUGUGUUGCUCAAAUAGGAUAUGUGCUUGCCCAAGUGGCCGGCCAUGUUUGCAGGUAACUCCUCCAAGUGGCCUAUGUUUUGCCGGAGUGUUGAUUAAUUUAUGUUCCGGCAAAUUUUUGGCGCUCGAUGUUCUUUUUAGCAAAGGUCAUGCCGGAUUUUUCCGUGAAUUUUGGCAUGACUUGUGCUAGAAUAUGUAAAAAAUAUCGAGUGACCUGUAUUUUCUAGAAAGAUAAUUAAACAACAUUUCAGGUUGACUUUAAGUUUGUCGAGGCUCCAUACAUGACAAUAAAAAAUGAGUGAGGGAGAAAGUCUGCACCAUAUAUGAGAGAGGAAGAAUCCCAAUUGUUGUCAUGGGGGUCGUUUCUCCUUCUAAUCCUUGUGCUAGACCUUUGUUAUGCACUAGGGGAAGGAGGAGUAACGACCAUCACUGACGGUCGAAAAAUCAGUGAGGGAGUGUGUCCACCAUAUAUGAGAGAAGAAGAAUGCCGACUGUUGUCAUGGGGGUCGCUUCUCCUUCGUUCCCGUGUGCUAGACAUUUUGGUUUGAUGCACUCGCGAACGAAGGGAGGAGCGACCAUCUCCAACGGUCGAAUAUAUACACCAUGUGAGCUUAGAGUUUUCAAAAAAAGACUCGACGGACCGAUGGUUAACCCGUGCUGGAUAAUAAUGAUCUAGUUUAGUUUUUGUAGUACAUAUAUUGAAUUUUAGAAGUUUAAUCUUUGAAUUAUGAACACAGGAAAUGUCGUUGGACGAUGAAAGUAUCGCGGAUGCUCCUGGUGCAGCGACGACCAGGGUUUCUGCGACAGGCCUCACUUUGUAGAAGGUCGGCGCCUCAGCAUUAACUCUAGGAGACCUUCGAUGUUAAAACGGUACGCAACGAUGCAAAGUGUUUUUUCGUAAUUAAGCUGGACUUCUGCUUCUUCAACGUGUAAUUUUCUUCUUUUACAAUUCGACUAGCUUAUCCCAUGCCAUGCAAGACGCUAUGUCUUGGAGAGGAUGGAUUUUGAAGAUCAUGAAAAUAUGGAAACAAAGAUAGUUCACCCAAGGACCCAUCAUGGUUUUGAUUUUGCUGUAAAUCUAUACAAUUCUGAGAGCGUAUACCAUUUUGGUUGCCCGAAUUGGGAAGCACUUUGCAAGGCAUAUGAUUUCCAUGAGGGUAUGCUUGUUACCAUGGAUCUUGGUGAUCCUGACAUAGACGGAGACAAUAUGGACAGUUGGGUCCUUGUUGAUACGCUUCUAAUUCUACCACUAUGUGAGCUUCUCAAACAUAGUUACUAAGUAAUUUAUAUUGUUUAUUUUAAAAUAGUUGACAUCUUAUUUCCAUUAAUAGCUUGUUUUCAUUCUUUAAAGAAUGUGUGGAAGAUGGUAGACAGAACCUACUACACCGACGGCGCAACAUUAACUUAUAAGGAGAAAAAUCAUUUGAUCUCAUUUAUUAAUGAUUUUGAGAAUUACAAUAUCUAUUAUCAAACUCCUACACAUUAUGGUCAAGACGUGCCACUAGUGCACGUGUUGAACUACAGUAACAUCCACGGAGAUGGCAUGGUAAGAUUUUUUUACUAUUACAACAUCCGUGCAUGUUUUGCAUAAAUUCUUCUAAAACAAAAUUACAUUGCUAAUUAUGAAGUUAUUACUAUGUUUUUCAACAGAAAAUCCCAAAGAAUUGUGUGCCUCAUCAGAUGUUUCCGAAAGGUCGCCUUGAUGUUAUGAGCUUACGGCCAGGUCAACCUACACAUCAUUGUUGUCCAUACCGGAUUUCUAAAACCGAUGAAGACAUGACAAUCAAAGAUCGGAAAAAAUAUAUGGUUAGUCGUAGGGAGUGCUAUGUCUUGAGCUUGCGUUGGUUUUCCUUGAAGAGGAGAGGGUGAUGCAGCAAGUGUAGCGUAAGUAUUUCCCUCAGUUCUUGAGAACCAAGGUCUCAAUCCAGUAGGAGGCUCCUCAAAAGUCUCACGCACCUACAUAAACAAACUGAGAACUCGUAACCAACGCAAUAAAGGGGUUGUCAAUCCCUUCAAGGCCACUUGCGAAAGUGAGAUCUAAUAGAGAUAGUAAUAAGAUAAAUAUAUUUUUUGGUAUUUUAUAAUAUAGAUGCAAAAAGUAAAGAUGCAAAUAAAAGUAGAUUGGAAGCAAAUAUGAUAAGAGAUAGACUCGGGGGCCAUAGGUUUCACUAGAGGCUUCUCUCGAGAUAGCAUAAGUAUUACGGUGGGUGAACAAAUUACUGUCGAGCAACUGAUAGAAAAGCGAAUAAUUAUGAGAUUAUCUAGGCAUGAUCAUGUAUAUAGGCAUCACAUCUAAAACAAGUAGACCGACUCCUGCCCGCAUCUACUACUAUUACUCCACACAUCGACCGACUCAUGCCUGCAUCUAGAGUAUUAAGUUCAGAAAGAACAGAGUAACGCAUUAAGCAAGAUGACAUGAUGUAGAGGGAUAAACUCAUGCAAUAUGAUAUAAACCCCAUCUUGUUAUCCUCGACGGCAACAAUACAAUACGUGUCUUGCAACCCUUUCUGUCACCGGGUAAGAACACCGCAAGAUUGAACCCAAAGCUAAGCACUUCUCCCAUGGCAAGAAAGAUCAAUCUAGUAGGCCAAACCAAACCGAUAAUUUGAAGAGACUUGCAAAGAUAACUCAAUCGGACAUAAAAGAAUUCAGAGAAGAUUCAAAUAUUAUUCAUAGAUAAAUUUGAUCAUAAACCCACAAUUCAUCGGAUCUCGACAAACACACCGCAAAAAGAGAUUACAUCAAAUAGAUCUCCACAAGAGAGGGGGAGAACAUUGUAUUGAGAUCCAAAAAUAGAGAAGAAGCCAUCUAGCUAAUAACUAUGGACCCGUAGGUCUGUGGUAAACUACUCACAACUCAUCGGAGGGGAAAGGAUGUUGAUGUAGAGGCCCUCCGUGGUUGAUUCCCCCUCCGGCAGAGUGCCGACAAAGGCUCCAAGAUGGGAUCUUGCGGAUACAGAAGGUUAUGGCGGUGGAAAUUGUGUUUCAUGGUGCUCCUGGAUGUUUUCGGGGUACAUAGGUAUAUAUUGGAGGAAGAAGUACGUCGGUGGCUGCCCGAGGGGCCCACGAGACAGGGGGCGCGCCCUACAGGGGCGGGGGGAGCGCCCUCCUAUCUCGUGGCCACCUUGGCUGCUUCUUGGCUUGCACUCCAAGUCCUCCGGAUCACGUUCGUUCCAAAAAUCACGCCCCCGAAGGUUUCAUUCCGUUUGGACUCCGUUUGAUAUUCCUUUUCUUCGAAAUACUGAAAUAGGCAAAAAAACAGCAAUACGGGCUGGGCCUCCGGUUAGUAGGUUAGUCCCAAAAAUGAUAUAAAUGUGUAAAAUAAAGCCCAUAAACAUCCAAAAGGGGUAAUAUAAUAGGAUGGAACAAUCAAAAAUUAUAGAUACGUUGGAGACGUAUCAAGCAUCCCCAAGCUUAAUUCCUGCUCGUCCUCGAGUAGGUAAAUGAUAAAAAAGAAAUUUUUGAUGUGGAAUGCUACCUAGCAUAAUUCUCAAUGUAAUUUUCUUUAUUGUGGCAUGAAUGUUCAGAUCCAAAUGAUUCAAAAUAAAAGUUCAUAUUGAUAAAAUAAAUAGUAACACUUCAAGCAUACUAGUCAAAGUAAUCAUGUCUUCUCAAAAUAACAUGGCAAAAGAAAGUUCAUUCCUACAAAAUCAUAUAGUUAGGCUAUGCUUCAUUUUCGUCACACAAAGAUGUUCCCAACUACUUAAAUAAUUUCAAACUUUUUCAACCUUCACGCAAUACAUGAGCGUGAGCCAUGGAUAUAGCACUAUUGGUGGAAUAGAAUAUGAUGAUGGGGAUUGUGUGGAGAAGACAAAAAGGGAGAAAGUCUCACAUUGACGAGGAUAAUCAACGGGCUAUGGAGAUGCCCAUCAAUUGAUGUCAACAUGAGGAGUAGAGAUUGCCAUGCAACGGAUGCACUAGAUCUAUAAGUGAAUGCUCAACAAAAGAAAACUAGUGGAUGUGCAUCCAACUUGCUUGCUCACGAAGACCUAGGGCAUUUGACGAAGCCCAUCGUAGGAAUAUACAAGACAAGUUCUAUAAUGAAAAACUCCCACUAGUAUGAAAAAGACAACUUAUGAGACUCACUAUAUGAAAAACAUGGUGCUACUUUGGAGCACAAUAUAUGAGACUCACUACAUGAAGAACAAGGUGCUACUUUGAAGCACAAGUGUGGAAAAAGAGACAGUAACAUUGCCCUUUCAUUUAUUUUCCUUUUUUUUGGCCUUUUUUCUUUUCUUUUGGCCUUUCUUUUUUUUCUUUUUUUUCUUUGGGAAAUGCUCUAAUAAUGAUGAUCAUCACACUUUCAUUGAUUAAAACAUAUGAAUUACAACUCGAAACUAGAACAAGAUAUGACUCUAUAUGAAUGCCUCCGGCGGUGUACUGGGAUGGUGCAAUGAAUCAAGAGUGACAUGUAUGAAAAAUAAUGCAUGGUGGCUUUGCCACAAAUACAAUGUCAACUACAUGAUCAUGCAAUGGAAAUAUGACAAAAAUAACAUAUGUCAUGAUGAUGAUAAACAGAACGGUGGAAAGUUGCAUGGCAAUAUAUCUCGGAAUGGCUAUAGAAAUGCCGUAAUAGGUAGGUAUGGUGGCUGUUUUGAGGAGGAUAUAAGGAGGUUUAUGUGUGAUAGAGCGUUUCGUAUCACAGGGUUUGGAUGCACCGGCGAAGUUUGCACCAACUCUCAAGGUGAGAAAGGGCAAUGCACGGUACCGAAGAGGCUAGCAAUGGCGGAAAGGUAAAAGUGCGUAUAAUCCAUGGACUCAACAUUAGUCAAAAGAACUCAUAUACUUAUUGUAAAAAUUUAGAAGUCAUCAAAAAUCAAGUACUACACAUAUGCUCCUAGGGGGAUAGAUUGGUAGGAAAAGACCAUCGCUCGUCCCCGACCGCCACUCAUAAGGAUGCACAAGCCAGGUACACUUCAUGUUUCAAAUUUGUUACACAACUUUAACCAUACGUGCAUGCUACGAGACUUGCUAACUUCAACACAAGCAUUCUUUAAAUUCAUAAUCACUCAACUAGCAUGACUUUAAUAUCACUACCUCCAUAUCUCAAAACAAUUAUCAAAUAUCAAAUUGAUCAUAGCAUCCAAUUCACUUCUUAUGAUAGUUUUUAUUAUACCCAACUUGGAUGCUCAUCAUUCUAGGACCAAUUUUGUAACCAUAGAAAAUACCAUGCUGUUCUAAAAGACUCUCAAAAUAAUAUAAGUGAAGCAUGAGAGACUAGCAAUUUAUUCAAAAUUAAGACACCACCGUGCUCUAAAAGAUAUAAGUGAAGCACUAGAGCAAAAACUAGCAAGCUCAAAAGAUAUAAGUGAAGCACAUAGAGUAUUCUAACAAAAUUCUAAUCAAAUAGGCUUCUCACAAAAGGUGUGUACAGCAAGGAUGAUUUUGGACAACUAAAAAGCAAAUACUAAUAUAAUACAUGAUGCUCCAAGGAAAACACAUAUCAUGUGGUGAAUAAAAAUAUAGCUCCAAGUAAAGUUACCAAUGAACGAAGACGAAAGAGGGGAUGCCUUCCCGGGGCAUCCCCAAGCUUAGGCUUUUGGCUAUCCUUGAAUAUCUUGGGGUGCCUUGGGCAUCCCCAAGCUUAGGCUCUUGCCACCCUUUAUUCCAUAGUCCAUAAAAGCUUUACCCAAAACUUGAAAACUUCACAACACAAAACUCAACAGAAAAUGUUAUAAGCUCCAUUAGUGAAAGAAAACAAAACCACCACAUAAGGUACUGCAAAAAACUCAUUCUUUAUUUAUUUUGGUGUUAAACAUACUGUAUUCCAACUUCUCUAUGGUUCAUAAACUAUUUUACUAGCCAUAGAUGCAUCAAAAUAAGCAAACAACACACGAAAAACAGAAUCUGUCAAAAACAGAACAUUCUGUAGCAAUAUGUAACUAACGCAAACUUAUGGAACUCUAAAAAUCCUACCACAAUAGGACGUACUGGAAAAUGUGUUUAUUGAUCAUCAGCAAAAAGAAUCAAAGCAAAAGCACGUUUCUGCAAUUUAUUGAAUUUUUUCUCGUGAGCGCAAAGUUUCUGUUUUUCAGCAGAAUCAAAUCAACUAUCAUCAUAGUUUAUCCUAUAGGUUCUACUUGGCACAAACACUAACUAAAAGAUAAAAACACAUAUAAACAUAGAUUAGAUGCAAGAUUUAUUACUAAACAGGAACAAAAACAAAAAAACACAAAGAAAAAUUGGGUUGCCUCCCAACUAGCGCUAUCGUUUAAUGCCCCUAGCUAGGCAUAAAAGCGUAGAUAGAUCUAACGAGUGCGAUCUUUGGCACUUGAUUCAUAAGUAGCUCGCAUGAUAGAUUCGUAAGGUAAUUUGACUUUCUUUCUUGGAAAGUGCUCCAUGGCUUUCUUUAAGGGAAAUUGGAAUCUAAUAUUCCCUUCCUUCAUAUCAAUAAUCGCACCAAUCAUUCUAAGGAAAGGUCUACCAAGAAUAAUAGGGCAAGAAAGAUUGCAAUCUAUAUCAAGAACGAUAAAAUCCAUGGGCACCAAAUUUCUAUUUGCAACAAUAAGAACAUCAUUGAUCCUUCCCAUAGGUUUUUUAAUGGUGGAAUCCGCAAGGUGCAAAUUUAACGAGCAAUCAUCAAGAUCAUGGAAAUCUAGAAUAUCACAUAAAGUUUUCGGAAUUGUGGAAACACUAGCACCCAAAUCACACAAAGCAAAACACUCAUAAUCUUUAAUUCUAAUCUUUAUAGUAGGUUCCCACUCAUCAUUAAGUUUUCUAGGUAGAGAAACUUCCAAAUUAAGUUUUUCAUCAAAAGAUUGCAUCAAGGCAUCAACAAUGUGUUUGGUAAAAGCUUUGUUUUGACUAUAAGCAUGCGGAGAAUUAAUAAUGGAUUGCAACAAGGAAAUACAACCUUUUAAAGUACAAUUAUCAUAAUCAAAUUCCUUGAAAUCCGAGAUAGUAGGUUCAAUGUUAUUUGAAGGUGUGACCUUUCCAAUCUCACUUUUACCAAAUUUAGCAUCAAGAUCUAAAGAUUCCAAAUUCUUGGGACGCCUUCUAGGAAAAGUUGAUUCAUCAUCGGUCCCAUAAUCAUCAAAAUUCAUAUUGCAAAACAUAGAUCUAAUAGGAGACGCAUCGAUAACUUUAAGAUCUUCAUCAUUAUUUUCAUGUAACUUUUCUGGUUUAGCGGCCAUCUUAUUGACUAAGGUGGCUUGCUUAUCAGAAAUUUUGGCUAUAGAAUUUUCAAGACGGGUAAUUUGAGCAUUAACACCAUAAAAUUCUUUAUUCAUAUCAUCAAGCUCUUUAUUCAUAAACCCCAAAGAACCUUUUUGUUCCUUAAGCUCUUUUCUAAAGAAAUUAUUAUGCUCAAAUUGCAAAUUCAUAAAGCUUCUAAUAUUUGAUUCAAUCUCUUCCAUCCUUCUGAGAAGGUGGUCAGGACCCUUAGGAAAAGCCAUAAGGACAAACGGGCACACAAGUAAACACACGGACAAUGGAAAAAGGCUAGCGAAAAGAGAGGAGGAGAUUGGGAAAGAGAGGGCGAAUAAAACGGUAAGGGUGAAGUGGGAGAGAGGAAAACGAGAGGCAAAUGGCAAAUAAUGUAAAUGCGAGGGAGAUGACUUUGUGAUGGGUACUUGGUAUGUCUUGACUUGAGCGAAGACCUCCCUGGCAAUGGCGCCAGAAAUCCUUCUUGCUACGUCUUGAGCUUGCGUUGGUUUUCCUCGAAGAGGAGAGGGUGAUGCAGCAAGUGUAGUGUAAGUAUUUCCCUCUGUUUUUGAGAACCAAGGUAUCAAUCCAGUAGGAGGCUCCUCAAAAGUCCCACGCACCUACACAAACAAACUGAGAACUCGCAACCAACGCAAUAAAGGGGUUGUCAAUCCCUUCACGGCCACUUGCGAAAGUGAGAUCUAAUAGAGAUAGUAAUAAGGUAAAUAUAUUUUUGGUAUUUUAUAAUAUAGAUGCAAAAAGUAAAGAUGCAAAUAAAAUUAGAUUGGAAACAAAUAUGAUAAGAGAUAGACCCGGGGGCCAUAGGUUUCACUAGAGGCUUCUCUCGAGAUAGCAUAAGUAUUACGGUGGGUGAACAAAUUACUGUCGAGCAAUUGAUAGAAGAGCGAAUAAGUAUGAGAUUAUCUAGGCAUUAUCAUGUAUAUAGGAAUCACAUCCAAAACAGGUAGACCGACUCCUGCCUACAUCUACUACUAUUACUCCACACAUCGACCGACUCCUGCCUGCAUCUAGAGUAUUAAGUUCACAAAGAACAGAGUAACACACUAAGCAAGAUGACAUGAUGUAGAGGGAUAAACUCAUGCAAUAUGAUAUAAAACCCAUCUUGUUAUCCUCGAUGGCAACAAUACAAUACGUGUCUUGCAACCCUUUCUGUCACUGGGUAAGAACACCGCAAGAUUGAAUCCAAAGCUAAGCACUUCUCCCAUGGCAAGAAAGAUCAAUCUAGUAGGCCAAACCAAACCGAUAAUUUGAAGAGACUUGCAAAGAUAACUCAAUCAUACAUAAAAGAAUUCAGAGAAGAUUCAAAUAUUAUUCAUAGAUAAAUUUGAUCAUAAACCCACAAUUCAUCAGAUCUCGACAAACACAACGCAAAAAGAGAUUACAUCAAAUAGAUCUCCACAAGAGAGGGGGAGAACUUUGUAUUGAGAUCCAAAAAGAGAGAAGAAGCCAUCUAGCUAAUAACUAUGGACCCGUAGGUCUGUGGUAAACUACUCACAACUCAUCGAAAGGGCAAGGCUGUUGAUGUAGAGGCCCUCCGUGGUCGAUUCCCCCUCCGGCAGAGUGCCGGCGAAGGCUCCAAGAUGGGAUCUCGUGGAUACAGAAGGUUACGGCGGUGGAAAUUGUGUUUCAUGGUGCUCCUGGAUGUUUUCGGGGUACGUAGGUAUAUAUAGGAGGAAGAAGUACGUCGGUGGCUGCCCGAGGGGCCCACGAGAUAGGGGGCGCGCCCUACAGGGGGAGGGGGGGGCGCCCUCCUAUCUCGUGGCCGCCUCGGCUGCUUCUUGGCUUGCACUCCAAGUCCUCUGGAUCACGUUCGUUCCAAAAAUCACGCUCCCGAAGGUUUCAUUCCGUUUGGAAUCUGUUUGAUAUUCCUUUUCUUCGAAAUACUAAAAUAGGAAAAAAACAGCAAUACGGGCUGGGCCUCCGGUUAGUAGGUUAGUCCCAAAAAUGAUAUAAAUGUGUAAAAUAAAGCCCAUAAACAUCCAAAAGGGGUAAUAUAAUAGCAUGGAACAAUCAAAAAUUAUAGAUACGUUGGAGACGUAUCAGGGAGCUACUUGGAAGCAGCAUUGUGCGACGCACAAGAAUUGGAGACAUGAUAAUCUCCAGUCUCCAUAAUGGAGAGUCAGGGCCUAUCUUGUUUUAUACUAUUUUACCUAAGAGAGGGUAGUUAGAUCCUGGCUAAUACUCCUGAUCAUGUGCUAAGAACAAUUACGUAGGGUUGGUUAGACAACUAUGAUGAUGAUGAGUAUGACUUGUUAUCAUGAUAACGAGUAGAAGUUGUAUGAUGAUGAUGAGUAGGACUUGUUAUUAUGGUACCAAUGUUGGGUUAUUUAAUAUUGUGAUGAUGCAUGAUGCUAAGUUGUUAUAUGAGCAUGAUGAGUUAUUAUAUAUACUAGAUGAUUCCCCGCGCGUUGCUGCGAGAAAUCUUUGUCCUAUUGAUAAUACAUAAAGUGAAUAACUUUGUUUGCAUAUGUUCUACAUAAAUACUAAUGCAUAUAUACAGACACCUAAAAACGGGGACACUGACUUGCAGAUGCCCUGAAAGGCUAAGUACACAUUUCCAUUUUUAGAUACAUAUUGUGUAUUGUGUGUGACUCUUGACGUAAAUCAAUUGCAGAUCUAUGUAAUAUAGUUAAGCAGCUCAUACCAGCAAGUGUUAAAAAACGGUGUUACAACAGAUAGUUCGCCUAGAAACAUAAUAUGAGAUAAUAGACAGCUGGAAAAAAUGCUCCGGAAACAGACAGUGAUAGGUACAUGUCCUCGUUAGUCAAAGGACAUAUACGGUAGCUUAUAUAGCCAAUCAUUAGUGAGAACUCCUAUUUCUCUUUCCAAGUGAUAUAAUAAUUAUUAUUUUUGACAGUCUGUAGUGAUAGAAAUUUCAUUUGCAGAAGGAAAAAAGCAUCUUUAGAAAUCAUAAACAUUCUAUUACUAAAGAGGCGAAUGGCUUUGAAAAUGAAAUAACCGAAAUUCCAGCUCUUGGACCAUGAAAUAAAAAGAACAACAAAUGCACCUAUAUAAGCAAAUAUCAGUUGUGUAUGAAAGAUCAAAAUAAAGGUACAACUCAACCUUGGUAAAAUGAGAUGAUUCAUGGUAUUGGCGACAGAGGUGUAUCCAAAACCAUCCAUUGCUUAGUUGCAAAAAUAUGUCAAGUAUAAUAUUUGUUAUCUUUAAGAGGAUAAACUCACCUAGUUCUGGGACUUUUCUGCGCAUGGGGAGGAGUGAAACUGUUGGAAUAAUCCAAACAUUAUGGUAGUUAAUUUGACAAGUACAAGUUAUACGUGUGUGAGGUUCUAGUCUUGAAUUAGGAUUAGUACUAGGGUGAUCAACGUUGCCGGUUGAUUAGUUAGGAAAGUGUACGAUGUCUUUGUGCCAGUAGUCUACGUGUGCUAAUAGAUUAGGAAAGCUGAGACCGGUUGGAAUUGGAGUUAGCUUGGUCGUGUCCUAGUAUGGUAGUAGUACUAGUCCGUAUAGGUUAGGAAAAAGGAGUCAUGAUCGGUUGCUCGGAGUCGGCUGCUGCACCUAUAUAUAUGCAUCAGCCUGCGUCACUGUAACCGUGGAGAAAAGAAGAAAAGAGAAAUAAAGUGGGAAAUAAGGGCACGACAAGGGCCCUUGGCUAUCGGAUUUUUGUGCGCGUGUGUUCGUGCAAUUUGAUGUGAUCGAUCCCCUGGGAGAAUUUCCAACAAUUGGUAUCUAGAGCAAGGUCGAGGUGAAGCUACGAUUGCCCCGGGGUGGCGACCCUACUAGUGCCUCAGGGCGGGCAAUACAGUCGCCGGUGUAGCGACAAGGAGGAGCGGGCGAUAUAGUCGCUGGGUGGUGCAGCGACGUGGAGGAUCAGGUGGUAGUCGUUCGGCGGAGCGACGGCAAGAAGGCGGCGAGGACGCUGUCGCAAGCCAGGCGACGGGUGAUCGUUGUUCGACGGAACUACCUGAAGGAGGGCGACAGGGCUGUCGUCGGCGAGGCGUUGGUGAUCGUUGAUGGUUAUGGAGGUGCCGAAGUUGCGACACCGAGGAGAUCAUCGAGAUCAUCGUUGGAGGGUGCAAGGUGGAGAUGGCGAAGUUGCGAGCCAUCAUCGAGGUGUGCACAUGAGUUCUUUUAAGGUGCGUCCAAGAGCUCAGGUGUGUGAAUCUUCUGCUGCAGUUGAGAUGCGUCAUUGGCGGAGGAGAAUUGCGAGUGAGAGCUGGUGGAAAAAGGAAUUUGUGCCUUGUGUUUCUGUUCGUGUUCGUGGAGUUCCGGCGAGUUCAUAUACGGUGGAGAUGAGUUGCACGUAUAUGGCGAGUUGUGUUGCCGCUGGACAGGAGGUGUCGUUUGAUAAGAUGUGGCAUGGGCGACACUGAGAAGAUGUGAAGAUGUGACGGGUGAAGAGAUGUGUCUCCCUGUGUGCAAGCAACCGACGUGAAGAUGAAGAUCAACGUGAAGAUGGACGCGCACCGGUUAAGUUGAGUUCCUGCAUGAGGCUAUGCGUUUAGUCUGCAUGUAGCACGCUAAAUUGUGGCAGCGUGGCUGGUAGUCCGGAUAAUCGUUGGUUUCAGUUUUUAAGUCGGCACAAAAGUAUGAUGGUGAUGAUGUGCUGGCCAUCGUUACAAGAAGAGAGAAGCUGUGGUCCGGUAAGUCGCGUCACCGGAGGCAAUCGACGGGACAAGAUGAAGAGAUGAUCAUCUGUGUGUCUCAUUGAGUAAAAAGUGUCGGACGUUUGGAUUAGGGGGUGAAUGUUGGAAUAAUCCAAACAUUAUGGUAGUUAAUUUGACAAGUACAAGUUAUACGUGUGUGAGGUUCUAGUCUUCAAUUAGGAUUAGUACUAGGGUGAUCAACGUUGCCGGUUGAUUAGUUAGGAAAGUGUACGAUGUCUUUGUGCUAGUAGUCUACGUGUGCUAAUAGAUUAGGAAAGCUGAGACCGGUUGGAAUUGGAGUUAGCUUGGUCGUGUCCUAGUAUGGUAGUAGUACUAGUCCGUAUAGGUUAGGAAAAAGGAGUCAUGAUCGGUUGCUCGGAGUCGGCUGCUGCACCUAUAUAUAUGCAUCAGCCUGUGUCAUUGUAACCGUGGAGAAAAGAAGAAAAGAGAAAUAAAGUGGGGAAUAAGGGCACGACAAGGGCCCUUGGCUAUCGGAUUUUUGUACGCGUGUGUUCGUGCAAUUUGAUGUGAUCGAUUCUGUGGGAAAAUUUCCAACAGAAACAACCAUGAACCUUUGACGAAGAUUUUAUGCGUACAAUAUGCAAGCUCGAGUUACUCAUGUUGGUGAAAUUAUUACACUCGUCAGGCAAGAAGAGCCCAACUGCAAAGAGAUACCUCUUCUUCCUCUCCCAUCGCAAGUCACGUUGUCCGCUGACCAACUUGCUGAGCUCCAUACCGAGGCAGAGAGGAGGGGCUGCACGGCGGUAGAAGCAAGUUCUUGGUGAUGCUGCGACGGGGCGUGGAGGGCAGUCGCGGCUGGACGAAUCUGAUGCAGAUGCAUGGUCGGAGGAGACCGGCUGGCGAAACCGACGCAGGGGACCAUGGAGGCACUACGGGCGUGUGGCGGCGCCGUCUUGGAACAACGCGGUAGCAGGCAUUGCCCCCAUGCUGGAGGUCGAUUCCAGCGGUGCCCAGCCGUAGGGCACCAUCGAGGCACUGCCGGCGCACGGCGGAGCCCCCCUAUUUGAGUGGUGACGAACAGACGAAGUCGCGCCUGCUGAAACACGAUUCCGAUAACAGCAGCUUGAGAUGUGCAGCGCUAAACGCCGCUCCGAAUUCACUGGAGAGAAAAUGCGAUGGGGAGGAUAAUAAAAGGCGAUGCAUGAUGUGAUCUGGGCUCUUAGACUGCCUCGUCCGUUACAGGAGACAGAAGAGGAAACGACCUCCGGAUGGUUGCAUUUGCUUACUAAAGAAAAUGAAUCACGCGACUUUUUGGUCAGCGUUCAGUAAAGGAAUGCAUGUACAACGAUAGUGGCUGAUGUUGCAGGACACGCUGACGUGGCUAGGUUGCAUGUUUAGAUAAAUAGGAUAGUGGGGGUGAAUCUCUUAGGUAUAUAGGAUAUAUCAGUGGCUGAAAUGAAAGUUGAUUAAAGUGGAGACAACAUGUGGUGCAUAUCGAAAGUACUACUAAUCCAAACUUGAUCUAGUUUGGACUAGUAGUACUUUCGAUGUGCACCACAUGUUGCCUCCAUUUGAAUCUAAUACAAGUUCAUUUCACCCACUAUUAUAAAUAAUAAGUAAUCAUGGUCAUAAAAUCAUAUGAUGAAAGUACUAUAUAUAAAACCUAUACAACGACAGCGACAACAAGCUGCAUUUUCAAAAAUACAGGAAAAAUUUAGCAGUAGCGCUUUUCAGAAGAAACUCUACUUCUACUUACUCUUAUCAGCAGCGCUUGCCCAAAACAAGCGCUACUGCUCACUAGGUAUAGCAGUAGCGCUUUUCAAAAGAAACUCUAUUGCUACUUACUCUUAUCAGCAGCGCUUGCCCAAAACAAGCGCUACUGCUAACUAGGUAUAGCAGUAGCGCUAGGAAACAAGCGCUACUGCUACCAGUUAGCUGUAGCGCCUUAGCAAUAGCGCUACACCCAGCGCUACUACUAUAUGUAUUUCAAGCGCUACUACUAGGGUUUUACCUAGUAGUGAUCCCUCAGGUCAUCUAAAUGAUACAUGAUCCAAAUCAACUAAACCAUGUCCGUUCAUCAUGUGAUAUGGAGUAGUCAUCAAUGGUGAACAUAUCUAUGUUGACAUAUCUACUAUAUGAUUCACGUUCGACCUUUCGGUCUCCACUAUUCCGAGGCCAUGUUUGUACAUGCUAGGCUCGUCAAGUUUAACCCGAGUAUACCGCAUGUGCAAAACUGGCUUGCACCCGUUAUAUGUGAACGUAGAGCCUAUCACACCCAAUCAUCACAUGGUGUCUCAGCACGAAAAACUAUCGCAACGGUGCAUACUUAGGAAGAACACUUAUACCUUGAAAUUUAGUUAAGUGAUCAUCUUAUAAUGCUAUCGCCGUACUAAGCAAAAUAAGAUGCAUAAAGAUAAACAUCACAUGCAAUCAAAAUAUGUGACAUGAUAUGGCCAUCAUCAUCUUGUGCUUUUGAUCUCUGAUACGUCUCCAACGUAUCUAUAAUUUUUUAUUGUUCCAUGCUAUUAUAUUACCCCUUUUGGAUGUUUAUGGGCUUUAUUUUACACAUUUAUAUCAUUUUUGGGACUAACCUACUAACCAGAGGCCCAGCUCAUAUUGCUGUUUUUUUUGCCUAUUUCAGUAUUUUGAAGAAAAGAAAUAUCAAACGGAGUCCAAACGGAAUGAAACCUUCGGGAGCGUGAUUUUUGGAACGAACGUGAUCCAGAGGACUUGGAGUGCAAGUCAAGAAGCAGUCGAGGCCUCCACGAGAUAGGAGGGUGCGCCCCCUGUCUCGUGGGCCCCUCGGGCGGCCACCAACGUACUUCUUCCUCCUAUAUAAGCCUACGUACCCCGAAAACAUCCAGGGAGCACCGGAAACACAAUUUCCACCGCCAUAACCUUCUAUAUUCGUGAGAUCCCAUCUUGGAGCCGUCGCCGGCGUUCUGCCGGAGGGGGAAUCCACCACGGAGGGCUUCUAAUCAACACCAUAGCCCUUCCGAUGAGUUGUGAGUAGUUUACCACAGACCUUCGGGUCCAUAGUUAUUAGCUAGAUGGCUUCUUCUCUCUUUUUGGAUCUCAAUACAAUGAUCUCCCCCUCUCUUGUGGAGAUCUAUUCAAUGUAAUCUCUUUUUACGGUGUGUUUGUCGAGAUCCGAUGAAUUGUGGGUUUAUGAUCAAGUUUAUCUAUGAGAAAUAUUUGAAUCUCCUCUGAAUUCUUUUCUGUAUGAUUGAGUUAUCUUUGCAAGUCUCUUUGAAUUAUGAGUUUGGUUUGGCCUACUAGAUUGAUCUUUCUUGCCAUAGGAGAUGUGCUUAGCUUUGGAUUCAAUCUUGCGGUGUCCUUACCCAGUGACAGAAAGGGUUGCAAGGCACGUGUUGUAUUGUUGCCAUCGAGGAUAAAAAGAUGGGGUUUAUAUCAUAUUGCAUGAGUUUAUCCCUCUACAUCAUGUCAUCUUGCUUAAGGUGUUACUCUAUUCUUAUGACUUAAUACUCUAGAUGCAGGCAGGAGUCGGUCGAUGUGUGGAGUAAUAGUAGUGGAUGCAGGCAGGAGUCGGUCUACUUGUUGCGGACGUGAUGCCUAUAUACAUGAUCAUGCCUAGAUAAUAUCAUAAUUAUUCGCUUUUCUAUCAAUUGCUCGACAGUAAUUUGUUCACCCACCGUAAUACUUAUGCUAUCUUGAGAGAAGCCUCUAGUGAAAGCUAUGGCCCACGGGUCUAUCCUUUAUCAUAUUUGCUUUCAAUCUACUUUUAUUUGCACCCUUACUUUUUGCAUCUAUAUUAUAAAAUACCAAAAAUAUAUUUAUCUUAUCAUACUAUCUCUAUUAGAUCUCACUUUCGCAAGUGGUCGUGAAGGGAUUGACAACCCCUUUAUUGCGUUGGUUGCGAGUUCUUUGUUUGUUUGUGUAGGUGCGUGGGACUUUUGAGGAGCCUCCUAUUGAAUUGAUACCUUGGUUCUCAAAAACUGAGGGAAAUACUUACGCUACUAUUGCUGCAUCACCCUUUCCUCUUCAAGGAAAACCAACGCAAGCUCAAGAUGUAGCAAUCUCCAUCUCCAAAGCAACGUCAUGGUCUCCAUCCUCACUGGCUCGACACCUUGAUAUCCAUGGCAGCGUCGUUGUCGUCUUGCAAAAUAUUGCUUCUACAACUAUCACUACCACUUAGUGAUAAAGUAAAGCAAUUAAAUGGCGUUUGCAUAUCAUACAAUAAAGCGACAACCAUAAGGCUCCUGCCAGUUGUCGAUAACUUCUAUAAAACAUGAUCAUGUCAUACAAUAACGUAUAUCACAUCAUGUCUUAACCAUAUCACAUCACAACAUGCCUUGCAAUAACAAGUUAGACGUCCUCAACUUUGUUGUUGCAACUUUUACGUGGCUGCUAUGGGCUUCUAGCAAGAAUCGUUCUUACCUACGGCACAAAACCACAACGGUGAUUUAUCAAGUUUGUUGUUUUAACCUUCAACAAGGACCGGCCGCAAUCAAAUCCGAUUCAACUUAGUUGGAGAAACAGACACCCGUCAGCCACCUUUAUGAAAAACUAGUUGCAUGUCUGUCGGUGGAACCGGUCUCAUGAACAUGGUCAUGUAAGGUUGGUCCGGCCUGCUUCAUCCAACAAUACCGCCAAAUCAAAAUAAGACAAUCAUGGUAAGCAGUAUGACGAUCACUGCACACAACUAUUUGUGUUCUACUCGUGCAUAUCAUCUAUGCAUAGACCUGGCUCAGAUGCCACUGUUGGGAAACAUGGCAUGCAAUUUCAAAAAAUUUCCUACGCUCACGCAAGAUAUAUCUAGGAGAUGCAUAGCAACGAGAGGGGAGUGUCUGUCUACGUACCCUUGUAGACCGAAAGCGGAAGCGUUUGCCAAUGCGGUUGAUGUAGUCGAACUUCUUCUCGUUCUGAACGAUCAAGUACCGAACGUACGACACCUCCGAAUUCUGCACACGUUCAGCUCGAUGACGUCCCUCGAACUCUUGAUCCAGCAGAGUGUCGAGGAACUAGAAGAGUUCCGUCAGCACGACGGCGUGGUGACUGUGAUGGUGAAGUUAUCCGCGCAGGGCUUCGCCUAAGCACUACCGUAAUAUGACCGGAGGCGUAAAUUGUGAAGGGGGGCGCCGCACAUGGCUAACAAUCAUUGGUGUGUGUUCUAAGCGCCCCCUCCCCAUGUAUAUAUAGGUGGGAGGGGGAGGGAGCUGCCUUGGGCGCCCCAAGUAGGAGGAAUCCUACUUGGGGUCCUAUUUCAAUUCGCCCCCCCCCCCCUUCCUUUUACCGGAAGGGGGAAAAAGGGANNNNNNNNNNNNNNNNNNNNNNNNNNNNNNNNNNNNNNNNNNNNNNNNNNNNNNNNNNNNNNNNNNNNNNNNNNNNNNNNNNNNNNNNNNNNNNNNNNNNNNNNNNNNNNNNNNNNNNNNNNNNNNNNNNNNNNNNNNNNNNNNNNNNNNNNNNNNNNNNNNNNNNNNNNNNNNNNNNNNNNNNNNNNNNNNNNNNNNNNNNNNNNNNNNNNNNNNNNNNNNNNNNNNNNNNNNNNNNNNNNNNNNNNNNNNNNNNNNNNNNNNNNNNNNNNNNNNNNNNNNNNNNNNNNNNNNNNNGAACCCCCUCCUCCUUCUCCUAUUCGGCCUCCUUCCUUAGGGGAGGGGGACGCCACCCCUUGUGGGCUGGUGUGUUCCCCUCUUAUGGACCAUAAGGCCCAUUACUCCCCCGGGGGGUUUCGGUCCCCCCCGAUACUCUGAUAUGUACCCGACACACCCCGGAACACUUCCGGUGUCUGAAUAAUAUCAUCCAAUAUAUCAAUCUUUACCUCUCAACCAUUUUGAGACUCCUUGUCAUGCCGAUGAUCUCAUGCGGGACUCCGAACAACAUUUGGUCACCAAAUCACAUAACUCAUAUAAUACAAAAUCAUCAUCAAACGUUAAGUGUGCGGACCCUACGGGUUUGAGAACUAUGUAGACAUGACCAAGACACCUCUCCGGUCAAUAACCAAUAGCGGAACCUGGCUGCUCAUAUUGGCUCCCACAUAUUCUACGAAGAUCUUUAUUGGUCGAACCGUUUUGACAACAUACGUUAUUCCCUUUGUCAUCGGUAUGUUACUUACCCAAGAUUCGUUCGUCGAUAUCUUCAUACCUAGUUCAAUUUCAUUACCGGCAAGUCUCUUUACUCGUUCUGCAAUGCAUCAUCCUGCAACUAACUCAUUAGUCACUUUGCUUGCAAGGCUUGUAAUGAUGUGCAUUACCGAGAGGGCCCAGAGAUACCUCUCCGAUACUCGGAGUGAUAAAUCCUAAUCUCGAUCUGUGCCAACAUAGCAAACACCUUCGGAGAUUCCUGUAGAGCAUCUUUAUAAUCACCCAGUUACGUUGUGACGUUUGAUAGCACACAAGGUAUUCCUCCCGUAUCCGGGAAUUGCAUAAUCUCAUAGUCAAAGGAAUAUGUAUUUGACAUGAAGAAAGCAAUAGCAAUAAAACUGAAUGAUCAUAAUGCUAAGCUAACGAAUGGGUCUUGUCCAUCACAUAAUUCUCUAAUGAUGUGAUCCCGUUCAUCAAAUUACAACACAUGUCUAUGGUUAGGAAACUUAACCAUCUUUGAUUAACGAGCUAGUCUAGUAGAGGCUUACCAGGGACAUAGUGUUUUGUCUACGUAUCCACACAUAUAUCAAGUUUCUAGUUAAUACAAUUCUAGCAUGAAUAAUAAACAUUUAUCAUGAAAUAAGGAAAUAUAAAAUGACAACUUUAUUAUUGCCUUUAGGGCAUAUUUCCUUCAGGUUCGUCGUGAUCCACACUUGUCCCAACUGCUCAGUGGGGCUCUUGAAGCUCCGGGAUGUCACCUUCGGCUCAUACUCCUCCCGGUCGGCGUUGAGUGUUGGUCCCGACACCUCCAAGCCUGCGAUUGUGAUUACCCAAGUCAAAAGCGUGGGCAAAUUUUCGCGUGAGGUAGGUGACUCUGGUCCGAUCUAGCCACUCUAUUUGUGGCUCUUGCAGAUCUGCACCGGGCUCUACGCCGUUCCUUGACCAAGGCCGAGAUGGAUGUCUGCCGCCAUCGCCUUAAAAAAUAUGAAAGCAUUGCGGCUUGUAACCAUGUUUGUUGCUUGCCUCUUAUAACCAUGUUUGUUGCCUUCUCUAUUUGUGCUUAAGUCGUCUUAUAACCAUGUUUGUUGCUUUCAUUGCUAGACUGAGAUGGAAAACAAGGCCUCUCAUCCUACAGAAGAUGGUCAGGAAUCGAACUCUGCGACCGAGGUUGUAGUUGAAGUGCUUGCUUAGCACACUAAGAAGCCAACAUUUCUUCAGCAUGUGGGGAUCCAGCAUGUCCAUCUGAGAGCAAGCGAUAGCAACUGUCAAGCAGAAUUGGCAAAUAGGGGCAAUGUCGAGCUUCAGGCGCUUGUCAACACCUUGACCAAGCAGUUGAAGGAGUCCGAAGAAGCAAGGACCAGGCAAGACGAGAAGCACAUGAAGAGAGAUGAGGAGAACAGGAAGAAGCAAGCUGAGAUGGAUGCAAAACUAGAGUUUUUGUUAAGUCAAUUGCAAGCAAGAUGAGCUCAAGGGUAAGUUGUCUGUCCAAGAUCAACCAUCUUUUUCUACUUGAUGCACGGAAGCUAUGUGAAUGUGAUAUACUACUGGAACCUACCUUCUUAUUUUGUAAUGCUUCUAUUGUGCAAACUGCACACUGUUGGAUGCAAACUGGUUGCAUUUUGCUGCUCCAUGUUUAGUGGAUGUGGAGAUGUAAGCUCAAUGUUACUUGUGCUUUGUGAUAUUGUGCCUCUUUUCUGUAUUUGUGUUGGAUCUGAAGAUGUAAGCUCAAUGUUAGGCUUGGAAAACAUUUUGCGUAAAAACAAAGAAGGGCCUUUUUUUUAGGUGAGAAGCGCCGGGUUGGGUAGAGUAAACACUAAUGGGCCGAAUGAAGUGGGCCUCGAAACACACUUUCCGGCUAAAGAAAAAACACAAGUGGAGCAUAAUUUUAAUGGGCUGAUGUGCAUAUUAAACAAGUAGAGAUGGCCAACGGAGAGAGUAAAUGAUUAUGGGCCAGCCCAAAAUGAACGGGUUUCAAUUUCAGGAUGACAAUGUUGUGCUUGAACAAGGAGGAGCAGCAACGUUUGCACAGUUCACCGAAUUUUAUCAUUAAAUGCGUUAUUGGGAAACUCACAUUCUUUUUUUUGAGAAACCUUUCGAUCUAUUCAUCUUCAACCAUGGCAAUACAACGAACACCAGAAAUAAUAAAAUAUACAUCAACUGCAAGAUGAUUUGGUUGAGCAUAUAUGGACUCACGUUGGCAACCAAUAGAUGUAUCGACUAUUUUUUCUUUUAAAUUUAUUUUUUUAGCUUGUAAACUAUGAGAUAUUUUUUGGUUGUGAAACUAUGAGAUAUUUGAAUUUGAUUAUAUUAUGUGAACUUUGAGCGAUUUUUUUAUGUAUAGACAAAAGAGCAAAAAGUAGGCCGCCAGUCGAACGAAAAUGCGUCCGUGUGUUGAGCACUGCCAACCCAAACAUGAAAAUGCGUCCGGUUUAGAUCCAUGCGUUGGAGUUGCUCCCAAAGAGCUCCUGCUACCCUAUAAAUUUUCUCUGUGCACAAGGAGCAAUGAUGUUAAGGCUGGUCACAAUGGGCAAGAACAUAAGCUAGUAACUUCACACUUCCCUAGACUAUGUUACUACCUCCAUAGUGGGUAGGAACAUCUAUGUAGUGUCAUGCAACGAUGUAUUUAUUAGGCUGGUCACAAUGGGCAAGAACAUAAGCUAGUAACUUCACACUUCCCUAGACUAUGUUACUACCUCCAUAGUGGGUAGGAACAUCUAUGUAGUGUCAUGCAACAUGUAUUUAUUAGGUUAUAGACUCAUUGUUUCUUGGAGUGUGUGAUGUUCCGGUAACUUAGCUAGUUACCACAAACACCUCUCUCUUCAUUAAAUACGUGCCACAUAAGCAAAGUUGUAUUGGAGUGUGUGAUGUUACUCCUAAGUUCCUCCCCACUGUGACCAGCCUAAUGCAUGGCGGUCUCCUUUGUCUUGGGAAGGAACCAUGCCAGGCAGGCUUGACUUGACUUGACGAAGUUUUAUUUUAAACGAAAGCAUUUGUUUUUACUCUAGAUACUACUCCUACUAGUAGCUGAUGGGAGUGGGAGAGACGGGGCAGAGAUCUAGAUACUAGUAGUACUCCUUUUGAGUACUCCUACUAGUAGCUGGUAGGGUGGGAGAGACGGGGCAGAGAUAAAGAGAGGAGGGGGAGGGAGAGACAGGAGAGGCAGCUUGAUUCUGGUCGCGCCGCCCGCCGGGGAGAAGGGAUGGGAGUGCAGCAGCAGCAGCAGGAAACGAAUGGGAAGGAGGCGGAGGAGGGCGGCGUCGGCAAGAGGAGGAAGGUCGCCACCGACGUCACCAUGGACCUCGACAUCCUCGACUGCCCCGUCUGCUUCCUCCCCCUGCGCCCUCCCAUCUUCCAGGUAAUAUCUCCCGUGUUUGAUCUCUGCUGAUGCUACUACUCAAACCCUACCAGCUCCUCGUGGACGCUGAUUUCCCAUGUCUUGGAAACCUAUGGAGAAUUAGAACGAAAUCAGAUGCACACAUUAGGCCCAAUGCCUCCCACACACAGAUGUGCUAACCAAUGUACGCUGCCUAUCCUAUUAUGUUUGAGGAAAGUGAUGCAAUAUUAGGGAAUGUCUGCGUACAUUAUGCAGAUUAGGCAGUCAUAACGAUUGUGUAUCAGCGCUGUGGAGAAACCACAAAUUAGGGAAAACUAUUCCAUUUUAGUCGUAUCAUGGUUAUUCUACAUGUACUUCCCAAUUCAUAUGAUGUUUAUUCAUUUUAGCUGUAUUUUAUUCAGCUAAAGUUAUUAGCACAUUUACAGACCCAUAUGUAAUGAUUUGUUGUUUUUGAUGCUCAGUGCACCUUGGGACAUGCCAUAUGUUCGUCUUGCCGUGACAAGCUGCAAGACAAGUGUUGCCUCUGCUCCCUUCCCACAGUCUACAAUCGCUGUCACAUGGUCGAAAAUGUUGUUGAAUCUAUCAAACUUGCUUGCUCCAACAGUAGUCACGGAUGCACAGCAAGGAUAACCUACUACCAGAAAGAAGACCACGAGAAAGGCUGUCAACAUGCGCCAUGUUUCUGCCCCGAAACUGGCUGCAGCUUCAGUGGACCAACCAAAGUGCUCCUGGAGCAUUUUUUAGGCGAGCACGAUUGGUGCUAUGGGGAAAAGGAUCUUAGGUACGGCAAAACGUACAGGAUUACGUUGCUGGGAGUCCAGGGACCAACUGUCUUGAUGGGUAAUGAUGGGCACCUCUUCCUGGUCAACAUGACAAUGGAGUCCCUUGGCGGUGUCAUCUCAGUUUGCUGUGUUGAGCCUCACAUUAGUGCAUCCAGGUUCAAGUGCAGGCUGGCAUUAUUGUGCGGUGAACAAAGCUACUCCCAGACUACGGAGUUCUUAACGACUAGCACUAAUCUGCGUGACGGGUUUCCUAAAGAUUGCUUCCCGUUGCUUGUGCCAAAGGUGUUUGCUUGGAGACACCGGUACAAACCCCACAGCCACGGUGUGUGUGACCCUCAAGCCACAGUAAGCACCAUGUGAAGUGAUGACGCGCCUGUGUACAUACCGCUCCCGUGUAGGGUUGGGUUUUACAAGUAACUAGUUCUUUUGAGUUGCUAGUUGUCAGCUUUUGGAGGAGGCACUAGUGUUCUUUUGGCAUGUCUCGGUCAUCGAUUGGCAUGCACUGUUUGUACUCUUGGCAAUGUUUUGCUUCAAAUCGCCGAAGUGAACGACGAAGCUACAUUUCGGAAGCAAACAUGUAUGCCAUGCGUGUCGAAAUUAACUUCAGUCAAGCAGGCUAUGUUUUGCUUGGCUAGUAUUUGAACUUUUAUUGAACCAUAUUUUAUGUACGACUAGAAAAUUGCCCGUGCGUUGCUACGGGAGGAAAGGUCACCGCACUCCCUGACCCAAUAAGCAUGACCUAAAACACAAUGGCCUGCAUCAAUUAUUUUCAACAUGAACAAGAAUUGUGCUUUCACUUGGAUCAUCUUUGUGGAACAGCUAAGAUAUAAAUGCAUUGUUGGGUUGCAGGUUAAGUUAAUGAUAUGCAGCUCUCAUAGAGAUGAAAAAAAGAACUCAAGCAUAAGAGAAAAAAAAAUACAAAAACAUUGAAAACAUCAAAAUAUAAUUUCUUUUGUCGAUGCAAGAUGUUAUUCCUGAUAGAUCCUCUGGAUCGCUAGGCUAGAUGAUAUCCGGCAAACCUACCUUCUCUCUGUGUCGAUGAUCCCGCCGAGGUGGCCAUGGUCGAUGGCGACGACGGUGAUAACAGAGAGUGGAUGGCGGCGGUGGUGGAGCUUCCCGUCGUAUCGCGCUAACCCUAGAUCGGUAGGGAUAUAGGUGGGUUCUGGACGCACGGUCAAACUCAUCACCAGUGCGGCUGACUCCCCCACCCCUUUAUAUAGCGCGGCGACAAGGGCCCACCAACUAUAGUUUGGUUGGGCGCCCCCGAUCAGGGCGCGGGUCAAGGGCCCGUCGAGCCAUUGGGCUCGAUCGGCAGGAGAUCAACCUAACAUUCUCCCCCUUGAUCUCAACUUUACUUUUAACCUUAUACUUUCUAGUUUAUUUGUUUCAUUACAUAUUGGUACAUAGAGCAUGUUUCAUCAUCACAGCUUAAUUGCCGAUAAAAUCAUACAUCUACAACAUAAGUUUUUGUUCAGAAACAAAUUAUGUUCCUUUUGGGCAUAUCCAGGAAUCAUAAGGCUUUCCCUUUAACCCAUGCCGGCUAAGUGUUCCUUGAACACAUUAGGUGGUAAGCCUUUCAUUAGCGGAUCCGCAAGCAUAUCCUUUGUCCUUAUAUGCUCGAGACUUAUAGUUUGAUCCUUGAUUUUAUCUUUCAUAACAUAAUACCUUAUCUCUAUUGUUUUGGCAGCAUUACUCGACUUGUUGUUGUGAGCGUAAAAUACUGCGGGUUGGUUGUCGCAGUACAUCUUUAGUGGUUUGUGAAUACAAUCUACCACUUUCAAGUCAGGUAUAAAUUUCUUUAGCCAUACCGUCUGCCCCGUGGUCUCGAAGCAUGCUAUGAAUUCUGCAUACAUCGUAGAUGAUGCAACUAUCGACUGUUUGGAGCUUUUCUACGAAAUAGCUCCCACAGCGAGAGUGAAUACGUAUCCUGACGUGGAUUUUCUAUCAUCUCUGUCCCCCGCAAAAUCUGCAUCAGAAUACCCUUUUAUCUCUAGGGAAUCACACCUCCUGUAUGUUAGCAUGUAGUCCUUCAUGCCUUGCGCAUAACGCAAUGCUUUCUUUAUCAUCUUCUAGUGCUCUAUGCCUGGAUUCUCAUGAUAUCUACCGAGUACCCCGGUGAUAAAGGCUAAGUCAGGACGAGUGCACAUUUGUGCAUACUGUAAGCUGCCAACUGCCGAAGCAUAUGGUACUACUUUCAGUUGAUCGAUCUCAUACUGGUUCUUGGGACAUUGGAAUUUCCCAAAACUAUCGCCCUUAACUAUAGGAGCAGGUGUGACUUUACUCACAUGCAUAUUAUACUUUUUAAGAACCUUUUCUAAAUAUGCUUUCUGCGAUAGUCCUAAGACUCCAUUGUUUAUAUCUCGGUGAAUUUCUAUGCCCACAACAUAUGAUCCUUCACCAAGAUCUGUUAUGUCAAAAUUCAAGGAUAAGAACUUCUUUGUUUCUUGUACUAGACUAACAUCACUGCUAGCAAGAUCAGGAAAAUAUAUUUCCCAUUUUUAAACUUUGCAUAAAUGCAGUUAUCCUCAAUAUUUUCUUUAAAUCUAAAACUUUUAAUCGUUUGAUUAAACUUUAAAUACCACUGCCUAGAGGCUUGCUUUAAUCCAUAAAUGGAUUUCUUCAGGCGGCAUCCCAUAUUCUCCUUGCCUUCCAUGAUAAAACCCUUGGGUUGUUUCAUGUAGACAUUUUCUUUUAAAUCACCAUUCAGAAAUGUUGUAUUAACAUCCAUUUGAUGUAACUCUAAAUCAAAAUGUGCAACUAAUGCCAUUAUGAUUAUGAAGGAAUCCUUACGUGAGACUGGGGAAAAAGUCUCAUUGUAGUAUAUUCCUUCUUUUUGAGUAACUCUUUUUGCCACGAGUCGUGCCUUAUACUUUUCUACAUUCCCGUUAGAGUCAUACUUAAUUUUGUAGACCCAUUUACAGCCUACUGUUUUGGCUCCUUUAGGAAUUUCCUCUAAGUCCCAAACAUCUUUGGAACUUAUCAAUUUCAUCUCGUCUUCCAUUGCCUUCAUCCACUUUGAUGAAUGAGGACUUCUCAUGGCUUCUUCAUAGGAGGUGGGAUCUUUUUUCAUAUGAACCAUUUUUGUGUUAUAAACUUUAAAGUCAAUAGAAAUAGCUGACUUUCUUGGUCUUGUAGACCUUCUAAGGGCCUCAGUUUCUGGCACAUUAUGUGCCUCAACUUCUGGCACUUAUUAUAAAAUUUGCUGCUGCACCUCCCUUUCAUGAUCAACAACGGGUUCAGUCGGCUCCUGAAGGACAGAUUCCGGGUCUACUCCCAUAGUUGUCAUGAGCGGGGUUGCAACUGGUAGUGAGAAAAAUGGCUCCUGAAUUAUCGGAUUAGGUGCAUGCACCCUCUUCUCUUCAAGAUCAAUUUUCCGCCGCUGCAGAAGCCUACUUCCUGCUGCUCAGCUCACAGAGUGACAACAAGGUGAGGCUCAUUAUCUUGGAGCCCCUGCGCGAGCUGUGCACCUCACACCGUCAAAUCAUGGUCCCUUUUGUCAUGGACAUCCUGCACCCGCUUGCCAGCGCUGAUGCUGAUUUGGAUGUCAGAAGCAAGGUUCUGGAUUUGGUGCUUGGUUUGCCCACCGCGCAGAAUGUGGAGAGCGUCGUUUUAUACCUGAAGAAGGAGGUUUUUGAGACAUGUGGGGACGAUCCAUGCUUGUGCCGUAGAGUACCCAAGUGUGGCUGGAUUGGUGAUGCACAUCCUCUUGGAUUUCCUUGUGUAUGGUAGUGACAUUGCUUCAACUUCGGAUGUCAUUAUGUUUGUGCGUCAUGGGGACCGACCCUUUGCUGCAUGUGUCCGCGAUAGUGAGGCUGAUCGAUCGCUAUCUGAGGUCCGGACAGCCAUUUGUACCAUUAUGCCGACACUUGGAGAUUAGCCCUUCAAUAAUGUCUCUCCAAAAAGCGAUGAAUCUAUUUUUGAUUGCGCUCCUACUGGUGGGCCAAAAAAAAUAACGACAAUGAAGGCCGCGCCGCGCUAAAAGUCUAAAGUUGAGCGCACGCUCUAUUACACUGGUAGAAAAAGAGGCUUCCGUCCAGCCCCAUUAGUCGCGAAACUGUAGGAACCGCGACUAAUGAAGUCUUUAGUCGCGGUUCGGCAAACGAACCGCGACCAAAGGCCUGGGCCCAGGGCGCUCGGUGGCCAGCUGGUGCACGUGAGGGGCUUUAGUCGCGGUUGGCCAGGCCAACCGCGACUAAAGGUGCNNNNNNNNNNNNNNNNNNNNNNNNNNNNNNNNNNNNNNNNNNNNNNNNNNNNNNNNNNNNNNNNNNNNNNNNNNNNNNNNNNNNNNNNNNNNNNNNNNNNNNNNNNNNNNNNNNNNNNNNNNNNNNNNNNNNNNNNNNNNNNNNNNNNNNNNNNNNNNNNNNNNNNNNNNNNNNNNNNNNNNNNNNNNNNNNNNNNNNNNNNNNNNNNNNNNNNNNNNNNNNNNNNNNNNNNNNNNNNNNNNNNNNNNNNNNNNNNNNNNNNNNNNNNNNNNNNNNNNNNNNNNNNNNNNNNNNNNNNNNNNNNNNNNNNNNNNNNNNNNNNNNNNNNNNNNNNNNNNNNNNNNNNNNNNNNNNNNNNNNNNNNNNNNNNNNNNNNNNNNNNNNNNNCCCACUGGUAGAAAAAGAGGCUUCCGUCCAGCCCCAUUAGUCGCGAAACUGUAGGAACCGCGACUAAUGAAGUCUUUAGUCGCGGUUCGGCAGACGAACCGCGACCAAAGGCCUGGGCCCAGGGCGCUCGGUGGCCAGCUGGUGCACGUGAGGGGCUUUAGUCGCGGUUGGCCAGGCCAACCGCGACUAAAGGUGCGCAAAGGCCUUUAGUCGCGGUUGGCCAGGCCAACCGCGACUAAAGCUCCUCCCCUAUAUAUACCAGUUCAGCACGCUCACUUAGCCAUUUGGUGCCACUUCUCUUCACAAGCUUCACAAGGGGGUGUAGGUUUGCUUUUGGUUUCUCUUAUGCACACAAGGUGUUUGAUGAAAUGCCCUAAGAGGGUGAAACAAACAUGAUAUGAAGUGUUGGAGCCACACUUGAGGUUCCUCAUUUAUUUUUUCCUCCUCGAUCGCGGUUAGCAACUUGAACCUUUCAUGCAUGUGUGUCAUUGAUAAAAUAUGCAUGUGUGCAGUUCAUUGUUUAAUUUAUAUUGUUUGUAGCUAGUUAGUUUAACAAAUGCAUGAUGGUUAAUUAUAUAUUUUAUAUUAUAAUAAUGCAGAUGAAUCGGCAAUGGAUGUACGGUAACCGACUCUCCGGCGAGUUCACUACGGGUUUGAAAGAUUUCCUCGUAGUGGCUAAUGCGAACAAGCAGGGGGGUUUUGUUAUCUGUCCAUGUGUUAUCUGUAAGAAUCAGAAGGGUUACUCUUCCUCAAGAGAUGUUCACAUGCAUCUGCUUCGGCACGGNNNNNNNNNNUUGCUUUUGGUUCCUCUUAUGCACACAAGGUGUUUGAUGAAAUGCCCCAAGAGGGUGAAACAAACAUGAUAUGAAGUGUUGGAGCCACACUUGAGGUUCCUCAUUUAUUUUUUCCUCCUCGAUCGCGGUUAGCAACUUGAACCUUUCAUGCAUGUGUGUCAUUGAUAAAAUAUGCAUGUGUGUUGUUCAUUGUUUAAUUUCUAUUGUUUAUAGCUAGUUAGUUUAACAAAUGCAUGAUGGUUAAUUAUAUAUUUUAUAUUAUAAUAAUACAGAUGAAUCGGCAAUGGAUGUACGGUAACCGACUCUCCCGCGAGUUCACUACGGGUUUGAAAGAUUUCCUCGUAGUGGCUAAUGCGAACAAGCAAAAGGGUUUUGUUAUCUGUCCAUGUGUUGACUGUAAGAAUCAGAAGGGUUACUCUUCCUCAAGAGAAGUUCACCUGCACCUGCUUCGGCACGGUUUCAUGCCAAGCUAUAAUUGUUGGACCAAGCAUGGAGAAAGAGGGGUUAUAAUGGAAGAAGAUGAAGAAGGGGAUGAUUUCAUCGAUGAAAGCUAUCUUGCUCAUUUCGGUGAUACUUUCAUGGAGGAUGCUGAAGGUGAAGGGGAAGGUGAAGGGGAAGGUGAAGGUGAAGAAGAGGCAUGUGAUGAGACCGUUGAUGAUCUUGGUCGGACCAUUGCUGAUGCACGGAGACGCUGCGAAACUGAAAAGGAGAGGGAGAAUUUGGAUCGCAUGUUAGAGGAUCACAGAAAGUCGUUGUACCCCGGAUGCGAUGAUGGUCUGAAAAAGCUGGGCUGCACACUGGAUUUGCUGAAAUGGAAGGCACAGGCAGGUGUAGCUGACUCGGCAUUUGAAAACUUGCUGAAAAUGUUGAAGAAUAUGUUUCCAAAGAAUAACGAGUUGCCCGCCAGUACGUACGAAGCAAAGAAGGUUGUCUGCCCUCUAGGUUUAGAGGUUCUGAACAUACAUGCAUGCAUCAACGACUGCAUCCUCUACCGCGGUGAAUACGAGAAUUUGAAUGAAUGCCCGGUAUGCACUGCAUUGCGUUAUAAGAUCAGAGGCGAUGACCCUGGUGACGAUGUUGAGGGCGAGAAACCCAGGAAGAGGGUUCCCGCCAAGGUGAUGUGGUAUGCUCCUAUAACACCACGGUUGAAACGUCUGUUCAGGAACAAAGAGCAUGCCAAGUUGUUGCGAUGGCACAAAGAGGACCGUAAGUCGGACGGGGAGUUGAGAAACACCGCAGAUGGAACGCAAUGGAGAAAGAUCGACAGAGAGUUCAAAGAUUUUGCAGCUGACGCAAGGAACAUAAGAUUUGGUCUAAGUACAGAUGGCAUGAAUCCUUUUGGCGAGCAGAGCUCCGCCAUAGCACCUGGCCCAUGACUCUAUGCAUCUACAACCUUCCUCCUUGGUUGUGCAUGAAGCGAAGUUCAUUAUGAUGCCAGUGCUCAUCCAAGGUCCGAAGCAACCCGGCAACGACAUCGAUGUGUACCUAAGGCCAUUAGUUGAUGAACUUUUACAGCUGUGGGGCAGACCUGGUGUCCGUGUGUGGGAUGAGCACAAAAAAGAGGAAUUUAACCUACGAGCGUUGCUUUUCGUAACCAUCAACGAUUGGCCUGCUCUUAGUAACCUUUCGGGACUGUCAAAUAAGGGAUACAAUGCAUGCACGCACUGCUUACAUGAGACUGAAAGUGUACAUUUGCCAAAUUGUAAGAAGAACGUGUACCUUGGGCAUCGUCGAUUUCUUCCGAAAAUUCAUCCAGUAAGAAAGAAAGGCAAGCAUUACAACGGCAAGGCAGAUCACCGGCCGAAGCCUGCAGAACGCACUGGUGCUGAGGUAUUUGAUAUGGUCAAGGAUUUGAAAGUCAUCUUUGGAAAGGGUCCUGGCGGACAAUCAGUUNNNNNNNNNNNNNNNNNNNNNNNNNNNNNNNNNNNNNNNNNNNNNNNNNNNNNNNNNNNNNNNNNNNNNNNNNNNNNNNNNNNNNNNNNNNNNNNNNNNNNNNNNNNNNNNNNNNNNNNNNNNNNNNNNNNNNNNNNNNNNNNNNNNNNNNNNNNNNNNNNNNNNNNNNNNNNNNNNNNNNNNNNNNNNNNNNNNNNNNNNNNNNNNNNNNNNNNNNNNNNNNNNNNNNNNNNNNNNNNNNNNNNNNNNNNNNNNNNNNNNNNNNNNNNNNNNNNNNNNNNNNNNNNNNNNNNNNNNNNNNNNNNNNNNNNNNNNNNNNNNNNNNNNNNNNNNNNNNNNNNNNNNNNNNNNNNNNNNNNNNNNNNNNNNNNNNNNNNNNNNNNNNNNNNNNNNNNNNNNNNNNNNNNNNNNNNNNNNNNNNNNNNNNNNNNNNNNNNNNNNNNNNNNNNNNNNNNNNNNNNNNNNNNNNNNNNNNNNNNNNNNNNNNNNNNNNNNNNNNNNNNNNNNNNNNNNNNNNNNNNNNNNNNNNNNNNNNNNNNNNNNNNNNNNNNNNNNNNNNNNNNNNNNNNNNNNNNNNNNNNNNNNNNNNNNNNNNNNNNNNNNNNNNNNNNNNNNNNNNNNNNNNNNNNNNNNNNNNNNNNNNNNNNNNNNNNNNNNNNNNNNNNNNNNNNNNNNNNNNNNNNNNNNNNNNNNNNNNNNNNNNNNNNNNNNNNNNNNNNNNNNNNNNNNNNNNNNNNNNNNNNNNNNNNNNNNNNNNNNNNNNNNNNNNNNNNNNNNNNNNNNNNNNNNNNNNNNNNNNNNNNNNNNNNNNNNNNNNNNNNNNNNNNNNNNNNNNNNNNNNNNNNNNNNNNNNNNNNNNNNNNNNNNNNNNNNNNNNNNNNNNNNNNNNNNNNNNNNNNNNNNNNNNNNNNNNNNNNNNNNNNNNNNNNNNNNNNNNNNNNNNNNNNNNNNNNNNNNNNNNNNNNNNNNNNNNNNNNNNNNNNNNNNNNNNNNNNNNNNNNNNNNNNNNNNNNNNNNNNNNNNNNNNNNNNNNNNNNNNNNNNNNNNNNNNNNNNNNNNNNNNNNNNNNNNNNNNNNNNNNNNNNNNNNNNNNNNNNNNNNNNNNNNNNNNNNNNNNNNNNNNNNNNNNNNNNNNNNNNNNNNNNNNNNNNNNNNNNNNNNNNNNNNNNNNNNNNNNNNNNNNNNNNNNNNNNNNNNNNNNNNNNNNNNNNNNNNNNNNNNNNNNNNNNNNNNNNNNNNNNNNNNNNNNNNNNNNNNNNNNNNNNNNNNNNNNNNNNNNNNNNNNNNNNNNNNNNNNNNNNNNNNNNNNNNNNNNNNNNNNNNNNNNNNNNNNNNNNNNNNNNNNNNNNNNNNNNNNNNNNNNNNNNNNNNNNNNNNNNNNNNNNNNNNNNNNNNNNNNNNNNNNNNNNNNNNNNNNNNNNNNNNNNNNNNNNNNNNNNNNNNNNNNNNNNNNNNNNNNNNNNNNNNNNNNNNNNNNNNNNNNNNNNNNNNNNNNNNNNNNNNNNNNNNNNNNNNNNNNNNNNNNNNNNNNNNNNNNNNNNNNNNNNNNNNNNNNNNNNNNNNNNNNNNNNNNNNNNNNNNNNNNNNNNNNNNNNNNNNNNNNNNNNNNNNNNNNNNNNNNNNNNNNNNNNNNNNNNNNNNNNNNNNNNNNNNNNNNNNNNNNNNNNNNNNNNNNNNNNNNNNNNNNNNNNNNNNNNNNNNNNNNNNNNNNNNNNNNNNNNNNNNNNNNNNNNNNNNNNNNNNNNNNNNNNNNNNNNNNNNNNNNNNNNNNNNNNNNNNNNNNNNNNNNNNNNNNNNNNNNNNNNNNNNNNNNNNNNNNNNNNNNNNNNNNNNNNNNNNNNNNNNNNNNNNNNNNNNNNNNNNNNNNNNNNNNNNNNNNNNNNNNNNNNNNNNNNNNNNNNNNNNNNNNNNNNNNNNNNNNNNNNNNNNNNNNNNNNNNNNNNNNNNNNNNNNNNNNNNNNNNNNNNNNNNNNNNNNNNNNNNNNNNNNNNNNNNNNNNNNNNNNNNNNNNNNNNNNNNNNNNNNNNNNNNNNNNNNNNNNNNNNNNNNNNNNNNNNNNNNNNNNNNNNNNNNNNNNNNNNNNNNNNNNNNNNNNNNNNNNNNNNNNNNNNNNNNNNNNNNNNNNNNNNNNNNNNNNNNNNNNNNNNNNNNNNNNNNNNNNNNNNNNNNNNNNNNNNNNNNNNNNNNNNNNNNNNNNNNNNNNNNNNNNNNNNNNNNNNNNNNNNNNNNNNNNNNNNNNNNNNNNNNNNNNNNNNNNNNNNNNNNNNNNNNNNNNNNNNNNNNNNNNNNNNNNNNNNNNNNNNNNNNNNNNNNNNNNNNNNNNNNNNNNNNNNNNNNNNNNNNNNNNNNNNNNNNNNNNNNNNNNNNNNNNNNNNNNNNNNNNNNNNNNNNNNNNNNNNNNNNNNNNNNNNNNNNNNNNNNNNNNNNNNNNNNNNNNNNNNNNNNNNNNNNNNNNNNNNNNNNNNNNNNNNNNNNNNNNNNNNNNNNNNNNNNNNNNNNNNNNNNNNNNNNNNNNNNNNNNNNNNNNNNNNNNNNNNNNNNNNNNNNNNNNNNNNNNNNNNNNNNNNNNNNNNNNNNNNNNNNNNNNNNNNNNNNNNNNNNNNNNNNNNNNNNNNNNNNNNNNNNNNNNNNNNNNNNNNNNNNNNNNNNNNNNNNNNNNNNNNNNNNNNNNNNNNNNNNNNNNNNNNNNNNNNNNNNNNNNNNNNNNNNNNNNNNNNNNNNNNNNNNNNNNNNNNNNNNNNNNNNNNNNNNNNNNNNNNNNNNNNNNNNNNNNNNNNNNNNNNNNNNNNNNNNNNNNNNNNNNNNNNNNNNNNNNNNNNNNNNNNNNNNNNNNNNNNNNNNNNNNNNNNNNNNNNNNNNNNNNNNNNNNNNNNNNNNNNNNNNNNNNNNNNNNNNNNNNNNNNNNNNNNNNNNNNNNNNNNNNNNNNNNNNNNNNNNNNNNNNNNNNNNNNNNNNNNNNNNNNNNNNNNNNNNNNNNNNNNNNNNNNNNNNNNNNNNNNNNNNNNNNNNNNNNNNNNNNNNNNNNNNNNNNNNNNNNNNNNNNNNNNNNNNNNNNNNNNNNNNNNNNNNNNNNNNNNNNNNNNNNNNNNNNNNNNNNNNNNNNNNNNNNNNNNNNNNNNNNNNNNNNNNNNNNNNNNNNNNNNNNNNNNNNNNNNNNNNNNNNNNNNNNNNNNNNNNNNNNNNNNNNNNNNNNNNNNNNNNNNNNNNNNNNNNNNNNNNNNNNNNNNNNNNNNNNNNNNNNNNNNNNNNNNNNNNNNNNNNNNNNNNNNNNNNNNNNNNNNNNNNNNNNNNNNNNNNNNNNNNNNNNNNNNNNNNNNNNNNNNNNNNNNNNNNNNNNNNNNNNNNNNNNNNNNNNNNNNNNNNNNNNNNNNNNNNNNNNNNNNNNNNNNNNNNNNNNNNNNNNNNNNNNNNNNNNNNNNNNNNNNNNNNNNNNNNNNNNNNNNNNNNNNNNNNNNNNNNNNNNNNNNNNNNNNNNNNNNNNNNNNNNNNNNNNNNNNNNNNNNNNNNNNNNNNNNNNNNNNNNNNNNNNNNNNNNNNNNNNNNNNNNNNNNNNNNNNNNNNNNNNNNNNNNCAAGACGAUGAAACAAGGAGAAACAUGCACCAUCGAGGUUGUCGACAGUGCAACCGGCAGGCCGCUGGAGCCCCGCAAGAACGCCACCAAGUUUGUCAACCAAUGCGGAGCCGUUGUUAGAGACAACGUCUCGAUCACCGUCCAGGAGUGGAAUAAGCCAAAGAAGGCACGAAUUGCUGGUUUCACUUUUGUCGAUAAGAGAACAAAAAAAGAUUGCUUCAAGAAGCUUAUGGAACAUUUCGUUCUACCUCCGGAAUACAACAAAUUCGAUGAGGAGGGUAACAAGAUUGAGGAAAACAAGGAGAGGAGGAGGCUAGUCAAACAGUUCGCUCUUCAUAAGAUGGCCGACGCAUUCCGGAAAUUCAAGCAAAAUCUAGCCCAUGACUUUGUCAAGCAGAACAAGACUCCGGAUUUCAAAGGACAAUAUGAGAAACUGAAACAUGAUUGGCCAGAAUUUGUGAAGCAAAAGAAAUCAGAGCAGUUCAUUCAAAUAUCGAAAAAAAUUAGGAAAAUGCGGCUAAGAAGGAGUACAAUCAUAUUAUGGGGCCAGGAGGGUAUCACCUUUGGGAGCCUAGGUGGGAGAAGAUGGAGAACGAGCUGAGGGCGCGAGGAAUCCGUCCAGGUACGGAGGGAUGGGACCCAAGGGCCAAAAGCUGGUGGUACGGGCAUGGGGGAACGCUGAACCCGGAGACAGGGGAGUGUGUUUACCGGGGCAAAAUAAUUAAACCCACCCAAGCCCUUAUUGACGCAAUGAGGGAUGCUCAAGAGGGGAAGAUCAAGUUCAACAGAGAGAACGACGCGCUGACAAAAGCCCUCGGGAAUCCUGAACACGGAGGACGUGUAUGAGGCAUGGGGCACAUUCCGUGGAAAAUAGGGUUCCCCCAGAACGAUGACCCGUACGGUUACAGAAGCCGGAAGAGAAAGAUGGAUCGGGAAGCAGAUGUUGUGGUGCGGUUGGCAUCAGAAAUGGAUGUGAUGAAGAAAACCGUGAGUGUACUAGUAGCCGAAAGAGAUGCGGCUCGGGCGCAGCAUGAAGAUCAUCCAGCGGAUCUCAGAAGCCAGCAACGGAGAAGCAGUGUGGCUUCCACGGAGGCCCCACCGGCUGGUGCAGAUGCACCGACGAUCGAAAUUACUGCACCGGAGCCUCUGGUGGUCGAAAUUACUGCACCGGAGCCUCUGGUGGUCGAAAUUACUGCACCGGAGCCUCCUCGCUACCCCGUGGAUGAUAUAAAGGAGAUGAAAGAAUGUCAUCUGUAUUAUCCUAUCGGGAACAUGUCCAUGAAGGUAGCCAUCGGCAGUGCUUUACCAUGUUUACCUAGAGCACUCCACCACAACAACCCCAUUCAAGAUGGCUAUGCUCGUGUCACGGUGGAGGACAUAGUCCAAGGGUUUGAGGACCUGGAGAUUGACAUUGCUACACCUGAAGGGGAGAAAAGACUUGGAGAUGUCAAGCGCCAUUUCAUUCUAUGGCAAAAGAAGUUUAUCAAGUUUCCAGGAGAGGCGCCAAGGACAACAAGUCCACCCCCCUACGGUGGUGGCGGUUCACCUACACCUCCGUCACGUCAGCCGACGCCCCCCAGUCCACAACGUCCGGCGGGUGAUCAGACGCCGCCCCCCAGUCCUCGUCCGGCGGGUGAUCAGAUGCCGCCCCCCAAUCCACCUCCGGCAAAGAAGCAGAAGCAGUCCUGGAUUAUUAACCCGGACCCUUAUGUACCUAAGACCACAAAGGUACCGGAGCCAUCACUGAAGCCUCUCCCCACAAGGCCUUGGGAACGUAGUGCCGAGGAAACUGCCGCGGCCGCGGCUGCUGAUCAUGAGAAAUGGAAGGCGGACUGCAAGAAGAAAAGAGAGCCCGAGCCCAAGCCAGUAUUUUCUGAUGAGCAAAAGAAGUGGGCUAAGUCAUUUUUGAGCACACCGUCCCAAGCCGCGAAGAAUCUGCCUGACGACUAUGCACGUGAACUUUGUAGGCAGGCACUCAUGUUGAAGGAGAAGAAAGAGCGGGCGGAGAACCAGGAGAACAAAGCCUUGGAGGAGGCCGAGAAAACGGAAUUAGAAAGUAAAAAAAGCGGGAAACGAGUUGCCCAGCUCGGGGAACAAAGUAAACAAUCGAUUGCCCCGCUUAUAGUGAAAGCCGCCGGUCCGGAUGACCCCGAUAUCAUAGCAGCUGCGGCAGCACAUGGAUUGACUGUAACGAGUGCCAGAGAACAAGCGGCCAACUUAGGUAUUACUCUUCGUGAACUGUUAGGCCUUGAUGAGGCGCCAGUGAAGGAGGUAGUAAUUACAUAUGUGAAGAAUGGGCCUCUCGUCGAGCCUGCGCAGGAAGAGGAUCUACCUCCACAAAUGAAAGGUCUGCUGAAAUGGUACAAGGGUUACAUAAAAAAUAAAAACGCCAAAGAAUAUAUUUAUGCAGAAGUUAGAUAUGAGCAUCACUUCAAACAUUACUAUGUACAAAUUCAUCUGAGUGAAUUGUUCCAGCUUUUCAAUCUGCGCGAGCUCGACAAAUCUAUCAUCAGUUGCUAUGUUCUGUAAAUGAUUUAUUUCUAACCCAUCUCGUUCAUAUUGCCUGCACUAUAUAUAUGUCCUAACUAUAUUGUUGUGUUCGCUAUUAUACAUGCAGAAUGAAGAUUAAGGAAUGCAGAGUAAGGAACAUCCAUGAUGUUGGGUUCAUUGACCCACACAUCGUUAAUGGAUAUGUGUUGGAGCAUCACCCCGCCGACAUGGAGGCAGACCUGUGGCAGUUUCUUACAAAGCAGGAACUCAAAAGUGAUAUUCUAUUUCCUUACCAUUUUGGGUGAGUGUUUCUGUCUUGAGCACAUUCUCUUUUGUUUACUCCAUGCAUGGUAUGUGGCCGGCUAAUCGAUGAGUUAUGCAUGACGUACUGUGCAUGUAUCGUGUCCGCAGGUUCCACUGGAUUCUGCUAGUAAUUAAAGUUGACACCUCAGAAUGUCUCGUCCACGACUCUCUGAAUAAGGAUCCAAAGCUUUGGGGCGGCAUGAGAAGAAUGCUGNNNNNNNNNNCAUAUUGCCUGCACUAUAUAUAUGUCCUAACUAUAUUGUUGUGUCCGCUAUUAUACAUGCAGAAUGAAGAUUAAGGAAUGCAGAGUAAGGAACAUCCAUGAUGUUGGGUUCAUUGACCCACACAUCGUUAAUGGACAUGUGUUGGAGCGUUACCCCGCCGACGUGGAGGCAGACCUGUGGCAGUUUCUUACAAAGCAGGAACUCAAAAGUGAUAUUCUAUUUCCUUACCAUUUUGAGUGAGUGUUUCUGUCUUGAGCACAUUCUCUUUUGUUUACUCCAUGCAUGGUAUGUGGCCGGCUAAUCGAUGAGUUAUUCAUGACGUACUGUGCAUGUAUCGUGUCCGCAGGUUCCACUGGAUUCUGCUAGUAAUUAAAGUUAACACCUCAGAAUGUCUCGUCCACGACUCUGUGAAUAUGGAUCCAAAGCUUUGGGGCGGCAUGAGAAGAAUGCUGCAGAAGUAAUUAUUUUCAUUCAUUUGCGCUCUAUAUCGAUCGGCCUAUUUCGUUCAUUUCCUAAUAUCAAGUAACUAAUUAAUAACUCUCUUGUUCAUUUAAUUUUCUUUGCCUCGUAGGGUUUGGAGACGGUUCGUAGAUACAAAGGUCGGUGAAUUCANNNNNNNNNNAGUUUCUUACAAAGCAGGAACUCAAAAGUGAUAUUCUAUUUCCUUACCAUUUUGGGUGAGUGUUUCUGUCUUGAGCACAUUCUCUUUUGUUUACUCCAUGCAUGGUAUGUGGCCGGCUAAUCGAUGAGUUAUGCAUGACGUACUGUGCAUGUAUCGUGUCCGCAGGUUCCACUGGAUUCUGCUAGUAAUUAAAGUUGACACCUCAGAAUGUCUCGUCCACGACUCUCUGAAUAAGGAUCCAAAGCUUUGGGGCGGCAUGAGAAGAAUGCUGCAGAAGUAAUUAUUUUCAUUCAUUUGCGCUCUAUAUCGAUCGGCCUAUUUCGUUCAUUUCCUAAUAUCAAGUAACUAAUAACUCUCUUGUUCAUUUAAUUUUCUUUGCCUCGUAGGGUUUGGAGACGGUUCGUAGAUACAAAGGUCGGUGAAUUCAAAAAGAGCUAGAAUUCAAAAGGUCAAAGGCUAAGAAUGGUGAGGAUAUUCAGCCAGCGGGGACCAAUCUAUGUGCAUACUAUGUCUGUGAGAUGAUCCGGAGAUACACCUCUGAGCGGGUUCCGAGUGAUACCAAUGCUCAGAGGAAUAACCUCCGGAUGAUGCUUAGUCCAGAAGCUCGCUUCCGACCACUUCAAGAGGAACUAGCUGGAUGGUUCAGGAGGGAAGUCCUCCAUCCUAAAGGAGAACACCAUUACGAGGACGUAGAACUUUAUAUGCAUUAAAUUAUGUAUGGAAACUUGUUCAAAAUUGUAUAUGGUCAUCCGAUGAUAUUGAAUAUAUAUUGUAUAUUCCUCUUGAAUUCUUUUUGGUUCUAAUUUUAAUUUUGUUUGAAAUUGUACAUUGAUAUGCAUGUAUGUAGUACCGUAGAAUAUGUGAAACUCCUUCAAAAUUAAAAUAAAGCACAAAAGAAAUAAAACAAUACAAAUUAAACAGAAAACAGGUUUAGGGGGGGGCUAAAACCCUAAACCUGCGGCGGCCUUUAGUCGUGGUUGGCCAGAAGAACCGCGACUAAAGGUCCUCCGCCCCGACGGCCGCCUGGCGCCCACGUGGACGGGCCUUUAGUCGCGGUUCUUAAGCAACCGCGACUAAAGGGGGGGGGGCCUUUAGUCGCGCCUAUUUGGUCGCGGUUGCGCAACCGCGACUAAUGGCAGUUGCGAACGCCGACCAAAGGCCCUUUUUCCACCAGUGUUAGUAUGUGUAGUGCUACUUCUUAGUAUUACAUGGAACAAGAAGGACUUCACCUUAUAUAUUGCUCUUCAGCUCCUCUCCCUACCGAGGUGGGACUAAAGCAAUAGCAUGCAUGAACCAAUGCAGCAGUUAGUCUACUGUUGGUUCACAACCACAUGCAUGGGUCACCCGUUUCUCUCAGCGUUAUUGUGCAUGGGCAUGGGCCCUCAAGACCGCUUUGACCAGUACGAUUUCCUUUUCUCCCAGCCGAUGAUGGGCAUGAGCUUGAGCAUGGGUCACAUGCAUGGACUUGUGCGCAUCUACAAACUAAUUAAUUUACCAAAAAAAUCCGAAAACAAAUUAAUUACUAGUCCGUCCCAUAAUAUAAGACGUUUAAGCAAGCUGUUUAUGUGUCUUUUGUGUAUGUCCCUAAGGGCAUGUACAUGUUGCUGCUAUGUCUCGAGCUUGCGUUGGAUUUCCCCGAAGGGGAGAGGAUUGAUGCAGCACAGUAGCGUAAGUAUUUCCCCCAGUUUUUGAGAACCAAUGUAUCAAUCCAGUAGGAGACCACGCGCAAGUCCCUCGUACCUGCACAAAACGAUAGCUACUCGCAACCAACGCUUAGGGGUUGUCAAUCCCUUAGCGGUCACUUACGAGGGUGAGAUCUGAUAGAGAUAAUAUUUUUGAUAUUUUUGAUAUAUAAAGAUGCAAAGUAAAAAGUAAAAGCAAAGCAAGUAAAUAAAUGAUGGAGAUUGAUAUGAUGAGAAUAGACCUAGGGGCCAUAGGUUUCACUAGUGGCUUCUCUCAAGAGCAUAAGUAUUAUACGGUGGGUGAACAAAUUAUUGUUGAGCAAUUGACAGAAUUCAGCAUUGUUAUGAGGUUAUCCAGGCAAUGAUCAUGUAUAUAGGCAUCACGUCCAUGACAAGUAGACCGAAAUGAUUCUGCAUCUACUACUAUUAAUCCACUCAUCGACCGCUAUCCAGCAUGCAUCUAGAGUAUUAAGUUAAAAACAGAGUAACGCCUUAAGCAAGAUGACAUGAUGUAGAGGAAUAAAUUCAUGCAAUAUGAUAAAUACCCCAUCUUGUUAUCCUCGAUGGCAACAAUACAAUACGUGCCUUGCAACCCUUUCUGUCACUGGGUAAGGUCACCGCAAGAUUGAACCCAAAGCUAAGCACUUCUCCCUUUGCAAGAACUAUCAAUCUAGUUGGCCAAACCAAACGGAUAAUUCGAAGAGACUUGCAAAGAUAACUUAAUCAUACAUAAAAGAAUUCAGAGAAGAAUCAAAUAUUUUCCAUAGAUAAGCUGGAUCAUAAACCCACAAUUCAUCGGUCUCAACAAACACACCGCAAAAAGAAGAUUACAUCGAAUAGAUCUCCACGAGAGAGGGGGAGAACAUUGUAUUGAGAUCCAAAAAGAGAGAAGAAGCCAUCUAGAUACUAACUAUGGACCCGAAGGUCUGAAGUAAACUACUCACACUUCAUCGAAGGGGCUAUGGUGAUGAUGUAGAAGCCCUCCAUGGUAGAUGCCCCCUCCGGCGGAGCUCUGGAACAGGCCCCAAGAUGGGAUCUCGUGGAUACAGGAAGUUACGGCGAUGGAAUUAGGUUUUUUACUCCGUCCCUGAUCUGUUGGGGGUACGUAGGUAUAUAUAGGAGGAAGGAGCACUACUAGGAAAAGGCAUGCUAGUGGCGCACCGAAUUUGCCUUCUAAUGGCGCACUACUGGUGCGCCACUGGCAUCACGCCAUUAGAAUUAAAUUCUAAUGGCGCACCACAUGUGCGCCAUUAGUAUCUGGUGUUCUAAUGGCGCACCACGUAGUGCGCCAUUAGUAUAGCCCACAGUGCGCCACUAUUAUCUGCUAUACUUAUAGCGCAGCACAUGGUAGUGCGCCAUUAGUAACAACUUUUUUAAUUCUUUUCUUCUUAAUCUCAGGUCACUAUUUCACAUAUGAGAUAUUCAACACAUAUAUAUAUACAACAAGCAUCCAUAUAGCAAUCAUAUCCAACACACAAGUUUCAUCAUAUAUACAUACAUAGCCAACACAUAGUUCCGUCGUUACAAAAGUUUCACAUUGUUCAUCCAACACCGUUAUCCAUCAAUUCACAAAAAGUUUCACAUUGAUACAAAAUAAAAACACAAAUGGAAAAGAAGCACUCCAUCCACGCAAGCUUCCGUCAAUUAAAUCAAAUCUGCAAAAUGAUAAACAAGAAGUUAGAAGAAGAAAAAGAAGAAGACUAGAAGAAUACUAGAAGAGGAAGAACACUAGAAGAAGAAUAAGAAGAGUUUUGGAAAAGAAGAAGAAUAAGAAGAAGACUAUAAGCUUAUUAUGUAAACUUGAUCAUUUUGUGCUAACAUAAGUUAUUUUGGAGCUAACCUAUAGGAAACUAAGCAUAUAAGGUCUAAGUUAGUAUAUUAGAGCCAACUUAAGUAAAAUGAAGCUAACCUAUGUCAUUUUGGAAAAGAAGAAGAAUAAGAAAAAGACUAUAAGCUUAUUAUGUAAACUUGAUCAUUUUGUGCUAACAUAAGUUAUUUUGGAGCUAACCUAUAGGAAACUAAGCAUAUAAGCUCUAAGUUAGUAUAUUAGAGCCAACUUAGGUAAAAUGAAGCUAACCUAUAGGAAACUAAGCAUAUUAGAGAUAACAUAGGUAACUAAGUAUAUAUAUAUAUAUAUAUAUAUAUAUAUAUAUAUAUCAUUUUGGAUAGCUAACCUAUAGGAGAUCUGACAUACCUGACAAAGUAGGAAGUUCUUCUCCUUCUUCUCCUUCAUCUCCCUGAUGCGCCUAGAGCGGCGAGGCGGUGGAGGCAGUGGAGGUAGUGGGAUGUAGUCUUCUACCACAAUUGGCGUGGUCAUGUCGCCCAGCUGUGGGAUCGCCGGCGCCACCACCGGUGCGUGGUCAUUGUCAGGCACCACCACCAUCGCGAGGCCACCUUCAGGCACGACCAUCGCUAGGUCAUCCUCAGCCACCUCCAUCUCUUGCCCAUGGUCAGCCACCACCAUCUCUUGCCCUUGGUCAGCCACCACCAGCGCUAGGUCAUCCUCAGCCUGAUGCCCAUCGUCAUCAUGCAGCUCCUCAUCCUCACUCUGCUCCUCUUUUCCCGCACUCCAGUCCGGAUCAUCCUUCUUGUUGUCUAUGCUGGUGCCAGAAUCGCUGCUGCUUUCGCUACAGCUAGAAUCGCUGCUGCUUUCGCUACAGCCAUAGUCGCUGCUGCUUUGGCUGUAGCCAGUGUCGCUGCUGCUGCUCCUACCUGUCCAAAAUGCAACAAUGACCGUUAACAAUCGAUGUGAGACAAAGCCAAAUGUAGAGGAAUAAGAAGAGGCCGAACGUACAUACCAGCAUCAUCAUCGGCAGCGUAGCGCAUGCGACACAUAGUCUUGUUGUACACCUUCACGAUGAGCAUGUUGGCGUCGUCGUCGUACCUGAAGACAAGGAAGUACCCCAGCUGCAGGUCGUAGGCACGGUAGAACUUCUCCCACCCACGAGACAAGUACAUGUGGCCCUUCUUGAUCGCCAACUGAACAUCCCACUGCCUGCGAAACCCGCUGCCGGCCUGUCGCAGCUUCACAUUAUUUGGCGGAUCUUCACCCAUCAGCAUGUUCAUAAAACUGUCAGGCAGCGUCUGCAGUUUGGGAAAAUGAGUGAUGUAGCAAACAACAGAUAUCAUAAUGAGAUGGGUGAAGGGGAGAUCUCUCGUUUUAUAUACCAGCGUCAUGGAUGAUACUGAAGCCUCAAGUAUGAUAGUGAAGAACUCGGAAGCAUCCAACUCGUACUGCGGUGUCGCAGAUCGGCGGUGGCUGCUUCCCGCCAUCUCUGAUAAGCAGCAGAAGAGACCAAUUAGUACCCAUGCAUGAUAACAGGCAUUAGUCGCAAGUACCCCAUAUGUCCUAUUUUUAGCAAAGUCAUGCUAAAAUUCACGGAAAAAAAUUUCAGCAUGACCUUUGCUGAAAAUAGGACAUAUGGAGUGCCCGAAUUUGCCGGAACGGAAGUUAAUCGACAUUCCGGCAAACUCAAGGGCCUCUCGGGGUACCUGCAAAUUCAUCACGACACAAUGGUCGGAGACAAAACCCAACAAACUAGCAAGUCUUUCUCAAUGUGAUCACAAGUAAUUUAGAGGCAUCACAAUAAAGCAACACCCUGCACUAGCCUGAAAACAAGUGAAGUUUCACCCAUAUAAGAACAACUUUAUAAAAUCAAAGAAGUUGCUAAAUUUUUUGUAUCCUUCAUACACACUGGAGUACAAUGCUUUAUAAUGUUCCAUCAUCAUUACAGAAAUCCAAGACCAUGUGUUCCAUCAUCAUCAUCAUUACAGAAAUCCAAGAAACAUCAUGCUUUUUAACAGUUUUCAGUUUGGACAGAAUACUGAAAACUACAGUUUGGACAGAAUUCCUAACACUUUGGUCUUCUAGUUACAAAACAAAACUGACAUAAUUCUAGAUGCCAUAACUGAAUUUUUUGACAGUAGCUCAAGUUUUUGACAGUAUCUCCUAACAGUAGCUCCUAACUGAAUUUUCUGCUUAAAGGGAAGGCUGACUUAAGUGGCAAGAUGAUACAAUUUGCGUAACAUAACAAUAUAUGCAUCUUAAUAUAACACCAUCUCCUAACAGAAAUAGUAUCCCAGGUUUCCAUCUUAAUACCACAAAGAAUUACAUAAAAAAAUCCAGGAUCAUUUUUUCUAGAGAAAAGCAUCAUUAUAAGGGGCCUGGCCUUCAAACUAACCAAUUUCCGAGGCCUGGCCUUCUUCAUAGGAGAAUCUGAAUUAGUUCAAAUUCAAAAUUUAUCACUUUGCAGAUAAUAAAUCAAAUCCACAGUACAAUCUAAAAUGACAAGAAACAGAACUCAGUUUUUCCAAUCUAUAUGCCACUGGAUGAAGGUCAACAUCUAUGAAUUAACUCAAUCCCUGAAGCAACUAGUUGGAACUUGCAAGCGCAUGUACUCUACUACUACCUAGCAACAGGGCAGUCCUGCAGUUCUUGUUGUUUGCCGCAAGAUGAAACUUAUUAAGCAUUCUUCCUAGACAUCAUUAAUGGAACAACCGAACUGAAUCUUCAAUCACAUCCAUUGCACCUUCCCUGGAGAACAAUGCCCUCAUCUAUUUUACCAUCUCAGAAAGUUCACGGUCUAUUUUCCUAUCCCAGGCUGAGCAACUAACACAACCUUCUCAUGUUCACCGCUAGAAAGUAGAAACAUCCCAUCUCUAAUGAAAAUAUAGCACAGUUUCAAAAAGAAAACAAACAAAAGUAGCAGGAACUCUGAUUCUCCUAUAUAGUUACAAAAAAUGCAGUACAAAAAUGCAGUGCAAUUUGAAUCGUGAACCCUAACUUUUGGAGCAUGUGCUUUCUGUCUUGAAAUUCCUUUUGGAGCAUCGGUUGGAAGGAAUGGGGAAUGGUGGAGAGAGGGAGGAAGGAGGAUGGAGGAGAGGUACCUGGUCGCUGGAGGGGUCGAAGUCAGGGUCGGCGAAGGGGUCGGGGUCGGGGUCCGAGCUCGUCCGGGUCCUCGCUCACCGCGGUCGAAGGAGAGCAGGGGCCGGUGGCGGAGGAUGGCAGGGGCAGGCCGGGUGGGCACGUCGGGGCCGCGCUCGCCGUCUGCUGCAGGGGACGGAGGAGGCCCUCGCUCGUCGGAGGGAGGAGGAGAGGAGAGGAGUGGGCGGCGCGCGCUCGGCCGAUCCCAUCCGGGGGGCGCGGGGGCGGCGGGGGUGGACUCCUGCGGGGGUCGGGGCGGCGGCAUCGGGGCAGCGCAAGACCACAGCGGCGGCGGCGGCACCGACGUCGUGCAGGCGCGACGGACGGAGGGGCGGAGCAAGGGAGCGGCGGCGUACGGUUGGGUCGAGUGGAUCUGGCGAGGGAGGGAGGGAGGCAACAGUGAGAGGGGGACAGGUGAACUGGGGAGAGGGAUCUAAUGGCGCACGCAACCAUAGUGCGCCAUAAGUACAACCACUCUAAUGGCGCACCCCGCGACGGUGCGCCAUUAGAAUUUAUCAAAAUAAAAAUAAUUUUUUUAAAAAUAUCAUCAAAUUUGUUAUUUGAAAAUAUUUAUGAAUAUGAAAAAAUAUCAUCAAAUUUAUUAUUUGAAAAUAUCAUCAAAUUUCUUAUUUGGAAAUAUAAUCAAAUUUGCUUUUUUUGCAAUUUUAGUUGCAUCCAUUUGUGACGGUGGAGCGGGCCGGGGAGGGUGCGGGGGAGAGGGUGCGAUGGGACGUCGGCGGCGGUGGAGUGGGGAAGGGUGCGGGGGGUCGGCGGCGGCGGUGGAGUGGGGAGGGUGCGGGCAGGGGGUCGGCGGNNNNNNNNNNNNNNNNNNNNNNNNNNNNNNNNNNNNNNNNNNNNNNNNNNNNNNNNNNNNNNNNNNNNNNNNNNNNNNNNNNNNNNNNNNNNNNNNNNNNNNNNNNNNNNNNNNNNNNNNNNNNNNNNNNNNNNNNNNNNNNNNNNNNNNNNNNNNNNNNNNNNNNNNNNNNNNNNNNNNNNNNNNNNNNNNNNNNNNNNNNNNNNNNNNNNNNNNNNNNNNNNNNNNNNNNNNNNNNNNNNNNNNNNNNNNNNNNNNNNNNNNNNNNNNNNNNNNNNNNNNNNNNNNNNNNNNNNNNNNNNNNNNNNNNNNNNNNNNNNNNNNNNNNNNNNNNNNNNNNNNNNNNNNNNNNNNNNNNNNNNNNNNNNNNNNNNNNNNNNNNNNNNNNNNNNNNNNNNNNNNNNNNNNNNNNNNNNNNNNNNNNNNNNNNNNNNNNNNNNNNNNNNNNNNNNNNNNNNNNNNNNNNNNNNNNNNNNNNNNNNNNNNNNNNNNNNNNNNNNNNNNNNNNNNNNNNNNNNNCAAACUUGUUUAAAUCAUAACAGUAAUAUUUUUUAUGCAUUUUAAAUGUUGUUUUUUAUAUUUAUUUGUGUUUAAAUAUGUUCAAACUUGUUUAAAUUAUAACAAUAAUAUUUUUUAUAAAAAUAGUAAAAAAAAUUUAAAAAAUAUGUUCAAAAAGUGCGGGUGCGGGGGCCGGGUGCUCCGGCGGUGGAGCGGGGGAGGGUUGCGAUGGGUGGAGCUAGCGGGGGAGGGUGCGGGUGCGAUCGAGAUGGAGGGGGAUCGAGAUCGAGAUGGAGGGGGAAUCGAGAUCAAGUGUCCUCAUGAAUUCAAAAAGUGCCCACGAAAUUUAAAAAUAUUCAUGAUAUCAAAAAGUGCCCAUGAAAUACAAUCGAGAAAUGAAGACUACGAUUUAAAGUGCCCAUUAGUAGUUUUGCAAAAAAAGAAUAAAACAAAAUUUACAGUAAUGGCGCACUGCCUGCUCGGUGCGCCAUUAGUAGUUAUAGAUAGUAAUGGCGCAUGAUGGACCAGAUGCGCCAUUAGUAUGUAUGGGAAAAUGGAAAAAAUAAUAAUUCAUACUAGUGGCGCACCCUGUUUACGGUGCGUCAUUAGUGUCUUCCACACUAAUGGCGUAUCACAAGCAGGUGCGCCAUUAGUAUAUAGUAGUGGCGCACUGCUUCCACGGUGCGCCAUUAGAAUCAAUCCUAUCUAUAGCCCUUUUCCUAGUAGUGCAAGUACGUCGGUGGAGCGUCAGGGACCCACGAGGCAGGGGGCGUGCCCAGGGGGAGGGCGCGCCCCCCACCCUCGUGACCGCCUCUGGCACUUCUUGGAGUAGGGUCCAAGUCUCCUGGAUCACGUUCGGUGAGAAGAUCACGUUCCCGAAGAUUUCAUUCCGUUUGGACUCCGUUUGAUAUUUCGUUUCUUUGAAACACUGAAAUAGGCAAAAAAACAGCAAUUCUGGGCUGGGCCUCCGGUUAAUAGGUUAGUCCCAAAAAUAAUAUAAAAGUGGAAAAUAAAGCCCAUUAUAGUCCAAAACAAUAGAUAAAGUAGCAUGGAGCAAUCAAAAAUUAUAGAUACGUCGGAGACGUAUCAGGCAUCUCCAAGCUUAAUUCCUGCUCGUCCUCGAAUAGGUAAAUGAUAAAAAGAAAUUUUUUGAUGCGGAGUGAUACUUUGGCAUAAUUUCAAUGUAAAUCUUCUUAAUUGUGAUAUGAAUAUUCAGAUCCGAAAGAUUCAAGACAAAAGUUCAUAUUGACAUAAAAAUAAUAAUACUUCAAGCACACUAAUCAAAAUAAUUAUGUCAUAUCAAAAUAACAUGGCCGAAGAAAGUUCAUCCCUACAAAAUCAUAUAGUUAGGCUAUGCUUCAUUUUCGUCACACAAAGAUGUUCCCAACUUCUAUACACCCGAUGACAAGCCAAGAAAUUGUUUCAUACUUAAAUAAUCUCAAACUUUUUCAACCUUCACGCAAUACAUGAACGUGAGCCAUGGAUAUAGCACUAUGGGUGGAAUAGAAUAUGAUGAUGGGGAUUGUGUGGAGAAGACAAAAAAGGAGAAAGUCUCACAUUGACGAGGAUAAUCAACGGGCUAUGGAGAUGCCCAUCAACUGAUGUCAACAUGAGGAGUAGGGAUUGACAUGCAAUGGAUGCACUAGAGCUAUGAAUGCUCAACAAAAGAAAACUAGUGGGUGUGCAUCCAACUUGCUUGCUCAUGAAGACCUAGGGCAUUUGAGGAAGCCCAUCGUAGGAAUAUACAAGCCAAGUUCUAUAAUGAAAAAUUCCCACUAGUAUGAAAAAGACAACUUAUGAGACACACUAUGUGAAAAACAUGGUGCUACUUUGAAGCACAAUAUAUGAGACUCACUACAUGAAGAACGAGGUGCUACUUUGAAGCACAAAAUAUGAGACUCACUGCAUGAAAAACAUGGUGCUACUUUGAAGCACAAGUGUGGAAAAAGAGAUAGUAGCAUUGCCCUUUUUUAUGGGCCUUCUUUUUUUGGCCUUUCUCCUUUUUUUUAUUUGGGCAAUGCUCUAAUAAUGAUGAUCAUCACACUUCUAUUGAUUACAACAUGAGGAUUACAACUCGAAACUAGAACAAGGUAUGACUCUAUAUGAAUGCCUCUGGCGGUGUACCGGGAUGGUGCAAUGAAUCAAGAGUGACAUGUAUGAAAAAUAAUGCAAGGUGGCUUUGCCACAAAUACGAUGUCAACUAGAUGAUCAUGCAAUGGCAGUAUGACAAAAGUAAUGUAUGUCAUAAUAAUGAUGAACGGAACGGUGGAAAGUUGCAUGGCAAUAUAUCUCGGAAUGGCUAUGGAAAUGCCAUAAUAGAUAGGUAUGGUGGCUAUUUUGAGGAAGAUAUAGGGAGGUUUAUGUGUGAUAGAGCGUAUCGUAUCAUGGAGUUUGGAUGCACCGGCGAAGUUUGCGCCAACUCUCAAUGUGAGAAAGGGCAAUGCACGGUACCGAAGAGGCUAGCAAUGGCAAAAAGGUAAAAGUGCGUAUAAUCCAUGGACUCAACAUUAGUCAAAAGAACUCAUAUACUUAUUGCAAAAAUUUAGAAGUCAUCAAAAAUCAAGUACUACGCGCAUGCUCCUAGGGGGAUAGAUUGGUAGGAAAAGAUCAUCACUCGUCCCCGACCGCCACUCAUAAGGAUGCACAAGCCAGGUACACUUCAUGUUUCAAAUUUGUUACACAACUUUAACCAUACGUGCAUGCUACGGGACUUACAAACUUCAACACAAGUAUUUCUCAAAUUCACAACUACUCAACUAGCAUGACUUUGAUAUUAUUACCUCCAUAUCUCAAAACAAUUAUCAAGCAUCAAACUUAUCUUAGUCUUCAACGCACUCAAAAAGAAAGUUUCACAUAUCUUGAACACCAAGUAUAUUAACAUUAAGCAAAUUACCAUGCUAUUAACGAUUCUCAAAAUAAUCUAAGUGAAGCAUGAGAGAUCAAGUUUCUUUAAAACAAAUCCACCACCGUGCUCUAAAAGAUCUAAGUGAAGCACUAGAGCAAAAAAAUAUUACGCUCAAAAAGAUAUAAGUGAAGCACUAUGAGCAACUAUCAAGCUCAAAAGAUAUAAGUGAAGCACAUAGAGUAUUCUAUCAAAUUACAAAUCAUGUAUGGCUCUCUCAAAAGGUGUGUACAGCAAGGAUGAUUGUGGUAAACUAACAAGCAAAGACUCAAAUAAUACAAGACGCUCCAAGCAAAACACAUAUCAUGUUGGUGAAUAAAAAUAUAGCUCCAAGUAAAUUACCGAUGGAAAUGGACGAAAGAGGGGAUGCCUUCCUAGGCAUCCCCAAGCUUUGAUUUUUUGGUGUCCUUGGAUAUCUUUGGGGUGCCAUGGGCAUCCCCAAGCUUAGGCUCUUGCCACUCCUUGUUCCAUAAUCCAUCAAAAGAAUUCACACAAAACUUGAAAACUUCACAACACAAAACUCAAUAGAAAUCUUGUGAGCUCCAUUAGAGAAAGAAAACAAAAGACUACUUUUAGCUACUGUAAUGAACUCAUUAUUUAUUUAUAUUGGUGUUAAACCUACUGUAUUUCAACUUCUCUAUGGAUCAUAAACUAUUUUACAAACCAUAGAUUCAUCAAAAUAAGCAAACAACACACGCAAAAUAGAAUCUGUCAAAAACAGAACAGUCUGUAGUAAUCUGUAACUAACGCAAACUUCUGGAACUCUAAAAUUCUACCAAAAUAGGAAGUACUGUACAAUAUGUUUAUUGAUCAGCAGCAAAAAGAAUCAAUGCAAAAGCUCGUUCCUGUGAUUUAUUGAAUUUUUUCUCGUGAGCGCAAAGUUUCUGUUUUUCAGCAGAAUCAAAUCAACUAUCAUCGUAGGUUAUCCUAUAGGUCCUACUUGGCACAAACACUAACUAAAACAUAAAACCACAUCUAAACAUAAAGUAGAAACAAAAUUUAACACUAAACAGGAACAAAAACAAAUAACACAAAAUAAAAUUGGGUUGCCUCCCAACAAGCGCUAUCGUUUAACGCCCCUAGCUAGGCAUAAAAGCAAGGAUAGAUCUAGGUGGUACCGUAGUAAUAAGAUAAAUCGGUGAAACUCAUUUCAUAUUCUCUACGUUCGGCAGCAAGUUUCCUUUGAGGCAAGAAAAAGUAAUCAAAAGGGCUAAAUUUAAUAGGACAAAAGUCCCCAAGAUCAAUUUUAGGAGGUAUAGGUUCCUCUUUCGGCCCUUCGUAUUGCACAACCAAUUCAUCAUUAUAAGCAUUCUUUUGACAGAACUUGGUAAGCCUAUACUCAAGAGAGCAUCCUAGCUCAUUAUUUCGAAUAACCAAAUCAUCAUUAAGCUCAGAGAUUCUAUCAAUUAAAAUAUUGGUAGGCACUUUUUUUCUAAGAUUUUUAUUGAAAGCAACAUAGUCGAUAGAUUGAAAACGCAUUAUUUCUUCUUGAUCAAAAAGGAUAGAUUCUAUGGGAGGACGGCCAUCGUCCACCCUAUAAUGCGCAAAGAUUUAUUUGGCUUCUUUUAUUAUAAAUCUGAAUUUAUGAGCCAAAAAGGUAGUAGCGGCACGCUUAACAGAGGAGUGUUCAAUAUUAGAAAAUUCUAGGAAAAUUCUUUGUAUAGAAGGGUGCAUAUGCAUAAAUUGCCUUUCAAGUUCAACGAUAAGCAUGGAAAUAGCGUCCGCAAGACUACUAGUUCUAUGGAGAAUAGAACCACCCAUAGAGGGUAAAGCAUCAGCACAAGUAAAGAAAUCUUGAAUAACUCCUUUUCCAAUAAUAUUACCACUACCGAUUUGAAAUCUUUUUGUGUGAUAGGUAGGGGGUUGUUCAGCAGGAGCUUCAGAAUUUUCCAUAUUAUUAUCACCCAUAUCGGCGAUAAUUUCCCCAAUUUCAUACAUAGCGACAAGCAAGCAAACUAACACACGAGCAAACAAAAGGCAAAGGGAAAAAGAGGAGGAGAUUGGGGAUGAGAGGGCGAAUAAAACGGCAAAGGUGAAGUGGGGGAGAGGAAAACGAGAGGCAAAUGGCAAAUAAUGUAAUGUGAGAGAUAGGGAUCGCGAUGGGUACUUGGUAUGUUGACUUUUGCGUAAGCCUCCCCGGCAACGGCGCCAAAAAUUCUUCUUGCUACAUCUCGAGCUUGUGUUGGAUUUCCCCAAAGAGGAGAGGAUUGAUGCAGCACAGUAGCGUAAGUAUUUCCCUCAGUUUUUGAGAACCAAGGUAUCAAUCCAGUAGGAGACCACGCGCAAGUCCCUCGUACCUGCACAAAACGAUAGCUACUUGCAACCAACACUUAGGGGUUGUCAAUCCCUUCACGGUCACUUACGAGGGUGAGAUCUGAUAGAGAUAAUAUUUUUGGUAUAAAGAUGCAAAGUAAAAAGUAAAAGCAAAGCAAGUAAAUAAAGUGAUGGAGAUUGAUAUGAUGAGAAUAGACCCGGGGGCCAUAGGUUUCACUAGUGGCUUCUCUCAAGAGCAUAAGUAUUCUACGGUGGGUGAUGAAAUUACUGUUGAGCAAUUGACAGAAUUGAGCAUAGUUAUGAGGUUAUCCAGGCAAUGAUCAUGUAUAUAGGCAUCACGUCCGUGACAAGUAGACCGAAACGAUUCUGCAUCUACUACUAUUACUCCACUCAUCGACCGCUAUCCAGCAUGCAUCUAGAGUAUUAAGUUAAAAACAGAGUAAUGCCUUAAGCAAGAUGACAUGAUGUAGAGGAAUAAAUUCAUGCAAUAUGAUAAAUACCCCAUCUUGUUAUCCUCGAUGGCAACAAUACAAUACAUGUCUUGCAACCCUUUCUGUCACUGGGUAAGGUCACCGCAAGAUUGAACCCAAAGCUAAGCACUUCUCCCAUUGCAAGAACUACCAAUCUAGUUGGCCAAACCAAACGGAUAAUUCGAAGAGACUUGCAAAGAUAACUUAAUCAUACAUAAAAGAAUUCAGAGAAGAAUCAAAUAUUUUCCAUAGAUAAGCUGGAUCAUAAACCCACAAUUCAUCGGUCUCAACAAACACACCACAAAAAGAAGAUUACAUCGAAUAGAUCUCCACAAGAGAAGGGGAGAACAUUGUAUUGAGAUCCAAAAAGAGAGAAGAAGCCAUCUAGCUACUAACUAUGGACCCGAAGGUCUGAAGUAAACUACUCACACUUCAUCGGAGGGGCUAUGGUGAUGAUGUAGAAGCCCUCUGUGGUAGAUGCCCCCUCCGGCGGAGCUCUGGAACAGACCCCAAGAUGGGAUCUCGUGGAUACAGGAAGUUACGGCGGUGGAAUUAGGUUUUUGGCUCCGUCCCCGAUCUGUUGGGGGUACGUAGGUAUAUAUAGGACGAAGGAUGACGUCGGUGGAGCGUCAGGGGGCCCAUGAGGUAGGGGGGCGCGCCCAGGGGGGAGGGCGUGCCCCCCACCCUCAUGACCUCCUCUGGCACUUCUUGGAGUAGGGUUCAAGUCUCCUGGAUCACGUUUUGUGAGAAGAUCACGUUCCCGAAGGUUUCAUUCCGUUUGGACUCCGUUUGAUAUUCCGUUUCUUUGAAACACCGAAAUAGGCAAAAAAAUAGCAAUUCUGGGCUGGGCCUCCGGUUAAUAGGUUAGUCCAAAAAUAAUAUAAAAGUGGAAAAUAAAGCCCAUUAUAGUCCAAAACAAUAGAUAAAGUAGCAUGGAGCAAUAAAAAAUUAUAGAUACGUUGGAGACGUAUAAGCUGCCCCGGCCCUCCACGUAGGCAAAAUGAAUUGAGGCAUUCGGUCAGAUUUUUAAUCCCCUAAUGCAAUGACGUGAAGCCACCAUCUCCUUGGAGCCCACACACACACACACACACACUCUCUCUCCAAACUAUUCCCACCACAACUCAUCUGCACGCAUCUUCUUCCUCCAAAUGGCAAUCCUCCUUGAAAAAUCUACCAAUCAUUUGCUCCGAGAGCAGCAUCAACCUCAUGGCAACGCUAGCGAGCCCGCGCCACCGGGCUGGACCUAGUUUUCGAUCUCUUGGUGCCAGCCAUGGCGACCCCGAGCUUGCACCUUCCGCCAUGGCGACCCUGAGCUCGCACCUUCCUCCAUGGCUACGCCACCGCGCUCGAGGUGUCGACUAUGGCAUCGAGGUCCACCUCACUCACCCUAUGCUCGCGACCUAGAGCUCAUACUUCAGCGUUUGGCAAGUACAGGAACUUUCUCCUUUCCCCAUUCUCUUACCUUUUCUUGUUUUUUCGCUUAAAGAAGCGGUCUCCUCUGCAGAAUCCCGUUUUGGUCUGCAAGCUAUCACUCUAGCACCACGCUGGCACCCGAGCCUAGUUGGCCUGCGGGGUUAACCAUUGGUCAUGCCCUAAUACAAUUCAUCACUAGAUACUGACGGUGCGCGUUGUUGCGCCCGUCCAUUUUGCCAAUAGUAUGGUUUGAGCUCAUAAAAAUAUAUGAAUAUAUAAUUCAUAAUUGAUUGCCGUUAAAGUAUUGUCAUACAUGAUUUAUCACCAACCUGUGCUGUGUUUUUUGCGGAAACAUGUGUUGUUUAUUAUUAGAAAAUUUGAAUGAAAACAAUGUAAUCAAUGCUCUGGCCUUUAUAGUUUUUGAUUUUGUAAAGAGCGAGAAAAAAGCAACAAUGUUUGAAUUACGUAACAUGAUUGGCGGCAUAGAUAACACAAGCUCUCGGGCACAAAUGAGUGAAAUGACCAAUUACUUGGUGUGCGUCACAUAUGAGCAGACUUUAAGGAGGAAUAAUUUUACUAAAUAUAUGGAAAAUCUGUUCUAAAUGUGCAAGCAAUGUAGAGGGGUAAUUCAUGUACAACAUCACGACACAGGUUGAUUUAAUAGGAUAGACAUGUCGUAAUUUUAGGGACCAAGGUGAUGGUUCCCAACAAUUUCUGUCGAAUAGCAUGGAGAGCCAAAUCAGGCUACAAUUGCAUAAUAUGGUUAUUAGGAAGGAACAAAUGUUACAAACGUGCAGCAGGUAUACUAUGCAUGUCACAUUUAGGUAUAUUCUAUAUUUCUCUCUCUCUCUCUCUCUCUCUCUCUCUCUCUCUCUCUCUCUCUUUACCUUUAGAAACAUCAAUGAAUAUGGAGAUUCAUUUCCCAGCUAUAGCACUUCAAUAUAUUGCUGGUUGUACACUUAAAAGACCAUUAUCGUAGUAUAAAAUUAUUUUCUAAUCAACUGCUUGUCUAUGCUCCUUUCAUGAACUGUUCAUAUGCUAUCAUGGCCGAAGAACCAAUUAAUGGUGUAUGCAUCUUUGUCACUUUUUGGCAUAAUUAUUUUCAGAUAUAUGGUCACUAGUAGAAAAAGGGUCAAACGUGAAGCACAUUAGUGCCGGUUUGAUUUUGGCCCGGUACUAAUGGUACCAUUAGUGCCGGUUCGAACGGAUUUGCAUUAAUGCCGGUUCGUGUUGAACCUUUAGUACCGGUUCGUGGCACGAACCGGUACUAAAGGGGUAGUGGCAGGCUGGCGUCAGGCCGGGGCCCCAUGAUCACCUUUAGUACCGGUUCGUGGUACGAACCGGUACUAAAGGUCUAACCUUUAGUACCGGUUCGUGCCAUGAACCGGUACUAAAGGGGUCUGNNNNNNNNNNNNNNNNNNNNNNNNNNNNNNNNNNNNNNNNNNNNNNNNNNNNNNNNNNNNNNNNNNNNNNNNNNNNNNNNNNNNNNNNNNNNNNNNNNNNNNNNNNNNNNNNNNNNNNNNNNNNNNNNNNNNNNNNNNNNNNNNNNNNNNNNNNNNNNNNNNNNNNNNNNNNNNNNNNNNNNNNNNNNNNNNNNNNNNNNNNNNNNNNNNNNNNNNNNNNNNNNNNNNNNNNNNNNNNNNNNNNNNNNNNNNNNNNNNNNNNNNNNNNNNNNNNNNNNNNNCUUCAAAAAAUAAAAUUCUUCGAGAGGUAGUUAUAUUACUACAUCUACUAGUUAGGAAAAUUUGAAAACUACAAUUUGGACAUGUUUUGCAAAAAGUGUAGGGAAAAUGUAAAACGGCUACAACUUUUGCAUACGAUGUCGGAAAAAAACGUAUAAUAUAUCAAAAACUUCAGCACGAAAAUCCGCAUCCGAUGGAGACUGCCUACCGCCUGUUUGGGAUUUUUAGAAUCCUCAAAUUCCAAAAGGAAAAAAAGAUAUGGUCAAAUUUCAGUUUUUUAAAAAAAAUUGGUUAAAUCUGGUCAAACUACUUAUUCAAGAAGUAUUAAUGUUACUACAUAAUUAUUCAAGAAUAUUAGUGUUACUAAAUAAUUAUUUCAAUUUUUUGAAUUUUUGUCAAAUCUGGUCAAACUAUGGUCAAACUGUGGUCAAACUAUGGUCAAAUUGUGGUCAAAUUAUGGUCAAACUUAUUCAAGAAAUAUUAGCGUUACUAAAUAAUUACUGUUUUUUAGAAUAAUAGUUUCAAACUCAAACGGUGAAAUGUGUGACUUCAUGCUCAAGCUAAACUCCUGAGAAUUAAUAGGAUUGACAUCGUGCUAGAGUAGUGAAGGAAAAACAACAAGUGCAGACUCGGAAACGAAGGAGAAUAGAACCCGAAAGUUAAGCAUGCUCGGGCUAGAGUAGUGAGAGGGAUGGGUGACCGGCCGGGAAGUUAGAUGAUUUGGAAUGAGUGAUCCACACUUGAGCAGUUAAGAGAGGUGAUUAGAGAAUAAAUCAUCAAAUAAUUCAGAAAAAUUAAAAAUCAAAAAAAAAAUCAAUUUUUUUUUCCAAAAUUUUUUCAAAAAAAAAACCUUUAGUACCGGUUGGUAACACCAACCGGUACUAAAGGUCCCCCAUACCAGGGCGCGAGCUCACGCCACGUGGUGGCACUUUAGCGCCGGUUCGUGCCGAACCGGUACUAAAGGGGGGGGGGCUUUAGUGCCCACACUAAAGGCCCUUACGAACCGGCGCUAAAGCUCCGUUUUCUACUAGUGGGUGCUCGUCCAAACACAAAGAAUAUAAAUUUGAACAAAGACCAAUAGCUCAUAAAAACAAUAAAAGCAUACGGUGAUUUUGCAUAUUACAUGCCGAAGAAUUCAGGUAAAAAUUGAGGGUGUUCGCUUCCUUUCGUAACAGUGAUAUCAUUGUUGCUGUUGAGAUUGUCCAUAAGGUUGCGCUCAAGGAAUUUAUGGCACAAUAGGUAGUGCAAGAAAAAGUAAGAGACCAUACAGAAAAUGUGAUUUCAACUUGGAUUAUGCAAAAUCACAGGGCACAUUAUACCUUCAUCUAACAUUAUGGCCUUAUCGAUUUAUAAAAUCUGAUAUGCCUGACUGGAUAUCAAAUUCCAAAUGUCCUGGAUGUGAAGACAUCCCUAAUGGCUUACUUCUAUACUCUGCACUCUAAAGUGCAACGGACUAAGCAUAUUUCUUGGAAGGAACAAAAAUAAAUAAUUGCAGGGAACAAACAGAGCUAACCUCCCAGGAGCCAUGUACAAACUUCUGUGAGAGCAGGGUGCAGCUAAUCAAACCACACCUCUAUUCGUCAUUGAAGCCCAUGCGACAUUAAAAGAAAUAGAUCCCGCGGCUACAUAUGCCUAUUAGAGCAGAUCCGACAACUGAAAACAUGGAUUGCAUGUUGGAAGAGUCACCACACUUCUGGCGCUUGCUUGGACCCAUGCCCGUGAGGGUGGCGAUGGCAUCAACACUAAUGUUAUCAUACAUAACUAACCGAUACCAAACUGGAAGAAAGUUGACUGAAUUACCUUGUCCACUUUGUCUAUGGCCGAAGGAGCCUGCACACGUGAAGAACACUAAGCUUCAUUCCUUGGCUAGGACUAUGUGCAUCUGCUGCUUAGAAAUUGGAUGUAUCUGCAGAUAGAAAUGGUAAUACAACCAGGAACCCUCCCAAUUACAUGAAAUGAAAAAUCAAAUAUCCACAUUAGAAUCCCCACAUUUGAAACUAAAUAUGCACGACAUUAAAAAAAUAGUUGCAUAACUGACCUGAAAAUUAGUAUUGUAAUUUCGAAACUCAACCACAAUACCUUGUACCAAAAAAUCUUACAUGUGACAUGAAAGGGGAAGGGAAACAUGGAUGCUUACUGAUCACCCGGGCAACGAACACAACGACUACAAAAAUUGGUAUAAACGGAGGGAUAAUCCUAAUGCUUGGUCAUUGUUAAAGUCAGAAUCGACAUUAGCAGCCUUGGUCAUGAACUGGAAUUAGGUGGGCAGGGCAGAGUUCUGCAAUACACCUUAGCAGUUGUCCUUCUCCCUGCUGGCGGCUGUCAAAUGCAUCAACGGCUGGCCAUCAAACUGGAAUAAGGACACCAUACAUGGUCUCAAAUGCAUGGACGGAGGGUUGUCAAACUGAAAUCAAGAUACGAGACCUCCCUCAAAACUGUAGGCAUCUGCAUAAGAGAGGGACGAGUUGUACCUGCCGGGGAAGACACACGGUGUGGAGUGAAAGUAGAAGCGCAAGACGCUGAUUCUACCAAUGCUGCAAUAGCGAGUCGCGGUGGGGCGUGUCUCGCGCUGAACAGCCGCACCACCGCUUCCCAUUCCCUUGCCAGAGAUUGUAUCGAUCUAUCGGCCUCUCACCACACACGAUCCUUCCGCGCCGUGCAACUGAACCGGACGAGGCAAUCGAGGUGACCCCGCGCUGUCGCCCGGUGAGGCCCUGUCCGAACCCAGUGCAGUCGCCAUGGGAUCCGUAGCUCCGACUUUAGUGGCGACCCCAGGUCGUCCGUCCAUGGGAAGAGCCGCCAUGCGAGGGGGAGGAUGGGAGGCGAACGAUGGCCUCGCCACGUAGCGGAGGCUGCAACGGGCUCAUUAGGCCCAAUUAACCUGAGUUGCCCAAAAAAGCCACCAGAGCAGCGGCCCAGGACGGGACGCGAUCGUUGAUAGCGAGUGAUUAGUAACGAUUCACAAUAAAUCUGACGGUCAAAAAUGCUCAAAAUCGAUGAUCCAACGGAUAUAAACGCUAAUGGCCUGAGAGGGCUGUAAAAGUGCUCGGUUAUAAUAUAUCUGACGGUCAAAAAUGCUCAAAAUCGAUGAUCCAACGGAUAUAAACGCUAAUGGCCUGAGAGGACUGGAAAAGUGCUCGGUUAUAAUAUAUCUAAAUGGGAUAGGUAGUAGUCAAGGUUCUACCAUUAGUUUCCUUUCCUUUCUUUUACACCGGAUGGUACUGCUAUUUGAUUCCUCUUCACAAAGAAAUGGCCUCCACAACUAUGUCUAAGAUCGCCCACACACAAACGGCGACAACAUCAGUUGUUCCAACCGCAACACCAUACUCCCUCCUUCCAUCUAUAUAGGGCCUGAUGUGUUUUUCAAGACAGCUUUUGACUAUUGACAAGAUUAAUAGCACAUGAGAUGUAUACUAUGAAAAUUAUAUUAUUGGAAGCUCCUUUGACAUACAAAUUUGAAGGUAUGCUUUGUAUAAGUUGCAUGUCAUAUAUUAUUGCUCUAACGUUUGGUCAAAGUUAGCCUCGAAAAACGCAUUAGGACCUAUAUAGAUGGAAGGAGGGAGUAUGUAACAUCAACAUCGUUGUCACCGCUGAUGAGGAGCGGUUGGCAACAUCUCGCUGCGCUGCUUCGCUUCUUGCUUAACUCACGUAUAUGCUCAAUCUUUUCAACGGUCCAACAAGACAAUUGCCGGGCAGAUUGAUGUACAAGAAAAGUGUUGUGGGUAUAACCACACGACACCACACCACACCACACCACAUGUGAGGCGAAUGCAUGACCUUUAAUCAGAGCUAGGCAAAAACAAAGCUUAGCGAUUGAUCAAGUAAAGCAAAGGUUCCAAAUUAAGGACGAUCCAUAUAACUAUACCAAACCGUCUAGCUAUCCUGUUCUAUUUCCAUAUGAUCCAGGAAUUGGAAAAAGGAUCGUAAAUAAACAGGGAGAAAAGCAUAUUUAAAUAUACCAUGGUAAAUCAAAAUCUAUAUCGGCGGACUCCUCCCGACAACAAAUAACUCACUAAGCUCCAAGGUACAUACAUGCAAAGCGACGUCAAAACAUGACAACAGCGGUGAAUAUAACCAUUUAGGAUGACAGGAUACAGAACUACCCACUAUGCUCCUCGGAGACAAAAAAAAUCUCCUCUUCAACCCUUACAAGGCAACUCCCAGCCGCUACAAAAUCCAUCAGACCGUCCCUCCGCAAGAUCAUCUCCAGCAUAGAUUUUCUUUUCUUCCCUUGAGCUUCGUCCUGCAACAAUGCUACGUCUUGAGCUUGCGUUGGUUUUUCUUGAAGAGGAAAGGGUGAUGCAGCACAGUAGCUUAAGUAUUUCCCUCAGUUUUUGAGAACCAAGGUAUCAAUCCAGUAGGAGGCUCCUCACAAGUCCCACGAACCUACACAAAGUAUCAAAUAACUCGCAACCAACACGAUAAAGGCGUUGUCAAUCCCUUCACGGCCACUUGCGAAAGUGAGAUCUGAUAAAGAUAAUAUGAUAAGAUAAAUAUAUUUUUGGUAUUUUAUGAUAUAGAUUGGAAAAGUAAAGAUGCAAAUAAAAGUAGAUUGAAAGCUUAUAUGAUAAAAGAUAGACCCGGGGGCCAUAGGUUUCACUAGAGGCUUCUCUCAAGAUAGCAUAAGUAUUACGGUGGGUGAACAAAUUACUGUCGAGCAAUUGAUAGAAAUGCGAAUAAUUAUGAGAUUAUCUAGGCAUGAUCAUGUAUAUAGGCAUCACGUCCGUGACAACUAGACCGACUCCUGCCUGCAUCUACUACUAUUACUCCGCACAUCUAGAGUAUUAACUUCAUAAGAACAGAGUAACGCUUUAAGAAAGAUGACAUGAUGUAGAGAUAUAAAUUAAUGCAAUAUGAUAUAAACCCCAUCUUUUUAUCCUCGAUGACAACAAUAUAAUAUGUGCCUAGCUGCCCCUGCUGUCACUGGGAAAGGACACCGCAAGAUUAAACCCAAAGCUAAGCAUUUCUUCGAUGGCAAGAAAGAUCAAUCUAGUAGGCAAAACCAAACCGAUAAUUCAAAGAGACUUGCAAAGAUAACUCAAUCAUACAUAAAAGAAUUCAGAAUAUAUUCAAAUAUCUCUCAUAGAUAAACUUGAUCAUAAACCCACAAUUCAUCGGAUCUCAACAAACACACCAGGAAAAGAGUUACAUCAAAUAGAUCUCAACAAGAGAGGGGGAGAACAUAGUAUUGAGAUCCAAAAAGAGAGAAGAAGCCAUCUAGCUAAUAACUAUGGACCCAAAGGUCUGUUGUAAACUACUCACAACUCAUCGGAAGGGCUAUGGUGUUGAUGUAGAAGCCCUCCGUGAUCGAUUCCCCCUCCGGCAGAACGCCGGCGACGACUCCAAGAUGGGAUCUCGUGGAUACAUAAGGUUACAGUAGCGGAAAUAUUUCUUCGGUGGCUACCCUGAUGGUUUUGGGGUAUAUGGGUAUAUAUAGGAGGAAGAAGUGCGUCGGUGGGUGCCCGAGGGGCCCACGAGACAGGGGGGCGCGCCUUAUAGGGGGGGGGCUCCACCCUCGUGGCCGACUCGGGAGCUUCUUGACUUGCACUCCAAGUCCCCUGGAUCACGUUUGUUCCAAAAAUCACGCUCCCGAAGGUUUCAUUCCGUUUGGACUCCGUUUGAUAUUCCUUUUCUUCGAUAUACUGAAAUAGGCAAAAAAACAGCAAUACGGGUUGGGCCUCCGGUUAGUAGGUUAGUCCCAAAAAUGAUAUAAAAGUGUAAAGUAAAGCCCAUAAACAUCCAAAAUAGGUAAUAUAAUAGCAUGAAACAAUCAAAAAUUAUAGAUAUGUUGGAGACGUAUCAAGCAUCCCCAAGAUUAAUUCCUGCUCGUCCUCGAGUAGGUAAAUGAUAAAAACAGAAUUUUUGAUGUGGAAUGCUACCUAGCAUAAUUCUCAAUGUAUUUCUCUUUAUUGUGGCAUGAAUGUUCAGAUCCAAAUGAUUCAAAAUAAAAGUUCAUAUUGAUAUAAGAAAUAAUAAUACUUCAAUCAUACUAAUCAAAGCAAUCAUGUCUUCUCAAAAUAACAUGCCUAAAUAAAGUUUAUCCCUACAAAAUCAUAUAGUUAGGCUAUGUUUCAUUUUCAUCACACAAAAAUACUCCCAUCAAGCACAACACCGGUUUCAGCCAAGCAAUUGUUUCAUACUUUAGCAAUCUCAAACUUUUUUCAACUUCCACGCAAUACAUGAGCGUGAGCCAUGGAUAUAGCACUAUGGGUGGAAUAGAAUAUAAUGAUGGGGAUUGUGUGGAGAAGACAAAAAAAAGUCUCACAUUUACGAGGAUAAUCAACGGGCUAUGGAGAUGCCCAUCAAUUGAUGUCAACAUGAGGAGUAGGGAUUGCCAUGCAACGGACGCACUAGAGCUAUAAAUGUAUGAGAGCUCAACAAAAGAAACUAAGUGUGCAUCCAACUUGCUUGCUCACGAAGACCUAGGGCAUUUGAGGAAUCCCAUCGUAGGAAUAUACAAGGCAAGUUCUAUAAUGAAAAAUUCCCACUAGUAUAAGAAAGUGACAACAUAUGAGACUCGCUAUAUGAAGAACAUGGUGCUCCUUUGAAGCACAAGUGUGCAAAAAGAUAGUAACAUUGCCCCCUUUUUUCUUUUUUUUUCUUCGGCCUUUUUUUUCUUUUUGGCCUUUCUUCUUUUUUUUCUUUUUCUUUUUUUCCUUUGGCCUUUUUUUUGGCCUUCCCUUUUUUUCUUUAGGGACAAUGCUCUAACAAUGAUGAUCAUCACACUUCUAUAUAUUUACAACUCAUGAAUUACAACUCGAAACUAGAACAAGAUAUGACUCUAUAUGAAUGCCUCCGGCGGUGUACCGGGAUGGACAAUGAAUCAAGAGUGACAUGUAUGAAAAGAUUAUGCAUGGUGGCUUUGCCACAAAUACAAUGUGAACUACAUGAUCAUGCAAGGCAAUAUGACAAUGGUAAUGUAUGUCAUGAUGAUGAACGGAAUGGUGGAAAGUUGCAUGGCAAUAUAUCUCGGAAUGACUAUGGAAAUGCCAUAAAUAGGUAGGUAUGGUGGUUUUUUUGAGGAAGAUAUAAGGAGGUUUAUGUGUGAUAGAGCGUAUCGUAUCACGGGGUUUGGAUGCACCGGCGAAGUUUGCACCAACUCUCAAAGUGAGAAAGGGCAAUGCACGGUACCGAAGAGGCUGGCAAUAAUGGAAAGAUAAAAGUGCGUAUAAUCCAUGGACUCAACAUUAGUUAUAAAGAACUCACAUACUUAUUGCAAAAAUCUACAAGUCAUCAAAAACCAAGCACUACACGCAUGCUCCUAGGGGGGAGGUUGGUAGGAGUUAACCAUCGCGCGCCCUCGACCUCCACACAAGGGAAGGCAAUCAAAACAGCACCUCAUGCAAUAAAUUUGUUACACAACUUUUACUAUACGUGCAUGCUAUGGGACUUGCUAACUUCAACAAAAGCAUUUUUUAGAUUCAUAAUCACCCAACUAGCAUGACUCUAAUAUCAUUGUCUCCAUAUCUCAAAACAAUUAUCAAGUAUCAAAUUGAUCAUAGCAUCCAAUUCACUUUCUAUGAUAGUUUUUAUUAUACCCAACUUGGAUGCCUACCAUUCUAGGACCAAUUUUAUAACCAUAGCAAAUACCAUGCUGGUCUAAGAGACUCUCAAAAUAAUAUAAGUGAAGCAUGAGAGAUCAACAAUUUUUCUUCAAAAUUAAGCCAUCGUCGUGCUCUAAAAAAUAUAUAAGUGAAGCACUAAAGCAAAAAUUAUCUAGCUCAAAAGAUAUAAGUGAAGCUCAUAGAGUAUUCUAAUAAAUUCCAAUUAAGUAGGCUCCUACAAAAAGGUGUGUUAGAGCAAGGAUGAUUGUGGUAAACUAAAAAGCAAAGACUAAUAUAAUACACGACGCUCCAAGCAAAACACAUAUCAUGUGGCGAAUAAAAAUAUAGCUCCAAGUAAAGUUACCAAUGAACGAAGACGAAAGAGGGGAUGCCUUCCGGGGGCAUCCCCAAGCUUAGGCUUUUGGCUAUUCUUGAAUAUCUUGGGGUGCCAUGGGCAUCCCCAAGCUUACACUCCUUAUUCCAUAGUCCAUCAAAUCUUUACCCAAAACUUGAAAACUUCACAACACAAAACUCAACAGGAAAUCUCAUAAGGUCUGUUAGUGAAAGGAAGAAAAACCACCACAUAAGGUACUGUAAUGAACUCAUUCUUUAUUUAUAUUGUUAUUAAACCUACUGUAUUCCAAGUUCUCUAUGUUUCAUACCCUUACAUACUAGCCAUAGAUGCAUCAAAAUAAGCAAACAACACACGAAAGGGAGAAUCUGUCAAAAACAGAAUAGUGUGUAGCAAUCUGUAACUUUCGGUUACUUCUGGAACUCCAAAAAUCCUACCAAAAGAGGACGUCCUAAACAAUUUGUCUAUUGAUCUACAGAAAAAAGAAUCAAUGCAAAAACACGUUUCUGUGAUUCAUUGAAUUUUUUCUCGUGGGUGCAAAGUAUAUGUUUUUCAGCAGAAUCAAAUUAACUCAUAUCAUAAGUUAUCCUAUAGGUUCUACUUGGCAAAAACACUAAAUAAAACAUAAAAACACAUCUAAACAGAAAGUAGAUGCAAAAUUUAUUGAAUAACAGCAAGGGAAAAUAUUGGGUUGUUUCCGAACAAGCGCUUUUCUUUAUAGCCUUUUUAGCUAGGCAUUGAGAUUUCAGUGAUGCUCACAUGAAAGACAAGAAUUGAAGCAUAAGGAGAGCAUCAUAAAACAUGUGACAAACACACUUAAGUCUAACAUGCUUACUAUGCAUAGGAAUUUUAUAGGAAAAAAAAUUAGCAAGGCAAACAAGAUCUAGCAUAUGCAAGGAAAAAGAAAGAAACAAUAGCAAUCUCAACAUAACGAGAGGUAAUUUAGUAACAUGAAGAUUUCUACAACCAUAAUUUCCUCUCUCACAAUAAUUACAUGUGGGAUCAUUAGAAAAUUCAACAAAAUAGCUAUCACAUAAAAUAUUUUCAACACGAUCCACAUGCAUGCAAAGUUGACACUCUUCCAAAAUAGUGGGAUUAUCAUUAACUAAAGUCAUGACCUCUCCAACCCCACUUUUAUCAAAAACUUCAUAAGAUUGAACAUUAUCCAAAUAUGUGGGAUCUAAAGUUGACACUCUUACAAACCCUCUUUCAGUAUUAUUGCAAACAUUAUUAUCAAUCUCAUAUUCAUCAUGGGGUUUAAAUAAAUUUUUAUAAGAAGAAUCACCCCAAUCAUGAUCAUUGCAACAAGUAGUAGACAUAGCAAAAGUAGCAUCCCCAAGCUUAGGGUUUUGCAUAUUAUUAGCACAAUUGACAUCAAGAGGAUUUAUAGUAAAUCAUUGCAAUCAUGCUUUUUAUUCAAGGAGUUAUCAUGAAUCUCUUCAUAAAUUUCUUCAUCAUAAUUUUCAGAUUCAUGAAUUUCAAGCAAAUUUUCAUAAAGAUAAUCUAGUGCACAAAACUCACUAGCAAUUGGUUCAUAAUAAUUGGAUCUCUUAAAAAGAUUAGCAAGCGGAUGAGGAUCCAUAGAUCUUAGGUUCUCUGUUUAGCAAUAAAUAAACAACUAUUCCAACCAAACGAGCCAAGUAAAACAUCAAAGCAAACGAAAAGGCGAGUAGAAGAAGGGCGAAUAAAACGACAAGGGUGAAGUGGGGGAGAGGAAAAUGAGAGGCAAAUGACAAAUAAUGUAAAUGCGAGGGAAAUGAGUUUGUGAUGGGUACUUGGUAUGUCUUGACUUGAGCGAAGACCUCCCCGGCAACGGUGCCAGAAAUCCUUCUCGCUACGUCUUGAGCUUGCGUUCGUUUUCCUUGAAGAGGAAAGGGUGAUGCAACACAGUAGCGUAAGUAUUUUCCUCAAUUUUUGAGAACCAAGGUAUCAAUCCAGUAGGAGGCUCCUCAGAAAUCCCACGAACCUACACAAACAAACAAAGAACUCGCAACCAACGCGAUAAAGGGGUUGUCAAUCCCUUCACGGCCACUUGUGAAAGUGAGAUCUGAUAGAGAUAAUAUGAUAAGAUAAAUAUAUUUUUGGUAUUUUAUGAUGUAUAUUGGAAAAGUAAAGAUGCAAAUGAAAGUAGAUUGAAAGCUUAUAUGAUAAAAGAUAGACCCGGGGGCCAUAGGUUUCACUAGAGGCUUCUCUCAAGAUAGCAUAAGUAUUACGGUGGGUGAACAAAUUACUGUCGAGCAAUUGAUAGAAAUGCGAAUAAUUAUGAGAUUAUCUAGGCAUGAUCAUGUAUAUAGGCAUCACGUCUGUGACAACUAGACCGACUCCUGCCUGCAUCUACUACUAUUACUCCAUACAUCGACCGCUAUCCAGCAUGCAUCUAGAAUAUUAACUUCAUAAGAACAGAGUAACGCUUUAAGAAAGAUGACAUGACGUAGAGGGAUAAAUUCAUGCAAUAUGAUAUAAACCCCAUCUUUUUAUCCUCGAUGGCAACAAUAUAAUACCCUACUAGGAAAAGGGCUAUAGAUAGGACUGAUACUAAUGGCGCACCAGGUAAAUAGUAUGCCACUACUAUAUACUAAUGGCGCACUGGUUGGAGGUGCGCCAUUAGUGUGGAAGACACUAAUGGCGCACCAAACACACGGUGCGCCACUACUAUUGAUCUUUUUUCCAUUUUUCCAUACAUACUAAUGGCACAUGAUGUCAAAGUGCGCCAUUACUAGUUAGAACUAGUAAUGGCGCACCACACAGACAGUGCGCCACUAGUAUAUAUUUCUUUUUUUUUUUACUUUUUUGCAAAUCUACUAAUGGCGCACCGUGUCAAAGUGCGCCAUUACUAGUUUAAACUACUAAUGGCGCAUUUUUCCAAGUGCGCCAAUAGUAUAUAUUUUUAUACUUUUCUGCAAAAAGUACUAACGGCGCACCACCUGCAGGUGCGCCAUUAGUAACCAGGGUUACUAAUGGCGCAUUUUGGUGGUGGUGCGCCAUUAGUAACCUGGGACCAACAAGAUAUUUUGGACAGCCCACCUACCAACUCACUUUCCCCACUUCAUUCUCUCCACCUCCUCCUCCAAGCUUGUCUCGGCUACCUCCUCGUCAUCACCUCAUUUCCACCAUAGAUUCAUCAAAAUUAAGUGGUGAAAUUACCUUUUUUUGAUAGGUAAGUAAGGGGAAAGCUAUCUUCAUGAUGUAGAUCUACUUUUUUCUCCCUAGCUCGCUCCAACAACGUGCACAUGCACUUUUUGUGGCCUAGCUAGAUCUAUGUAUGUUUGUGGUGUUGCUUGUGUUUGUGGUGUUGCAUAUAUGUUUGUGUUUGCAGGUACCGGUAUUUGAAAUGCGAUAGUUGCCAAUAUUUUGCCGGAAUAUUGAUUCAUUUCCGUUUCAGCGAGAAUUUUGGCACUAUGCAUUCUUUUUUGUCCUAUUUUUAGGGAAGGUCAUGCCAAAUUUUUUCUUGGUUCUAAAAUAUCGUUUUGCUCUACCCCGCAGGCGACCAUGGUCCGCAUGAUGAUCGAAGGCAUCGUGAAUAGGUUUUUGAGCUCCACGAAGGCUGAGAUGCUUCAAAAGAACGAGACGGAGAUAAGAUGUCCGUGUCGAAGAUGCAAGCUGAAGAGCCUUAUUGCGGACCCGGAUUCCAGGCAGGUGCGGGACCACCUGCUCUUGCGUGGUUUCAUGGAUGGCUAUCGGUGGCAAGGUCAUGAAGAUGACUAUGAAGUCGUCCAUGGGGGCCGGGCAAGAAAUGAGGAAGGGCAACAAGACAAGUACCACCACGGCGAGGGCGGGCGAGAAGACGAAGAAUCUCCAGGACAUGAUCACGACGGUGAUGUUGUACACAGUCAUCAUGUAGAAGAUGUCGUAUAUGAUGAUGAGGAAGAUCAAGACGAAGGCAUGAUCAUGAAGAUGAAGAUGCCAGAGCAGACGACGAUGGAGGCUGGGUGCAGGACCCUCAUAUUCAAGAGCUGCUUCUCAAGCAGAUGGAUAACGCAAGAGCUGCCGCCCGAGAGAAAGCCAAGAUGGAUCAACUGGAGAUAGACGCGGUUACUCCAUUGUAUGAAGGAUGCAGGCCCAAGGAUACCCGCCUGAAAGUAACGCUCAUGGCUCUAGAGAUGAAGGUAAAACACAAAAUAACCGACGCAUGCUUCGACGAGAACAUGUCAUUCUGGCACGAACAUCUUCCCAAGGGGAACAAGUGCCCGACCAGUUUCGAGGAGGCGAAGAAAAUUGUAUGUCCUCUGGAUUUACCGCACGUGAAAUACCAUGUGUGCAUGAACAAUUGCAUCAUUUAUCGGGACGGGCACGCGGAGUCUACCAUAUGUCCGGUGUGCGGCGUCACUCGAUACAAGAAGAGGAAGAAAGCUCCUCGAAAAUCGGUGUGGUACUUUCCAAUCACUCCUCGUCUGUAGCAGUAUUUCGCGGACCCUAAGCUAGCAAAGCUCCUGCGUUGGCACGCGGAUAGGGAGGAGAAGAAGCAGGAAGAUGACGGAAAUGAUCCGGAGAUAAAUAAAAAAGACAAAAUGCUGAGUCACCCUAAGGAUGUGAGCCAGUGGCAAGCGUUGAACUUCGAAUACCCAGAAUUUGGGAAGGAUCCAAGGAAUAUCGUGCUGGGCGCGAGCACCGAUGGAUUCAAUCCAUUUGGCAGCCAGAGAAGCACACAUAGCACCUGGCCUGUGUUUGUGUGGAUGUACAACCUUCCCCCUGGUUGUGCAUGAAGAGGAAGUACAUUCACAUGAGUAUACUAAUUGAAGGGCCGAAACAACCAGGGAACGACAUCAAUCUAUAUCUGGGGCUGCUGAAGGAGGAGCUAGACACGCUGUGGAAAACACCAGCCAAUACGUGGGACGCCGCAGAGAAAGAAUAUUUCCCUAUGAGAGCCGCACUGCUCACGACGGUGCACGACUAUCUCGGUUACGGAUAUCUCGCGGGGCAGGUAGUACACGGAUUUUCUAGAUGCGUAAGGUGCAUGGAUGACACAACGUAUCGCCAGCUAGAUAGAGAUCCCGGGUCUUCGAAAACCGUGUUCAUGGGACAUUGAAGGUGGCUUCGCGACGAUGACCCGUGGAGGAAACGCAAGGAUCUGUUUGAUGGUGAAACUGAACCCCGAAAACGCCCGUGUACAAGGAGCGGCGAGGAAAUAGACGAGCUGUUGAAAAAUUGGAAAGACUGCCCACUGCCGGGAAAGAAGCAAAAGGCGCCAGAGCCGGGAAAGAAGUGAAAGGCGCCAGAGCCACUGCUGAAGGUAUGGAAAACGAGGUCUGUUUGCUGGGACUUGCCGUACUGGAAGAUCCACCGUGUGCCUCACAGCCUUGAUGUCAUGCAUAUCACGAAGAACGUGUGCGAGAGCCUGCUUGGUACCCUGCUCAACAUGCCAGAGAGGACCAAAGAUGGGCCGAAAGCAACGGCAGACUUGAAAUCAAUGGGCAUCAGGCAGGAGCUUCACACUAAUGAUGAUGAUGAUGAUGAUGAUGAUGAUGAUGAUGAUGAUGAUGAUGAUGAUGAUGAUGAGGCAAAGCAGGACACAGAAAGUCGUCACAAAGGCAAAAAGGCCAAGAAGACCGGAAAUGACUACCCUCCCGCGUGCUUCACUCUAAGUCAGGAGGAGAUCGAGCAGUUUUUCACCUGCCUCCUAGGAGUAAAACUUCCUUACGGUUAUGCGGCGAAGAUAAGCAGAUACCUAGACACAGCGAAGCAGAAGUUCAACGGGAUGAAGUCUCACGACUGUCACGUGCUAAUGACGCAGAUACUUCCAGUUGCAAUCCGUGGGAUCAUGGACGCGCACAUCCGUGAAACGCUAUUUGGCCUAUGCAACUUUUUCGACGUCAUCUCUCGGAAGUCCAUUGGCGUGAGGCAACUCAGAAGGCUACAGGAAGAGAUCGUGGUGAUACUAUGUGAGCUUGAGAUGUACUUCCCGCUCGCAUUCUUCGACGUUAUGGUGCAUCUGCUGGUCCAUAUCAUGGAGGAUAUCAUCCAACUCGGGCCGACGUUCCUGCACAGCAUGAUGCCGUUCGAAAGGAUGAAUGGUGUCAUCAAAGGAUACGUUCGAAACAUGUCACGUCCUGAGGGAAGUAUAGCCAGGGGCUUUCUGACCAAAGAGUGCAUCUCCUACUGCACGAAUUAUCUAGGCAUCGAGAACCCCGUUGGUCUGCCCGUCAACAGGCACCUCGGCAGGCUCAAUGGAUGGGGUCACCGUGAGGUUCGCCGCGAGAUGCAUGUCGACUUCGAGGGUCGACUCGCCGACUUUGAAAGAGCAAACCUAGUCGCGCUACAACACAUAGAUGUGGUUGAUCCUUGGGUGGUAGAGCACAAAACCUUUAUUUAGAAGACGUACAAUGACCGAGGCCAACAGAGGACGGACGGAGAUAUAAUCAAAGAGCACAACUCAUGUUUCACGCGUUGGUUCAAGCAGAAGCUUCUGCCGUACCCUUUACAUGAGGAUUCUUCCGCGGAAGAACAACUCAUAUUCGCCUUGUCACAGGGCGCCGAGCACAACCUGAUGACCUAUGAGGCAUAUGAUAUCAACGGCUACACAUUCUACACCGAGAACAAGGACAUGAAGAGCGAUGGUUAUCAGAACUCCGGAGUAACGAUGGAAUCCUACACAGGCAAUGACAAGGACAGAUACUACGGAAGGAUCAAGAAGAUAUGGGAGUUGAGCUACGCUGUAGACAAGGUCCCCAUGUUCCGUGUCAGAUGGGCCAAGAGCGUCCUAAAAGAAGACCGGUAUUUCACCACCAUGGUUAUACUCGAAGCCAAAUCCAAGACCGCGGGCGCAAACGUCACCGUGAAAAAUGAGCCAUGGGUACUGGCUUCCCAAGUGGACCAAUGCUUCUUCAUUACCGACCCGUCAAAGCCCAGUCGUGUUGUCGUGAGGAGAGGCAAAAGGAAGAUCAUCGGAAUGGAUGGAGUAGCCAAUGAGCAAGACUUCGACAAGUACGGCGACCCGAAGAUCGAACAUGACGACGAUGAUGAAGUAGCAGCACACACCACAAGAAGAAGCAGGACCACCCUACCUAAAGGACGUCCAUUCCACAGAAGAACUCCAUUUGCGAAAAAGAAGGGCAAGAAGAUUGUGAACAGAUAGCUAGCUAAGAUCGAUUGUAUUUAAAUCGUAGUCUUCAUUUCUCGAUUGUAUUUCAUGGGCACUUUUUGAUAUCAUGAAUAUUUUUAAAUUUCAUGGGCACUUUUUGAAUUCAUGAGGACACUNNNNNNNNNNNNNNNNNNNNNNNNNNNNNNNNNNNNNNNNNNNNNNNNNNNNNNNNNNNNNNNNNNNNNNNNNNNNNNNNNNNNNNNNNNNNNNNNNNNNNNNNNNNNNNNNNNNNNNNNNNNNNNNNNNNNNNNNNNNNNNNNNNNNNNNNNNNNNNNNNNNNNNNNNNNNNNNNNNNNNNNNNNNNNNNNNNNNNNNNNNNNNNNNNNNNNNNNNNNNNNNNNNNNNNNNNNNNNNNNNNNNNNNNNNNNNNNNNNNNNNNNNNNNNNNNNNNNNNNNNNNNNNNNNNNNNNNNNNNNNNNNNNNNNNNNNNNNNNNNNNNNNNNNNNNNNNNNNNNNNNNNNNNNNNNNNNNNNNNNNNNNNNNNNNNNNNNNNNNNNNNNNNNNNNNNNNNNNNNNNNNNNNNNNNNNNNNNNNNNNNNNNNNNNNNNNNNNNNNNNNNNNNNNNNNNNNNNNNNNNNNNNNNNNNNNNNNNNNNNNNNNNNNNNNNNNNNNNNNNNNNNNNNNNNNNNNNNNNNNNNNNNNNNNNNNNNNNNNNNNNNNNNNNNNNNNNNNNNNNNNNNNNNNNNNNNNNNNNNNNNNNNNNNNNNNNNNNNNNNNNNNNNNNNNNNNNNNNNNNNNNNNNNNNNNNNNNNNNNNNNNNNNNNNNNNNNNNNNNNNNNNNNNNNNNNNNNNNNNNNNNNNNNNNNNNNNNNNNNNNNNNNNNNNNNNNNNNNNNNNNNNNNNNNNNNNNNNNNNNNNNNNNNNNNNNNNNNNNNNNNNNNNNNNNNNNNNNNNNNNNNNNNNNNNNNNNNNNNNNNNNNNNNNNNNNNNNNNNNNNNNNNNNNNNNNNNNNNNNNNNNNNNNNNNNNNNNNNNNNNNNNNNNNNNNNNNNNNNNNNNNNNNNNNNNNNNNNNNNNNNNNNNNNNNNNNNNNNNNNNNNNNNNNNNNNNNNNNNNNNNNNNNNNNNNNNNNNNNNNNNNNNNNNNNNNNNNNNNNNNNNNNNNNNNNNNNNNNNNNNNNNNNNNNNNNNNNNNNNNNNNNNNNNNNNNNNNNNNNNNNNNNNNNNNNNNNNNNNNNNNNNNNNNNNNNNNNNNNNNNNNNNNNNNNNNNNNNNNNNNNNNNNNCCCCCUCCCUCUUCCCUCAUCCCCCCUCCCUCCUUCCUCUUGCAUCCUCUGUUCAAUUUUUUUUCCUGAUUUUUUUAGUGGAUGAGUACUUGAUGUAGAUUCGAUACUGUGGGAAUAUAAUGAUAGUUAUUUCUUGCUUGCUGCGUGAUUUUAAGUUUUCCGAGGGAACAGUUUAAUCAGUGUGCAGGGCUCAGACUUAAUAUUUUGCUAUGAUGAUUGCAGCCAAUAUUAGUGAGUAACUAUUGCGUUGUGAUGUUUCUGGAUUAACUAACAGGUUUAAGUUCAGAGCCAAACAGUAGAGGUCAGUAAUCAUAAUUAUUUUAUUCCAAACUGCAACCAAGCUAAGGUAGUAUCUUAGCAAGCAUUUGAUGCCUUUGAUUAUUGAAAGGAAUCAAACUGUCAUUUUUGCCCAUUUCUGUGGUUAUUGGAGUAGCAUCCUCUGCUUUCUCUUACCAGCAGAGCAUGACUGUUACUACAUGUUUCUCAAGAUAUACAUGCUGAAGUUUCUGUAACAAUCAAGGAGAACAUCUGGAAACAAAAUAUGAUUUAAGAUACACAACAAGUAGCAGGUAACAUCACAAAUUAGGAUUUUUCUACUAGCUAGUAUGCUGAAGCAGGUUGCAGGGGCCAGAUUUCUACUGCCACAAAGUUAAAGUAAAUGCCAUUUUUAGUUCUGAUGAUGAGUGGCAGGAAGCUGCACUUUGAGAUGCAGGGCUGUACAUUUGAGAGUAAAUUAGGAUUUUUUUGGACAAUGAGCAGAGCUUAGGUAAGGAAAUGUUCUUUAUUAGUUAAGUAUAUGUGAUGCUGCUCAUGUUGCUGCUGGUGCUUUGGGUGAUUCGAUAGGCUGAAGCUAUAUUAGUUAAGUAUAUAGAGCACCACCCAAGAUGUAUGUACAUACCCAACUAUCAUCAGUAACUUAAACAAAACACUUGGAUGUUCUUGGAGUUUCUUUGUUGAAUCUCAAACUGCAACAAACAAAUCGGGACAAAUUCCUUUUUUUACAAAAGAUCGAUCGGUCGAAGUUUUGGUUGCCGCUCUAUCUAGUGUGAACAGUUUACGGCAUGCUUCAGACUUACUUUGAUGGUUGCAAUAUAACUUUUGAUCCAUCUUUGGUACUAAUAUCAAAGAGGUAUACAGGUGGUGAGUACAGGAGCUAAGAGUCUCAGGAUCAGAUCAACUUGCCUAUGUUGCUUCCAAGGAGUUGUUCUCUGUCUGGUCCAAUUCUGAAGAAAUAAAAAGUGAAUAGUUUGUUUGUUCCCUGUGUGGUCACUCUAUUUUUUGAGUACUGACAUUAGUUAUGUUUGUUAGCAGCAAGAUAUUUAAAUGAAGCUUGUUCUUUUUCAACUAUUCAACUGAUGCCAUGAAACUGAAUAUAGUAGUUGAAAACCCUGUUUUUCUUCCUGAUCGUGAAAAUUUGAAGUCCUGUUUGUGUUUUGGUUUUGUUGGUUGACAAUUAUGUUUUGUUUUUCAUUUCAUGGGUGCUGUAAAAUGUGCAGGUGGUGAGUUGAGGCUCAGCAUACAGCUUGUUUGGACUAACCAAGAGGACGAGGUAUGUUGCUUGCCCAAGCUAAGUGACACGUACGCGCCAAGUUUUCUGUUAUAUAAUUACCUGUUAGUGCUUAGUUAAACUGCAUGAUACGGCCAUAGCAGAUGGAUGGUACUAGGUGUUCUUUUGUUUCUUGCCAAUGUAUUCAGAGAGCAGAUGUGCCACUGCAGAUUUCUUUUCUUGAAGGCAGCUCACAUAAGUUCAGCUACAAGUGAACAACUUGCUGCUAUUAGAUCUGGAAGGAAGCUCACAUAAGUUGAGCUGAUUUUUGUCUAUAUGAAAGCAGAGGACCAUAUGGUCUGUGGCCUUUUCAUCCAUACGAAAGUAGGGGCACAUUGUGGUGCUAGUUUGCUGGGUUUUGUCUCCAACCAUCGUGUCGUGAUGAAUUUGCAGGUACCCCGAGAGGCCCUUGAGUUUGCCGGAAUGUUGAUUAACUUUCGAUCCGGCAAAUUCGGGUACUCCAUAUGUCCUAUUUUCAGCAAAGGUCAUGCUGAAAUUUUCCGUGAAUUUUAGCAUGACUUUGCUAAAAAUAGGACAUAUGGGGUACUUGCGACUAAUGCAUGGGCCGGGGUAUCUUAGUAUUUAAUUAAGUAGGAUCAACUGCCCCUUUAUUCUUGCUGCAUUAAACGAUAGGCGGCAAUAGAGCCAAGUGAUUAGGCCCAACUUAGAAUUCUCCCUAGCAUCGAUAAACCCUAGAUGAUAAACCCAACAUAGGUGGCAAUAGAGCCAAGUGAUUAGUGCCAAGUGAUUAGGCCCAACCUAGGGUGCCUCGGCAUCGAUAAACCCUAAAUGAUGAAAAUUUAACUUGGCCGCCCCGGAUGCCUCGGUGUCGAUGAGAACCUAAAUGAUGUAUGCUUAGGAUUUUAGGGUGCCUCGGCGUCGACAAACCCUAAAUGAUGAAAGCUUAGGCUUUUAGGGUGCCUCGGUGUCGACAAACCCUAAAUGAUGAGACCAUGAUCUUGUUCCUUGACAAUAACCAACUUUUUGACCAAACUUUUUUCCUAUUUAGAGCGAAACAUGGCCCACAACGAUGAGGCCGGUGGUUCGGGCGGCAAGCAAUUCUGGGAGCUGUCCCAGGAGAUGGAGGAACAACCUCACCGCUAUGAGGACGCCGCGGAAGACAGCGAUCCUGAUUACACAACCCCUAGUGGCGUCGGGGAUGACACCACUGAUGGUGCCGCUGAGGAUGCCACCACUGAUGAUGGCGGCGCACACACAGAUGGCAGCUAACCGAAGAAGCAAAGGAAGGACCGGCGCCCGAAUGUGCUCCGCACCCUCAAGGAGGAAUUCACUCAAGUGGACUCCGACGGGAAUCCAACGGAGCCCAAACAUAUAGUCAAGGGGUACUCAAUUCAGCUCGGGUGCAUUCUCCGGAGCACCGUCUCGAUCAACACCGAGAACCUUAGGCAUAAGGACCGAGGGAAUUUGCGCAACCUCCUCUUCACGAAGCUGCACGAACGAUACAAGUUCCCUGCCGAAUUUGAAAACACACGCCUCUCAGCGAAUAAAGUGAACAGUGCCACCCUCACGAAGAUGAGUACGGCCCUGUCUACUUGGAGAAGCGCGGUGAAGAGAAUGAUUGAUAAAGGUGAUAGUUAUCAGAAGAUCAAGGCAAAAUAUCCUUUGAUGAGCGAGGAUGAGUACAAGGAGUUCAAGAUCAAGUGCGAGAGCAGUGCAACCUCCGAAUCAAGUCAGUGGGGGAAAGAAAUGCGGGAGUUGAACUUAGGGGAACACAAACUCGGUCCCGGCGGUUACAGAGUGGCGGAGCCUAUAUGGGACAAGGAGGACGCGGAGCGUGCCGAGCAAGGCCUACCGCCCCGCUUCAAGAAAUACAGCGGUAACAAGCAGACCAGGAACUAUGUCAGGGCCCGGUACAAGGAGGACCCAAUAACAAAGGAGCUUACCACGGAUCCGAAGACCAGGGCGCUUGAGCUUGUUCUGGUAAGGAAUACACCCCCGCGUAAUUAGCUCCAUAUGGUUGCACUCUAAUUAAUCCCCAAUAUUUCUAAAUGGUUCACGUUCCUUUCACAGGACACUGAAAGCAGUAGCGCGGGGUCGUCUCAGAGCUCCCCUUUCGACACCCCUUUAAAUAGGGCAUUGAACAUAAUGGAAAACAAGGAUAAGCUCACUAAGCCGACGUCAGCUGGUCGUGUGGCCGGCAAAGGCUUGUCCACAAAAUGGGGGUCAUACUAUACCGCUGGUGUGCGGAAGGAGAAAAAGACUAGCUCGGAAAGCCAGACGCACGAGGUUGAAGAACUCAGGGCACAAGUGGCGCGGAUUCCAGAGCUUGUCCAAGAGCAAGUGGAACAACAACUCGGAACGAAGCUCAACGCCAUGGUGCCUACGUUGAUUCAUGGGCUGACGACGUGGAUUGCGGGCGGCCAACAGGGGCCUCCCCCGGUUCCCAGCUUCACGGCUAGCAACUCGCACAGCGCGCAGGCGGCCCCAUUGGUGUCUCCGGCGGCGGCGCCAUUGGUGUCUCCGGCGGAGGAGGUAUUCGUGUCUCCGGCGCCGGCACAGGCAUUGGAGCUUAAUGCACCCGGGUGUACGCCGGCUGGCACCUCGCCAGCAAGCGCCCCCUCCGUCAGUUUCACGCCCGCCGUUGGCGGUACCUCGACAUUAGCCGAGCUCGACGGCAUCACGGUAACUAAGCCUCUCGGCCGAUGACUUCAUAUCUUUGCCUUUGACUGGGCAUCCUGAUGCCCUGUACAUGUUUUCGCAGGGCGCCGCCGAUGUUCCUUGCACUCUUCUGCACUUCGUGGGCGCCGAGUUGGUCGAUGUCGCCAAAGGCAUAAUCGUUCAACCGGGCAACCGCAUGUUCCACGGUAAUCCGAUGGCACCCACAAUGUAUAGGGUUGAAGUGGUUCGGGUGCUGCCAGGCUGCGACGAGCUGUUACCUCCGAUUCGACCCGCUGGGGCCGAUGAAGAAGAUGAGAUGACCCUCAGCGCCUGCGUAAACUGGCCCAUACUUUGGCCGAAGAGCCAGAUUCGUUUGGGGCGGGGGACACCAUCCCACAGACAAGACCGCCAGUCGUGCCGGCGCCAAGCCAUGGCAAGAACGCCGCAACGCUACCGGACCUGCCAGACAUCCCUAUGGCACAGGAUCCGGACAGCCCUAUGGCACAGGAUCCGGACGGCGACGACAACAACGGCGGUACAUUUACCAAAGUUGAUAAGUACUUUGCCGAACAUGGGUACACUGACGAGUUCUACGGGCCUCUUUCUCAAGAACCCAACCAAGACGAUCGCGAUCUAGCUGGUACGACGGAGAAAUCCAAUUGCAACAGGCGUCGUCUAGCGUUCAGUUCUCAGGACACGCCUCCAACCCCCGCCUUCACCGAGCCUCAGAUAACUGAGGUGUGAAAUAUUAUCAGCCCCAACACGCUCAAGAAGGCGGUCUGUGAGCAGAACUCGGUCCCAUUACAGGAGAUCAAGAAGAAGGGACGGAAGCAAAGACUAACAAGGGCGCCGGUGCGAGCCAGCCGGCACCGAGUUCGAUCCGUGCUCAGGACGGGCCACCGUCACCUAAGGAUAUCUCGAGGAGGGUGCAUGUGGCGGGUAGGGCGAUGCUACCGCCAAAUAUGCUGAAUGCUGCAACCGGUGCUAUGCGGAGUCUGCACGACAGUGUUCUUUCUUUGGAGAAGUGGCGUCUCAGAGAGAAUGAUGUGGCAUACCCGGUUUUCGUGGCCAAGGUGCCAGAGGGCAAGGGCUUUGUGGAUGGCGACAUCGGAGGUACGAUCGUCCUGCGGUUUGAUGACAUCUUUGCUAUGUUUAACCUUCAUCCGCUGCACUACACCUUCGUUCUGCUGUUUUCGCUGAGUAUGGAGAUGCGGAUCAUUAGAGACAAGACCCCGGACAUCGUCAUAGUCAACCCCUUCUACAUGCGUGCCAAGCACUUGAGCAGCGCUGGGGACCGCCAAGUUGCGAGUUCACACCUCGAAGGCGUCAUUCUGGCAAACCCAGAUAAGGAUAACUUCCUUGUGGCUUACUUUCCCGAGUAAGUCAUCCCUUAACCGCCCCGUAACAUAUGAUUUCUUAGAUUUCGAUCGUUCUUUUUUUUUCUAACAUUCCGUGUUCUGUGCAAAGACAGACAUUGCACACUCAUCCUCUUAAGCCCGAAAUAUUCCAUGGCCACGUAUUUCGACCCGAACCGUAACUCCAAGAUAGACUACACAAAUGUCAAGAAAGUUCUUGAUGAUGUUCUCCCCGGCUACGCCAAAUCUGGAGGCACCUUCACCAGGGCAGUUCGUAAGUACGGCAAGCACACCUUCUCACACAAUACGAAUUUCUGCUGCGUCAAGCAGCCGCCUGGCGGUCAGAAGGAUGCCUACUACGCCCUCCAUCACAUGCGGGCGAUCGUAAGGGACCAUCAUCAACUUCUGCUACCAAAUAGUCUCAAUGAUUGGGCCACGAGGUUGUCGGCAACCCAGGACGCGGACCUCAGACAAGAAUUCUUUCGCAUCCAGUCGGAGUUUGCGGACAUCAUCCAUCAAGAUGUCCUUCAUACCUCGGGGAAGUUCUACCUCAGAUAUCAACCGUCCAACAAUGAGAUAGAUGGAACGCUACAAAUGCAGGGUGACAACGACCGCGAUUUCAUGACCAUCACGACAGACGAUGGCUUCAUCCACGCUCCUGUCCGAUGAGUCGAGUCGAAAGUAGUGAUGUGUAGUUCUGAAACAUUGAUUGGCUCAUGUUAUAAUUAAAAUUUAAUGAAUUCGUAUGUCUCUUUGGUUUGGACAGUCAUUCAACUUAGAUGUAAUCGAUGCUAUUUAUUAGUAGGAUCAUGAAUCGUGCUAUUAAUGUCUUGCUUUUCUCUUCCGAUCCUUUUGUUGCAUACUUACAUAUUGCUUAUGUAUUGUAUGUUGUCUGUUGUUUGGCUUGUGCAUAGAGAUGUCGUCGUAUGUCGUGUACAAGGGUAAGGUUCCCGGAGUCUACGACGACUGGGAGGAGUGUCGGAGACAGGUUCACCGUUUCAGCGGUAACACUUACAAAGGGUACACCACUAGGGCGGAGGCCGAAUCUAGAUACGCCCGCUAUCUAGCGGGAGAGAGGAGGGAGCGUUGGAGGAACCGGAUGAAGACCAGUUUGAUCGCGAUGAUGCUCAUCGUGAUGACCGCGGCUCUCUUUUAUGUGAUGGUAGUUUAGAUGAUCGAUAUCGACUUGUAAUGUGAAGACAAACUCGAUACUCGCGGUCUUGAGACUUGUAAUGUUUUAUCUUUGUUCGGUCUUUUGAAUUCGGAGACUAAUAUGAUGAAUUGUAUUCGGAGACUAAUCUCCUAUUGUAUUCGAUGAAUCUGCUGUUGCUGUGUGCUGCUGUCUAUAUUCUGUCCAAUAAUAUAUUUUGUAACCUGUGCAAAAAUCAGAAAAACAAAAAAAACCAAAUAUUCAUACUAAUGGCGCAUCAAGGCAGAGUGCGCCAUUAGUAUGCCAAAGGAUACUAAUGGCGCAUCAAGGCAGAGUGCGCCAUUAGUAUGACAAAGCACAUGGUUACAUAUGGCCCCCCGGGAGGCAUACUAAUGGCGCAUGGUGUUACAUACUAAUGGUGCACUGCUUGAUGCGCCAUUAGUAUACCAGAUACUAAUGGCGCACCAGUGGUGCGCCAUUAGUAAAAAAUUCUAGUGGCGUGCUACUAAUGGCGCAUCGGCAGUGUGCCAUUAGUAUGCAAAACCGGUGCGCCAUUAGUAGGCCUUUUCCUAGUAGUGAUAGGUGCCUAGCUGCCCCUGCUGUCACUGGGAAAGGACACCGCAAGAUUGAACCCAAAGCUAAGCACUUCUCCGAUGGCAAGAAAGAUCAAUCUAGUAGGCAAAACCAAACCGAUAAUUCAAAGAGACUUGCAAAGGUAACUCAAUCAUACAUAAAAGAAUCCAGAACAGUUUCAAACAUCUCUCAUAGAUAAACUUGAUCAUAAUCCCACAAUUCAUCGGAUCUCAACAAACACACCAAAAAAAGAGUUACAUCAAAUAGAUCUCAACAAGAGAGGGGGAGAACAUGGUAUUGAGAUCCAAAAAAAGAGAAGAAGCCAUCUAGCUAAUAACUAUGGACCCGAAGGUCUGUGGUAAACUACUCAAAACUCAUCGGAAGGUCUAUGGUGUUGAUGUAGAAGCCCUCCGUGGUGGAUUCCCCCUCCGGCAGAACGCCGGCGACGGCUCCAAGAUGGGAUCUCGCGGAUACAGAAGGUUAUGGUGGCGGAAAUAUUUCUUCGGUGGCUCACCUAAUGGUUUUGGGGUAUAUGGGUAUAUAUAGGAGGAAGAAGUACGUCGGUGGUUGCCCGAGGGGCCCACGAGAUAGGGGGGCGCGCCCUAUAGGGGGGGCUCCACCCUCGUGGCUGCCUCAGGAGCUUCUUGACUUGCACUCCAAGUCCCCUGGAUCACGUUUGUUCCAAAAAUCACGCUCCCAAAGUUUCAAUCCGUUUGGACUCCGUUUCAUAUUCCUUUUCUUUGAUAUACUAAAAUAGGCAAAAAAAACAGCAAUACGGGUCGGGCCUCUGGUUAGUAGGUUAGUCCCAAAAAUGAUAUAAAAGUGUAAAGUAAAGCCCAUAAACAUCCAAAAUAGGUAAUAUAAUAGCAUGAAACAAUCAAAAAUUAUAGAUACGUUGGAGACGUAUCAAACAACUCUUAGCAUUUCUUUUCUUUACAUAGAUAAUAUUCUCUCCUGUAACAACCAAAGAACGGCCGAGUCAGAGGUGUCCCUCAAAUCAACCAAUACAAAGAUGCAUGCUGACAAUAUUCAAAUAUGAUAUUCAGAUUAUACAGCAGUCUACCAAGGACCCGUGGCGAGUUGCAAAGUAACAAAAGCUUCUUCUACAAAAAUCUCAGGAGACUUUGUAGUAUCUGACUCAGCCAUGACUAAUCACAUGUGGUGUGGUGUAGAAUACUGGCCCGUAGGUGGGCAAGCGAGUUUAAACACUCGUGAUCAUCCUGGCCGGGGUUCUCUCCGACCAAUGAUUAGUCAUGGUUUCCUCAUGAUCCUAGCAUGGAAACACAAAAUGCUGUUGUGACAUGAUACAUCAGGCAAAACAAAAUGCAACAAGAAGGCAAUCUACCAUACACAUGCGAAGAGAAGGCAAAAAAUUGCAAAGUAAGCAAAUCCACUUUGGCAAACCACCUUAAUCAUGAUGAUAAUAACACCACUAUCACAUAAGAAUAGACCUUGGCUUUUAUCUUACGAUGAUGUCAUCCUUACACUAAAAUGAUUAAAACCUUACAUAUCAAGGUUUACACCUUACACAGUAGCAUGCCAACAUCCUAAAUGAUUGACAAAUCCCAAAAAGUAGUAUAUACAAGUAGCGGAAGGGACUAACCAGAACAUGUGUUGGUGAGCAUCAUGGUGGCGGCCUCCAUGACACCAGGAACUUACUGUCCUCGUCUCGGAGCUUGUUUGAGCCGAUGAUUUGGAGGCGUUGAUCAAUGGUGAGGCUGUCAUGGCUGCACUCAGGUUCUCAAACACCUCUUCCAAGGGAAUGUUCUCCUUCAGAAGCACCGGGAUCAGCACAAACUUGACAAACAGAACAACAGGAACAACAUUAGGAAACAACAACACAUCAUCUAGAUCAAAUCGAAUCAAAUACCCUUGCACUCUGUAUCUUCUGAAUAUGUGAAGGCCUUGCUAAAUUCAGAAACUCAACAAUAUGUAUUUCCAGGGUGAAUACUUCUACUUCAAUUAUAUUUCAAAUUCUCAGGUACCACGGAAACUCAUGCCUAGUAAUAUGAUUGAAUACCAAGACGAAGAAAAUCAGCCUUGUUAUUGAUGUCAACCCAUGACGAUCGACAAUUUUUUCAUCACAACAAGCACAAACGGGUCGGGUCUCUCAAAUGAACACAGCACAAAGACAAGGAAAAGAUGAUUACAGCAUAAGUGACAAGAGGCCCAUGGCUCCUCAGAUCGUACAGCAGUGUAACAAGAGUGGCAGAUUGCUAAAAGAUAGAUCACACUUCAUACAACAAGACCAAGGCAAACAUAAUGGGAUAUUUGGGUCUCACUGGAAUAAAAUGCAAGGUAGAAACAGUUGGAGCACAAAAGCGACUUCAUAUUUAAACCUUAACUGUAAUGGAAUAUUUGGGUCGCACUGGGAUAAAAUGGGCUAAAUGUAAGCUAGCAUUUUUAGCAGUUUACAUCUACAAGUAUAAUCUGAACUUAAUGGUGGAUAAAAGUAGCAGUUUGCGAAUUAACAGGCCAACAUAUCCACUGUUGAUGGGCCAAAACAUGAUAGCAACUGACACUAUUAAAUAAUAGCAAAAUAGAGAAACUUUGCAAUCUUGACGCUAUGCACAACACUAGAGAUAUUGUCUACAAGGAAAGAGAGGAGACAAGGGACCCGCCAGAACCAAGGAAGGGGCGGCCACCAAUGCCGAACCGCUGUCAUCUUGGUGAGGGAGAAGCUUAGGUAGUGGACAAGGAGGAAGUAGCUGUCGUUCCAUAGUAGCCAGACAUGGAGGUUCACAUGCCUAUGUCUGAUACGUCUCCAACGUAUCUAUAAUUUUUUAUUGCUCCAUGCUACUUUAUCUACUGUUUUGGGUAAUAUUGGGCUUUAUUAUUCACUUUUAUAUUAUUUUUGGGAGUAACCUAUUAACCGGAGGCCCAGCCCAGAUUUGUUGUUUUAUGCCUAUUUCAGUGUUUCGAGGAAAAGGAAUAUCAGACGGAGUCAAAACGGAACGAAAUCAACUAGAGAAGUUAUUUUUGGAAGGAAAGCCACCCGAUGGACUUGGAGUGCACGUCAGGAGAUAUGGGAGGUGCUCACGAGGGUGGGGGCGCGCCCCCUGCCUCGUGGGACCCCCGAAGCUCCACCGACGUACUCCCUGCACCCAUAUAUACUCUUGUACCCUAAAACUUCCAGAACAGAACCUAGAUCGAGAGUUCCGCCGCCGCAAGCCUCCAGAGCCACCAAAAACCAAUAGGGACCCUGUUCCGGCACCCUGCCGGAGGGGGAUCCCAUCAUCGGAGGCCAUCUUCAUCAUCCGGCGCUAUCCAUGACGAGGAGGGAGUAGUUCACCCUCGGGGCUGAGGGUAUGUACCAGUAGCUAUGUGUUUGAUCUCUCUCUCUCGUGUUCUCUCUCGUGUUCCCUCUAUGGCACGAUCUUGAUGUAUCCCGAGCUUUGCUAUUGUAGUUGGAUCUUAUGAUGUUUCUCCCCCUCUAAUCUCUUGUGAUGAAUUGAGUUUCCCCUUUGAAGUUAUUUUAUCAGAUUGAGUGUUUUAUGAGAACACUUGAUGUAUGUCUUGCCGUGAUUAUCUGUGGUGACAAUGGGAUAUCAUGUGCCACUUGAUGUAUGUUUUGGUGACCAACUUGCGGGUUCCACCCAUGAACCUAUGCAUAGGGGUUGGCACACGUUCUUGACUCUCCGGUAGUAGCUUUGGGGCACUCUUUGAAGUACUUUUAUGUUGGUUGGAUGAAUCUGAGAUUGUGUGACGCAUAUCGUAUAAUCGUGCCAUGGAUACUUGAGGUGACAAUGGAGUAUCUAGGUGACAUUAGGGUUUUGGUUGAUUUAUGUCUUAAGGUGUUAUUCUAGUAUGAACUCUAUGAUGGAUUGAGCGGAAAGAAUAGCUUUAUGUUAUUUUACUACGAACUCUUGAAUAGAUAGAACAGAAAGGAUAAUUUUAAGGUGGUUUCGUACCCUACCAUAAUCUCUACGUUUGUUCUCCGCUAUUAGUGUCUUUGGAGUGACUCUUUGUUGCCUGUUGAGGGCUUGUUAUAUGAUCUAUCUAUGUUAUUAUUGUUGAGAGAACUUGCACUAGUGAAAGUAUGAACCCUAGGCCUUGUUUCCUAUCAUUGCAAUACCGUUUACGCUCACUUUUACCACUUAUUACCUUGCUGUUUUUAUUAUUUCAGAUUACAAAAACCUAUAUCUACUAUCUAUUUUGCACUUGUAUCACCAUCUCUUCGCCGAACUAGUGCACCUAUACAAUUUGCCAUUGUAUUGGGUGUGUUGGGGACACAAGAGACUUUUUGUUAUUUGGUUGCAGGGUUGUUUGAGAGAGACCAUCUUCAUCCUACGCCUCCUACGGAUUGAUAAACCUUAGGUCAUCCACUUGAGGGAAAUUUGCUACUGUCCUACAAAUCUGUGCACUUCCAGGUCCAACAACGUCUACAAGAAGAAGGUUGUGUAGUAGACAUCAAUGUCAAAGAAAGAAAUAACAUUUAAAACUAUAGGGAUGUUUUCAACAAUGAUGUGCAGUAGACUAUAAUUAACAUGAUGCGCUUUAACCAAGUAAAUGUAGAUUAACAUUUCGUAUUAGAAAAGGUGUAAUCAAGACUGAUAUAAAAGUAGCAGCUUAGAUGUUCACAGUCCAACAUAUCCACUAUUCAUGGGCUCUCAAGCUAAAAAGCACGGAAAUGCCAGGAAUCGCCGAACUGCCGUCCUGAUACACCGGGAUACGGGGAUACGGCAGGAUAUGCGUAUUUUGGAGUAUCCCCGAAAUUCGAAUUAAAAAAAGAAAAAACGAUUGGGAUACGCGGGGACACGCUAGGGAUACGGCCUAGCCCAAAAAACAGCCUUGGCCCAUUAGGAAACCCUAUUUUGCAGGGUCACGAGGUGCUCCCCCCUGACUCCCAGGUUGCAUAGACGGCACCGCCACCUCCUAGACUCGCCCCCACCGCCUGGACUCGCCGUCGGCGCAUCUGGAUUCGACCGGGGACCGCCCCCUCCAGCUCCAGCAACCGCAGCAGCCUCUCCUCGCAGCCGCAGGUAACCCAGCUGCAUCCUCUCCUCAUUCUUCUUCAACCUCUUCCACCUUUAAUCUUAAGAUGCUUGCUGCUUGGUGCUCUACUGCUGUUUGCUUGCACUAAUUUAUUGGAUCUGAUGCUUUCUGCUUUCUGCUCUUUGCUUGUGCUGCUGGCUGCUGCUAUUCUUGAUAGGAAUUGAUUUCUUGUUGUUGGCUUGAUAGGUACCAAACCAGAGGAUGAGCCCCUGCUAUCCGUGGAGGAAAUGCCAAGUUUCGUUGCAAUUUCUGUAAGAAAGUUUACCCAGGCAGCUAUUCAAGAGUGAAGCCCCAUCUUCUUCAGAUAACAAAGAAAGAUAUAGCAACCUGUGACAAAAUUCCACACUCUGCAUUUGAGCAAAGCAGAAGUCUGCAUUUGGGAGCCAAAUGGCAUUGCAAAUUGGGUGAGCAAAGCAAAAGUCUUUACUGUUUUGAUGUGUUCAUAUUGUCUUUUGGUUAUGUCUUUUAUUUUUCUAACCUUCUUUAUUGUUUGAUGUGUUUUGCAAGAUGCAAUGCACCUUGCAAUGACAUGGGAGGACGAGGAUCAAUCAAGCACUUGAUAAAAGAGCCACCAAAUGGGGCAGUAUUCUCUAUUCUAAACUCUUUUUCUUUAAGUUUCUGCCUUAAUUCUAUAUUAUAUUUCAUAUUUUUAUUUUAUUUUAUAUAUAAUCACCGUAUCCCCGGAUGGCUGUUUUUGGAAAAUGCCGUACCCCGUAUCCCCGUAUGCAUAUCCCCGUCCUUCGGUCCCCGUGUCCAUGCUUUUUAGCUCUCAAGCACACAGCUAGCAGUUCCGCAUUUAGAAAUCCAUUCACACUUCACACAGAUUGUGUAAUUUCGUGAUGCUCGAUCCAAAGAACAAAACCUUUUUGAGGGACAAACCUUAAACAGACAACAUAGUUCCUGCAUGGAACAAUGAUUCAAGUCAACAGUUUAUAUUGUAAAUGAGUUUUUCUUCUAUGGUAGAUAACGCUAAAGAUGUUUUUUUAUCAACAAUCGCAUUUCAGAAUCAUGACUAAAGGGACUGAAAGAAACGACAUCACAUCAGAGUUACAAAACUAAGUAUUGCAUCCCAACGAAUUCAUCAAAUGGCAUCAAUACAGUGUGACCGCCAAAGGCUACUACUACUGAGCACCAACACAUUACUGCCAAUGCCUACUACUCAAUGUUUUAAAUAGCAGGCUAUGGAAAAUAGCGGCGAGCCUUCAAAUCAGCUAUAGCCUAUAGCGGGCUAUAGCAGGCCAUAGCGGGCUAUUUGUGAAGACAAUCAUUUAGCGGCACCCUGCUUAAAAGGCUAUAGCGGGCUAUUUUCUGGCUAUUUAGAACUAUGACUACUACUAGUACUACCUGCACUUCCAUCUGUACAACCAAACGUCAAUCCCCAAUUCUAAAGCACCUAAUACUCCAUAUCAAAGCUCCACUAGUACAACGAACAUGAUGAACAAAUAAAAUCAAUUGUGUGGUUGGUCUGGAAAAACCACCCCACAAGCACUAGACAAGUGGCACGAUGGACAGCAGAGCACAGCCACGGCACGAUCACCAGGCACCUCAGAGCAUUUGAGAGAGUAGAAGAAGAAAACGGAGUGGCUUACCUGAGCCGGAGUCAUAGAAGAGGUGGCCACCACCGCCGCAGUUACAUUACGGCCAAACCAUGGCACGAUGUCAUUCGUUGAAGUAGUCAAUUGCGGCAUAUUAUCCAAAUUUGCACUUCUUCUGUUGAUGAUGAACAAAAUACAUUAAUUACGUGAAUGCACAACUACACACUUUAAGACAUUUUAGGCUCAGAUUAGUACCGAUGUGCAUGGUUUGCAAAUAAAUCAGUCUAGAGAAUAAAAUGAUCUUCCAUGAAAUUUACAACCAUUCGAAAGAGAUACGCAAUUACAUAAUUAUAUGAAUAGAAGCAUGGUGUAAGAACAUCAAUUUCCAUACUUAGCAUUGAGCCCAUAGCAUGAAUGUUUUAACAAAUUCGGUAUACUUACAGGCUGGAACUUGUUCAUGGUGAUUCAUUGAAUACGCAUGCGAUUACGAAAAGAUGUGGCAGGUACAGCAAAAUAAACUUGCUAAGCGUUGAGGUUUAUGAAUAGUUACCACAGAACAACAAUGCCAUUCUAAGAAACAUAUGUAAUCUAGAAACGUAUGUGACAAACAAUGGAGCAAAAAAAUCAUCGACGACCAUUUUUCUUGAUUCCAAGCAUUUGACAAUCAUGAUUUGAUCCUAUGUGUAACUCUCACUCCUCAACCCCCGCCGCUGCAGAAGCCUACUGCCGGCUGCUCAGCUCAUAGAGUGACAACAAGGUGAGGCUCGUUAUCUUGGACCGCCUGCACGAGCUGUGCACCUCACACCGUCAUAUCAUGGUCUCUUUUGUCAUGGACAUCCUGCACUCGCUUGCCAGCGCUGAUGCUGAUCUGGAUGUCAGAAGCAAGAUUCUGGAUUUGCUGCUUGGUUUGCUCACCGCGCAGAAUGUGGAGAAGGUCGUUUUAUUCCUCAAGAAGGAGGUUUUUGAGACAAUGGAUAGCGUGCACGAGAUGGCCUAUCAAUACUACCAGAAACAAAAAAGAGAAAUCUGUCAUGAAUAGUUCGCGAAUGGUUCUCUGUAGACUAUUCAUAUCUGAGUUUCUCUUUUUUGUUUCUCGACGUAUGUUUCGAAUUUUGAUCUGAAUUUUUUGGGGUUAUCUUAAUAUGUGUUGUAAACAUGCAUGAUUUUUUUCAGAUUUUUUUGCAAUGCUUAAAUUUGAAUUUCGGCCGCAAGGCACACGGUGACAUGCAAACGUGCAUGUCACCUCACUACCAGAAAAACUGGGGUUGCCGACGGCCAAAUCUAUGCCGACGGCACCCGUCGGCAUCUAUGGACCUAUGCCGACGGCCAAGGAAAGGCCAUAGGCGUAGAAAAGUCGUCGGCAUACAUUCAUCUAUGCUGACGGGGCCGUCGGCAUAGACAAGGCCGUCGGGACCGCCCGAGGUACGCCUACGGGGCCCGUCGGCAUAGGACAGGCCGUCGGCAUAGCCAGGGCCCACCUGCCCGGUCAGCGCUGACCAUUUGACGACGUUGAUCCUACGCCGACGGGCGGUAACGGCGGCCGUCGGCAUAUCUGUGGCAGAGGUAUGCCUACGGCAAAGCCGUCGGCAUAGGCCCCUCUGCCACGUCAGCGAUCCGUGUGCCACGCCACGUCAUCGAUCCGUGGGACAACCUCCGUGUGUGCACAGAUAUGCCGACGGCCUUGCCGUCGGCAUACGUUUAUUUUAAUUAAUCUUUUUAUUUUUACUCUGUUUUGUUAUUUUUACUUUAUUUUAGUUUUUGUUUUUGUAUAAGAUAGUUAUGCCUUAUCUAAAAAAACAUACCCGAUGGUAUAUCGAUUGCCCCCCGUUACGAACGUCGCUAUCGCCGUGUCACGGAGGGGGGAAACGGUCGACACGGAAGGAAUUCUGGUUGGGGGGGAUUCGGGGUGUAGCUAUGUCACCGAAACAUCACACGGGUCCCGAUGCAUAUGUGAAAGUGUUCAUGCAUGCGUAGACGCCCGUCUUGGGGCUCCGGGGUGUGCCCCCCCUCAUAGACGGCGCCGCCGACGGCACCUGGAGGGGGGAAACGGAUGCGUCGGGUCUACACGGAGGGGAUUUUGCUAUGGGUCUGGGACGGUUCCUUCCCAAGACAAAGGAGACCGCCAUGCAUUAACAUCAUUGCUCCUUGUGCACGGAGAAAAUGCAUAGGGUAGCAGGAGCUCUUUGGGAGCAACUCCAACGUGUGGAUCCAAACCGGCUUGUCCGUUUUUUGUCUGUUUGGUGUUUGAAUUGACCUGUUCACUCCUUUUCAUGUUUGGGUUGGUAGUGCUCAACACACGGACGCAUUUCCGUUUGACUGGCGGCCUAUUUUUUGCUCUUUUGUCUACACAUAAAAAAAUUGCCGUAAGUUCACAUAAUUUAAUCAAAUUCAAAUAUCUCAUAGUUUCACAACCAAACAAUAUCUCAUAGUUUACAAGCCAAAAAAAUUUAAUUGUCACAAGUACAUUUAAAAGAAAAAAUAGUCGAUACAUCUAUUGGUGGCCAACGUGAGCCCACAUAUGCUCAACCAAAUCAUCUUGCAGUUGAUGUACAUUUUAUUAUUUCUGGUGUUUGUUGUACUGCCAUGUUUGAAGAUGAAUAGAUCAAAGGUUUCUCAAAAAAAGAAUGUGAGUUUCCCAAUAACACAUUUAAUGAUAAAAUUCGAUGAACUAUGCAAACGUUGCCGCUCCUCCAUGUUCAAGCACAACAUUGUGAUCCUGAAAUUGAAACCCUUGGUCAUAUAUUUCAUCCUGACACUCUUCCUCUACGAUGAUGUUGUGCAUGAUCACACAAGCAGUCAUCGCUUCCCAUAACUUCUUGGUGCUCCAAGUUAUAGCAGGAUACCGAACGAUGCCCCAUCGGGAUUGCAGGAACACCAAAGGCAUGCUCCACGUCCUUCCUAGCACUCUCUUGUGCUUGGACAAAUCUUUUUCUCUUCUCUCCUACAGGGUUGGGGAUUGUCUUUACAAGAGUCACUACAAGAAAGUAAUUAACCUGUGAUAGUCAAGGUCCGUCACAGACGUGCCAAAAACUGUCAAGGAUGGCUGCACGUGACGGUCCUGAAAUCCGCCAUGUAUAUCACGUCAUAAUUUGCCAACCCGCCCAUCCUUAACGGAUUUUGGCUUCCGCCAUGGACCAUGAUAGUCUAUUUCUAUCACCUAUCUGACCCCAGGCUCGUUCAGCCCGCCCAAGGCCCGGUCCUCUGUGACGGACUAUUCCGUCACGGAUUUACAUGACGUGUAGCAGACGAGUCCCAUGUGGCAUCUCCGUCGAUCUAAUGUGGCGCCAACGUGGGGCUGUCGUGGCUCCGGCGUGGGCCUAACGUGGCGUCGUGUAAGCCUAGCAUUCUGCCCAAUAUGGUCUGGCCCAUUUAUUUUAGUAUGGCCAGGCCUACGAGCCCAUUUUACCGCAGCUUUUUUUAGGAAUGAAAAACUGCUUUAUUCAUCGAAAUCCACAUGCAGUGGGAUACAAGUUUGGUCGUGGGGAACACCAAACCAAACAUGGCGACCCGGACCUCUAGAAAGAGCAAACUUAGCUAAACAAUGUGCUUCAUAAUUAGCAGGACGGGUUUCAAAAGAAAAAUUACAAGAUAAAGUAGCAGCUAGGAUGUUGAUCUCACUAAUGACAGCGCCAUAGACACCUCUUGACCCCCUGUUGAUAUCGAGAACGACCUGACGACAGUCCGAGGCCACCAUGAACUGAUGGAUGCCCAAAUCCUCCGCAAGAGACAAGGCUUCACGACAUGCAAUCACUUCCAAGGUUGGGGGAUCAAAAAUUCCUUCUACUACGAGAGCUGAGCUGCCAAUAUAAUUUCCACUUUCAUCUCUACAUACUGCCGCAGCAGAGCCCCCUCUUCUGGCCCGCACCCCUGCAUCAACAUGAAUUUUGUGAUGGCCCGCUGGUGGUUUCUUCGGUCUCGCAACGCCCGUCCUUGGAACCCCGGCGUGCGUAAGUUGUACCUGCUCAGUGUCCUGUAGAUAUCUCUCAAUGAAACAGUGGGUGGCUUGCGGGCUUUGGAAAAUUGCUUCGUGGAUAGCUUUCCUUCGGGCAUGCCAUAUGGACCAAAGGGUUACCGCCAUGAUGAUAAAUUGAUCUGGGACAACAGGCGCAUAACUGUGAACAGACAUUUUUUUGCUCCUGGCUCUGUAUCAGACGUUAUUUUAUGUGUUAUCUCCUCGUCCGCAAGCGCCCAAACGCUGCGAGAUGAUGUACAUUCCAAGAGGGAGUGGCGCCAUGAGUCCUGGACUCNNNNNNNNNNNNNNNNNNNNNNNNNNNNNNNNNNNNNNNNNNNNNNNNNNNNNNNNNNNNNNNNNNNNNNNNNNNNNNNNNNNNNNNNNNNNNNNNNNNNUUCUCCCGUACAGGACUCAAAAGGUGCGGUCUCGGAGGCCUACUGUCCCGAUGUGAGGUGCACUCCGCAAGCCGGGAUGAGGAAGACAAUAGUAGCGCAGAGAUUGAAACUGUGUGGCGAGAGGAAGAGGACCUUCUGAUGUGUCUCUCGGGAGAGGAGCGACCUCUCUUAUAUAGGCACAGCAGAGGGACGCAAACAGGCUGCGCCGGGAGAUGAAGCAACAGAGGGAGACGACGUGAACAGGCAGCACGCAAAGAGGUGCGCCGUUCGUAUUCAUUAUCCACUACCGCAAAAACUUUUCAGCUCCCAGGUGACCUUUCGUAUACCCGUAGUGCGUGGCAAAAAAUAGACAUCGGCUCGGCUCAUUCCCGCAACCCGCGGCGCGUCGUGACGAGGCGUGGCGUGGAAAGGCGGGCGCGGAGGAGGAGCGCGCGUGGAUGUCCCUCUUGUUCUCAUGCUCAUACAAGUGGGGAAGGAGCCUCCCUUAUAAAGAGGUCCAACUCCCUAUAAACUAGCAAGGUGGGACUAAACUUUUAGUUCCACCUCUUGCCUUGCACGAAUGGGCUGCGUGGGCCUCUAGGAUUUAUUAGGAAUUUCUGAAACUGCUAUUGGGCUAGGCCCAAAUAGGCAAAAAUUCCAGCAAUCCCCCACCAGAUCCCAGAGGCACACAAAAUUUGCCUUUGGUUCCAAAACACCGUUUUAUAUACCGGUACUGCAGUGGAGACUGUUAAGUUGAACUUCCACCUAGAACCCUAUGCGACACUAGUAAGCGACUUGAACAGUGGACUGGGCCUUGAACUGCAAGUUUUCUGCGAAUCUAGUUUCACAUAAAGCCUUGACCGAUACGUGGCUACCGUGGGUCUUCCCCGCAGGUGGAGCUUAUGCGUCAUACUCCGUGACCUUUCAUGAGUUUACUAAAGAGAACCCUACUCUCAUAGAUUGCGAUGUUUAACAAUCAGACUCAUAUAGGUGCGUUCUUCAAAAGAUGUUCUGCAGGACAACAUCUCUGCUUCAAAAAGCCACUUAGAACACAUUAAGAUAUACUUCAACCUGCCAUGCAGAUUAGGAGAGUAUUGGAUCUUCAUGGAGUGGUAUUUUAACAGUAAGGAUACUCUCCUCUCAGUUGACCAAUAGCUUGUCUUCCACAUCUAAUUCACGGGAUCUCCGAUCACAAAGAAUAGGUUACCACCGUGAACAACUCAUAUUGUGGGUCUCAUUCCCAUCUCCCUCGAUGCAUUAUCUAUCACAUUACGUGAUAGACCCUUAGUAAAAGGAUCUGCCAGAUUUUUAGACGUUUGGAUAUAGUCCAAUGCAAUAACUCCAGAGUUUUUCAUUUUUCUGAUAGACUUUAACCUUCUCUGAACAUGUCUUGAUGACUUCAUGUUAUCCUUUGAACUAUUCACUUUCGUGAUCACAGUUUGAUUAUCACAGUUCAUUAGGAUACCCGGUACAGGUUUCUCAACAACCGACAAGUCAUUCAAGAGCCGGCGAAGCCAAUCUGCUUCGACCGUAGCUGUAUCUAGUGCUGUGAGUUCUGCUUCCAUUGUUGAGCUCGUUAAGAUGGUCUGCUUGCAAGACUUCCAAGAAACAGCGCCACCUCCAUGAGUGAAUACAUAUCCGCUCAUGGCCUUUAUCUCAUCAGCAUCUGAGAUUCAGUUUGAGUCACUAUACCCUUCAAGCACCUUUGGGUGCCCAGUGUAGUGAAUUCCAUAAUUCGCAGUGCCUUUCAAAUAACGCAAAACUCUCUCUAGAGCUUUCCAAUGCACAUCUCCUGGUUUUGAAACAAACCGGCUCAGUUUGCUAACAGCAAAAGAGAUGUCAGGUCUUGUAGCACUGGCUAAGUACAUAAGCGAGCCAAUAAUCUGAGAAUACUUCAAUUGAUCUCUAGCAAUUCUUCGAUUCUUUCGAAGCAGCACGCUAGCAUCAUAUGGUGUUGGAGAGGGCUUGCAAUCACUAUAGCCAAAGCGACUCAAGAUCUUUUCCACAUAGUGAGAUUGAAGCAAUGUAACCCCACCAUCAUCAUCUCUCAACAACUUGAUGUUCAGAAUGACAUCAGCCACUCCUAAAUCCUUCAUCUCAAAACAGCGAGAUAGGAAAUCCUUGACCUCCUUAAUAACAUUCAGAUUUGUUCCGAAAAUUAGUAUGUCAUCAACAUACAAGCAAAGCAUAACUCCCUCGCCGCCACCAUGGCGAUAGUACACACAUUUGUCAGCUUCGUUCCCAACAAAGCCUGCAGUUGUUAAGGUUCUUUCGAACUUCUCAUGCCACUAUUUGGGUGCUUGCUUCAGUCCAUACAAAGAUUUCAUCAACUUGCACACUUUCCCUUCCUGACCAUCUAUUACAAACCCAUCUGGUUGUUGCAUAUAAAUUUCCUCAUCCAACUCUCCAUUUAGGAAAGCAGUCUUAACAUCCAUUUGAUGAACGAGAAGACCAUGUGAGGCAGCUAGUGAAAGUAGAACUCGAAUAGUGGUUAGUCGAGCCACAGGUGAGUAAGUAUCAAAGAAGUCUUCACCUUCCUUUUGGGUAUAACCCUUUGCCAUGAGCCGAGCCUUGUACUUUUCAAUAGUACCAUCAGGCCUAAGCUUCUUCUUGAAUACCCAUUUGCAUCCUAUAGGUUUGCACCCAUAAGGACGAUCAGUUAUCUCCCAAGUUUCAUUCGCCAAGAUGGAAUCCAUCUCGCUACGAACCGAUUCCUUCCAGUAGUUAGCAUCUUCCGAUGCAUAGGCCUCUGAAAUAGAACUGGGAGUGUCAUCUAUGAGAUACACAAGAAAAUCAUCACCAAAGGACUUUGCAGUCCUUUGUCUCUUGCUCCUAAUAGGAACUUCAUUGUUCUCCUCCACAUGACUUUCAUAGUGUUCCAUCGAAAUGGCAGGUUCGGUAAUUGUAACUGGUUCCUGAUUCGAUGAACUAGGCAUAUCCUGAUUAGAUGAGGUAGCCAUAUCCUUCAUGGGAAAUAUAUCUUCAAAGAAAGUCGCAUCAUUCGACUCCAUGAUCGUACCGACAUGCAUGUCAGGUACCUCAGAUUUUACAACCAAGAAUCUAUAGCCAAUGCUAUGAAAAGCAUAUCCCAGGAAAACACAAUACACAGUCUUUGGUCCAAGUUUCCGCUUCUUUGAAAUUGGAACAUUGACUUUCGCCAAAUAACCCCAUGUUCGCAGAUAAGAGAGUUUUAACCUUUUCUUCUCCCAUUCCUCGAAUGGAGUUAUCUCCUUGUUCUUUGUGGGAACUCGAUUUAGGACAUGACAUGCUGUCAAUAUCGCCUCCCCCCACCAUGCCUUGGAGAGACCCGAUGUGUCUAACAUGGCGUUAACCAAAUCAGUUAGAGUACGGUUCUUUCUUUCGGCCACCCCAUUUGACUGAGGUGAGUAGGGAGGCAUCCUCUCAUGGAUUAUACCAUGUUCCGCACAAAAAGCAUCAAAUUCAUUGGAAAAAUACUCUCCACCACGGUCAGACCUAAGCCUCUUGAUUUUCCGAUCAAGUUGGUUUUCCACUUCAGCUUUAUAGAUCUUGAAAAAGUUCAAAGCCUCAUCCUUAGAUUUCAGAAGAUACACAUGGCAGUAUCUAGUGGAGUCGUCAAUUAACGUCAUGAAAUAUUUGUUUCCACCUUUUGUCAAAACACCAUUCAUUUCACAUAGAUCUGAAUGUAUAAGUUCUAGUGGUGCAAGAUUUCUCGUCUCCGCAGUCACGUGAGACUUACGAGGUUGCUUAGCUUGCACACAUACUUGACACUUAGGUCCCUUGACAGUGGUGAAAUUAGGGAUUAAGUUCAACUUCGCUAGUCGUGACAUGCAACCAAAGUUAACAUGACAAAGACGUGAAUGCCGCACAUUUGAUUCACUAUUGUUGCAAAUAUAAUUAACAACUUUAUUGCAAACGUCUGAUAAGGAUAAAUGAAACAGGCCUCCUGACUCAUAGCCUUUACCAACAAAGUUUCCAUACUUGGAUAUUACAAAUUUAUUCGACUCAAAGACAAGCUUAUAGCCAUCUCUACACAGAAGAGAUCCGCUAACAAGAUUUUUAUUGACGGAGGGGACAUAAUGCACGUUCUUCAGCCGCACGAUCUUCCCCGAAGUAAACUUCAGAUCGACCGUGCCAACACCAUGAACAGAAGCACUUGAACUGUUGCCCAUUAGCACGGUUGAAGUCCCUGCGGUCUGAUAAGACGAAAACAUGGAAAUAUCACCGCAUACAUGCACAUUAGCACCUGUGUCAAUCAACCAAUCAGGAGAAUGACAUACUGAAAUAAUAGUGGGAAAUAUACCAUACCCAGCAUCCUUCAUGUCAGUGUCUCCAAUGACAACAUUAGUGGUCUUGCCGCCUUUCCCAGGAUGACGCUUGUCAUAGCGAUUGGGGCAACUAGGAGCCCAAUGAUCAGGAUCUCCACACACAUGACAGACACCUUUCUUCUUGUCAUUCUUCUUCUUGAAGUUCGUGUGCUGCACAGCCUUGUUCUUCCCAUCAAAUUUGCUUUACCAUCAAGCUUGCCCUUGUUCUUGAACUUGUGGGACUGGAAGUUUUUCUUCUGUACCAGAUUGGCACUAGAUCCUCCCUCAAUACCUCGAGCACGUGUGUCCUUUGCUCUCGCCUUUUCUUCCACAUCAAGAGUACCAAUGAGAUCCAGAACGGAAAACUCCUGUCUCUUAUGCUUCGGUAAGGUAGCAAAGUUCCUCCAUGAAGUAGGAAGCUUAGUGAUGAUACCGCCGGCAACAAACUUGUCCGGUAGCAUGCAAUUGAAGUGCUCAAGUUCUCUAGCAAAUGACUGUAUCUCAUGAGCCUGCUCAACCACAGAGCGCUCUUCAUUCAUCCUGUAAUCAUAAAAUUGCUCCAUGAUGUACAACUCAGUGCCGGCAUCCGAGACCCCAAACUUGGCCUCGAGUGUGUCCCACAUAUCUUUUCCAUUGUCAAUUGACGCAUAAGCAUCAACUAUGUUCUCACCAAGAACACUCAAGAGAGCAGCCUUAAACAAGGUAUCCAUUUUCUGAAAAGCUUGUGCCUGCUGGGCAUCUUGCUCUCCUUCAGGUUUGCCAAGAGUAGCGUCAUAGCAGCUCAUGGUCUGAAACCAUAAGACUGCUCUCACGGCCACCUCUUAUAGUGGAUACCCCCAAACAUAGGAGGUCUCAUGGAAGCAGCAAAACCACUCGGGGUAAAUUGCCUAUAAUAAGGUUUUUGGAUUGUUGGAAAUAUGAGCAAUUUACCGAAUGAUUUUAUUAACAAAAAUACUAGAUAAAGCAUGACUAAAAUAGCAAAUAUACAGCAAGUCAUGCAAUCUGACAGAGAGAAGGUAAACAUCGUCUUCAUAUAUGAACUUGAGGUAAACACAUCUAGAAUAGACACUAGAUGAAGUUGCUUAUACGAAACAGAACAUAACAUACGUAGGGCAGAAACUAGAGCUAAGAACUGUAGGAGGACUUCUAACAAAAAGGAGAAGAACACGUACGACACAGCAGCAGCAGAAGCGCUGGACUUGGGGUCGGUGUCCUUGCCUGCCAUGUCGUCGAGGACGUCGUGGACGUCGGGGAAGUAGUCGUCGGCGACCGGAUCGUCCGUGAUGAAGCGGCCAGUAGUCACGCUGAGCGCUCCCCAAAAAUCUUAUCACCCUUCUCCCGUACAAGACUCAAAAGGUGCGGUAUCGGAGGCCUACUGUCCUGACGUGCGGUGCACGCCGCAAGCCGGGAUGAGGAAGACAACAGUAGCACAAAGAUUGGCACUGUGUGGUGAGAGGAAGAGGACCUUCUGAUGUGUCUCUCGGGAGAGGAGUGACCUCUCUUAUAUAGGCACAACAGAGGGACGCGAACAGGCUGCGCCGGGAGGUGAAGUAACAGAGCGAGAUGAAGUGAACAGGCAGCACGCAAAGAGGUGCGCCGUUCGUAUUCAUUAUCCACUACCGCAAAAACUUUUCAGCUCCCAGGUGACCUUUCGUAUACCCGUAGUGCGUGGCAAAAAUUAGACAUCGGCUCAUUCCCGCGUGGCGUGGCGUGGCGUGGCUGGCGGCGCGGCAGGCGGCGGAGGAGGAGCGCGCGUGGAUGUCCCUCUUGUUCUCAUGCUCAUACAAGUGGGGAAGGAGCCUCCCUUAUAAAGAGGUCCAACUCCCUCUAAACUAGCAAGCUGGGACUAAACUUUUAGUUCCACCUCUUGCCUUGCAUGAAUGGGCUGCGUGGGCUUCUAGGAUUUAUUAGGAAUUUCUGAAACUGCUAUUGGGCUAGGCCCAAAUAGGCAAAAAAUUCCAGCAGUAACAUCAGCAUUGUCGUCGCCGCUGAUGAGGAGCCGUCGGCAACAUCUCGCUGCUCUGCUUUGCUUCUUACUUAACCCACGUAUAUGCUCAAUCUUUCCAUCGGUCCAACAAGACAUUUGCCGGGCAGAUUGAUGUACAAGAAAAGUGUUGUGGGUAUAACCACACGACACCACACCACACCACACCACAUGUGAGGCGAAUGCAUGACCUUUAGUCAGAGCUAGUGCGGGAGAAAUAAUGAUUCAGUAAAUAACACUGGGUACAUGCUUUGAUUCAUGAUGAAAGAUAGAGAAAACUUAGUUUUAUUUCUAUAUGAUCCAGGGAAUUUAAUAUGCUUUGAUUCAUGAUGAAAAUUCGAUUUGCUUUAAUAUUUUGAACAGAAAAUACUUUGAUAAUUUUGGUUGCAUACAUUUUAUAUAAUUUUAGUUUCAAUAAUACUAGAGGUUUAUAAAAGUUUUUUGAGUUAAUUCCUUUUGCUAUUGGAGUUUUAUAAAAGCUUUUUAGUUGAUUCUUUUUGCUAUUGAAGGAUAUUAUAGUAUUGUUUUAGUUGAUCAUAACAUAAUAUUUUAAUUGAUUAUUUUUAGUUCAUUCUUUUUGCUAUCAGUUCAUUCUUUUUGCUAUUAGUUCAUUCUUUCAGCUAAAUAACACUUAAAUUGAAAGGCACUACAAAUGAACUCUCAAAGGUUGAAAGUUGGCAUGGUAUCAUCGUUUCACCCACAUAGCAUGUGGUAAAAAGUUGAGAGGGUUACGACAAAAACUGGAUGCACUUCGUGUACAAAGUAGACAAUCUCUUUGGAAGUAUCAGGGUUUCGGACGAAAACUCAUCUGUUACAAAGGGAUUUCAUUUGUUCGUGCAAACGUUGCAGGUCCUCCUGUGCCUCCGGUGUAUCUUUUGUCUUCCCGUACACGCUCAGGAAGCCUAGUAGGUUCACGCAAAGGUUCCUCGUCGCGUGUAUCACAUGGAUUAAAGAGCGGACCCCUAGGUCUUUCCAGUAGGGUAGGUCCCAAAAUAUAGAUUUCUUCUUCCACAUGGGUGCGCGUCCCUCGGCGUCGUUCAGAAGAGAUAGUCCGCUGGGACCCUUUGCGAAGAUUACUUUUAAAUCAUUGACCAUAGCAAGUACGUGAUCACAGGUACAUAUGGCGGGCUUCUUCCGGUGAUCUGCCUCGCCUUUGAAAUGCUUGACUUUCUUUCGACAUUGAUGGUUAGUCGGAAGAAAUUGACAAUGCCCCAGGUACACAUUCUUCCUGCAUUUGUCCAGUUAUAUACUUUCGGUGUCAUCUAAACAGUGCGUGCAUGCGUGGUAUCCCUUGUUUGUCUGUCCUGAAAGGUUACGGAGAGCAGGCCAAUCAUUGAUGGUUACAAAUAGCAACGCAUGCAGGUCAUAUUCCUCCUGUUUGUGCUCAUCCCACACACGUACACCGUUUCUGAUCCACAGCUGUAAAAGUUCUUCAACUAAUGGCCUUAGGUACGCAUCAAUGUCGUUGCCGGGUUGCUUAGGACCUUGGAUGAGAACUGGCAUCAUAAUGAACUUCCGCUUCAUGCAUAGCCAAGGAGGAAGGUUAUAGAUACAUAGAGCCACGGGUCAAGUGUUGUGAUUGCUGCUCUGCUCCCCAAAAGGAUUAAUUCCAUCCGCAUGUAAACCAAACCAUGCGUUCCUUGCGUCACCUGUAAACUCCUCCCAGUACUUUCUCUUGAUUUUUCUCCACUGCGACCCAUCAGCGGGUGCUCUCAACUUCCCGUCUUUCUUACGGUCCUCUCUGUGCCAUCGCAUCAACUUGGCAUGCUCUUUGUUUCUGAACAGGCGUUUCAACCGUGGUAUUAUAGGAGCAUACCACAUCACCUUGGCAGGAACCCUCUUCCUGGGGCGCUCGCCGUCAACAUUACCAGGGUCAUCUCGUCUGAUCUUAUACCGCAAUGCACCCCAUACCGGGCAUGCGUUCAAAUCCUUGUACGCACUGCGGUAGAGGAUGCAAUUAUUAGGGCAUGCAUGUAUCUUCUGCACCUCCAAUCCUAGAGGGCAUACAACCUUCUUUGCUGCAUACGUACUGUCGGGCAAUUUGGUUAUCCUUUGGAAGCUUCUUCUUCAAUAUUUUCAAUAGCUUCUCAAAUCCUUUGUCAGACACACCAUUCUCUGCCUUCCACUGCAGCAAUUCCAGUACGGUACCGAGCUUUGUGUUGCCAUCUUCGCAAUUGGGGUACAAACCUUUUCUGUGAUCCUCUAACAUGCGAUCAAACUUCAGCUUCUCCUUUUGACUUUCGCACUGUCUCCUUGCAUCAACAAUGACCCGGCGGAGAUUGUCACUGGGCACAUCGUCUGGUUCCUCUUGAUCUUCAAAAACUUCCCCCGUUGCAGCAUCACCGUAUUCAGGGGGCACAUAGUUGUCAUCUUCCUCUUCUUCUUCGUUGUCUUCCAUCAUAACCCCUAUUUCUCUGUGCUUGGUCCAAACAUUAUAGUGUGGCAUGAUACCCUUAUAAAGCAGGUGGGUGUGAAGGGUUUUCGAGUGAGAGUAAGACUUCGUAUUCCCACAUAUAGGGCAUGGACAACACAUAAAACCAUUCUGCUUGUUUGCCUCAUCCACUUCGAGAAAAUUAUGCACGCCCUUAAUGUACUGGGAGGUGUGUCUGUCACCGUACAUCCAUUGUCGGUUCAUCUGCGUGCAUAUUAUAUAUAAUUAAGUGUGUCAAAAACCAUUACAGAACAUCAUGAAUAGAUAAGUGACCAAAUUAAUAGAAGUUCAUCAUAACAUUAAAAGCAAAGUACAUACAUAUUUCUCAUUGAACAACAUAUAGCUCUCUAGAGCGUCUAAUUAAACCAUACAUUGAAACUAUGUAAAACAUUUCAAUGCAACAACAAAUGCAAUCAUAAUCGCAACCAAGGUAACAAUUGAUCCAACGGCAUAAUGAUACCAAGCCUCGGUAUGAAUGGCAUAUCUUCUAAUCUUUCUAAUCUUCAAGCGCAUUGCAUCCAUCUUGAUCUUGUGAUCAUCGACGACAUCCGCAACAUGCAACUCCAAUAUCAUCUUCUCCUCCUCAAAUUUUUUAUUUUUUCCGUCAAGUAACUGUUUUCUUCCUCAACUAAAUUUAACCUCUCGACAAUAGGGUCGGUUGGAAUUUCCGGUUCACAUACCUCCUAGACAAAUAAAAUAUAUUUCACGUUGGUCGGCACAAUUGUCGUAAACAAUAAAUGAACCAAAUAGUUAUAAAGAUAAUAUAUAUCACAUCCGAAUCAUAGACAGGACGAGGGCCGACGGGGGCGGAUACCAAAACCAUUGCACUAUAUAAUAAGAAGCAAUAAUAGAAGUAAGAAAAUUAUACAAGUAUCUAUCUAAACAUACAAGUAAGAAUUUUUUUUCCUUUCAUAAAGAAUAUAAGAACAAGAGGCUCACCACGGUGGUGCCGGUGACGAGAUCGGCGUGGGCGAUCGACAGCGGUGAAGACGGGGACGGGACGUGAUGGACCGCUAAACCUAGACAAAUAUUGAGGAAAAUGGAGCUUGGAGGUCGAGCUUGGAGAGGAGAAAGCUUAAGUAGUGUGGCUCGUGCAUUUCAUCAAACACCUCAUGUGCAUAGGAGGUGAGCUAGAGCUCCACAAAGCCCUCCCCUCGCCGGCCAAAAAAAACAGAGCAGUAUGGAGUGCUCUGCUCGCCGGCGAGGGGGUAUAUAUAGGCACAUCAUUGGUCCCGGUUCGUGGCUAGAACCGGGACUAAAGGACACCAACCGGGACCAAUGGUGGGGGGCAGGAGCGAGGCACAUUAGUUCCGGUUCGAUCCUCGAACUGGGACCAAAGGUGCGAGUGAACCGGGACCAAUGCCCCACGAUGGCCUGGCCGGCCCGCUGGCCUCACGAACCGGGCCCUAUGCCCCCAUGGGUCCUGGUUCUAGGAUGAACCGGGACUAAUGGGCUGGCCCGGCCUGAACCAAAGCCAUGUUUUCUACUAGUGGGUAGAAGGUAAUACCCAAUUGUUUCCUUAGGGUAUCCUAUGAAGACGCACUUCUCCGAUUUGGGUUCGAGCUUAUCAGGCUGAAGCCUUUUGACAUAAGCAUCGCAUCCUCAAACUUUAAGAAACGACAACUUAGGUUUAUUACCAAACCACAAUUCAUACGGUGUCGUUUCAACGGAUUUUGACGGUACCCUAUUUAAUGUGAAUGCAGCUGUCUCUAAUGCAUAACCCCAAAACGAUAGUGGUAAAUCGGUAAGAGACAUCAUAGAUUGCACCAUAUCUAAUAAAGUACGGUUACAACAUUCAAACACACAAUUACGAUGUGAUGUUCCAGGUGGCGUGAGUUGUGAAACUAUUCCACAUUGUUUUAAAUGAAGGCCAAACACGUAAUUAAAAUAUUCACCUCCACAAUCAGAUUGUAGAAACUUUAUUUACGAUGAUUCUCCACUUCACUAUGAAAUUCUUUGAACUUUUCAAAUGUUUUUGUAAGUGCAUCUAGUGCCACCCCUAGUUGGUUUUGGAGUAUUGACGACAAAGUUGGUUGAGGGACUAAUGCGUUUGUGAGAAUUGCAGGAUAACGCAGGUAGUGUCCCUCAUUGAUUCAGUUUACCUACCGGAGAUGACCCCUAAAAAUGUUUGAAGACAUUGACGACAAUGGUGGUAUGUGAAGAUAUUCACAUUGAAGACUAUGACAUGAGAAGACAUUGAGUGAAGACUAUGGAGCGCGAAGACUGUGUUGUUUCGUUGUUUCCUUUUCUUCUUUGUUGAGUCAUAGGAACCACCGUACUGUUAAGUGGGGUCCAAGUGAACAAAGUCAGAGUGACUGAAGUGAUGCUCAACCCAAAUCCUAUGUCUUCGAGCGAAGACAAUGAGAGCAAAUCUUAUCCAGAGCUGGAUGAGUCAGCUUUGCUUGUAGCCCAAGUAAAGUCGUCGUGUGUGUUUGAAAUCUGACCGUUGGAACACGUGUCAGUUCCUUAGUGACCCAGGGUCAUUUCGAACAUAUCAGGUCGGGUUGCCUUGUGGCUAUAAAUAGCCCACCCCCUACACCAUAAAUUAGUGGCUGCUCAGAGUUAGUUUACGACUUUUGUCGUUUUGAGAGCAACCCACCUCGAAGCCUUUGAGAGAGAAAUCCUUGCAAGGACAAAGCCCAAACACCCAGAGCCAAAGAGUGUUAGGCAUCACUGAAGUCUUUCUGUCUGAGUGACCUGAAGACUUAUUACACUUGAGGACUGUGUAUCCUCUAGCCAGUUAGGCGUUGCGUUCCGAGCAUCCAAGAGUCAUUGUGGAUCACCGGUGAACGAAGUCUGUGAAGGUUCGGAAGUCUACCUUGAAGACUUACCAGAGUGAUUGGGCGAGGACUGUGUGUUCUUAGCUCAAGGGGAAUAAGGUGAAGACGCGUUCUUCUGAGUUGAAUCUCAGCCUCCCUAACCAGACGUACAGUUGUCACAAUAACUGGAACUGGUCCAACAAAUCCCGUGUCUUCAACAAGUGACUAGUUCUAUCUUUUCCCUCCCUUUACUUUGAGUUAGUCUUCGUGAAGUCAUUGCCUAUUUGUCUUAUCUGUUUGACUUCAUUGCUUGACUACUAUCGUUGAUUGGCUUCAUACUAUCUUCCAUCCUGAUCCUCACUACCUAGCUGCUAUUAGUCUUUGUACGUUCACACAAUUGCAUACUUGACUAUGGCUUGCUUGUUGUAGUUUAUCUUCCGCUGCAUAUCAAUUAGGUCAUUUCUAUUGCUUGUCUUCGAAACUUCCAUGUUUUGAAGACUUUGAUAAAAAUCGCCUAUUCACCCCCCCUCUAGUCGAUAACUAGCACUUUCAAUUGGUAUCAGAGCAAGGUACUCCCUUGUUCUGUGUGAUUUAGUUUAACCACCUAGAGUUUAGCUAUGUCAACUGCAGGGAUAAUCAAAGUCCCCGCUGCUUGCCCCGUGUUCGAUGGAACUGAAUAUCCCUACUGGAAGAAUAAGAUGUGCAUGCAUCUUGAAGCCAUUGAUGUCGACCUCUGGUAUGUCGUCAAGAACGGCAUUCCCAAAACUGGUGAAAGUGUCACCCCUGCUGAUGUCAAGAAGUUCAUUCAACUGGACUCGACUGCAAAGAACAUCAUCUGUGGUCAUCUGACCAAAGGACAGUAUGGCCGUGUGAGUGCUCUGGAAACAUCAAAGCUAGUCUGGGACUGGCUAUCCAAGGUCAAGGAAGGUGUCUCAACUCAAAGAGAUCAAAGGAUCAGUGUUCUUCGCAACCCCUUCAACCGCUUCAAGAGAAACGACAAUGAAAAUGUCCAGCUCACGUUUGAUCGCCUCACCGACAUCACAAAUGAGCUUCAGGCUCUCGGCGCCACUGAGAUUACCAAGCAUGAAAUCGUCAAGACACUACUGAGAUCUCUUGACAGCUCCUUUGACACCCUUGCCCUCAUGAUACAAGAACGCCCUGACUUCAAGACUCUCGAUCCGUCUGAUAUACUUGAGAGGCUCAACACACAUGAGUUCCAGCUUUCUGAGAGAAGAGAUAUCUAUGUCCCCAACUAUGGCCGAACUCGCACUUUGAAGGCAAAAGUGGUUUCCUCAUCUGAAGAAGAAUCUGACUGCGGUUCUGAUGAUCCUGAAGACAUUGGAAAGGAACUUGCUAUGCUUGUGAAGAAGUUCCAGAAGUUCACCAAGAAGAAGGGCUUCAGAAAGUCUUCACGAUCCAGUUCAAGAAAUGAUGAAGCUUCCACUCAAGACAACAAGAAGAGAACAUGUCACAAGUGCAAGAAGCCUGGGCACUACAUCUCUGAGUGUCCACAAUGGGACACUGAGAAGAAAAAGAAGAAGAGCAAGGAAUAUGAUUCUGAUGUCAAGAAGAAGAAGAAAUCUUCAAAGUCUUCUUCCAAGUCCUCAUCAAGGUCCUCAUCUCAUAAGAAGAGCUCAUCUGGCAAGGCUCGUGCUUUUGUUGGCAAGGAAAUGGAUUCAGAGGAGGAGUCUGCUUCUGAGGAGGCGGAGGUGGAAUCUGAAGAGGAGUCCGACGCUGGCGUUGCAAGUCUGGCUCUAGCCACAGCCUAUGUUGCCAAGUCCAUCUUCAACACUGAAGACAAUGACUUCCACACCAACGCUGAUGUUGAUGACAAGGACGAUCCUGCUCCCACCUACUGCUUCAUGGCAUGUGGUGCCAAGGUAAAAUCACGAGAUGCUUACUUCCAAACAUCAAGUGAAGAUGACUCUGAUUGUGAAUCAAAACCCAGCUACAAAACUCUUGCUAAAAUUGCAACUGAACAACAAAAAGCUAUGGAACACACUCAAAAACUGUUAGACAAAAACGAUGACCCGUUGGACGCGGAAAUGACACGUUCACAGUCCUUAGUUGAAGACAUAAAAAAUCUUCAUGCUAAGUACCAAGAACUUGAAAGUCUUCAUGAGACGCUCUCAACCUCUUAUGAAAAGCUCUCCUAUGAUUAUAUUCAAAGGAAGCAAGAUCUUGAGAAAUUGAAAGCAGCUCAUGAAGAUCUUCAAAAGGAGAAUGAGUCACUUCGCGCUCAACAGAUCUGUACCGCUCAGGAAUGAUCUGAACCACCAUGUCUGAAAUGCAUUGAGCGUGAUAACGCUACCUCUGUUGCUGAAUGUUCCACUUCUGCUACUGUUGCUUUGUCUUCAACUACUGAUGUGGUAACUAACCCCUCUGCUGAGGAUACCACUACUAUUGCUGAUGAAAAUGCUAGGUUGAAGACAUUGCUUGAAACAGGGAUGUAUAAAAGUCUGAAAGGACAUCAGACACUUUGCGAUGUCCUCAAAAAGUAGAUUCUGAACCGAAACCCUAGGAAAGAGGGUGUUGGGUUCGAGAGGAAAAUGAAUGCUGAUGGCUCCUACUGGAAGCCUGAGCAGUAUCCCAAAACCAGAUGGGUUGCUGCAAAGGAACCUUCAGUGGAUCCAUCCACCUUAUCUGGCUUUACCUGUGCUAAUCCCAUUAUCAUUGAUGAAUCCUUUGAUGCAAACUAUAAACUGUUCAAAAAUCAGAAUGGUGAAGUGUUUGCCAGGUAUAUUGGUACUAACUGCAGGAAUGGACCACCUAUGAAGAAGAUCUGGGUUUCCAAAAGUUGUCUUGAGAAUCUUCCUGUGAAUGUGGUCAUGACACCAUCAGGGAAGAAGACAAACCCCAGACCAAAGGCAUCAUAUGGUCCAACGGCUUCAUACGGAUAUAGGACUCACCUGAGUCACCCUAAGGCCAAUGUUUUGCAGGGAAAUUGUACUCAAACUUAUGAAUAUGAGCGUGUGUCUUCAAACCGCUAUGUUCAUAGAACUAAGAACUUUUCUGCUUAUUCAUAUGAGUAUCAUUCAUCUCCUGCAAAGCUAUUUGCUAGGGCUCCAAAGCCGAAAUUCUCAGAUGCUGCACUUAGACUCAUUGCUUCUAAGCCACCCCUGAAGAUGUGGGUGGUGAAGAAGAAUUAACUCUCUUUUGCAGAAUAUGGUCUCCAGCCAGCAAUUAAAGGCGUCUGAUACUAUUGCUGGGGACCUAAAACACUAUAAGGGACGCAUGAUAAAAUGGUCUUACUAUAUAUUUCACAUGAGAAUUGCUUACCAGUCAUACUAUGAGUUCGAACCUUGAUCUAAGUUGUGAUAAUCCUUGUGUGUGUCAAAUGCUUAUGCUUCACAACACACUAUGUGAAGCCUAUCCUCCUAACUGCACUGUAGGGUAUGACACCUCAUGCUUCAGAGUGGAUUAUGGACAGCGGAUGCACUAAUCAUAUGACUGGUGAUCGAAGUCUUCUCAUGGACUCAACCUUACGUCCAUUAGACAAGAGUCACAUCACAUUUGCUGACACUGGUAAAAGCAAGGUAUUGGGUCUAGGUAGAGUUGCAAUCUCAAAGGAUCAACACAUGGAUAAAGUGAUGCUUGUUGAAUCCCUUGGGUUCAACUUAAUGUCUGUCUCAAUGCUUUGUGACUUGAACAUGAUUGUGCUAUUCGGAAAAUAUCGUUGCCUUGUACUAAUGGAAUCUGACAAGUCUCUAGUCUUUGAAGGGUAUAGGAAAGAUGAUCUAUACUUGGUAGAUUUCUCAGCAGGUCCACAGCUUGCCGUAUGUCUUCUUGCAAAAGCUUCAGAAUGCUGGCUCUAGCAUCGGAGGCUGGGGCAUGCUGGCAUGAGAAACUUACACACACUCGUCAAGAAGAAGCAUGUCAUAGGCAUUGAUGGUGUCAAGUUCAAGAAGGAUCAUUUGUGUGGUGCCUGUGAAGCUGGAAAAAUGACUAGGGCGAAGCACCCCUCGAAGACAAUCAGGAUGACAUCUCAACCCUUCGAGUUGUUACACAUGGAAUUAUUUGGCCCUACUCACUACUCUACCCUCACAACAACAGCUUGUCUCUAUGGCUUCGUCAUUGUUGAUGACUACUCAAGAUAUAUACAGGGGUGCACAUAAUUCUCUACAAGACUGAAGUACAAGAUGUCUUCAGAUGCUUCGCAAAUCGAGCCAUGAACAAUUAUGGCGUCAAGAUCAAGCAUAUCAGAAGUGACAACGGCACUGAGUUCAAGAACACCGGGCUUGAUCUUUAUCUGGAUACAAUGGGAAUCACUCAUGAGUUUUCUACUCCCUAUACACCUCAGCAAAAUGGCAUUGUUGAGCGCAAGAACAGGACCCUCAUUGAGAUGGCUCGAACAACGCUCGAUGAGUACAAGACACCAAGAUAGUUUUGGCCUGAAGCUAUUGAUACAGCAUGUCAUAUCAUCAACCGUGUCUACAUCCAUAAGCUUCUGAACAAAACAUCCUAUGAGCUCCUCACUGGCAAGAAGCCAAAUGUCAGUUACUUCAGAGUAUUUGGUGCUAGGUGCUGGAUCAAGGAUCCCCAUCACAAGUCAAAAUUUGCACCUAAGGCUCACGAAGGCUUCAUGCUCGGUUAUGGAAAGGACUCGCACUCUUACAGAGUCUUCAACCUCUAUCACUAUAAAAUCGUUGAAACUGUGGACGUGAGAUUUGAUGAAACCAAUGGUUCACAACGAGAGCUCCUGCCAAGCACACUAGAUGAAGCUCCUCCCAGCGAAUCUAUCAAGCUGAUGGGAACUGGUGAAAUCAUGCCUUCUGAAGCACAGCCUGAAGAGGAACUUAUCAUUUCUGCACCAAACCAACCUGAGGACAAUGCUCAGACCGAAGACAAUCCUCCCAAUGAUGACAAUGAUCAGAAUGAGCAAGGUCUUCGUCCAGUUCAUCCUCGUGUUGCAAAUUAAGUACAAAUUGAGAAGAUAAUUGAUAGCAUCAAUGCACGUGGUCCACUUAAUCGCUCAAGAGCAACACAGUUAGCAAAUUUCUGUGGGCAUUUUUCAUUUGUGUCAAUUUCAGAACCCAAGAAAGUUGCUGAAGCUUUUAUGGAACCUGAAUGGAUUCAAUCCAUGCAAGAAGAACUUCAAUAGUUCAAGCUGAAUAAUGUUUGGGAACUUGUCAAGCGCCCUGACCCUCGUAAGCAUAACAUUAUUGGCACUAAAUGGAUAUAUCGGAACAAGCAAGAUGAGCAUGGUCAAGUCGUCAGAAACAAAGCAUGUCUUGUGGCUCAAGGAUAUAAUCAAGUUGAAGGAAUUGACUUCAAUGAAACAUUUGCUCCUGUAGCUAGGCUUGAAGCUAUUCGCAUACUGCUAGCCUAUGCUAAUCACCACAACAUCUUACUAUAUCAAAUGGAUGUGAAGAGUGCAUUCCUCAACGGCAAGAUUGAAGAAGAAGUGUACGUUGCUCAACCACCUGGCUUUGAAGAUCCAAAACAUCCUGAUAUGGUGUAGAAACUAAACAAAGUACUGUAUGGCCUCAAACAAGCUCCUCGCGCUUGGUAUGAUACGAUCAAAGACUUCCUGAAGAGCAAAGGCUUCAAACCUGGAUCCCUCGAUCCCACACUCUUCACGAAGACAUAUGAUGGUGAACUGUUUGUAUGCCAAAUAUAUGUGGAUGACAUUAUCUUCGGCUGCACCAACCAGAAGUAUAGUGAUGAGUUUGGAUACAUGAUGCAAGAGAAAUAUCAGAUGUCCGUGAUGGGUGAGCUGAAGUUCUUCCUUGGUCUUCAAAUUCGUCAGCAAAGGAAUGGCAUCUUCAUAUCUCAAGAAAAAUAUCUCAAAGAUUGUCUGAAGAAGUUUGGAAUGCAAGAUUGCAAAGGUUACACGACGCCAAUGCCAGCCAAACACCAUCUUGGUCCCGACAACAAUGGUAAAGAGUUCGAUCAAAAGGUAUACCGCUCCAUGAUUGGGUCUUUACUUUACCUAUGUGCAUCUAGGCCAGAUAUCAUGCUUAGUGUUUGCAUGUGUGCUCGAUUCCAAGCGGCACCAAAGGAAUCACAUCACCUAGCUAUGAAGCGAAUUCUUCGAUAUUUGGCUUACACCCCAACACUCGGAUUAUGGUAUCCAAAGGGCUCAAAAUUUGAUCUGGUUGGAUUCUCGGAUGCUGAUUAUGCUGGUGACAAGGUGGAUCGCAAGUCUACAUCAGGCACAUGUCACUUUCUGGGACGAUCACUUGUCUGUUGGUCUUCAAAGAAGCAAAACUAUGUAUCACUCUCAACUGCUGAAUCUGAAUACAUUGCUGCUGGUUCUUGCUGCGCUCAACUUCUAUGGAUGAAGCAAACUCUCAAGGACUAUGGCGUCAAUCUGAAACAAGUACCUCUCUUCUGAACGAAAGCGCCAUCAAGAUUGCCAACAAUCCAGUUCAGCACUCGAAGACAAAGCACAUUGAAAUUCAUCAUCAUUUUCUCAGAGAUCAUGUCAUGAAGAAAGAUAUUGACAUCAUUCACGUCAACACUGAAGAGCAACUGGCAGAUAUCUUCACAAAGCCCUUGGAUGAGAAAAGGUUUUGCAAGUUACGGUGUGAGCUAAAUAUCUUGGAAUCCUCAACUGUCCUGUGAUCAGGCACACAUCCUAACACUUAUGCAUGUUGAUGACUUAGAUGUGCAACACACGAAGUAAAGUAUAUCUUCAAUCAAUGAAGACUUACAUUCUGAGUGUGAAUACAUUAACGUGGAAUUUGACUUCGGAGCGCCACGAUAAUUGUGCGUCGUGUCUGGGUCUAAUACUUCCUAUACGGUGGGUAACGCCACCACCAAAUUUCUUGGUUUGAAGUGUUUCACUCAUGGCGUUAUUUUUGCAAUAUCUUCGCAUUUGAUUUGUCUUCAAGAUUUCAACUUAUCUUCAUGAUUUACUUCACUAUGUUGAUUUGAUUGCUUUCUCAUAUAUAUAUAUAUAUAUAUAUAUAUAUAUAUAUACAUAUAUAUAUAUAUAUACACUAGUAUAUAUAUAUAUACUAGUAUUCUGUACUCUAUAGCAUUCACUUAUAGCUAUGUCUUCAUUGUUGAAUCUUUUGAACUAAGUGAAUGUGAUCGGACCCUAAUCUCUCUAUGUUUUCUAUCUCAAACUCUAUAUGUCCAAAUCAUAUGCAUUCUAUUGAAACUGUCAAAUGUCCUCUCUGCAUCCUUGUCAGCAGAAGACACAGAGACAAAAUUAAGUCUGUUUUAAAUGAUUCAUCCUUAUUGUUUGAAAUCCGGAGAAGCUGGAACAACCAUCCGACAAACUUGGCGGGCGUGGGAACGUGGGACAACUCUGAGUAUGUUGCAUGCUUGCCACAUGUCCCUCUGAUGUGAACAGGCAAGGGCACCUGCGUAAUUGCGCUAUGCCGCACACCUUCUUAUAAAUAUGUGUCCCCUGCGGUCAAGAAAACCUUCUUCCACCUCUCCACCUCGUCAAAACCCUAGCGCCAACGCUAGCUCUCGACGACGCCGGCGACGAAGCGCUUAGCUGCCGUGACUUCUCCGACGCUGUCCUCACGCCGGCCGCGGACAUCGUACUCUCCGCCGCCGCCGUAGGUGUCCUCCGUCGCCAAGUUAGGGCACGGUGGAUUGAACUGCUCGGUCUCAUAUUCAUCCCAUCUAGCAGUUCUUCGUGUGGUAAAUAUAACUCUAUUUUUACCACCUUCUUGAUCCUCAGUGAUUCAUCCUAUUUACCAAAAUUGGUUUCUGUCUAUACAAUGUUAGAUCUAUUCUGUCUGCAUCUCAUACUGCCUAGUAUAUUCACUUAAGCUUCAUAUAUAGUUAGAUUCCUCACUUGUACUUAUUCACGGAUUCGUACAAAUCUGGAACCAACUCUCAACAUAUAAGUGAAUGUCUUCGCAACAUGAGGUCAAUGUCUUCAAACUGAUUUAUCUUCAAAAUCUUCUGAGAAUGCAUAUGACCUCUUCCCCUUCCCUCGCAUCUCUAAUGCUGUCACAGGUACAUGUCCAUGGGAGAAUCCCUAGGUUCUCAUAGUCUGUAUUCGUUUGCAGAAUUCUUACAGCAACACAUUAACUCUCCCGAAGCCAGUUCCUGUUUGUCCAGCAAGCGAAAGCCUUUGAAGCCUUUGAACAUAUUGAAGCCAUUCAGUUUGAAGUUCAUGGCUGCAGAAAAAUCUGUAAGGAAGGGUGGCAGACAGCGUCGAGGGGGAACAUCAAAAGAUUUGCCUGAUGACCUCGCAGACCUUUACAAGACAGAUACUGAUGAGGAUUACAAUCAGCGCAAGACACGAAUCCAAUGGAUUUGACGAUAUUGGGCUGAACAAUGGUUCAAGUACAAGUUCGUGACCCAGGAGUACGCUGAGAAGAAUGCUAUCAAAAGUCCUUGGGGUGAUAUUCUCUAUCGAGGCCUUCCCCCCAAGAACAGAGCUGAAGCUAUUGCACAAGAAUUCUAUCCUUGUAUGGUCCAUGGACCACAGCCUGAAAAUGCCGAUCCAUCAUCAUUGCUCUGGUGUCGUGACGAUAAUCUCUUCAAGCGCAACUUCCAGCAUGCAAAGGCAUCGGCAAAGGAAAACAAGAAGUCAUUGGGAUUAGACUUCAACCCUGGUCCCUCUGCUCCCUGUGCUGACGGCUCACGUGAUGCGGAACCAAAUGAAAUCGGCCCCUUUACGAACCUUGAUGGCCUCAUCACAUACAUCUUGGUACAAGGUGCCAAAGUAGAUCAUUCUGACAAUGGUGAUGACACCGAUGAAGCCCCAGUUCCACCUCCAAAGCCACAGAAGCUAAAGAAGACUAAGGCUUCAACAUCAGCUGCUCCUCCAAAAGCUUCACGUACGAAGCCACUGGCCACUGCACCUCCUGAAGACAGUGUGCAGUCUGAAGAUCUAUCACUCAUCUCCAAGAAGACGGAGAAGAAAAAGAAAAUCAUCAAGAGUACUGAUCAGACAUUGACUCCUGCUGCCAUUCUACGUGAAGAGCACAUUGAUCUGUCCAGCGAUGACGAUCUUGCAGAUGAUGCUCUUGAGCAACUGAUCAAGAGCAAGGAAGAAGCAGAGGUCUUUAAUAAUUUUCCUCUCUUUGAUGUGGCAAUCAUCCAUAACUUCAUUGAUGAGUGGUUUGAUACCCCAAAUCUCAGCUUUGAUGAUCUGCAACUUCCAAUUGGCCUCAGCGUCUCCUUCAAUGGCACCAUUGCUUCUGAGCUAGCUCUUGCUCAGCGCAUUGUUGAACUGAAGCACAAGAUCGACUAUGAGAAAGCUUAGUUCAAGAAGCAUGUGGCCAAGCUCAGCGUGCAAGAUGUCAAGAACUUCAAGAUCAUGCUUCACGAGCUCAAAGAAGCCUUUCACAAGAAGCGUGAAGAAGCUAGAGGCUCUCGUGAGUGCAUGAAGAGUCUGGCUGACAAGUGUGUGCUAGCCUACAAUGAGGCUGAGAAGCGCAAGGCUCUUGGUCAUCCUGGCAUUGACCCCAGAAUGGCUGCAAAGAAGAAGAAGCUAUCAACUGUCCAAUCUGCACCGUCAAGGCAUGAUGAACCUCGCAUAGUUUUCCCAAGCAGCAUGACAGGCUCGAAGCCAAAGGUCAUGUCAACCGCUUCAGAACUGAAGAAGAUGAGGGCUGCCGAGGCUGAAGCCAAAAAAAGGAAAAACACAAAAGCCUCUGAUGCUGCUCCCUCCAAGAAGAAGCGCAAAACCAAGAAGAAUCGGGCUGCUCCCACAGAGCCCCUUGUUGUUGAACCUAUCUCAGUGGUUCGCCCUGCAUCUGCAAACCAAGAACUACGAAUGAUUGUUCAUGAGCCUGCUUCCACAGAGGCUCAUGAAGCUGAAGAGAUUCCAGCAGUUGAUCCCAUCGCUGCUGAAGACAUUGGUCACCAUGACAAUGUUGAAGAUGACGAAGUUCUUCCUCAGAUUGAACACAACGUGGUAUCAUCGCCUGUUCUCACGAACAGCGAAAUCAUCAGCAUUGGUCGUCCUUUGACGCCAUUUGCUUAGGAUGCAUCAUGGGUUAAUCGCCCGCAACAACAAGACUCCCCCAGUACUCCCCAACAACAACAAGUCACACCAUCUGUGCAAGUUGAAGAGGAUGAGGCCCAGCCAACUCCAUCUCCAAAGGCGUCACCUGUAUUACAAAGGCUUCGCAAAGGACCAAGGCCUCAAGUCCUUCUUCCGAGCGUUCCAGAAGGAGAAGUGCACCACCAAUCUGUUGCACGUCAAGUGUUUUCAGAAGCCACUCCAACUGUGAAUGUCUCCAUGUCUGAAGCCCAAGCUGCUGAAGACAAUCCGGCUGCAUCAGCCGAUGACGAACAUCAAGAAGAACGUGUCCCUACUCCCCCCAUUACUGAAUAAGCGGUUCCUGAAGUGAACGUGCCUGUGCCAGACCCUCCAGCUCAUCAAGUGGAGGUUGAAAAUGUUGAUGCUGCCACCACUAACACAAAUGAAGCCAAUGAUGUAGUCAUGGCUGAGGCUAAUGUGGAGCCUGCACCAAGCAACAUGCUAGAAGUCAAUGCUGCAACUGCUCCUGAAGCUUCUGUAGUGCAGCAUGAAGCCACCGUUGUUGCCACUGCUUCUGUUCCGCCACCAAGGCCCUAUACAAUUGAGCAAGCAUACAACCAUGGCGAGCUAAUCACAGUAAGAUGGCCCGUUCUGGUCCCUCCGCCUAAUGUCUCUGGUCCUCAGUUUGAUCAUCACAUUGAGCAUAGGCCUCAGGUCCAGAAACCAAAGCCAAGACUGCCAAGGUUUCUAGGUACUGCCAGAUCUGCAGGGUCUUUCAAUGCAAAUGGCUUCAAAAGCCACAGCACCUUCUUUGACAGCUCAAAGAACCCCUACUCAAGGCCAAGAAUAUCAUCUGAUCGUUUCUGGAGUCAUCAGCAACGAAGCUAUUACUCCUGCAUUCUGUAUGAUCAAGGGAGCAUUUUCCCUCAUAUGCGCCUUGACACUGAAGCCAUUGCUCGACUGCCAUGCUUAGAAGAAGCAGUUGACUGCUUUCGUGAUGCUGGUCUGCUCAGCUUUGUGACAGACAAAGAACAUUGGAAUGAAGAACUUUUGCUUCAAUUCUAUGCUACCCUCCACAUUCGCGGCUACAACGGGGAUACAAAGACAUGGGUUCUCGAGUGGAUGACAGGAAAUGUUCAUCAUGAAGCCAAAGCUCUUGACAUCAUUGAGCUUACAGGGUUAUCCACUCCCGGGGAGUUGUGCGAACCUGGUUGUCAACACCACCGCAAUGCACUGGAGAGCAUCUUCCAUAAGCCAGAACCCAACAUGAGCCAUAUGUUAAGCAUGAUGAAGCCUUUGCCACAUGACGCUGAAUACCCAAAGGAGUUCUUUGUUGAUGACCUUGAGUAUCUACCGCGCACCAUAUAUCACAUCAUCAGGCGGACUCUAUGGCCUAUAAAAGGACAUUCAUCAGCUGCAAAACUUGAAGGAGCCAUGAAGACAUUGGUCUUUUACAUCCUCAAUGGCAUCAGCUUCAAUGCACAAGAUUUCUUCCUCCGGCAACUGGCUGCGUCUGGAUCUGACCUGUUUGGCCUGAAAUUCUAUGCUCCAUGGGUCAUGCGCCUCAUCAAGCUACACUCUGCUAUCAACUAUCAGCCCUCUGCCCGCAAUCAUGUGAUCUUUCUACCAGAGGUUGAUAUGUCAGUUGAAGCCAUAUAUUCUGAACCUGCCAAGAAGCCUCUUUGUCUUCAAAAUGCUGAACACCAAAUCUUCACUCAGCCUAUGGAAGGAGUCCAAGCAGUAACUCGUGUCUAUCCAAUGGCCGGAAACACUCGUGUACCUCAUCAUACGCCAACUGAAGCUACUGAGAGCACAAUUGCCCAAAGAUCUAAGAAGCGCUCUCGUGCCCUAAAUGACCAAGAACUUCUUGUGGCACUGCAUCAGAAACAAGACAAGCAUCACUUUUGGCUCAAGCGUCAGAUGCAAAGCCUCUUGGUGGAUGUAAAUCGCAUUCGCAAUCUUGCCACCAAGAAUGCAAUUGUCACUCACGAAACCUGUCGGCGAUCAUGGAAGAGUUUGACCCUGCUCAGUACUGAAGCAGAUCUUCAAGACAAUGGCUUCACUGAACGAUUCAAGUUUGACUCCACUCCUCCACGGAAUGCUGUCCUACGACGAACUCCAUCCCUUGAAGACUCUGACUAUUCUUCCUCCGCGGCAACUAUGAAUGCCAAUGUGAUCGAUGAUGAAGACGAUGCUACUUCACCACCUCCUACUUCUGCACGCAUCGACACUGCACCAAGUUCGUCUGUGCCGCCAAACAACAACGACAACCCUGCUGCUUCACCUACUCCUCAUGAGGACGAGUAGAUGCUCUAUGUCUUCAAACCUUUUUGGUCAUUACUGACAAAAGGGGGAGAAGCAUAUGAGUUUGAUAGUCUUCAAGCGGGUUCAUAUGGGCGGUUGCUUUAUAUUUUGCCUAUGUGUUUACAACUCUUGCUUUUGAUACAUUUUGUUCUUUGAGUUGUAACACUUAAACUCGAUGGUCAUCUGCAACUUAUUUUCUUUUCCAUGUGCGAUGAUAACUUCCGCACUUAGAUCAUUCUGCAGACGUCCAUUUUUCAUUAUGCAUGUCAUCCUCUUAGUUAUAUCAUUUCAUGCAUGAUGAAUUAUCUUCAUAAGUUGAAGAGGAUCUCCACAAGUACAACCUGCCAUGUGCAUUUGCAUUCCAAAAGCAAAUUACUUAUAUGCACAUCUUCAGGGGGAGCCCUUGCCACUUAUGAAGACAAUACCCUAUCCUUUACAAUUUCACAUACUUCAUUCCCGUUGAAAACUUCAACCAGUUUGUCAUCAAUCACCAAAAAGGGGGAGAUUGUAAGUGCAUCUGGUGCCACCCCUAGUUGGUUUUGGAGUAUUGACGACAAAGUUGGUUGAGGGACUAAUGCGUUUGUGAGAAUUGCAGGAUAACGCAGGUAGUGUCCCUCAUUGAUUCGGUUUACCUACCGGAGAUGACCCCUAAAAAUGUAUGAAGACAUUGACGACAAUGGUGGUAUGUGAAGAUAUUCACAUUGAAGACUAUGACAUGAGAAGACAUUGAGUGAAGACUAUGGAGCGCGAAGACUGUGUUGUUUCGUUGUUUCCUUUUCUUCUUUGUUGAGUCAUAGGAACCACCAUACUGUUAAGUGGGGUCCAAGUGAACAAAGUCAGAGUGACUGAAGUGAUGCUCAACCCAAAUCCUAUGUCUUCGAGCGAAGACAAUGAGAGCAAGUCUUAUCCAGAGCUGGAUGAGUCAGCUUUGCUUGUAGCCCAAGUAAAGUUGCCAUGUGUGUUUGAAAUCUGACCGUUGGAACACGUGUCAGUUCCUUAGUCACCCAGGGUCAUUUCGGACAUAUCAGGUCGAGUUGCCUUGUGGCUAUAAAUAGCCCACCCCCUACACCAUAAAUUGGUGGUUGCUCAGAGUUAGUUUACGGCUUUUGUCGUUUUGAGAGCAACCCACCUCGAAGCCUUUGAGAGAGAAAUCCUUGCGAGGACAAAGCCCAAACACCCAAAGCCAAAGAGUGUUAGGCAUCACUGAAGUCUUUCUGUCUGAGUGACCUGAAGACUUAUUACACUUGAGGACUGUGUAUCCUCCAGCCGGUUAGGCGUUGCGUUCUGAGCAUCCAAGAGUCAUUGUGGAUCGCCGGUGAACGAAGUCUGUGAAGGUUCGGAAGUCUACCUUGAAGACUUACCAGAGUGAUUGGGCGAGGACUGUGUGUCCUUAGCUCAAGGGGAAUAAGGUAAAGACGCGGUCUUCUGAGUUGAAUCUCAGCCUCCCUAACCAGACGUACAGUUGUCACAACAACUGGAACUGGUCGAACAAAUCUUGUGUCUUCAACAAGUGAGUGGAUCUAUCUUUUCCCUCCCUUUACUUUGAGUUAGUCUUCGUGAAGUCAUUGCCUAUUUGUCUUAUCUAUUUGAGUUCAUUGCUUGACUACUAUCGUUGAUUGGCUUCAUACUAUCUUCCAUCCCGAUCCUCACUACCUAGCUGCUAUUAGUCUUUGUACGUUCACAUAAUUGCAUACUUGACUAUGGCUUGCUUGUUGUAGUUUAUCUUCCACUGCAUAUCAAUUAGGUCAUUUCUAUUGCUUGUCUUCGAAACUUCCACGUUUUGAAGACUUUGAUAAAAAUCGCCUAUUCACCCCCCCCUCUAGUCGAUAACUAGCACUUUCAGUUUUAGAUUUGUGUUUCAUUAAGUAGAUAUACCCUCAAAUCAUCUGUGAAGUUCAGAAAAUAACGAUACCCGCCACGAGCCUCAACACUCAUUGGACUGCAUACAUCAGUAUGUAUUAUUUCCAGUAAGUCAUUGGCUCGUUCCAUUGUUCCGGAGAAUGGAGUUUUAGUCAUCUUGCCCACGAGGCAUUUUUCGCAAGUAUCAAAUGAUUCAUAAGCAAGUGAUUCGAAAAGCCCAUCUGCAUGGAGUUUCUUCAUGCGCUUUACACCAAUAUGACCUAAACGGCAGUGCCACAAAUAUGUUGCACUAUCAUUAUCAACUUUGCAUCUGUCGGUGUCAAAACUGGCGGAUCUCAGGUAGGGGGUCCCGAACUGUGCGUCUAGGCGGAUGGUAACAGGAGACAAGGGACACGAUGUUUACCUAGGUUCGGGCCCUCUUGAUGGAGGUAAAACCCUACAUCCUGCUUGAUUGAUAUUGAUAUUGUGGAUGUUUACAAGAGUGGAUCUACCACGAGAUCAAGGAGGCUAAACCCUAGAAGCUAGCCUAUGGUAUGAUUGUAAUGGUUGUUGUUUUUCGGUCCUACGGACUAGAGCCAUCCGGUUUAUAUAGACACCGGAGAGGGCUAGGGUUACAUAGAGUCGGUUACAAUGGUAGGAGAUCUACAUAUCCGUAUCGCCAAGCUUGCCUUCCACGCCAAGGAAAGUCCCAUCCGGACACGGGACGAAGUCUUCAAUCUUGUAUCUUCAUAGUCUUGGAGUCCGGUCGACGAUGAUAGUCCGGCCGAUGAUAGUUCGGCUGAUGAUGGUAGUCCGGCUAUCUGGAAACCCCCUAAUCCAGGACUCCCUCAGUAGCCCCUGAACCAGGCUUCAAUGACGAUAAGUCCGGCGCUUAUAUUGCUUGGCAUUGCAAGGUGGGUUCCUCCUCCGAAUGAUAGAAGAUUGUGAACACCAGGAUAGUGUCCGGCUCUGUAAAAUAAAUUCCACAUUCCACCGUAGAGAGAAUAAUAUAUACACAAGUUCAAUCUGCUGACGUUUUUUGCGGCAGGAUGUCACGCCACUACCAAGCCAUUACUUGAAUCGUUUUUUACUCUACCACCUCAGCGCAUUUAGCGAAGCGGUUUGCUUGGCACGUCUUGUCGAAGCAGAGAUCGUGUUCCCCCUUAAUCCGGGAUUCUCAUCAAUACGGACGUGGGUAACCCAACCGCGCCAUUGAUGGUGUCGCUUGGGGGAUAAGCGAGUUUUACCAGGCCGAUGGGGGACGCGUAGACUUCGCCCACCCAUAUAAGGGAUAAGAAUUCACCUUUUCACCUACGCCUUCUUCCUCCUUUGCUUAUCCAUCUCCAUGCACUCGAGCUCCAGCGCCCAAGCCCGCACAUCUCGUCUCAACCUUCCCCAGUCAUGUCUGGAGCGGGAGGCAAGUGGAUGACCUCCUCCGUUACGGAGGAGCAUAUCGAAAGACUGCGCAGCGCCGGCUACCUGUCCGGCGACAUCGCGCACCGGCUGCCCGACGAGGGGCAGCUCAUCCCCACCCCCAGGCCCCAUGAGAGGGUCGUUUUUCUUCCCCACUUCCUCCGCGGUCUGGGCUUUCCACUUCACCCCUUUGUCCGGGGGCUCAUGUUCUACUACGGCCUGGAUUUCCAUGAUCUGGCACCAAACUUCAUCCUAAACAUCUCAGCGUUUACCGUCGUGUGCGAGGCCUUCCUCUGCAUCCAGCCCCACUUAGGCUUGUGGCUCAAAACCUUCAAUGUCAAGCCGAAGGUAGUGAAAGGCACUCAAGCGGAGUGCGGAGGCGCCAUGUUGGGCAAGAUGCCCAACGUCCUUUGGUUCGAAGGGGCCUUCGUGGAAUCCGUCAAGGGGUGGCAAUCGGGGUGGUUCUAUAUCACUGAGCCGCGCGACCCUACAUGGGCGGCGGCCCCCGAGUUCAGAUCUGGUAUUCCCACGCAGCUCACCUCCUGGAAAGAGAAGGGCUUGCUGUGGGGUAGUUCGGAGGAGCUGACAAGACUCCAAGCCUGUAUCCAGAAGCUGGUGAAGAAGCUCAGGCUGGUUAAUGUGGUCCAAGUCAUGCUCGUCCGCCGAAUUCUCCCAUGCCAAGAGCGGGCAUUCAAUCUGUGGGAGUUCAAUCCGGAACAGCACCAGGCUCUGAGAGGACUCUUCGACACCACGUACGAAGGCGCCUGGAGGGUGCUGUUUAAGGGCGCCGAAGCCCCCGCAUCCGCGACUGAAGAUUGCGGAUUUCGCUCGCAGCGCCAAGCCGACGAGGUAAGUGAUUCUACCCCUUUACGGGACACUUGCUUUUCAUAGUUUGACUCUAUGCGGGUUUUAAUUUCCCCCUUUUCCUUUGACAGGACUGGAUGAGGAAGGCGGAGCAGAUUAUCUGCCCGGCUCCUAUGCCAGAAAACCCAGUAGAUGCUCGUCUAGCGAGGCUGCUGGUUCCGGCACCGCACGUGGUGCCGGAGAAGAAGGCCAAGAAGGAGGCCACGGGUGCUCGAAAGAGUUCCCGUUUUCAGGUGUCCGACGACUCCGGGGCGGACUCCUCCCCCGAAAAAGAGGAGGAGAAAGAGGACUCUCUCCCAGAGGAUGGAGAGAGGAAGAGGAAGGCUUCCCCAAUAGGGGAGGCCGAAGGGUCCAAGAGGGGAAGGACUAUUCCCCCGGACAGCUCCGCCAACAUCAACGUUGGCGAGGAAGAAUGGCCUUCAAGGGCCAGGCCUCCGGCGAGAUCGUAAGUAUCCGGAUUCCUGAAUGAUUUAUAAUUUCUUUUUCUGUGUCACAUAGUGUCAUUCUGAUGCCGCAUGCUGCAUGUAGUCCGGCCAAUGAUGAUCUCCCCGCUUCAUCGAGCGGGUCGUUGGCUCCGUCGGACGUAGACUCCAUCCCGACCGCCUCCACCCCUCGCGACACCAAGGACGCCGAGGUGGGAUCCCAAGAAGGGACCCAUCAGGGGGAGGCUCCGGAGGCGCCACAAGGCGGCCUCCCGGACUUUGUGCCGGACUCCACAUAAGAACCCGCAGUGGUUCCGGAGUUCGGCCGGCGGCCCCUUCACACGAAGGGGAAGACCGUGACGCCGGCGGCUUCCGUCCAACCGGAGGCGCCGGACAAUUUGUUAGAGGCGCUCCAGAGCGCUUCCAUCGAGGAAGAACACCGCACUAUUAUGAGUGCGGUGAUUCAGAAGGUACAGCUUGCCAAGAGCGGGCUGACCGAAGCCUGCAGUAGCCUUCUAUUAGGCUUUAAGGUAAGAAGUUAAAAAUAUGCAAUGUAAUACCGCAUAGACAGUAGCCCCUGAUGCUCGGUUCGGUGUUCGGAAAGAAAAGCCGGACUGAGGAUCUGAAAAAAAAAGAUAUACGCAGGGUUGCUAAAAAAUUAUGUCAAUAUGGGUUGCAGGCUGCGCUGCUGACCUCUGCCGCACUGACUGCGGAGGUUGGUGCUUUGAAGCAGGAGCUCGAGCGGUCCGAGCAAGAGCUCGACCGCGCCAAGAAGCAGCUCCAGGACAAAGAAGGUGAGUAACACCACUUUGAACUUGUACCUUACAGAAAAGGAUUUAGGUUGCAACAAAAAAUAACAAGGAUAACAUGGGUACUACAGGGGCCACGAACGAGUUGGCGACCCUGAAGGAGGCCGUGUCCGUGGCCGAACGCAAUGCGGCCGCGGAACGGGCAGAGCGAGAAAAGCAGGAGGCGCGGGUGGCGGUGGUUCGGCAAGAGCUCCAAGCUCUCAUGGAAAAGCAUGAGAGUUUGGAGCGUGACUCAAAGACUCGAGAGUCCGAGCUUGCCUCGGCUCUCAAAAGUGCCAAAACUGCCAAGGCCGAUGCCCAUAAGUCCCUUCAGGAGAUUGAGUUGGUGAGGAAGAUAGCGGCGGGUAAGGCAUUUUCCAUGCAAAGCAAGCUUGUGAAUGUAAACUACGUGUUACUUACCCGAAUUCGGAGCUCUCCAGGGGCGUUUGCAGAUCUGCCUCACAGCGUGUCUGAUGCCGCCGCAUUCUACCGAGCCGAGGAGGGGAGCUCAACGGAGAAGGUCUUCUGGUCUCAGUAUGCUGAGGCCGGCCAUCCGGUGCCCCCUAGCGACCAGCUGAAGCAGCUGGUCGAGCUCCACAAGGUGGCCGAGCAGGCCAUGAAGGGCCUCAUAGUCCGGCUGUGGCCUGGAGAGGCCAUGCCUGGGAGCUACUUCGGCCUCGUGCGACGGUUGGUGGAUGCGUGCCCCUGGGUGGAGGUUAUCAAGCGCUCUGCCUGUAUUGAAGGUGCUCGUCGGGCCCUUGCCCGCGCAAAGGUGCAUUGGGGCAAGCUGGGUGCGGAGAAGCUAAUCACUGACGCGCCACCAGCGGGCAAGGAAUAUCGUACGCCCGAGAUGUACUAUAAGACUAUCCUGAAGGGGGCCCGCAAGAUUGCGGAUGAGUGCCCCAGGGAUGUAGUUAUUGAGUAAAUUCGCAAUGUGUUAUCCUGUGCGCUGAAAACUUUGUUCAUAUGCGCUAAGCAACGCUUGUUAAUUUAAAAUAUUACCUUCUGUGCGGCCGUUUAUUAAAUCUGAGAGAUGGCAAGUCGUCGGCUUCAGCCCCCAUGCCACGAGUGCUGGGGUGUUCGGGAUAAACUUGAGCACUCUUGUACCCAUUUUUUGGUCCAUCUAGGGAGGCGCUCAACACAACGAACAAGGCAACCGGACUUAUAGUGCUUGAACACUCUCACUUAGCCAUAGAAUUCUAUAAUUUUAAAUUUCGGCGAAGCCCCUAGUAUUCGGAAGACCGAAUUCGGGGCGCUAUCCACGCCUUCGUCGGACAUUAUCCGGAACUUCGCUCGAAGCGGCGUAGGUCUUUAAGGACCCGAAAAGACCUCUCGAACAGUGACCAGUCUCUCGCCUUAUCAUGACAGUCAGUUUUAGCUUUCUCCACUGAGGCGUUAACCCGGCUCAACCGGGGCGCAAUCGCAAUGGUUCUCCCAGUGCUACCUUAGCCGAUAGAACGGAACGUAAGGUGCCAAACAUGGGAGCCGGGCAAACCCAACUAUUGACCCAAGACAUGAUUCGGAGCCGAUUCAUAUAAUGCUAUAAGUUCGGGGUGCCGCACUUGUGAAAGUGUUCGGACUUGAUCACACCAUAAUGCGGGGAACAUAAGCCCCUGGUGUAUUUGGCCGUACCAAAAUGUACGGAUGCAACAUGUCGUAAAUGAACAUAUAUAUAUAAGGCAAUGCAAUUAUGGGCAAAAAGUGCUGCAUUUUAUUCGAGAAGAUCUGCUAUGAGUGCGGAAUGAUACAAAUAGUGCGGAAAGCAAGGGAUUGGACGAAUUAAAGGCGUCUCCCUCCAGGGGUAGGCCGCGGAAUGGUGUAUUUAACAAAUUUAAUGCUCGUAAUGGAGACCACCCGAGUGUUCGUCGCAGCCUUUGUCCCUCCCUGGCUGUUGCAUCAUGAGUUCGGCGGGUUCGCCGCCGGACAGAGUUCUGUAUAAAAAAGAGAGAAAUAAAAGAUAAAAAGAGCGACACACUUGGGAGCCCCUGGUGUGGUCGAACCGCACUCUGGGUCUGUUAUGGUUGUGCCUCUCCCCCUAUGCCCAUGGUAUCUCCAGGGCGUAAUUAUGUACGCGGAGAAUUUGUCUUAUAAUUGUGCGAGGGCUGGGGUUGAGGCCGCAUUGCUACGCGUGCUCGGUACGUGCGAGGUGGUUUUGGUUGAUGUUGCUCCGGGCGCGUUUGGCCGUGUCCGGUCGUUUAAUGGCCGGACUCGAAAAUUGCCUUAAAAGGCCGCUCUGUACUUCUGCCGCGAGAGCCGCUGUAUGUUCCUCCGUUCGGAGGGAGCGUUCCGUGUUUCCAUUGACCGUGAUGACUCCACGAGGGCCUGGCAUCUUGAGCUUAAGGUAUGCAUAAUGCGGCACCGCGUUGAAUUUUGCGAACGCGGUUCGUCCGAGCAGAGCGUGAUAGCCACUGCGGAACGGGACUAUGUCGAAGAUUAACUCCUCGCUUUGGAAAUUAUCCGGGGAUCCGAAGACCACUUCCAGUGUAACUGAGCCUGUACAACUGGCCUCGACACCUGGUAUGACGCCUUUGAAGGUUGUCUUUGUAGGUUUAAUCCUUGAAGGGUCUAUGCCCAUUUUGCGCACUGUAUCCUGAUAAAGCAGGUUCAGGCUACUGCCACCGUCCAUCAGGACUCUCAUGAGGUGAAAUCCAUCGACGAUUUGGUCUAAAACCAAUGCGGCGAAUCCGCCAUGGCGGAUACUGGUCGAAUGGUCUCUUCGAUCGAAAGUGAUCGGGCAAGAGGACCAUGGGUUGAAUUUUGGGGCGACUGGCUCCAUCGCGUAUACGUCCCUUAGUGCACGCUUCCGCUCCCUCUUGGGUAUAUGCGUUGCGUAUAUCAUGUUUACCGUCCGAAUUUGAGGAGGGAAUCCCUUUUGUCCUCUGUUGUUCGGCGGCCGGGUCUCUUCCUCGUCAUCACUGUGUAGCCCCUUGUCAUUGUUUUCAGCGAUUAAUUUGCCUGCCUGCUUGAAUACCCAACAAUCUCUGUUGGUGUGGUUAGCUGGUUUUUCGGGGGUUCCGUGUAUUUGACAGGAGCGGUCGAGUAUUCGGUCUAGAUUGGACGGGCCCGGAGUGGUUCUUUUGAAUGGCUUCUUCCAUUGACCGGGCUUGGAGCCUCGGAAUCCGGCGUUGACUGCCGUAUCCUCAUUGCUGUUGCUGUUAAUGCGGCGUUUGUUUUUGUUUUGACGCGACCUGCCAUUGCGGUCCUUGGUAUCCGGACUGCCAGCGUUUUUGCUAAGGUUAUUGCUGCGAGCUAGCCAGCUAUCCUCUCCCGCACAGAAGCGGGUCAUGAGUGAUGUGAGGGCUGCGAUGGAUUUCGGCUUUUCCUGUCCUAGGUGCCGGGCCAGCCACUCAUCGCGGAUGUUAUGUUUGAAGGCAGCGAGGGCCUCUGCAUCUGGACAGUCGAUGAUUUGAUUUUUCUUUGUUAAGAACCGUGUCCAGAAUUGCCUGGCCGAUUCGUCUGGCUGCUGGAUUAUGUGGCUUAGGUCAUCUGCGUCCGGUGGUCGCACAUACGUGCCCUGGAAGUUGUCGAGGAAUGCGGUUUCCAGGUCUUCCCAGCAUCCAAUUGACUCUGCGGGCAGGCUGUUAAGCCAAUGCCGUGCUGGUCCUUUAAGCUUGAGCGGGAGAUAUUUGAUGGCGUGAAGAUCGUCACCGCGGGCCAUAUGUAUAUGGAGGAGAUAAUCCUCAAUCCAAACCGCGGGGUCUGUUGUGCCAUCGUAGGAUUCGAUAUUAACGGGUUUAAACCCUUCAGGGAUUUGAUGAUCCAUUACUUCGUCAGUGAAGCAUAGCGGGUGUGCGGCGCCUCUGUAUUGAGCAAUAUCGCGACGUAGCUCGAGAGAGCGUUGUCUGCUGUGUUCGGCCCGGCCGGAGUAGUUGUAUCCGGCGCGACGGUAUUCGUCGUGGGUCUUGGGGUGCCCACGUGAUCCAUAGAUAGAUCUGGAUUGUCUUGCCUUGUCCUCCAAUAUAUCUCGCAAGUCCGGCGCGUUCCCCCGUGGCUUCAUGCUUUUUGAGCGAUGCCGGGGUACGGUUUUGGUGGAGGGCUUGCACGCCUCUCUGUCGCGGCCAUGAGGUGGUCGGUCUGCCGUAUUGUGCCUUGGUGAUGCAGGUUUGUAUGCUUCCUCCUCUAGUCGGGGGAGCAACUUGCAUUUUGGGUAACUUUUAGAGGGGCGUUCGAGUUCAUACUCUUCGGCCGCGAGGACCUCGGUCCAUCUGUCGGCCAGUAGGUCUUGAUCAGCUUGAAGCUAUUGCUGCUUUUUCUUUAGGCUAUUUGCCGUGGCCAUUAGCCUGCGUCUGAAACGCUCUUGUUCGACGGGAUCCUCAGGCACGACGAAUUCGUCGUCGUUGAGGCUUGCCUCGUCUCUGGAGGGAGGUAAGUAAUUAUCAUCCUCGACCUCUUCGUCUGCCGCCCUCUCGUGAGGGCUUGCUUCUGCCUCCUCCUGCGCUGGAUCAUGCUGGAGGGGGUUGUCUUCGGCACUUUCUGGGGUGUUAUUAUCUCCUGUGCCGGAAUCUCUAUUCUUGCCGUGGCGGGAUUUAGAGCGGCACCGCUGACUUCGGCGCUUGGGCUGUUUCUUUAAGGAAUCGGCCUCCGUUGCUUCUUCGCCGUCCCCAUCUUUUGGGGUGUCCACCAUGUAUCUGUCGUAUGACGAGGUGGUCUUCCGGUGUCCUGUAGGCACUGGUUCUUGAUAGUCUCCGGCAUCGUCGUCCAUAUCGUUGAUGUCUUCGGAGUCAUAGUCGAGUACGUCGGUUAGAUCGUCGAUGGUGGCUACGAAGUGGGUGGUGGGUGGGCUCUGAAUUUCUUCGUCGUCCGCGUCCCAACCAUCCUGGCCGUAGUUCGGCCAGGGCUCUCCGGAUAGCGAGAGAUGCUUCAGCGAUUUUAAGAUAUCGCCGAAGGGUGAGUGCUGAAAGAUGUCCGCAGCGGUGAGUUCCAUGAUCGAUGCCUAAUCGGAUUCGACUAGCAGGGGCGCAGGAGGUUCGGAGUCUGGCAGAGAGUCCGGCACCUCGGAGUCAUGAGCCUUAUGCGGGACAAGGUAAGUGUUCGGCUCCGUCGCCGUAGAAGUUGCAGCUCCCGAGGCGGUGUCCAGCCAUCCGUCCUCGAUCUGUGCGAUCGGCUCCGGACUAUGGGUCGGAGCGGAUUCGUGUGUGGCCUCCAAGGUGCUGUCCGGCGGCAGAGUUAGGUCGUGCCCAUCGUCACAGCGCGGCACACUCGGCUGUGGCUCAGAUCCAUCGAAGAUCAAGUCCCCGCGGAUAUCGGCCGUGAAGUUUAGGCUUCCAAACUUGACCUGACGGCCAGGGGCGUAGCUUUCGAUCUGCUCCAGAUGGCCAAGUGAGUUGGCCCGCAGUGCGAAGCCGCCGAAUACGAAGAUCUGUCUAGGGAGAAAAGUCUCACCCAGGACUACGUCGUUGUCGAUUGAAGAGGCCAUCAAGCCUAUCGGUGACGACACAGAGGAACUCUCAAUGAAAGCACCAAUGUCGGUGUCAAAACCGGCGGAUCUCGGGUAGGGGGUCCCGAACUGUGCGUCUAGGCGGAUGGUAACAGGAGACAAGGGACACGAUGUUUACCCAGGUUCGGGCCCUCUUGAUGGAGGUAAAACCCUACGUCCUUCUUGAUUGAUAUUGAUAUUGUGGAUGUUUACAAGAGUGGAUCUACCACGAGAUCAAGGAGGCUAAACCCUAGAAGCUAGCCUAUGGUAUGAUUGUAAUGGUUGUUGUUUUUCGGUCCUACGGACUAGAGCCAUCCGGUUUAUAUAGACACCAGAGAGGGCUAGGGUUACAUAGAGUCGGUUACAAUGGUAGGAGAUCUACAUAUCCGUAUCGCCAAGCUUGCCUUCCACGCCAAGGAAAGUCCCAUCCGGACACGGGACGAAGUCUUCAAUCUUGUAUCUUCAUAGUCUUGGAGUCCGGUCGACGAUGAUAGUCCGGCCGAUGAUAGUUCGGCUGAUGAUGGUAGUCCGGCUAUCCGGACACCCCCUAAUCCAGGACUCCCUCAGCAUCUUUUGGCAUCAAUAUUAUGAAUAUGUGUAUCACCACGAUCGAGAUUCAAUAGAAAUAGACCACUCUUCAAGUGCAUGACUAUAAAAGAUAUUACUCAUAUAAAUAGAACAACCAUUAUUCUCUGAUUUAAAUGAAUAACUGUCUGGCACUAAAUAAGAUCAAGAUAUAAUGUUCAUGCUCAACGCUGGCACCAAAUAACAACUACUAAGGUCUAAAACUAAUCCCGAAGGUAGAUGUAGAGGUACCAUGCCGACGGCGAUCAUAUCGACCUUGGAACCAUUCCCGACGCGCAUCGUCACCUCGUCCUUAGCCAAUCUUCAUUUAAUCCUAGUCCCUGUUUUGAGUUAUAAAUAUGAGCAACCGAACCGGUAUAAAAUACCCAAUCACUACUACGAGAAUUAGUAAGGUACACAUCGGUAACAUGUAUAUCAAAUAUACCUUUGUUCACUUUGCCAUCCUUCUUAUCUGCCAAAUACUUGGGACAGUUCCGCUUCCAGUGAUCAGUCCCUUUGUAGUAGAAGCACGCAGUUUGAAGCUUGGGUUCAGCUUUGGGUUUCUUCUCGGGAGUGGGAACUUGCUUGGCAUUCUUCUUGAAGUCCCCCUUCUUUCCCUUGCCCUUUUUAUUGAAACUAGUGGUCUUGUUAACCAUCAACACUUGAUGCUCCUUCUUGAUUUCUACCUCCGCAACUUUGAGUAUUGCAAGAGCUUGGGAAUAGUCUUUUCCAUCCCUUGCAUAUUAUACUUCAUCAUGAAGCCUUUGUAGCCUGGUGGAAGUGAUUGAAGAACUCUAUCAAUGACACAAUCAUCUGGGAGAUUAACUCCCAGCUGAGUCAAGUGAUUAUGAUACCCAGACAUUCUGAGUAUGUGUUCACUGAUAGAACUGUUCUCCUCCAUCUUGCAUCUAUAGAACUUGUUGAAGACUUCAUAUCUCUCAACUCGGGCAUUUGCUUGAAAUAUUAGCUUCAACUCCUGGAACAUCUCAUAUGGUCCAUGACAUUCAAAACGUCUUUGAAGUCAUGAUUCUAAGCCGUAAAGCAUGGCACACUGAACUAUCAAGUAGUCAUCAGAUCGAGCUUGCCAAACGUUCAUAACAUCAGCAUCUGCUCCUGCAGCAGACCUUUCACCUAGCGGUGCAUCAAGGACAUAAUUCUUCUGUGCAGCAAUGAGAAUCCUCAAGUUACGGACCCAGUCCAUGUAGUUGCUACCAUCAUCUUUCAACUCAGCUUUCUCUAGGAAUGCAUUAAAAUUCAAGGGAACGGUAGGACAGUCCAUUGAUCUACAACAUAGAUAUGCAAAAACUAUCAGGACUUAGUUCAUAAUAAAUUAAGUUCAAUUAUUCAUAAUACUUAAGAACUCCCACUUAGAUUGACAUCCCUCAAGUCAUAUAAAUGAUACGUGAUCCAAAUCAACUAAACCAUGUCCGACCAUCACGUGAGGUGGAGUAGUCAUCAAUGGUGGACAUAUCUAUGUUGAUCAUAUCUACUAUAUGAUUCAAGUUUGACCUUUUGGUCUCUAGUGUUCUGAGGCCAUGUCUGUACAUGCUCGGCUCGUCAAGUUUAACCCGAGUAUUCCAUAUGUGCAAAACUGGCUUGCACUCGUUGUAUGUGAACGUAGAGCCUAUCACACCCGAUCAUCACGUGGUGUCUCAGCACGAAGAACUUUCGCACCGGUGCAUACUCGGGGAGAACACUUAUACCUUGAUAUUUAGUUAAGGGAUCAUCUUAUAAUGCUACCGCCGUACUAAGCAAAAUAAGAUGCAUAAAGAUAAACAUCACAUGCAAUCAAAAUAUAUGACAUGAUAUGGCCAUCAUCAUCUUGUGCUUUUGAUCUCCAUCUCCAAAGCAAUGUCAUGAUCUCCAUCAUCACCGGCUUGUUACCUUGAUAUCCAUCGUAGCAUCGUGGUCGUCUCGCCAACUAUUGCUUCUACAACUAUCGCUACUGCUUAGUGAUAAAGUAAAGCAACUACAUGGCGUUUGCAUUUCAUACAGUAAAGCAACUAUAUAGGUGGGAGAGGGAGAGGGACAGCAAGGGGCGCCCCAAGUAGGAAGGAUCCUACUUGGGCACCUCCUCCAAGUCGGCCUCCCUCUUCCAUAAGUGUCGGAGGGAAAGGAAAGAGAGGGGGCGAGAGAACAAAAGGGGGAGGCCGAAUCCUCCCCUUUCCUUCUCCCUUCCCUCCUUUCCCCCCCCCCCCCAAUUCGGCCUACAUGGGGGUGCACCAUCCCCUUAGGGGCUGGUUUAUCCCCCUCUUGGCCCAUUAGGCCCAUCUAGUUUGCCGGGGGUUGCCCGGAACCCCUUCUGGUGACCCGAUACGUACCCGGUACCCCAAGAACACUUCCAGUGUCCGAAUACUAUCGUCCUAUAUAUGAAUCUUUACCUAUCGACCAUUUCGAGACUCCUCGUCAUGUUCGUGAUCAAAUCCGGGACUCCGAACAACAUUCGGUCACCAAAUCACAUAACUCAUAUAAUACAAAUCAUCAUCGAACGUUAAGCGUGCGGACCCUACGGGUUCGAGAACUAUGUAGACAUGACCGAGACACCUCUCCGGUCAAUAACCAAUAGCGGAACCUGGAUGCUCAUAUUGGCUCCCACAUAUUCUACGAAGAUCUUUACAGUCGAAGCAUUAUGACAACAUACGUUAUUCCCUUUGUAAUCGGUAUGUUACUUGCUCGAGAUUUGAUCGUUGGUAUCUUCAUACCUAGUUCAAUCUCGUUACCGGCAAGUCUCUUUACUCAUUCUGUAAUUCAUCAUUCCGUAACUAACUCAUUAGUCACAUUGCUUGCAAGGCUUCUUAUGAUGUUCAUGUUGGAAAUAUGCCCUAGAGGCAAUGAUAAAUUAGUUAUUAUUAUUAUAUUUCCUUGUUCAUGAUAAUCGUUUAUUAUCCAUGCUAUAAUUGUAUUGAAAGGAAACUUAGAUACAUGUGUGGAUACAUAGACAACACCAUGUCCCUAGCAAGCCUCUAUUGACUAGCUUGUUGAUCAAUAGAUGGUUACGGUUUCCUAACCAUGGACAUUGGAUGUCAUUGAUAACGGGAUCACAUCAUUAGUAGAAUGAUGUGAUGGACAAGACCCAAUACUAAGCCUAGCACAAAGAUCGUAGUUCGUAUGCUAAAGCUUUUCUAAAGUCAAGUAUCUUUUCAUUAGACCAUGAGAUUGUGCAACUCCCGGAUACCGUAGGAAUGCUUUGGGUGUACCAAACGUCACAACAUAACUGGGUGGCUAUAAAGGUGCACUACAGGUAUCUUCGAAAGUGUCUGUUGGGUUGGCACGAAUCGAUACUGGGAUUUGUCACUCCGUGUUACGGAGAGGUAUCUCUGGGCCCACUCGGUAGGACAUCAUCAUAAUGUGCACAAUGUGAUCAAAGAGUUGAUCACGGGAUGAUGUGUUACGAAACGAGUAAAGAGACUUGCCGGUAACGAGAUUGAACAAGGUAUCGGUAUACUGACGAUCGAAUCUCGGGCAAGUAUAAUACCACUAGACAAAGGGAAUUGUAUACGGGAUUGAUUGAGUCCUUGACAUCGUGGUUCAUCCGAUGAGAUCAUCAUGGAACAUGUGGGAGCCAACAUGGGUAUCCAGAUCCCGCUGUUGGUUAUUGACCGGAGAACGUCUCGGUCAUGUCUGCAUGAUUCCCGAACCCGUAGGGUCUACACACUUAAGGUUCGAUGACGCUAGGGUUAUAAAGGAAGUUUGUAUGUGGUUACCGAAUGUUGUUCAGAGUCCCGGAUGAGAUCUCGGACAUCACGAGGAGUUCCGGAAUGGUCCGGAGGUAAAGAAUUAUAUAUGGGAAGUCUUGUUUUGGUUACCGGAAAAGUUUCGGGUUUUAUCGGUAAUGUACCGGGACCACCGGGAGGGUCCCGGGAGUCCACCAAGUGGGGCCACCAUCCUCGAAGGGCUGCAUGGGCCAAGUGUGGGAGGGGACCAGCCCCAGGUGGGCUGGUGCGCCCCCCAAGAGGCCCAUGCGCCAAGAGAUAAGGGAAAGGGAGAGUCCUAAAGGGGGAGGGCAUCUCCUAGGUGCCUUAGGGAGGAUGGACUCCUCCCUGGCCGCACCCUUCCUUGGAGGAAGGGCCAAGGCUGCCCCCCCCCCCCUCUCCCUUGCCCCUAUAUAUAGUGGAGGGGAGGGAGGGCAGCCACACCUGAGUCCCUGGCGCCUCCCUCCCUCCCGUGACACCUCCUCCUCUCCCGCAGGUGCUUGGCGAAGCCCUGCAGGAUUGCCACGCUCCUCCACCACCACCACGCCAUUGUGCUGCUGCUGGAUNNNNNNNNNNCAUGGGCCAAGUGUGGGAGGGGACCAGCCCCAGGUGGGCUGGUGCGCCCCCCAAGAGGCCCAUGCGCCAAGAGAUAAGGGAAAGGGAGAGUCCUAAAGGGGGAGGGCAUCUCCUAGGUGCCUUAGGGAGGAUGGACUCCUCCCUGGCCGCACCCUUCCUUGGAGGAAGGGCCAAGGCUGCCCCCCCCCCCCCCUCCCUUGCCCCUAUAUAUAGUGGAGGGGAGGGAGGGCAGCCACACCUGAGUCCCUGGCGCCUCCCUCCCUCCCGUGACACCUCCUCCUCUCCCGCAGGUGCUUGGCGAAGCCCUGCAGGAUUGCCACGCUCCUCCACCACCACCACGCCAUUGUGCUGCUGCUGGAUGGAGUCUUCCUCAACCUCUCCCUCUAUCCUUGCUGGAUCAAGGCAUGGGAGAUGUCACCGGGCUGUACGUGUGUUGAACGCGGAGGUGCCGUCCGUUCGGCACUAGGAUCUCCGGUGAUUUGGAUCACGACGAGUACGACUCCUUCAACCCCGUUCUCUUGAACGCUUCCGCUUAGCGAUCUACAAGGGUAUGUAGAUGCACUCUCCUUCCCCUCGUUGCUGGUUUCUCCAUAGAUAGAUCUUGGUGACACGUAGGAAAAUUUUGAAUUUCUGCUACGUUCCCCAACAGUGGCAUCAUGAGCUAGGUCUAUUGCGUAGAUUCUGUGCACGAGUAGAACACAAAGUAGUUGUGGGCGUUGAUUUUGUUCAAUAUGCUUACCGUUACUAGUCCAAUCUUGUUUCGACGGUAUUGUGGGAUGAAGCGGCCCGGACCGACCUUACACGUACUCUUACGUGAGACAGGUUCCACCGACUGACAUGCACUUGGUGCAUAAGGUGGCUAGCGGGUGCCAGUCUCUCCCACUUUAGUUGGAACAGAUUCGAUGAAAAGGGUCCUUAUGAAGGGUAAAUAGCAAUUGACAUAUCACGUUGUGGUUUUGCGUAGGUAAGAAACGUUCUUGCUAGAAACCCAUAGCAGCCACGUAAAACAUGCAAACAACAAUUAGAGGACGUCUAACUUGCUUUUGCAGGGUAUGCUAUGUGAUGUGAUAUGGCCAAGAAGAAUGUGAUGAAUAUAUGUGAUGUAUGAGAUUGAUCAUGUUCUUGUAAUAGUAAUCACGACUUGCAUGUCGAUGAGUAUGACAACCGGCAGGAGCCAUAGGAGUUGUCUUUAUUUAUUGUAUGACCUGCGUGUCAUUAAACAACGCCAUGUAAUUACUUUACUUUAUUGCUAAACCGGUAGCCAUAGUAGUAGAAGUAAUAGUUGGCGAGACAACUUCAUGAAGACACGAUGAUGGAGAUCAUGAUGAUGGAGAUCAUGGUGUCAUGCCGGUGACGAUGAUGAUCAUGGAGCCCCGAAGAUGGAGAUCAAAAGGAGCAAAAUGAUAUUGGCCAUAUCAUGUCACUAUUUGAUUGCAUGUGAUGUUUAUCAUGUUUAUGCAUCUUAUUUGCUUAGAACGACGGUAGUAAUAAGAUGAUCCCUCAUUAAAAUUUCAAGAAAGUGUUCCCCCUAACUGUGCACCGUUGCGAAAGUUCGUCGUUUCGAAGCACCACUUGAUGAUCGGGUGUGAUAGAUUCUUACGUUCACAUACAAUGGGUGUAAGCCAGAUUUACACACGCGAAACACUUAGGUUAACUUGACGAGCCUAGCAUGUACAGACAUGGCCUCGGAACACAAGAGACCGAAAGGUCGAGCAUGAGUCGUAUGGAGGAUACGAUCAACAUGAAGAUGUUCACCGAUGAUGACUAGUCCGUCUCACGUGAUGAUCGGACACGGCCUAGUUGACUCGGAUCAUGUAAUCACUUAGAUGACUAGAGGGAUGUCUAUCUGAGUGGGAGUUCAUGAGAUGAACUUAAUUAUCCUGAACAUAGUCAAAAGAUCUUUGCAAAUUAUGUCGUAAGCUCGCGCUUUAGUUCCACUGUUUAGAUAUGUUCCUAGAGAAAAUAUAGUUGAAAGUUGACAGUAGGGAUUAUGCGAUCAGUAGAAAGCUUAUGUCCUUAAUGCACCACUCAGUGUGCUGAACCCCAAACGUCGUCUGUGGAUGUUGCAAACAUCGGACAUACAUGUUUUGAUAACUACGUGAUAGUUCAGUUAAACGGUUUAGAGUUGAGGCACCAAAGAUGUUUUUGAAAUGUCGCGGAACAUAUGAGAUGUUUCGAGGGCUGAAAUUGGGAUUUCAGGCUCGUGCCCACGUCAAGAGGUAUGAGACCUCCGACGAUUUUCUUAGCCUGCAAACUAAGGGACAAAAGCUCAAUAGUUGAGCUUGUGCUCAGACUGUGUGAGUACAACAAUCACUUGAAUCAAGUGGGAGUUGAUCUUCCAGAUGAGAUAGUGAUGUUUCUCCAAAGUCAUUGCCACCAAGCUGCUAGAGCUUCGUGAUGAACUAUAACAUAUCAGGGAUAGAUAUGAUGAUCCUUGAGAUAUUCGCGAUGUUUGACACCGCGAAAGUAGAAAUCAAGAAGGAGCAUCAAUUUUUUGAUGGUUGGUGAAACCACUAGUUUCAAGAAGGGCAAGGGCAAGAAGGGAUACUUCAUGAAACGGCAAAUCAGCUGCUGCUCUAGUGAAGAAACCCAAGGAUGAACCCAAACCCGAGACUAAGUGCUUCUGUAAUAAGGGGAACAACCACUUGAGCAGAAUUACCCUAGAUACUUGGUAGAUGAGAAGGCUGGCAAGGUCGAUAGAAGUAUAUUGGAUAUACAUUAUGUUAAUGUGUACUUUACUAGUACUCCUAGUAGCACCAGGGUAUUAGAUACCGGUUCGGAUGCUAAGUGUUAGUAACUCGAAAUAAAAGGCUACGGAAUAAAUGGAGACUAGCUAAAGGUGAGCUGACGAUAUGUGUUGGAAGUAUUUCCAAGUUUGAUGUGAUCAAACAUUGCACGCUCCCUCUACCAUCAAGAUUAGUGUUAAACCUAAAUAAUUGUCUUUUGGUGUUUGCGUUGAGCAUAGACAUGAUUGGAUUAUGUCUAUCGCAACACAGUUAUUCAUUUAAGGAGAAUAAUGGUUACUCUAUUUAUUUGAAUAAUACCUUUAAUGGUCUUGCACCUAAAGGAAUGGUCUAUUGAAUCUCGAUCGUAGUGAUACACAUUUUCAUGACAAAAGAUAUAAGAUAGUAAUGAUAGUACCACUUACUUGUGGCACUGCCAUGUAAGUCAUAUUGGUGUAAAACGCAUGAAGAAGCUCCAUGUUGAUGGAUCUUUAGACUCACUCGUUUUUUAAAAGUUUGAGACAUGCGAACCAUGUCUAUUGGUGUAUACGUAUGAAGAAACACCAUGCAGAUGGAUCGUUUGGACUCACUUGAUUUUGAAUCACUUGAGAUAUACAAAUCAUACCACAUGGGCAAGAUGACUGAAAAGCCUCGUUUUCAGUAAGAUGGAACAAGAUAGCAACUUGUUGGAAGUAACACAUUUUGAUGUGUGCAGUCCAAUGAGUGCUGAGGCAUGAAGUGAAUAUCGUUAUGUUCUUACUUCACAGAUGAUUCGAGUAGAUGUUGAGUAUAUUUACUUGAUGAAACACAAGUCUGAAUUAUUGAAUGGUUCAAGUAAUUUCAGAAUGAAGUUGAAGAUCAUCGUGACAAGAGGAUAAAAUGUCUAUGAUAUGAUCAUAGAGAUGAGUAUCUGAGUUACGAGCUUUGGCACGCAAUUAAGACAUUGUGGAAAUUGUUUCACAAUUAAUACCGCCUGGAACACCAUAGUGUGAUGGUGUGUCCGAACAUCAUAGUUGCACCCUAUUGGAUAUGGUGCGUGCCAUGAUGUCUCUUAUCGAAUUACCACUAUCAUUCAUGGGUUAGGCAUUAGAGACAACCGCACUCACUUUAAUAGGGUACCACGUAAUUCCAUUGAGACGACACCGUUUGGAGAAACCUAAGUUGUCAUUCCUUAAAAGUUUGGGGCUGCGACGCUUAUGUGAAAAAGUUUCAGGUUGAUAAGCUCAAACCCAAAGCGGAUAAAAUGCAUCUUCAUAGGACACCCAAAACAGUUGGGUAUACCUCCUAAUUCAGAUCCGAAAGCAAUAGGGAUUGUUUCUUGAAUCGGGUCCUUUCUCGAGGAAAGGUUUGUCUCGAGAAUUGAGUGGGAGGAUGGUGGAGACUUGAUGAGGUUAUUGAACCAUCACUUCAACUAGUGUGUAGCAGGGCACAGGAAGUUGUUCCCGUGAUGCCUACACCAAUUGAAGUAGAAGCUUAUGAUAGUGAUCAUGAAGUUUCGGAUCAAGUCACUACCGUACCUCGUAGGGUGACAAGGAUGCGUACUACUUCAGAGUGGUGCGCAAUCAUGUCUUAGAGGUCAUGUUGCUAGACAACAAUGAACCUACGAGCAAUGGAGAAGCGAUGGUGGGCCCGGAUUCUGACGAAUGGCUCGAGGUCAUAAAAUCCAAGAAAGGAUCCAUGACUUUGGAAGAACUACUUGAUGGUCGUAAGGCUAUUGGGUACAUAUGGAUUUUAGAAUAAGACAGACAAUGAUGGUAAGUAUCACCAUUAAGAAAGCUCGACUUGUCGUUAAGAUGUUUUCCGACAAGUUCAAGGAGUUGACUAUGAUGAGACUUUCUCACUCGUAGCGAUGCUAAGAAUCUGUUGGGAUUAUAUUAGCAAUUACUGCAUGAUUUAUGAAAUCUUGCAGAUAGGAUGUCAAAACAUUGUUUCCUCGACGUUAUACUUGAGGAAAGGUUGUAUGUGAUACAACCAGAAGGUUUUGUCAAUCCUGAAAGACGCUAACAAAUAUGCAAAGCUCCAGCAAUCCUUCUAAGGACUGGAGUAAGCAUCUCGGAGUUGGAAUGUACGCUUUGAUGAGAUGAUCAAAGAAUUUUGGGUUUAUACAAAGUUUAUGAGAAACUUGUAUUUCCAAAGAAGUGAGUGGGAGCACUAUAGCAUUUCUGAUGAGUAUAUGUUGUUGACAUGUUGUUGAUCGGAAAUGAUGUAGAAUUUCUGGAAAGCAUAUAGGGUUAUUUGAAAAGUGUUUUUCAAUGGAAGACCUGGAUUAAGCUACUUGAACAUUGAGCAUCAAGAUCUAUGAGGAUAGAUCAAAAAUGCUUAAUAGUACUUUCAAAUGAGCACAUACUUGACAUGAUCUUGAAGGUGUUAUAGAUGGAUCAUUCAAAGAAGGAGUUCUUGCCUGAGUUGUAAGGUAUGAAGUUAAGAGUUAAAGCUCGACCACGGCAGAAGAGAGACAAAGGACGAAGGUCGUCCCCUAUGCUUCAGACGUAGGGUCUAUAGUAUGCUAUGCUGUGUACCGCACCGGAAGUGUGCCUUGCCAUGAGUCAGUCAAGGGGUACAAGAAUGAUCCAGAAAUGGGGAUCAUUGGACAGCGGUCAAAAAUUUUCCUUGGAGUAAAUAAGGACAUGUUUCUCGAUUAUGGAGGUGAUAAAGAGUUCGGCGUAAAGGGUUACGUCGAUGCAAGCUUUAGCACCUAUCCGAAUGACUCUGACUAGCAAACCGGAUACGUAUAGUGGAGCAACCAUUUGGAAUAGCUCCAAGUGGAGCGUGGAAGCAGCAUUUACAAUAUGACAUAGAUAAUUGUGAAGUACAGAUCUAAAUGUUGCAGACCCGUUGACUAAAACCUCUCUCACAAGCAAAACAUGAUCAAACCCCAGAACUCAUUGAGUCUUAAUCACAUGAUGAUGUGAAACUAGUUUAGCAACACUAGUAAACUCUUUGGAUGUUGGUCACAUGGCGAUGUGACCUGUGAGUGUUAAUCACAUGGCGAUGUGAACUAGAUUAUUAACUCUAGUGCAAGUGGGAUACUGUUGGAAAUAUGCCCUAGAGGCAAUGAUAAAUUAGUUAUUAUUAUUAUAUUUCCUUUUUCAUGAUAAUCGUUUAUUAUCCAUGCUAUAAUUGUAUUGAAAGGAAACUCAGAUACAUGUGUGGAUACAUAGACAACACCAUGUCCCUAGCAAGCCUCUAUUGACUAGCUUGUUGAUCAAUAGAUGGUUACGGUUUCCUAACCAUGGAGAUUGGAUGUCAUUGAUAAUGGGAUCACAUCAUUAGUAGAAUGAUGCGAUGGACAAGACCCAAUACUAAGCCUAGCACAAAGAUCGUAGUUCGUAUGCUAAAGCUUUUCUAAAGUCAAGUAUCUUUUCCUUAGACCAUGAGAUUGUACAACUCCCAGAUACCGUAGAAAUGCUUUGGGUGUACCAAAUGUCACAACAUAACUGGGUGGCUAUAAAGGUGCACUACAGGUAUCUCCGAAAGUGUCUGUUGGGUUGGCACGAAUCGAGACUGGGAUUUGUCACUCCAUGUUACGGAGAGGUAUCUCUGGGCCCACUCGGUAGGACAUCAUCAUAAUGUGCACAAUGCGAUCAAAGAGUUGAUCACGGGAUGAUGUGUUACGAAACGAGUAAAGAGACUUGUCGGUAACGAGAUUGAACAAGGUAUCGGCAUACCGACGAUCGAAUCUUGGGAAAGUAUAAUACCACUAGACAAAGGGAAUUGUAUACGGGAUUGAUUGAGUCCUUGACAUCGUGGUUCAUCUGAUGAGAUCAUCGUGGAACAUGUGGGGGCCAACAUGGGUAUCCAGAUCCCGCUGUUGGUUAUUGACCGGAGAACGUCUCGGUCAUGUCUGCAUGAUUCCCGAACCCGUAGGGUCUACACACUUAAGGUUCGAUGACGCUAGGGUUAUAAAGGAAGUUUGUAUGUGGUUACCGAAUGUUGUUCGGAGUCCUGGAUGAUAUCUCGGACAUCACGAGGAGUUCUGAAAUGGUCCGGAGGUAAAGAAUUAUAUAUGGGAAGUCCUGUUUUGGUCACCGGAAAAGUUUUGGGUUUUAUCGGUAAUGUACCGGGACCACCGGGAGGGUCCCGGGGGUCCACCAAGUGGGGCCACCAUCCUCGGAGGGCUGCAUGGGCCAAGUGUGGGAGGGGACCAGCCCCAGGUGGGCUGGUGCGCCCCCCAAGAGGCCCAUGCGCCAAGAGAUAAGGGAAAGGGAGAGUCCUAAAGGGGGAAGGCACCUCCUAGGUGCCUUAGGGAGGAUGGACUCCUCCCUGGCCGCACCCUUCCUUGGAGGAAGGGCCAAGGCUGCGCCCCCCCCCCCUCUCGCUUGCCCCUAUAUAUAGUGGAGGGGAGGGAGGGCAGCCACACCUGAGUCCCUGGCGCCUCCCUCCCUCCCGUGACACCUCCUCCUCUCCUGCAGGUGCUUGGCGAAGCCCUGCAGGAUUGCCACGCUCCUCCACCACCACCACGCCAUUGUGCUGCUGCUGGAUGGAGUCUUCCUCAACCUCUCCCUCUAUCCUUGCUGGAUCAAGGCAUGGGAGAUGUCACCGGGCUGUACGUGUGUUGAACGCGGAGGUGCCGUCCGUUCGGCACUAGGAUCUCCGGUGAUUUGGAUCACGACGAGUACGACUCCUUCAACCCCGUUCUCUUGAACGCUUCCGCUUAGCGAUCUACAAGGGUAUGUAGAUGCACUCUCCUUCCCCUCGUUGCUGGUUUCUCCAUAGAUAGAUCUUGGUGACACGUAGGAAAAUUUUGAAUUUCUGCUACGUUCCCCAACAGUGGCAUCAUGAGCUAGGUCUAUUGCGUAGAUUCUGUGCACGAGUAGAACACAAAGUAGUUGUGGGCGUUGAUUUUGUUCAAUAUGCUUACCGUUACUAGUCCAAUCUUGUUUCGACGGUAUUGUGGGAUGAAGCGUCCCGGACCGACCUUACACGUACUCUUACGUGAGACAGGUUCCACCGACUGACAUGCACUUGGUGCAUAAGGUGGCUAGCGGGUGCCAGUCUCUCCCGCUUUAGUCGGAACGGAUUCGAUGAAAAGGGUCCUUAUGAAGGGUAAAUAGCAAUUGACAUAUCACGUUGUGGUUUUGCGUAGGUAAGAAACGUUCUUGCUAGAAACCCAUAGCAGCCACGUAAAACAUGCAAACAACAAUUAGAGGANNNNNNNNNNNNNNNNNNNNNNNNNNNNNNNNNNNNNNNNNNNNNNNNNNNNNNNNNNNNNNNNNNNNNNNNNNNNNNNNNNNNNNNNNNNNNNNNNNNNNNNNNNNNNNNNNNNNNNNNNNNNNNNNNNNNNNNNNNNNNNNNNNNNNNNNNNNNNNNNNNNNNNNNNNNNNNNNNNNNNNNNNNNNNNNNNNNNNNNNNNNNNNNNNNNNNNNNNNNNNNNNNNNNNNNNNNNNNNNNNNNNNNNNNNNNNNNNNNNNNNNNNNNNNNNNNNNNNNNNNNNNNNNNNNNNNNNNNNNNNNNNNNNNNNNNNNNNNNNNNNNNNNNNNNNNNNNNNNNNNNNNNNNNNNNNNNNNNNNNNNNNNNNNNNNNNNNNNNNNNNNNNNNNNNNNNNNNNNNNNNNNNNNNNNNNNNNNNNNNNNNNNNNNNNNNNNNNNNNNNNNNNNNNNNNNNNNNNNNNNNNNNNNNNNNNNNNNNNNNNNNNNNNNNNNNNNNNNNNNNNNNNNNNNNNNNNNNNNNNNNNNNNNNNNNNNNNNNNNNNNNNNNNNNNNNNNNNNNNNNNNNNNNNNNNNNNNNNNNNNNNNNNNNNNNNNNNNNNNNNNNNNNNNNNNNNNNNNNNNNNNNNNNNNNNNNNNNNNNNNNNNNNNNNNNNNNNNNNNNNNNNNNNNNNNNNNNNNNNNNNNNNNNNNNNNNNNNNNNNNNNNNNNNNNNNNNNNNNNNNNNNNNNNNNNNNNNNNNNNNNNNNNNNNNNNNNNNNNNNNNNNNNNNNNNNNNNNNNNNNNNNNNNNNNNNNNNNNNNNNNNNNNNNNNNNNNNNNNNNNNNNNNNNNNNNNNNNNNNNNNNNNNNNNNNNNNNNNNNNNNNNNNNNNNNNNNNNNNNNNNNNNNNNNNNNNNNNNNNNNNNNNNNNNNNNNNNNNNNNNNNNNNNNNNNNNNNNNNNNNNNNNNNNNNNNNNNNNNNNNNNNNNNNNNNNNNNNNNNNNNNNNNNNNNNNNNNNNNNNNNNNNNNNNNNNNNNNNNNNNNNNNNNNNNNNNNNNNNNNNNNNNNNNNNNNNNNNNNNNNNNNNNNNNNNNNNNNNNNNNNNNNNNNNNNNNNNNNNNNNNNNNNNNNNNNNNNNNNNNNNNNNNNNNNNNNNNNNNNNNNNNNNNNNNNNNNNNNNNNNNNNNNNNNNNNNNNNNNNNNNNNNNNNNNNNNNNNNNNNNNNNNNNNNNNNNNNNNNNNAAAGGUCGAGCAUGAGUCGUAUGGAGGAUACGAUCAACAUGAAGAUGUUCACCGAUGAUGACUAGUCCGUCUCACGUGAUGAUCGGACACGGCCUAGUUGACUCGGAUCAUGUAAUCACUUAGAUGACUAGAGGGAUGUCUAUCUGAGUGGGAGUUCAUGAGAUGAACUUAAUUAUCCUGAACAUAGUCAAAAGAUCUUUGCAAAUUAUGUCGUAAGCUCGCGCUUUAGUUCCACUGUUUAGAUAUGUUCCUAGAGAAAAUAUAGUUGAAAGUUGACAGUAGGGAUUAUGCGAUCAGUAGAAAGCUUAUGUCCUUAAUGCACCACUCAGUGUGCUGAACCCCAAACGUCGUCUGUGGAUGUUGCAAACAUCGGACAUACAUGUUUUGAUAACUACGUGAUAGUUCAGUUAAACGGUUUAGAGUUGAGGCACCAAAGAUGUUUUUGAAAUGUCGCGGAACAUAUGAGAUGUUUCGAGGGCUGAAAUUGGGAUUUCAGGCUCGUGCCCACGUCAAGAGGUAUGAGACCUCCGACGAUUUUCUUAGCCUGCAAACUAAGGGAGAAAAGCUCAAUAGUUGAGCUUGUGCUCAGACUGUGUGAGUACAACAAUCACUUGAAUCAAGUGGGAGUUGAUCUUCCAGAUGAGAUAGUGAUGUUUCUCCAAAGUCAUUGCCACCAAGCUGCUAGAGCUUCGUGAUGAACUAUAACAUAUCAGGGAUAGAUAUGAUGAUCCUUGAGAUAUUCGCGAUGUUUGACACCGCGAAAGUAGAAAUCAAGAAGGAGCAUCAAUUUUUUGAUGGUUGGUGAAACCACUAGUUUCAAGAAGGGCAAGGGCAAGAAGGGAUACUUCAUGAAACGGCAAAUCAGCUGCUGCUCUAGUGAAGAAACCCAAGGAUGAACCCAAACCCGAGACUAAGUGCUUCUGUAAUAAGGGGAACAACCACUUGAGCAGAAUUACCCUAGAUACUUGGUAGAUGAGAAGGCUGGCAAGGUCGAUAGAAGUAUAUUGGAUAUACAUUAUGUUAAUGUGUACUUUACUAGUACUCCUAGUAGCACCAUGGUAUUAGAUACCGGUUCGGAUGCUAAGUGUUAGUAACUCGAAAUAAAAGGCUACGGAAUAAAUGGAGACUAGCUAAAGGUGAGCUGACGAUAUGUGUUGGAAGUAUUUCCAAGUUUGAUGUGAUCAAACAUUGCACGCUCCCUCUACCAUCAAGAUUAGUAUUAAACUUAAAUAAUUGUCUUUUGGUGUUUGCGUUGAGCAUAGACAUGAUUGGAUUAUGUCUAUCGCAACACAGUUAUUCAUUUAAGGAGAAUAAUGGUUACUCUAUUUAUUUGAAUAAUACCUUUAAUGGUCUUGCACCUAAAGGAAUGGUCUAUUGAAUCUCGAUCGUAGUGAUACACAUUUUCAUGACAAAAGAUAUAAGAUAGUAAUGAUAGUACCACUUACUUGUGGCACUGCCAUGUAAGUCAUAUUGGUGUAAAACGCAUGAAGAAGCUCCAUGUUGAUGGAUCUUUAGACUCACUCGUUUUUUAAAAGUUUGAGACAUGCGAACCAUGUCUAUUGGUGUAUACGUAUGAAGAAACACCAUGCAGAUGGAUCGUUUGGACUCACUUGAUUUUGAAUCACUUGAGAUAUACAAAUCAUACCACAUGGGCAAGAUGACUGAAAAGCCUCGUUUUCAGUAAGAUGGAACAAGAUAGCAACUUGUUGGAAGUAACACAUUUUGAUGUGUGCAGUCCAAUGAGUGCUGAGGCAUGAAGUGAAUAUCGUUAUGUUCUUACUUCACAGAUGAUUCGAGUAGAUGUUGAGUAUAUUUACUUGAUGAAACACAAGUCUGAAUUAUUGAAUGGUUCAAGUAAUUUCAGAAUGAAGUUGAAGAUCAUCGUGACAAGAGGAUAAAAUGUCUAUGAUAUGAUCAUAGAGAUGAGUAUCUGAGUUACGAGCUUUGGCACGCAAUUAAGACAUUGUGGAAAUUGUUUCACAAUUAAUACCGCCUGGAACACCAUAGUGUGAUGGUGUGUCCGAACAUCAUAGUUGCACCCUAUUGGAUAUGGUGCGUGCCAUGAUGUCUCUUAUCGAAUUACCACUAUCAUUCAUGGGUUAGGCAUUAGAGACAACCGCACUCACUUUAAUAGGGUACCACGUAAUUCCGUUGAGACGACACCGUUUGGAGAAACCUAAGUUGUCAUUCCUUAAAAGUUUGGGGCUGCGACGCUUAUGUGAAAAAGUUUCAGGUUGAUAAGCUCGAACCCAAAGCGGAUAAAAUGCAUCUUCAUAGGACACCCAAAACAGUUGGGUAUACCUCCUAAUUCAGAUCCGAAAGCAAUAGGGAUUGUUUCUUGAAUUAGGUCCUUUCUCGAGGAAAGGUUUGUCUCGAGAAUUGAGUGGGAGGAUGGUGGAGACUUGAUGAGGUUAUUGAACCAUCACUUCAACUAGUGUGUAGCAGGGCACAGGAAGUUGUUCCCGUGAUGCCUACACCAAUUGAAGUAGAAGCUUAUGAUAGUGAUCAUGAAGUUUCGGAUCAAGUCACUACCGUACCUCGUAGGGUGACAAGGAUGCGUACUACUUCAGAGUGGUGCGCAAUCAUGUCUUAGAGGUCAUGUUGCUAGACAACAAUGAACCUACGAGCAAUGGAGAAGUGAUGGUGGGCCCGGAUUCUGACGAAUGGCUCGAGGUCAUAAAAUCCAAGAAAGGAUCCAUGACUUUGGAAGAACUACUUGAUGGUCGUAAGGCUAUUGGGUACAGAUGGAUUUUAGAAUAAGACAGACAAUGAUGGUAAGUAUCACCAUUAAGAUAGCUCGACUUGUCGUUAAGAUGUUUUCCGACAAGUUCAAGGAGUUGACUAUGAUGAGACUUUCUCACUCGUAGCGAUGCUAAGAAUCUGUUGGGAUUAUAUUAGCAAUUACUGCAUGAUUUAUGAAAUCUUGCAGAUAGGAUGUCAAAACAUUGUUUCCUCGAUGUUAUACUUGAGGAAAGGUUGUAUGUGAUACAACCAGAAGGUUUUGUCAAUCCUGAAAGACGCUAACAAAUAUGCAAAGCUCCAGCAAUCCUUCUAAGGACUGGAGUAAGCAUCUCGGAGUUGGAAUGUACGCUUUGAUGAGAUGAUCAAAGAAUUUUGGGUUUAUACAAAGUUUAUGAGAAACUUGUAUUUCCAAAGAAGUGAGUGGGAGCACUAUAGCAUUUCUGAUGAGUAUAUGUUGUUGACAUGUUGUUGAUCGGAAAUGAUGUAGAAUUUCUGGAAAGCAUAUAGGGUUAUUUGAAAAGUGUUUUUCAAUGGAAGACCUGGAUUAAGCUACUUGAACAUUGAGCAUCAAGAUCUAUGAGGAUAGAUCAAAAAUGCUUAAUAGUACUUUCAAAUGAGCACAUACUUGACAUGAUCUUGAAGGUGUUCAAGAUGGAUCAUUCAAAGAAGGAGUUCUUGCCUGAGUUGUAAGGUAUGAAGUUAAGAGUUAAAGCUCGACCACGGCAGAAGAGAGACAAAGGACGAAGGUCGUCCCCUAUGCUUCAGACGUAGGGUCUAUAGUAUGCUAUGCUGUGUACCGCACCGGAAGUGUGCCUUGCCAUGAGUCAGUCAAGGGGUACAAGAAUGAUCCAGAAAUGGGGAUCAUUGGACAGCGGUCAAAAAUUGUCCUUGGAGUAAAUAAGGACAUGUUUCUCGAUUAUGGAGGUGAUAAAGAGUUCGGCGUAAAGGGUUACGUCGAUGCAAGCUUUAGCACCUAUCCGAAUGACUCUGACUAGCAAACCGGAUACGUAUAGUGGAGCAACCAUUUGGAAUAGCUCCAAGUGGAGCGUGGAAGCAGCAUUUACAAUAUGACAUAGAUAAUUGUGAAGUACAGAUCUAAAUGUUGCAGACCCGUUGACUAAAACCUCUCUCACAAGCAAAACAUGAUCAAACCCCAGAACUCAUUGAGUCUUAAUCACAUGAUGAUGUGAAACUAGUUUAGCAACACUAGUAAACUCUUUGGAUGUUGGUCACAUGGCGAUGUGACCUGUGAGUGUUAAUCACAUGGCGAUGUGAACUAGAUUAUUGACUCUAGUGCAAGUGGGAUACUGUUGGAAAUAUGCCCUAGAGGCAAUGAUAAAUUAGUUAUUAUUAUUAUGUUUCCUUGUUCAUGAUAAUCGUUUAUUAUCCAUGCUAUAAUUGUAUUGAAAGGAAACUCAGAUACAUGUGUGGAUACAUAGACAACACCAUGUCCCUAGCAAGCCUCUAUUGACUAGCUUGUUGAUCAAUAGAUGGUUACGGUUUCCUAACCAUGGAGAUUGGAUGUCAUUGAUAAUGGGAUCACAUCAUUAGUAGAAUGAUGUGAUGGACAAGACCCAAUACUAAGCCUAGCACAAAGAUCGUAGUUCGUAUGCUAAAGCUUUUCUAAAGUCAAGUAUCUUUUCCUUAGACCAUGAGAUUGUACAACUCCCAGAUACCGUAGGAAUGCUUUGGGUGUACCAAAUGUAACAACAUAACUGGGUGGCUAUAAAGGUGCACUACAGGUAUCUCCGAAAGUGUCUGUUGGGUUGGCACGAAUCGAGACUGGGAUUUGUCACUCCAUGUUACGGAGAGGUAUCUCUGGGCCCACUCGGUAGGACAUCAUCAUAAUGUGCACAAUGCGAUCAAAGAGUUGAUCACAGGAUGAUGUGUUACGAAACGAGUAAAGAGACUUGCCGGUAACGAGAUUGAACAAGGUAUCGGCAUACCGACGAUCGAAUCUUGGGAAAGUAUAAUACCACUAGACAAAGGGAAUUGUAUACGGGAUUGAUUGAGUCCUUGACAUCGUGGUUCAUCUGAUGAGAUCAUCGUGGAACAUGUGGGGCCAACAUGGGUAUCCAGAUCCUGCUGUUGGUUAUUGACCGGAGAACGUCUCGGUCAUGUCUGCAUGAUUCCCGAACCCGUAGGGUCUACACACUUAAGGUUCGAUGACGCUAGGGUUAUAAAGGAAGUUUGUAUGUGGUUACCGAAUGUUGUUCGGAGUCCUGGAUGAUAUCUCGGACAUCACGAGGAGUUCUGAAAUGGUCCGGAGGUAAAGAAUUAUAUAUGGGAAGUCCUGUUUUGGUCACCGGAAAAGUUUUGGGUUUUAUCGGUAAUGUACCGGGACCACCGGGAGGGUCCCGGGGGUCCACCAAGUGGGGCCACCAUCCUCGGAGGGCUGCAUGGGCCAAGUGUGGGAGGGGACCAGCCCCAGGUGGGCUGGUGCGCCCCCCAAGAGGCCCAUGCGCCAAGAGAUAAGGGAAAGGGAGAGUCCUAAAGGGGGAAGGCACCUCCUAGGUGCCUUAGGGAGGAUGGACUCCUCCCUGGCCGCACCCUUCCUUGGAGGAAGGGCCAAGGCUGCGCCCCCNNNNNNNNNNNNNNNNNNNNNNNNNNNNNNNNNNNNNNNNNNNNNNNNNNNNNNNNNNNNNNNNNNNNNNNNNNNNNNNNNNNNNNNNNNNNNNNNNNNNNNNNNNNNNNNNNNNNNNNNNNNNNNNNNNNNNNNNNNNNNNNNNNNNNNNNNNNNNNNNNNNNNNNNNNNNNNNNNNNNNNNNNNNNNNNNNNNNNNNNNNNNNNNNNNNNNNNNNNNNNNNNNNNNNNNNNNNNNNNNNNNNNNNNNNNNNNNNNNNNNNNNNNNNNNNNNNNNNNNNNNNNNNNNNNNNNNNNNNNNNNNNNNNNNNNNNNNNNNNNNNNNNNNNNNNNNNNNNNNNNNNNNNNNNNNNNNNNNNNNNNNNNNNNNNNNNNNNNNNNNNNNNNNNNNNNNNNNNNNNNNNNNNNNNNNNNNNNNNNNNNNNNNNNNNNNNNNNNNNNNNNNNNNNNNNNNNNNNNNNNNNNNNNNNNNNNNNNNNNNNNNNNNNNNNNNNNNNNNNNNNNNNNNNNNNNNNNNNNNNNNNNNNNNNNNNNNNNNNNNNNNNNNNGCAGGUGCUUGGCGAAGCCCUGCAGGAUUGCCACGCUCCUCCACCACCACCACGCCAUUGUGCUGCUGCUGGAUGGAGUCUUCCUCAACCUCUCCCUCUAUCCUUGCUGGAUCAAGGCAUGGGAGAUGUCACCGGGCUGUACGUGUGUUGAACGCGGAGGUGCCGUCCGUUCGGCACUAGGAUCUCCGGUGAUUUGGAUCACGACGAGUACGACUCCUUCAACCCCGUUCUCUUGAACGCUUCCGCUUAGCGAUCUACAAGGGUAUGUAGAUGCACUCUCCUUCCCCUCGUUGCUGGUUUCUCCAUAGAUAGAUCUUGGUGACACGUAGGAAAAUUUUGAAUUUCUGCUACGUUCCCCAACAGUGGCAUCAUGAGCUAGGUCUAUUGCGUAGAUUCUGUGCACGAGUAGAACACAAAGUAGUUGUGGGCGUUGAUUUUGUUCAAUAUGCUUACCGUUACUAGUCCAAUCUUGUUUCGACGGUAUUGUGGGAUGAAGCGUCCCGGACCGACCUUACACGUACUCUUACGUGAGACAGGUUCCACCGACUGACAUGCACUUGGUGCAUAAGGUGGCUAGCGGGUGCCAGUCUCUCCCGCUUUAGUCGGAACGGAUUCGAUGAAAAGGGUCCUUAUGAAGGGUAAAUAGCAAUUGACAUAUCACGUUGUGGUUUUGCGUAGGUAAGAAACGUUCUUGCUAGAAACCCAUAGCAGCCACGUAAAACAUGCAAACAACAAUUAGAGGAUGUCUAACUUGCUUUUGCAGGGUAUGCUAUGUGAUGUGAUAUGGCCAAGAAGAAUGUGAUGAAUAUAUGUGAUGUAUGAGAUUGAUCAUGUUCUUGUAAUAGUAAUCACGACUUGCAUGUCGAUGAGUAUGACAACCGGCAGGAGCCAUAGGAGUUGUCUUUAUUUAUUGUAUGACCUGCGUGUCAUUAAACAACGCCAUGUAAUUACUUUACUUUAUUGCUAAACCGGUAGCCAUAGUAGUAGAAGUAAUAGUUGGCGAGACAACUUCAUGAAGACACGAUGAUGGAGAUCAUGAUGAUGGAGAUCAUGGUGUCAUGCCGGUGACGAUGAUGAUCAUGGAGCCCCGAAGAUGGAGAUCAAAAGGAGCAAAAUGAUAUUGGCCAUAUCAUGUCACUAUUUGAUUGCAUGUGAUGUUUAUCAUGUUUAUGCAUCUUAUUUGCUUAGAACGACGGUAGUAAUAAGAUGAUCCCUCAUUAAAAUUUCAAGAAAGUGUUCCCCCUAACUGUGCACCGUUGCGAAAGUUCGUCGUUUCGAAGCACCACGUGAUGAUCGGGUGUGAUAGAUUCUUACGUUCACAUACAACGGGUGUAAGCCAGAUUUACACACGCGAAACACUUAGGUUAACUUGACGAGCCUAGCAUGUACAGACAUGGCCUCGGAACACAAGAGACCGAAAGGUCGAGCAUGAGUCGUAUGGAGGAUACGAUCAACAUGAAGAUGUUCACCGAUGAUGACUAGUCCGUCUCACAUGAUGAUCGGACACAGCCUAGUUGACUCGGAUCAUGUAAUCACUUAGAUGACUAGAGGGAUGUCUAUCUGAGUGGGAGUUCAUGAGAUGAACUUAAUUAUCCUGAACAUAGUCAAAAGAUCUUUGCAAAUUAUGUCGUAAGCUCGCGCUUUAGUUCCACUGUUUAGAUAUGUUCCUAGAGAAAAUAUAGUUGAAAGUUGACAGUAGGGAUUAUGCGAUCAGUAGAAAGCUUAUGUCCUUAAUGCACCACUCAGUGUGCUGAACCCCAAACGUCGUCUGUGGAUGUUGCAAACAUCGGACAUACAUGUUUUGAUAACUACGUGAUAGUUCAGUUAAACGGUUUAGAGUUGAGGCACCAAAGAUGUUUUUGAAAUGUCGCGGAACAUAUGAGAUGUUUCGAGGGCUGAAAUUGGGAUUUCAGGCUUGUGCCCACGUCAAGAGGUAUGAGACCUCCGACGAUUUUCUUAGCCUGCAAACUAAGGGAGAAAAGCUCAAUAGUUGAGCUUGUGCUCAGACUGUCUGAGUACAACAAUCACUUGAAUCAAGUGGGAGUUGAUCUUCCAGAUGAGAUAGUGAUGUUUCUCCAAAGUCAUUGCCACCAAGCUGCUAGAGCUUCGUGAUGAACUAUAACAUAUCAGGGAUAGAUAUGAUGAUCCUUGAGAUAUUCGCGAUGUUUGACACCGCGAAAGUAGAAAUCAAGAAGGAGCAUCAAUUUUUUGAUGGUUGGUGAAACCACUAGUUUCAAGAAGGGCAAGGGCAAGAAGGGAUACUUCAUGAAACGGCAAAUCAGCUACUGCUCUAGUGAAGAAACCCAAGGAUGAACCCAAACCCGAGACUAAGUGCUUCUGUAAUAAGGGGAACAACCACUUGAGCAGAAUUACCCUAGAUACUUGGUAGAUGAGAAGGUUGGCAAGGUCGAUAGAAGUAUAUUGGAUAUACAUUAUGUUAAUGUGUACUUUACUAGUACUCCUAGUAGCACCAGGGUAUUAGAUACCGGUUCGGUUGCUAAGUGUUAGUAACUCGAAAUAAAAGGCUACGGAAUAAACGGAGACUAGCUAAAGGUGAGCUGACAAUAUGUGUUGGAAGUGUUUCCAAGUUUGAUGUGAUCAAACAUCGCACGCUCCCUCUACCAUCAAGAUUAGUAUUAAACCUAAAUAAUUGUCUUUUGGUGUUUGCGUUGAGCAUAGACAUGAUUGGAUUAUGUCUAUCGCAACACGGUUAUUCAUUUAAGGAGAAUAAUGGUUACUCUAUUUAUUUGAAUAAUAUCUUUAAUGGUCUUGCACCUAAAGGAAUGGUUUAUUGAAUCUCGAUCGUAGUGAUACACAUUUUCAUGCCAAAAGAUAUAAGAUAGUAAUGAUAGUACCACUUACUUGUGGCACUCCCAUGUAAGUCAUAUUGGUGUAAAACGCAUGAAGAAGCUCCAUGUUGAUGGAUCUUUAGACUCACUCGUUUUUUAAAAGUUUGAGACAAGCGAACCAUGUCUAUUGGUGUAUACGUAUGAAGAAACACCAUGCAGAUGGAUCGUUUGGACUCACUUGAUUUUGAAUCACUUGAGAUAUACAAAUCAUACCACAUGGGCAAGAUGACUGAAAAGCCUCGUUUUCAGUAAGAUGGAACAAGAUAGCAACUUGUUGGAAGUAACACAUUUUGAUGUGUGCAGUCCAAUGAGUGCUGAGGCAUGCAGUGAAUAUCGUUAUGUUCUUACUUCACAGAUGAUUCGAGUAGAUGUUGAGUAUAUUUACUUGAUGAAACACAAGUCUGAAUUAUUGAAUGGUUCAAGUAAUUUCAGAGUGAAGUUGAAGAUCAUCGUGACAAGAGGAUAAAAUGUCUAUGAUAUGAUCAUAGAGAUGAGUAUCUGAGUUACGAGCUUUGGCACGCAAUUAAGACAUUGUGGAAAUUGUUUCACAAUUAAUACCGCCUGGAACACCAUAGUGUGAUGGUGUGUCCGAACAUCAUAGUUGCACCCUAUUGGAUAUGGUGUGUGCCAUGAUGUCUCUUAUCGAAUUACCACUAUCAUUCAUGGGUUAGGCAUUAGAGACAACCGCACUCACUUUAAUAGGGUACCACGUAAUUCCGUUGAGAUGACACCGUUUGGAGAAACCUAAGUUGUCGUUCCUUAAAAGUUUGGGGUUGCGACGCUUAUGUGAAAAAGUUUCAGGUUGAUAAGCUCGAACCCAAAGCGGAUAAAAUGCAUCUUCAUAGGACACCCAAAACAGUUGGGUAUACCUCCUAAUUCAGAUCCGAAAGCAAUAGGGAUUGUUUCUUGAAUCGGGUCCUUUCUCGAGGAAAGGUUUGUCUCGAGAAUUGAGUGGGAGGAUGGUGGAGACUUGAUGAGGUUAUUGAACCAUCACUUCAACUAGUGUGUAGCAGGGCACAGGAAGUUGUUCCCGUGACGCCUACACCAAUUGAAGUAGAAGCUUAUGAUAGUGAUCAUGAAGUUUCGGAUCAAGUCACUACCGUACCUCGUAGGGUGACAAGGAUGCGUACUACUUCAGAGUGGUGCGCAAUCAUGUCUUAGAGGUCAUGUUGCUAGACAACAAUGAACCUACGAGCUAUGGAGAAGCGAUGGUGGGCCCGGAUUCCGACGAAUGGCUCGAGGCCAUAAAAUCCGAGAAAGGAUCCAUGACUUUGGAAGAACUACUUGAUGGUCGUAAGGCUAUUGGGUACAGAUGGAUUUUAGAAGAAGACAGACAAUGAUGGUAAGUAUCACCAUUAAGAAAGCUCGACUUGUCGUUAAGAUGUUUUCCGACAAGUUCAAGGAGUUGACUAUGAUGAGACUUUCUCACUCGUAGCGAUGCUAAGAAUCUGUUGGGAUUAUAUUAGCAAUUACUGCAUGAUUUAUGAAAUCUUGCAGAUAGGAUGUCAAAACAUUGUUUCCUCGACGUUAUACUUGAGGAAAGGUUGUAUGUGAUACAACCAGAAGGUUUUGUCAAUCCUGAAAGACGCUAACUAAUAUGCAAAGCUCCAGCAAUCCUUCUAAGGACUGGAGUAAGCAUCUCGGAGUUGGAAUGUGCGCUUUGAUGAGAUGAUCAAAGAAUUUUGGGUUUAUACAAAGUUUAUGAGAAACUUGUAUUUCCAAAGAAGUGAGUGGGAGCACUAUAGCAUUUCUGCUGAGUAUAUGUUGUUGACAUGUUGUUGAUCGAAAAUGAUGUAGAAUUUCUGGAAAUCAUAUAGGGUUAUUUGAAAAGUGUUUUUCAAUGGAAGACCUGGAUUAAGCUACUUGAACAUUGAGCAUCAAGAUCUAUGAGGAUAGAUCAAAAAUGCUUAAUAGUACUUUCAAAUGAGCACAUACCUUGACAUGAUCUUGAAGGUGUUAUAGAUGGAUCAUUCAAAGAAGGAGUUCUUGCCUGAGUUGUAAGGUAUGAAGUUAAGAGUUAAAGCUCGACCACGGCAGAAGAGAGACAAAGGACGAAGGUCGUCCCCUAUGCUUCAGACGUAGGGUCUAUAGUAUGCUAUGCUGUGUACCGCACCGGAAGUGUGCCUUGCCAUGAGUCAGUCAAGGGGUACAAGAAUGAUCCAGAAAUGGGGAUCAUUGGACAGCGGUCAAAAAUUGUCCUUGGAGUAAAUAAGGACAUGUUUCUCGAUUAUGGAGGUGAUAAAGAGUUCGGCGUAAAGGGUUACGUCGAUGCAAGCUUUAACACCUAUCCGAAUGACUCUGACUAGCAAACCGGAUACGUAUAGUGGAGCAACCAUUUGGAAUAGCUCCAAGUGGAGCGUGGAAGCAGCAUUUACAAUAUGACAUAGAGAAUUGAGAAGUACAAAUCUAAAUGUUGCAGACCCGUUGACUAAAACCUCUCUCACAAGCAAAACAUGAUCAAACCCCAGAACUCACUGAGUCUUAAUCACAUGAUGAUGUGAAACUAGUUUAGCAACACUAGAAACUCUUUGGAUGUUGGUCACAUGGCGAUGUGACCUGUGAGUGUUAAUCACAUGGCGAUGUGAACUAGAUUAUUGACUCUAGUGCAAGUGGGAUACUGUUGGAAAUAUGCCCUAGAGGCAAUGAUAAAUUAGUUAUUAUUAUUAUAUUUCCUUGUUCAUGAUAAUCGUUUAUUAUCCAUGCUAUAAUUGUAUUGAAAGGAAACUCAGAUACAUGUGUGGAUACGUAGACAACACCAUGUCCCUAGCAAGCCUCUAUUGACUAGCUUGUUGAUCAAUAGAUGGUUACGGUUUCCUAACCAUGGACAUUGGAUGUCAUUGAUAACGGGAUCACAUCAUUAGUAGAAUGAUGUGAUGGACAAGACCCAAUACUAAGCCUAGCACAAAGAUCGUAGUUCGUAUGCUAAAGCUUUUCUAAAGUCAAGUACCUUUUCCUUAGACCAUGAGAUUGUACAACUCCCAGAUACCGUAGGAAUGCUUUGGGUGUACCAAACGUUACAACGUAACUGGGUGGCUAUAAAGGUGCACUACAGGUAUCUCCGAAAGUGUCUGUUGGGUUGGCACGAAUCGAGACUGGGAUUUGUCACUCCGUGUUACGGAGAGGUAUCUCUGGGCCCACUCGGUAGGACAUCAUCAUAAUGUGCACAAUAUGAUCAAAGAGUUGAUCACGGGAUGAUGUGUUACGAAACGAGUAAAGAGACUUGCCGGUAACGAGAUUGAACAAGGUAUCGGUAUACCGACGAUCGAAUCUCGGGCAAGUAUAAUACCACUAGACAAAGGGAAUUGUAUACGGGAUUGAUUGAGUCCUUGACAUCGUGGUUCAUCUGAUGAGAUCAUCGUCGAACAUGUGGGGGCCAACAUGGGUAUCCAGAUCCCGCUGUUGGUUAUUGACCGGAGAACGUCUCGGUCAUGUCUGCAUGAUUCCCGAACCCGUAGGGUCUACACACUUAAGGUUUGAUGACGCUAGGGUUAUAAAGGAAGUUUGUAUGUGGUUACCGAAUGUUUUUGGAGUCCCGGAUGAGAUCUCGGACAUCACGAGGAGUUCCGAAAUGGUCCGGAGGUAAAGAAUUAUAUAUGGGAAGUCAUGUUUUGGUCACCGGAAAAGUUUCGGGUUUUAUCGGUAAUGUACCGGGACCACCGGGAGGGUCCCGGGGGUCCACCAAGUGGGGCCACCAUCCUCGGAGGGCUGCAUGGGCCAAGUGUGGGAGGGGACCAGCCCCAGGUGGGCUGGUGCGCCCCCCCAAGAGGCCCAUGCGCCAAGAGAUAAGGGAAAGGGAGAGUCCUAAAGGGGGAAGGCACCUCCUAGGUGCCUUAGGGAGGAUGGACUCCUCCCUGGCCGCACCCUUCCUUGGAGGAAGGGCCAAGGCUGCCCCCCCUCUCCCUUGCCCCUAUAUAUAGUGGAGGGGAGGGAGGGCAGCCGCACCUGAGUCCCUGGCGCCUCCCUCCCUCCCGUGACACCUCCUCCUCUCCUGCAAGUGCUUGGCGAAGCCCUGCAGGAUUGCCACGCUCCUCCACCACCACCACGCCGUUGUGCUGCUGCUGGAUGGAGUCUUCCUCAACCUCUCCCUCUCUCCUUGCUGGAUCAAGGCAUGGGAGACGUCACCGGGCUGUACGUGUGUUGAACGCGGAGGUGCCGUCCGUUCGGCAUUAGGAUCUCCGGUGAUUUGGAUCACGACGAGUACGACUCCUUCAACCCCGUUCUCUUGAACGCUUCCGCUUAGCGAUCUACAAGGGUAUGUAGAUGCACUCUCCUUCCCCUCGUUGCUGGUUUCUCCAUAGAUAGAUCUUGGUGACACGUAGGAAAAUUUUGAAUUUCUGCUACGUCCCCCAACAGUUCAUUACCGAGAGGGCCCAAAGAUACCUCUCCGAUACUUGGAGUGACAAAUCCUAAUCUCGAUCUAUGACAACCCAACAAACAACUUCGGAGAUACCUAUAUAGCAUCUUUGUGAUCACCCAGUUACGUUGUGACCUUUGAUAGCAACAAGGUAUUCCUCCUGUAUCCGGGAAUUGCAUAAUCUCAUAGUCGGAGGAAUAUGUAUUUGACAUGAAGAAAGCAGUAGCAAUAAAACUGAACGAUCAUAAUGCUAAGCUAACGGAUGGGUCUUGUCCAUCACAUCAUUCUCCUAAUGAUGUGAUCCCGUUCAUCAAAUGACAACACAUGUCUAUGGCUAGGAAACUUAACUAUCUUUAAUUACGAGCUAGUCAAAUAGUGGCAUACUAGGGACACUGUGUUUUGUCUAUGUAUCCACACAUGUAUCAAGUUUCCAUUUAAUACGAUUCUAGCAUGAAUAAUAAACAUUUAUCAUGAAUAAGGAAAUAUAAAAUAACAACUUUAUUAUUGCCUCUAGGGCAUAUUUCCUUCAGGAGCACCUCCUUGACGUCGAGGUGGUGGUGGAACGGCGGUGAUGAGGGUGCAUCGAUGCACCCGUACCGGCUGCGCGGUGGGGAUGCCAGCUCAUCCUUGACCGGGCGUUCGAUCUAGACACCACAGUGGUGCGGGGGUGACGAAGGCUCCUCCUUGACACGGCGUCUGAUCUAGACGUCGCGGUUGCACUGGGGCGAGGCCAGCUCCUCCUUGACUGGCUGGAGCGGGGACAUCGGCUCGUGCGUCACGCGGUGGUGCCGCAAGGACGAUUGCUCCUGCUUGACGCGCGUCGGUGAUGGUGGCUACGGGCCCAUGUGAGGAAGCGAACACUCCUUUGUUACCUCGAUCUGACAGACCUUCGUCCGUCAUAGCGGUGUCCUUGAGGAGUCGGGGCGGCUGCUGCAGCAUCUGGUCCUUCUCAUCACUGGAGGAGAUCGAUCUCCUCCUUGGGGGAGGAUCCAGCCGAAGGGCCCGGAGAGCAUGGGCAGCAGUGCCAAGAACCACCGAAUGAGAAGCUUCCACCGACUCCGCCUACAGAGCACCACAACUUCGGCAUCGCCGCAGCUGGACUUGGAGAGGAGGAGCGGCUCGGGCACGGAGACAGGGGAUCGAAGGUGGUGGUGCUCGGGGAGGGGGAGUGUGCCUCAGGAAGCGGUGUCCGCAUUGAAUCGGCCAUGCCCGAGAGCUAACAUUCGUCAACAUCGCCCUCCCGUCCGGACAAAUCAUGGCAUCGAUGCCAGCCGUUGCAUGCUCAGGGUUGGCAUGAAUGCGGCGCGGCAAGCGGAGUGGCCGGGCGUUCGAUGGAAAGCGCGAGAUAGGCGGGUGGGGGAUUUUUGGUGGGCCAGGGCGGUCAGGCGUGGGCUUGGGAGCAGUCCGGACACCGGCAUAGCCUCCAUGUUUAUCUUCGGUUUGCGAGAGAAAAUAUGUUCGAACCACCAGGCGAACCGAUACAGGCCCGCGUUAGAUGGCACAACACGUCCGAACAACGCGAUUUGGACAUAUGUGGGUGAUUUGAGGGUCGAUAUUGGAGAUGCCCUAAAAUAGUACUAAACUGCAUGAGUCAUGCAGACAUCCCUUUCGAUGCUCCGAUGUGCUCACAAAAAAAUUGCAUGUUACACAGCUUCAAUUCUUCUUCCUGUGUCCAAAUAAUCAUACGUGAAGCAUUGUAUAUAAAGGAAGUUCUCCUUUCUAUGGUCGAUGAAACUAAAGUUCUUGUCCAAAUAGCUGGCAAAUAAUCAUCACUUGAAGUGAUAGUUUUUUUUUAAGAUCCAGCUGCUGGCUGGCUUGUAUUGAUAAAUAGCAGGUAGCAAAUGGGGAAUACAAAAAGGAUGGUCUUUGAUCAGUUGAUCAAGGAUAUAAAAAGAAGAAGAAUAAAAGAGCCCUCAGGCCAUAGAAAAAGGCUAAACUCUCAUCGGAGGGUCCCUAAAUGGGUGCUCUAAACAUGUGGCUCCAGCUUGGCGCCACAAUUCAAACGUGCGUCUUAUGGACACUCAUAUGGUUGCUCUGCUAUCGAUUUUUCUUAUGAAUGUGCAUUCAUUUCUUUCUCUCCGGAUUUCAGACAAGAUCAGAAUGAUCAUUGAACUGAUGGCCUUUCUAUGCUCCGGUCUAGCUCCGGUGACCGUUUUUUUCUAGAAUAUGCACGAGUGUGCAAUACCAUAUAUUAUAGAAGGAAGUGGGUGAAGAAACCCUCCACAAGGUUAUUUACAACCGCUUUACAUGGCUAUUCUAAGCCGGCACACGAGAGUUUCAAAAUAUACGACUACUCGCCACUAGCCCGCCUACUUAGUCCACCAAAGAAAAACUCAAGGUCACCCUUUAGCCGGCCCGCCGUUUUCCAUGCUCUUCCUUCACGGUCAAUGUUUCGCUAGAUUAGUUGGAUUGAUGGGGACUCGCCGUCAAAUAUAAUGGCAUUUCGAUAUUUCCAUAGAACCCAGCAACGGUUCCGCAUGGCUAGCCACGCGAAAAAACGGCAUUGUAGUGGCGCCUUGUGCUUCCAAAUGAACUCCGCGUAUGGUGCCACUUCUCGUCCAAUGAACUUUGCCGCGUACGCAGAUCUAAUCGAGUAGGAUCCAUUUUGCUCCCAAGCCCACACGAUGGAAUCCGGUGUAUCCCCUUGCAAUUCCACCUCCGAUACCUUCAGCCAUAGUUGUAUAUAUCCUCAAUGUUUUGUAGUCCUAUAAGUUGGCUCCCACAUCCAUUGCCCAGCUGUUCUCCUGAAUGCCUUGCCGCACCGUGCGUGAGAAGCUGAUUCUCGGGGCAACUGUGUAGAGUGGUGCUUUCGUAAUCUCAGUUGCGUUUUCAGACCAAACAACUGAUUCUCGUAACCACUUGGAAAACAACUGAUUACUUGGCAGUGGUUACGAGUGCUUACAGAUUACGAAGCCAAGAGGUUCUCGCGAAAACGCAAGUGAGAAGGCAUUUAGGAGAACAGCUGGGCAAUGGAUGUGGUUCCCUCGUAAUCUCAGUUGUUCUCUUUUUACACUGCCAAGUGGUAGGAAGGAGCGAGCUGCAUCUGUAAGCACUCGCCGUUACAGACCAAACUGAAUAGGAAAUUGGGCACUGCCGAAACAAGUGCUCCAAUGAUUCUAAAUUUCAUAGGCACAUCUGACAGAAGUAUCUGUUAAACAUAUUAUGGCGUCACCUUACAUGCGCAGAGGAGGUUGUAGGUAGUUUGGUAGAGAUAUAUAUAUUGGCUGUUUAGUUUAUACUUAUCUCAUGUAACCGAUUGUAUCUCUCCUCUAUCCCUUGUCUCCCAAGCAUGUAGUCUCAACAACCUUGUACGGCAUAUUCCAGAGUUAAGCGCCUGGCUAUAUUAACAUGCACUAGACGCCCUCGGUAGGAUACGGCGUUCCCCUAAAUUUUCCACAUGGUAUACAGAGCUAUCCUCUUCCAUCACAUCUAGUGUUCAAUCUCCACCACCAAGCCGCCAUGUCCUCCUCCUCGAGCUUUCCUCAGGCUACCCUCGCCGACCAGAUCACCGAGAAGCUCACGCGCACAAACUACAUGCUCUGGCGUACACAGAUCACGCCACAACUCCGAGGCGCGGGGUUCUUCGGCUACGUCGAUGGAUCUGUGAAGCAGCUUGCCUCGACCGUCACCACCAAGCUGGCGGAUGGGAAGGAGGAGUCGUCGCCAAACCCCCUACAUCCAAUCUAGGUCAGGGAAGAUCAACAGGUAUUAGAAUGUCUACUGAAUAAUCUGUUGAAGGAAGUACUUGUGCAGGUUACUGCCAUCACCCAUGUGCACGAUCUCUGGACGGCGCUCGCGCACAUGUUCUCCUCGACCUUGAUCUCCCGCAUCAACAACAUACGCAUAGCACUUGCUAAUGCGCAGAAGGGGCAACAAUCCGUGGCGGCGUACUUCGCACAGAUGCGCUGGCUGGCGGACGAGCUGACGGCAGCAGGAAAGCCCCUGGAGGAUGAUCAGCUGAUCUCCCAUAUCCUCGCGGGGCUUCACAUGGAGUACCAGCCGCUGGUCUCAAUGCUGGAUGCUCGCACCAUCCCGGUCACGCUCGAUGAGCACUUUGCUCAUAUGAGCAACUUCGACCGGAGGGUGGCGCUCUACCGCGGAAAAGACAACGGCAUAAAGUCUUCAGCCAACAGUGCUUCACGCGGUCACGGAGGUGGCAGUGGCGGCUCCUCUCGCUACUGUGGACCGCCGCGCAAAGGGCAAAACAGCAGCAGCAACCCUCACGACAACAACAGCAGCGGCAACAGCGGCAGGCGGCCCUCCUACAACAACUCCAAGUCUCGCCGCAACAACUCCUCGGCCAAGUCUCGCCCACAUGCCCAUCAGCAAAAUGGGUCUGCUGAACGCAAGCACAAACAUAUUGUAGAGGUGGGGCUUUCCCUCCUUGCACGAGCAUCCAUGCCACUUAAGUUUUGGGAUGAAGCCUUUCUCACAGCCAUGCAUCUCAUUAAUAUGCUACCUAGCCGAGUUAUCAACUAUGAAACUCCCACCAAACGACUUCUUCACACCAAACCUGAGUACAAGUCGCUUCGUGUCUUUGGUUGUGCAUGCUGGCCAAACCUUAGACCCUACAACAACUGAAAACUCAUGUUCCGUUCGACACAAUGUGUAUUUAUUGGCUAUAGUGCUCAACACAAAGGCGUCAAAUGCCUUGGUGUUUCCACCGGCCGUGUGUACAUCUCUCGGAAUGUCGUCUUUGAUGCAAACAAAUUUCCUUUUGCUGAUCUUCAUCCUAAUGUCGGAGCACUCCUUCGCCAAGAAAUUCUCUUAUUGCCCCCUCAACUUACCGGUGGUGUUAUAGGGGAAAAUAAUUGCAGUGAACCAAUAUUGACUGACCCUCAUAGCAACAUGCAUGAGUUUUGUGGCACUACAGGUGAAAAUGCAGAAGAAAAUGCUGAAGAAAUCACCCAAAAUGGUGUGGAGCACGGGUCACAUUUCAUGCGUCCGCUGCUAGGGAGCAAAUCCCCCUCGGGAUAGCUGCAGUAGCAGCCUGGCGGUGCAUCUUCCGCGGGAUCUGCACCGCAGGUGUGGGCCAGCGCGCCAGUAUCCGGGCUCCUCCACCCACCCGCGACAGCGACAGCCACCCAGGCGUGGACGCAUGCGCAUCUCCAUCUCGCCCCGCGCCCGGCUCCGCACUGGGCGGAUCUCCAACUGCCACGCGGCCCUCGGCUCGGUGGCCAACCGAUACGACAUGCUGCUACACUCGACGCCCCGCGCCGACCGCUUCUGACUCAGGUGCGGUGUCAGGCGCGUCUCCUGCCACGGAUACGGUCCGACUGGCACCAUGAGCGUGUCAUGAUGGCGUGUCGGCUGGGUCUGGCUCGGGAUCCUCUAUGUCAUCUUCAUCACAUGUGCGCUCACGAUCAGCCAUAGGAAAUCCUCCAGCAUGCCGAUCUAGGGCCGAUGUAUCAGCCACGGGAUCUGCCGCUGCAGGGGGUGCUCCUGGAUCUUUUGUGGGUAUACCUGCUGAAAGGAUCGAUAUGGUUGACUAGAGGGGGGAUGAAUAGGCAACUAACACUUUUUAGACUUUUCUUUAACAAUUUAAACCUUGCAAUGAAACAGGUUGUCUAGAUGUGCAACUACGUGGACAACCUAUAUGAUGCAAAGACAAUAAGCACACAAGCAAGCAAUGGAUAUAGCACAAGUAAGCUUGCAAAAGUAAAGGGACAAGAUAACCAAGAGUGGAGCCGGUGGAGACGAGGAUGUGUUACCGAAGUUCCUUCCUUUUAAGGGGAAGUACGUCUACAUUAGAGCGGUGUGUAGGCACAAUGCUCCCCAAGAAGCCACUAGGGCCACCGUAAUCUCCUCACGCCCUCACACAAUGCGAGAUGCCGUGAUUCCACUAUUGGAGCCCUUGAAGGCGGCAACCAGACCUUUACAAACAAGAUUGGGGCUAUCUCCACAACACUUGGAGGCUCCCAACAAUACCGCGAAGCUUCACCACAAUGGAGUAUGGCUUCGAGGUGACCUCAACCGUCUAGGGUGCUCAACACCCAAGAGUAACAAGAUCCGCAAGGGAUAAGUGGGGGGAAUCAAAUAUCCUGUGGUGGAAGUGUAGAUCGGGCCCUUGUCACCCAAUCCCGAGCAAAUCAACAAAUUUGAUUGGCUAGGGAGAGAGAUCGAGCGAAAAUGGAGCUUGGAGCAACAAUGGAGCUUAGAGGUAGAAGAGGUAGUCAACUAGAGGUAGAAUACACCCCUUAUAUAGUCGUGGGAAAAAUCCAACCGUUAUCCACAUGUUCAGCCCGCGACACACGGUACUACCGCUCCAGGGGCGUGGUACUACCGUGGCUGACCACAGUACUACCGCGACAGCAGCACAGGCCGGAACUAGCCUGACAAGGGGGCAGUACUACCGCUUGCGUGGUACUACCGCACCCACUUGCGGUACUACUGCAAGGUAGGAAAGUCACGGCCUGGGAAGGGCGCGGAUGAAAUAAAUUACAUCCGUGCCUACUUCCGCUGAAACUGAGGUGGUACAAAAAUCCAAUGCGGUACUACCGCUCGCGAGGCGAGGUACUACCGUUGCGGGCGCGGAUGUAAAAAAUUACAUCCGCGCCUACUACCGUGACGCUGCGGUACUAGGUAGGAGGGCCACGAUACUACGACUCCUGGGGAGCGGUACUACCGUGGGUCACCGCGGUACUACCGCGCUGGACGAGCGGUACUACCGUGGGUGGCGCGGAAAAAUUACAUCCGCCCCUACUACCGUACCGAAGCGGCACUAGGCCUGGGAGUCGCGGUACUACCGCUCAAGAUGAGCGGUACUACCGUGAGCCACAGCGGUACUACCGCUGGUACUUGCGGUACUACCGCAAGUACAUCAGUAGUCGUCAGAUUUCAACAUAACCAAGAUAACGAAGAGAAGCUCCAGAGUGCAAGGAAAGGUAGGACAAGUGUACGUGUUGAUUCCACCCAAACAUUUCCGACGCGGACCCCCUCUUAAUAGUACGGCUCUUCUACGACUCAAAUCCACCAAAGAGAAACGUAGAACAACACCGACUUCAAUAGCCUCCGAGGGGCACCGAAUCGUCUCGUGCCUAGUGAUGAAGUAUCUGAGAAACUCAAGGCACAUGAUUAGUCCGCAAGAGCAUUGUCAUCAAUCACCAAAACACUCAAGGGAUAAAUGUGACCUUACACCUGCUGCUCUACCUUCUACAACACGAACACGGCUACAAAAAGGGGUACUUUAACCUGUAAAUUACAAAAAUAUUACCAAAUUUGGUUUGGAUUGUUCUACAGGUGAACCUAGUACACUUCAAGAGGCACUGGAUGAUGCAACAUGGACAAAGGCUAUGGAAGAAUAACACAUGGCAUUGCAGAAAAAUAAGACCUGACAUCUAGUUCCCUCAUGGCAAGGUAAAAAAUUGAUUGAUUGCAAGUGGGUUUUCAAAAUUAAAAGAAAAUCUGAUGGAACUAUAGAUCUCUUUAAAGCUAGGCUUGUUGCAAAAGGUUUUAAGCAAAGAUAUGGUCUGGACUAUGAGGAUACUUUUAGUCCAGUAGUAAAGGCUGCCACCAUUCGCCUAGUUUUCACUACUAGGGAAAACCUUAUGCACAGAAUCUUAGCAGUAGCGCUGGGUAAAAUGAGGCGCUGCUGCUAUAGUAGCGUGUGUCAGUAAGACGCGCUACUGCUAUCCUUUUAGCAGCAGCGCAUUUUAGCGAAAUGUGUUGCUACUAAGUUUGAACUGGGCGCAUAUGGCUAGCCCCACUUAGCAGCAGCGUAUAUCCCUAUCCAGCGCUACCGCUACUCUCCGUAGUAGUAGCGCUUUUCUUCAACCCGCGCUGCUACAAACCCUACCAUAUUGUCCCCGUGCAACCAACGACCCCCCCACACACACACACACUCCCUCUCACUUACUCUCUCACCAGCGCCCCCGUCGUCCGCCGCCACCGCCGUUCCCCGGCGACCGUCGUUGCCCGCCACCGCCGUUCCCCAACGACCGUCGUUGCCCGCCGCCGUCGUUCCUCCUCCACUGAGGUAAUCCAUCCUCCCUCCUCCUCCCUNNNNNNNNNNNNNNNNNNNNNNNNNNNNNNNNNNNNNNNNNNNNNNNNNNNNNNNNNNNNNNNNNNNNNNNNNNNNNNNNNNNNNNNNNNNNNNNNNNNNNNNNNNNNNNNNNNNNNNNNNNNNNNNNNNNNNNNNNNNNNNNNNNNNNNNNNNNNNNNNNNNNNNNNNNNNNNNNNNNNNNNNNNNNNNNNNNNNNNNNNNNNNNNNNNNNNNNNNNNNNNNNNNNNNNNNNNNNNNNNNNNNNNNNNNNNNNNNNNNNNNNNNNNNNNNNNNNNNNNNNNNNNNNNNNNNNNNNNNNNNNNNNNNNNNNNNNNNNNNNNNNNNNNNNNNNNNNNNNNNNNNNNNNUAUUUUUACUGUUGUUGUAUAAUGUAAUUUUUUUACUGUUUUUAGUAAGUGCUUAAUAGAAUUAGUAAGAAAAUUAAUAGAACUAGUUGAACUAGUUUAUUUUUAAUAAGAAUUAGUUUAUUUUUAUUUAUAGUAAGUGCUUAGUUGAACUAGUAGAAUUAAUACAGCUAUUUUAUUUUUUUAAGAAAAUUUAGGUAUAUGAGAUUUGAUGAUCUAAUUAAAUUUUUACUAUAGAACUAGUUUAUUUUUAGUAAGAACUAGUUUAUUUUUAUUUAUAGUAAGUGUUUAAUUGAACUAGUUGAAUUAAUAGGACUAGUUUAUUUUUAGUAAGAAAAUUUAGGUAUAUGAGAUUUGAUGAUCUAAUUAAAAUUUUACUAUAGAACUAGUUUAUUUUUAGUAAGAAAAUUAAUAGAACUAGUUUAUUUUUUUAGUUAAAGCAAUUAUUGUUGGGGAACGUAGUAAUUUCAAAAAAAAAUCCUACGCACACGCAAGAUCAUGGUGAUGCAUAGCAACGAGAGGGGAGAGUGUUGUCCACGUACCCUCGUAGGCCGAAAGCGGAAGCGUUAGCACAACGCGGUUCAUGUAGUCGUAUGUCUUCACGAUCCGACGGAUCCAAGUACAGAACGUACGGCACCUCUGAGUUCAGCACACGUUCAACUCGAUGACGUCCCACGAACUCCGAUCCAGUAGAGCUUUGCGGGCGAGUUCCAUCAGCACGAUGGCGUGAUGACAGUGUUGAUGAUGCUACCGACGCAGGGCUUCGCCUAAGCACUGCUACGAUAAUACCGAGGUAGAAUAUGGUGGAGGGGGGCACCGCACACGGCUAAGAGAUCAAUGAUCAAUUGUUCUGUCUAUGGGGUGCCCCCUUCCUCCGUAUAUAAAGGAGGGGAGGAGAGGGCUGGCCAAGGGGAGGAGGCGCGCCCAAGGGGGGGAGUCCUACUCCCAUUGGGAGUAGGACUCUUUCUUUCCCUAUUUGGAGAGGGAGAGGGAAGGAAGAGGAAGGAGGGAGGAAGGAAAGGGGGGCCGGCCCCCUUCCCAAUUCGGAUUGGGCUUGGGGGGAGGCCUCCCUUGCUCCUUUCCCCUCCUUUCCACUAAAGCCCAUUAAGGCCCAUAUACCUCCCGGUGGGUUCCGAUAACCUCCCGGUGCUCCGGUAUUAUCCCGAUCUCACCCGGAACCAUUCUAGUGUCCAAAUAUAGUCGUCCAAUAUAUCGAUCUUUAUGUCUCGACCAUUUCGAGACUCCUCAUCAUGUACGUGAUCACAUCUGGGACUUCGAACUACCUUCGGUACAUCAAAACACAUAAACUCAUAAUAUAACUGUCACUAAACUUUAAGCGUGCGGACCCUACGGGUUUGAGAACUAUGUAGCCAUGACCGAGACACGUCUCCGGUCAAUAACCAGUAGCGGAACCUGGAUGCUCAUAUUGGCUCCCACAUAUUCUACGAAGAUCUUUAUCGGUCAAAUCGUGUAACAACAUACGUUGUUCCCUUUGUCAUCGGUAUGUUACUUGCCCGAUAUUCGAUUGUCGGUAUCUCAAUACCUAGUUCAAUCUCGUUACCAGCAAGUCCCUUUACUCGUUCCGUAAUGCAUCAUCUUGUAACUAACUCAUUAGUCACAUUGCUUGCAAGGCUUAUAGUGAUUUGCAUUACCGAGAGGGCCCAGAGAUACCUCUCCGACAAUCGGAGUGACAAAUCCUAAUCUCGGAAUACGCCAACUCAACGAGUACCUUCGGAGACACCUGUAGAGCACCUUUAUAAUCACCCAGUUACGUUGUGACGUUUGGUAGCACACAAAGUGUUCCUCCGGUAAACGGGAGUUGCAUAAUCUCAUAGUCAUAGGAACAUGUAUAAGUCAUGAAGAAAGCAAUAGCAACAUACUAAACGAUCAAGUGCUAAGCUAACGGAAUGGGUCAAGUCAAUCACAUCAUUCUCCUAAUGAUGUGAUCCCGUUAAUCAAAUGACAACUCAUGUCUAUGGUUAGGAAACUUAACCAUCUUUGAUUCAACAAGCUAGUCAAGUAGAGGCAUACUAGUGACAUUAUGUUUGUCUAUGUAUUCACACAUGUACUAAGUUUCUGGUUAAUACAAUUCUAGCAUGAAUAAUAAAUAUUUAUCAUGAUAUAAGGAAAUAUAAAUAACAACUUUAUUAUUGCCUCUAGGGCAUAUUUCCUUCAGUCUCCCACUUGCACUAGAGUCAAUAAUCUAGUUCACAUCACCAUGUGAUUUAACACCAAUAUCCACAUAUGUAUGUGGUUAACACCCAUAGUUCACAUCGUCAUGUGACCAACACCGGAAGGGUUUACUAGAGUCAAUAAUCUAGUUCACAUCGCUAUGUGAUUAACACCUAAAGAGUACUAAGGUAUGAUCAUGUUUUGCUCGUGAGAGAAGUUUAGUCAAAGGGUCUGUCACAUAGAGAGUCGUAUGUAUUUUGCAAAUAUUCUAUGUCUACAAUGCUCUGCACGGAGCUACUCUAGCUAAUUGCUCCCACUUUCAAUAUGUAUCCAGAUUGAGACUUAGAGUCAUCUGGAUCGGUGUAAAAGCUUGCACCGAUGUAACUCUUUACGAUGAAUUCUUUUAUCACCUCCAUAAUCAAGAAACAUUUCCUUAGUCCUUACUAAGGAUAUUCUUGACCGCUGUCCGGUGAUCUACUCCUAGAUCAAAAUUGUACUCCCUUGCCUAACUUAGAGCAAGGUAUACAAUAGGUCUGGUACACAGCAUAACAUACUUUAUAGAACCUAUGAUUGAGGCAUAGGGAAUGACUUUUCAUUCUCUUUCUAUUUUCUGCCAUGGUCGGGUUUUGAGUCUUACUCAACUUCACACCUUUGUAACAACGGCAAGAACUCCUUCUUUGACUGUUCCAUUUUGAACUACUUCAAAAUCUUAUCAAGGUAUGUACUCAUUGCAAAAUCUUAUCAAGCGUCUUGAUCUAUCUCUAUAGAUCUUGAUGCUCAAUGUGUAAGCAGCUUCACCGAGGUCUUUCUUUAAAAAAACUCCUUUCAAACACUUCUUUAUGCUUUCCAGAAAAUUUUACAUCAUUUCCGAUCAACAAUAUGUCAUUCACAUAUACUUAUCAGAAAGGCUGUAGUGCUCCCACUCACUUGCUUGUAAAUACAGGCCUUUCCAAAAGUCUAUAUAAAACCAUAUGCUUUGAUCAACUCAUCAAAGUGUAUAUUCCAACUCCGAGAUGCUUGCACCAGUCCAUUGAUGGAUCGCUGGAGCUUGCACAUUUUGUUAGCACCUUUUGGAUCAACAAAACCUUCUGGUUGCAUCAUAUACAACUCUUCUUCUAGAAAUCCAUUCAGGAAUGCAGUUUUGACAUCCAUUUGCCAGAUUUCAUAAAAUGUGGCAAUUGCUAACAUGAUUCGGACAGACUUAAGCAUCAUUAUGAGUGAGAAAAUCGCAUCGUAUUCAACACCUUGAGCUUGUCGAAAACCUUUCGCAACAAGUCGAGCUUUGUAGAUAGUAACAAAACUAUCAGUGUCCGUCUUCCUCUUGAAGAUCCAUUUAUUUAACUUGGCUUGCUGAUCAUCGAGCAAGUGAACCAAAGUCCAUACUUUGUUCUCAUACAUGGAUCCUAUCUCAGAUUUUAUGGCCUCAAGCCAUUUUGCGGAAUCUGGGCUCAUCAUCGCUUCCUCAUAGUUCGUAGGUUCAUCAUGGUCUAGUAACAUGACUUCCAGAACAGGAUUACCGUACCACUCUGGUGCGGAUCUUACUCUGGAAGACCUACGAGGUUCCGUAGCAACUUGAUCUGAAGUUUCAUGAUCAUCAUCAUUAACUUCCUCACUAAUUAGUGUAGGAAUCACUGGAACUGAUUUUUGUGAUGAACUACUUUCCAAUAAGGAAGAAGGUACAAUUACCUCAUCAAGUUCUACUUUCCUCCCACUCACUUCUUUCAAGAGAAACUCCUUCUCUGGAAAGGAUUCAUACUUAGCAACGAUCUUGCCUUCGGAUCUGUGAUAGAAGGUGUACCCAACAGUUUCCUUUGGGUAUCCUAUGAAGACGCAUUUCUCCGAUUUGGGUUCGAGCUUAUCAGAUUGAACCUAUUUCACAUAAGCAUCGCAGCCCCAAACUUUUAAGAAACGACAACUUGGGUUUCUUGCCAAACCACAGUUCAUAAGGUGUCGUCUCAACGGAAUUUGAUGGUGCCCUAUUUAAAGUGAAUGCAACUGUCUUUUAAUACAUAACCCCAAAAUGAUAGUGGUAAACCGAUAAGAGACAUCAUAGAUUGCACCAUAUCCAAUAAAGUGCGGUUACGACGUUCAGACACACCAUUACGCUGUGGUGUUCCAGGUGGCGUGAGCUGUGAAACUAUUCCACAUUGUUUUAAAUGAAGGCCAAACUCGUAACUCGAAUAUUUUCCUCCAUGAUCAGAUCAUAGAAACUUUAUUUUCUUGUUACGAUGAUUCUCCACUUCACUCUGAAAUUCUUUGAACUUUUCAAAUGUUUCAAACUUGUGUUUCAUUAAGUAGAUAUACUCAUAUCUGCUCAAAUCAUCUUGUGAAGGUCAAAAAAUAAUGAUACCCGCCACGAGCAUCAACACUCAUCGGACUGCAUACAUCGGUGUGUAUUAUUUCCAAUAAGUCACUAGCUCGUUCCAUUGUUCUAGUGAACGGAUUUUUUAGUCAUCUUGCCCAUAAGGCACGAUUCGCAAGCAUCAAAUGAUUCAUAAUCAAGUGAUUCCAAAAAUCCAUCUUUAUGGAGUUUCUUCAUGCGCUUUACACCGAUAUGACCCAAACGGCAGUGCCACAAAUAAGUUGCACUAUCAUUAUCAACUUUGCAUCUUUUGGCAUCAAUAUUAUGAAUAUGUGUAUUACCACGAUCGAGAUCCAACAAACUAUUUUCACUGGGUGUAUUACCUUUCAAAGGUUUUAUUCAUAUAAACAGAACAACAAUUAUUCUCUGGCUUUAAAUGAAUAACCGCAUUGCAAUAGAAAUGAUCAAAUCAUAUUCAUGCCCAAUGCAAACGCCAAAUAACAUUUAUUUAGGUUCAACACUAAUCCCAAAAGUAUAGGGAGUGUGCGAUGAUGAUCAUAUCAAUCUUGGAACUACUUCCAACACACAUCGUCACUUCCCUCUCAACUAGUCUUUAUUUAUUCUGUAACUCCUGUUUCGAGUUACUAAUCUUAGCAACAGAAUCAAGUAUCAUAUAUUCUGGGGCUACUAUAAAUACUAGUAAGGUACACAUCAAUAACCUAUAUAUCAAAUAUACCCUUGUUCACUUUGCCAUCCUUCUUAUCCACCAAAUAUUCAAGGCAUUUCCGCUUCCAGUGACCAUUUCCUUUGCAGUAGAAGCACUCAGUUUCAGGCCUUGGUCCAGCUUUAGGCUUCUUCACGGGAGUGACAACUUGCUUGCCAUUCUACUUGAAGUUCCCUUUCUUUCCCCUUGCCCUUUUCUUGAAACUAGUGGUCUUAUCAAUCAUCAACACUUGAUGCUCUUUUCUUGAUUUCUACCUUCGUCGAUUUCAGCAUCACGAAGAGCUCGGGAAUCGUUUUCUCCAUUCCUUGCAUACUACAGUUCAUCACGAAGUUCUGGUAACUUAGUGAUGGUGACUAGAGAACUCUGUCAAUCACUGUCUUAUCUGGAAGAUUAACUCCCACUUGAUUCAAGCGAUUGUAGUACUCAGACAAUCUAAGCACUUGCUCACUAGUUGAGCAAUUCUCCUCCAUUUUUUAGGCGAAGUAUUUGUCAGAGGUCUCAUACCUCUUGACACGGGCAUGAGUCUGAAAUACCAAUUUCAUCUCAUGGAACAUCUCAUAUGUUCCGUGACGUUUCAAAAAAACGCUUUUGUAGUCCCGGUUCUAAGCCAUAAACCAUGGUGCACAAAACUAUCAAGUAGUCAUCAUAUUGAGCUAGCCAAACGUUCAUAACGUCUGCAUCUGCUCCUACAAUAGGUCAGUCACCCAACGGUGCAUCAAGGACAUAGUUCUUCUGUGCAGCAAUGAGGAUAGACCUCAGAUCACGGACCAAGUCUGCAUCAUUGCUACUAACAUCUUUCAACAUAGUUUUUCUUUAAGAACAUAUUAAAAAACAUAGGGAAGCUAUAACGCGAGCUAUUGAUCUACAACAUAAUUUGCAAAAUACUACUAGGACUAAGUUCAUGAUAAAUUAAAGUUCAGUUAAUCAUAUUACUUAAGAACUCCCACUUAGAUAGACAUCUCUCUAAUCAUCUAAGUGAUUACGUGAUCCAAAUCAACUACACCAUAACCGAUCAUCACGUGAAAUGGAGUAGUUUUCAAUGGUGAACAUCAUUAUGUUGAUCAUAUCUACUAUAUGAUUCACGCUCGACCUUUCGGUCUCAGUGUUCCGAGGCCAUAUCUGCAUAUUCUAGGCUCGUCAAGUUUAAGCUGAGUAUUCUACAUGUGCAAAACUGGCUUGCACCCGUUGUAGAUGAACGUAGAGCUUAUCACACCCGAUCAUCAUGUGGUGUCUCGGCACGAUGAACUUUGGCAACAGUGCAUACUCAGGGAAAACACUUUUAUCUUGAAAUUUAGUGAGAGAUCAUCUUAUAAUGCUACCGUCCAUCAAAGCAAAAUAAGAUGCAUAAAGGAUAAACAUCACAUGCAAUUAAUAUAAGUGAUAUGAUAUGGCCAUCAUCAUCUUGUGCUUGUGAUCUCCAUCUUCGAAGCACCGUCAUGAUCACCAUCAUCACCGGCGCGACACCUUGAUCUUCAUCGUAGCAUCGUUGUCAUCUCGCCAACUAUUGCUUCUAUGACUAUCGCUACCGCUUAGUGACAAAGUAAAGCAAUUACAGGGCGAUUGCAUUGCAUACAAUAAAGCGACAACCAUAUGGCUCCUGCCAGUUGCCGAUAACUUGGUUACAAAACAUGAUCAUCUCAUACAAUAAAAUAUAGCAUCAUGUCUUGACCAUAUCACAUCAUAACAUGCCCUGCAAAAAUAAGUUAAACGUCCUCUACUUUGUUGUUGCAAGUUUUAUGUGGCUGCUACGGGCUGAGCAAGAACCGUACUUACCUACGCAUCAAAACCACAACGAUAUUUCGUCAAGUUAGUGUUGUUUUAACCUUCACAAGGACCGGGCGUAGCCACACUCGGUGCAACUAAAGUUGGAGAAACUGACACCCGCCAUCCACCUAUGUGCAAAGCACGUCGGUAGAACCAAUCUUUCGUAAGCGUAUGUGUAAUGUUGGUCCGGGCCGCUUCAUCCAACAAUACCACCGAACCAAAGUAUGACAUGCUGGUAAGCAGUAUGACUUGUAUCGCCCACAACUCACUUGUGUUCUACUCGUGCAUAUAACAUCUACACAUAAAACCAGGCUUGGAUGCCACAGUUGGGAACGUAGUAAUUUCAAAAAAAAAAUCCUACGCACACGCAAGAUCAUGGUGAUGCAUAGCAACGAGAGGGGAGAGUGUUGUCCACAUACCCUCAUAGACUGAAAGCGGAAGCGUUAGCACAACGCGGUUGAUGCAGUCGUACGUCUUCACGAUCUGACCGAUCCAAGUACCGAACGUACGGCAACUCCGAGUUCAGCACAUGUUCAGCUCGAUGACGUCCCAUGAACUCUGAUCUAGCAGAGCUUUGCGGAAGAGUUCCGCCAGCACGACGGCGUGAUGACGGUGUUGAUGAUGCUACCGACGCAGGGCUUCGCCUAAGCACUGCUAUGAUAAUACCGAGGUGGAAUAUGGUGGAGGGGGGCACCGCACACGGCUAAGAGAUCAAUGAUCAAUUGUUGUGUCUAUGGGGUGCCCCCCUCCUCCGUAUAUAAAGGAGGGGAGGAGAGGGCCGGCCAAGAGGAGGAGGCGCGCCCAAGGGGGGGAGUCCUACUCCCACCGGGAGUAGGACUCCUCCUUUUCCUAUUUGGCGAGGGAGAGGGAAGGAAGAGGAAGGAGGGAGGAAGGAAAGGGGGGGCCCGGCCCCCUUCCCAAUUCAGAUUGGGCUUCGGGGGGCCUCCCUUGCUCCUUUCCCCUCCUUUCCACUAAAGCCCAUUAAGGCCCAUAUACCUCCUGGGGGGUUCCGAUAACCUCCCGGUGCUCCGGUAUUAUCCCGAUCUCACCCGGAACUAUUCCGGUGUCCAAAUAUAGUCGUCCAAUAUAUCGAUCUUUAUGUCUCGACCAUUUCGAGACUCCUCGUCAUGUCCUUGAUCACAUCUGGGACUCCGAACUACCUUCGGUACAUCAAAACACAUAAACUCAUAAUAUAACUGUCAUUGAACUUUAAGCAUGCGGACCCUACGGGUUCGAGAACUAUGUAGCCAUGAUCGAGACACGUCUCCGGUCAAUAACCAGUAGCGGAACCUGGAUGCUCAUAUUGGCUCCCACAUAUUCUACAAAGAUCUUUAUCAGUCAAACCGCAUAACAACAGAUGUUGUUCCCUUUGUCAUCGGUAUGUUACUUGCCCGAGAUUCGAUCGUUGAUAUCUCAAUACCUAGUUCAAUCUCGUUACUGGCAAGUCUCUUUACUCGUUCUGUAAUGCAUCAUCUUAUAACUAACUCAUUAUUCACAUUGCUUGCAAGGCUUAUAGUGAUGUGCAUUACCGAGAGGGCCCAGAGAUACCUCUCCGACAAUCGGAGUGACAAAUCGUAAUCUCGAAAUGCGCCAACUCAACAAAUACCUUCGGAGACACCUGUAGAGCACCUUUAUAAUCACUCAGUUACGUUGUGAUGUUUGGUAGCACACAAAGUGUUCCUCCGGUAAACUGGAGUUGCAUAAUCUCGUAGUCAUAGGAACAUGUAUAAGUCAUGAAGAAAGCAAUAGCAACAUACUAAACGAUCAAGUGCUAAGCUAACGGAAUGGGUCAAGUCAAUCACAUCAUUCUCCUAAUGAUGUGAUCAUGUUAAUCAAAUGACAACUCAUGUCUAUGGUUAGGAAACUUAACCAUCUUUGAUUCAACGAGCUAGUCAAGUAGAGGCAUACUAGUGACAUUAUGUUUGUCUAUGUAUUCACACAUGUACUAAGUUUCCGGUUAAUACAAUUCUAGCAUGAAUAAUAAACAUUUAUCAUGGUAUAAGGAAAUAUAAAUAACAACUUUAUUAUUGCCGCUAGGGCAUAUUUCCUUCAAUUAUUCCCGCAUCAACGUCGAUUAUGCCUAUCCAGCAUCCUCAUCGUCGACUCGGCGGAGGAGGCCUGCUUGAUCAGAGGGGCCAUGUCCGGGACUGGGCUACGUUGGGCUGGUACUGGGAUGUGCUACCUUUCACGGGCGCAGGUUGGUGAGGAGCCAGCCCAUCAUUGACCCGAACCUUCUUUGGUGGCGGUCGCGUGGGCCAGUGAUGGUGCGGAGGCUUGAGGACCCCGUGGAGGUGGUACGUCACCAUGUCAAUGAGGAGGACGAGCACGUCCAUCGCUACAUAGUUUUGUUGGAGGGCAGGUUCUCCAAUACCUGGCAGGUUCUUCAGGGAUCUCACUGGAGCUAUGAUCCUGUGAUGGUUCCUUCUCUUUGAGUGUCCACCGCCCGGGCUGAUACCCGUCGUUUGCUAGGGUUUUAGCUGUGUUAGUGAGGUUAUAUGUAUGAUACUAUUCAAGAUGUAUUAGUGGUAAUAUUCGACGAUGUACUGACGCAAGAGAUGAUUUAGUUUUGCUUAUUGAAUGCAUGCUAAUUUUAAUACUAAUUUAUUUUAUGAUUUAGUUUUGCUUAUUGAAUGCUCAAAUUGGAGAACUACUCCUAUUUUGAAUACUCAAAUUGGAGAGCACUAUGCAAGGCGUUUGCAUUUGAUUGGUUGAUAGCUUAUAGGGUUUCACUAAGUCCUAAGAUGAGGAUAAUGAUGUUUUUAUUUAUAUUUUGUUUUUGCAGCCAAAUAUCCAUGUCGUCGUCGCCGUCGCCCCUGUCAUGGACCCCCUCCAACCUCGAGGUGGCACCAGCCAAAUCUCCAUGUCAAUAUGAGUCCUAUAAUAUAUUUUGAAAUGUUUUUGUUCAUAUUUUCAACCACAUUGAAAUGCAAUGACCAUCAAAUUUGAAUGCAAUGACCAUCAAGUUUGAAUGCAAAUAGGAUAUGUGCUUGCCCAAGUGGCCAUGUUUGCAGGUAACACCUCCGAGUGGCAUAUGUUUUGCCGAAGUGUUGAUUAAUUUCCGUUCCCGCAAAUUUCAGGCGCUCGAUAUAUCCUUUUUUAGCAAAGGUCAUGCCGUAUUUUUCCGUGAAUUUUGGCAUGGCUUGUGCUAGAAUAUGUAGGAAAUAUCGAGUGGCCUAGAUUUUCUAGAAAGAUAAUUAAAUGACAUUUCAGGUUGACUUUAAGUCUGUCGAGGCUCCAUACAUGACAAUCAAAAAAUGAGUGAGGGAGAAAGUCUGCACCAUAUACGAGAGAGGAAGAAUCCCGACUGUUGUCGUGGGGGUCAUUUCUCCUUCUUCUCCUUGUGCUAUACCUUUGUUAUGCACUAGGGGAAGGAGGAGUAACGACUACCACCGACGGUCAAAAAAUCAGUGAGGGAGUGUGUCCACCAUAUACUGUAUGAGAGAAGAAGAAUGUCGACUGUUGUCAUGGGGGUCGCUUCUCCUUCAUUCCCAUGUGCUAGACAUUUUGGUCGAAUAUAUACACCACGUGAGCGGAGAGUUUUUAAAAAAGACUCGACGGACAGAUAGUCAACCCGUGCUGAAUAAUAAUGAUCUAAUUUAGUUUUUGUAGUACAUAUAUUGAAUUUUAGAAGUUUAAUCUUUGAAUUAUGAACAUAGGAAAUGCCGUCGGACGAUGGAAGUCUCGCGGAGUGCUCCUGGUGUGGCAACAACCGGGGUUUCUGCGAUAGACCUCACUUCGGCGCUUCAGCAUUAAGCUCGAGGAUACCUUCGAUGUUGAAACAGUACGCAACGAUGCAAAUUGUUUUUUUCGUAAUUAAGCUCGACUUCUUCUUCUUCAAUGUGUAAUUUUCAUCUUUUACAAUUUGACUAGCUUAUCCCAUGCCAUGCAAGACGCUAUGUCUUGGAGAGGAUGGAUUUUGAAGAUCAUGAAAAGAUGGAAACAAAGAUAGUUCACCUAAGGACCCAUCAUGGUUUUGAUUUUCCUGUAAAUCUAUACAAUUCAGUGAGUGUAUCCCAUUUUGGUUGCCCGAAUUGGGAAGCACUUUGCAACGCAUAUGAUUUCCAUGAGGGUAUGCUUGUCACCAUGGAUCUUGGUGAUCCUGACACCGAGGAAGACAAUAUGGAGAUUUUGGUCCUUGUUGAUACACUUCCAAUUCUACCGCUAUGUGAGUUUCUCAAACAUAGUUAUUAAGUAAUUUAUAUUGUUUAUUUCAAAAUACUUGACAGCUUAUUUCGAUUGAUAGCUUAUUUUCAUUCUUCAAAGAAUGUGCGGAAGAUGGUAGACAGAACCUACUACACCGAUGGCGCAUAAUUAACUUAUCAGGAUAAAAAUCAUCUGAUCUCAUUUAUUAGUGAUCUUGAGAAUUACAAUAUCUAUAAUCAAACUCCUGCACAUUAUGGUCAAUACGUGCCACUAGUGCACGUGUUGAACAACGGUAACAUCCAUGGAGAUGGCAUGGUAAGACUUUUUACUAUUACGACAUCCAUGCAUCUUUUGCAUAAAUUCUUCUAAAACUAAACUACAUUGCUAACUAUGAAGUUAUUACUAUGUUUUUCAACAAAAAAUCCUGAAGGAUUGUGUGCCUCAUCUGAUGUUUCUGAAAGGUCGCCUUGAUGUUAUGAGCUUACGGCCGGGUCAUCCUACGCAUCACAGUUGUUCAUACCAGAUUUCUAAAACCGAUGAAGACAUGACAAUCAAAGAUUGGAAACAAUGUAUGGUCAGUCAUAGGGAGGUACUUGGAAGCAACAUUAUGCGAUGCGCAAGAAUUGGAGACAGGAUAAUCUCCAUUCUCCAUAAUGGAGAGUCAUGGGCCUAUCUUGUUUUAUGCUAUUUUACCUAAGAGAGUGUAGUAGGUCCUAUUAGAGAGGUGUAGGUCCGGUACAAUGUGUUAUUAUGUGGUACAAUGUGUUAGAGUUGAUGAUGAGGAGGAGUUGUGAUUAUGACUAGUGACCAACUUGCUAUGAUGUCUCAUUGACAGAAAUGAUGAUCAUGAGGAGGUGUUAUAUGACAAUGAUGUAUUAUGAUGAUAAGUUGUUGAUGAUAUGAUGAUGAUGAUGAUGAUGAUGAUGAUGAUGAUGAUAUUUAUUAUAUCAUUGGGUGAAAGAACCACGGAUUAGUUUCAAGUGGAUGUCCAUCCACUUGAAACUAGUCCACGGUUCUUUCACCCAGUGAUGUAGUAACUCAUUAUGAUGUAAAAACAAUCUCUAAAUUGCUACUGUAUGAAAACUUGUAUAAAGGUGUAUGAAUACAACAUGAAAUAAAAAAGAAAUAGAAUACGGGAUAAUAGUAGUAGCGCGGGCUGCGAGAAUCGCUACUAGUAAUUACCAGUAGCGCCCUUUUUAGGAAGCGCUACUACUAAGUGGAUAUAGCAGUAGCGCGGGUAGACCCACGCUACUGCUAACCUUUAGCUGUAGCGCCAUAGCAGUAGCGAUGUCACCCACGCUGCUGGUAGGCCAAAAACCCGCGCUACUGGUAGGCUUUUCCCUAGUAGUGUUUAUCUAUUGUUGUUUUCAGGGGAUGGAGCCUUAGACAGCUAGAUGUGUAGAAUGCGUUCCUUCAUGGUGUUCUGGAAGAGGAUGUCUACAUGAAACAACCACCUGGGUUUGAAAAUAAGCAAUUUCCCUCACAUGUGUGCAAACUUGAUAGGCCAUAUAUGGUCUGAAGCAGGCCCCCAGAGCAUGGUACUCCCAUCUUAGUCACAAACUGCAAGCACUUGGUUUUACUCCCUCCAAGGCUCACACCUCAUUGUUCAUUUACAGCAAGUCAAAUACUUCUAUAUUUGUACUUAUCUAUGUUGAUGAUAUUAUUGUUACUAGUUCAUCUAAUGAGGCAGUGGCAAGAUUGUCGAGGGAUCUGAGUGCUGAGUUUGCUCUAAAAGAUCUAGGAGAUUUGCAUUUCUUCCUAGGCAUUGAGGUGCAGAAACAUGGAGAUGACCUUCAUCUGUCUCAGGAAAAUAUGCAACUGACCUGGUAAAGAGGGUUGGCCUGCAAGGAUGUAAACCCUCAUCAACUCCAUUGUCAAGUUCUGAAAAACUGUCUCUCGCAGAAGGAAACCUCUUGAAUCAAUAGGACAACACCAACUAAAGAAGCUUGGGUAGGUGCACUUCAGUACUUGACUCUUACAAGGCCAGAUAUAUCUUUUGUUGUUAACAAAGUAUGUCAGUUCCUUCAUGCACCCACUACUGUUCACUGGACUGCAGCUAAGCGUAUUGUCAGAUAUGUUAAAAAUACUUUGACUACAGGCCUUACCUUCAGCAAGUCAUCAUCUAUGCUUGUCAGUGCAUUCUCUGAUUCUAAUUGGGCACGUUGUGUAGAUGACAGAUGCUCAACAAGUGGCUUUUUGUGUUCUUUGGACCUAACCUCAUAUCGUGGUGUGCAAAGAAACAAGCUACUAUAUCAAGAUCAAGUACAGAAGUAGAGUACAAGGCUAUAGAAAAUGCCAUAACAGAAAUUAUCUGGGUUCCGUCUUUGUUAAGGUAACUUGGUAUUAAAUGAAUUCCAGCUCCAUGCUUAUGGUCUGACAACCUCGGUGCUACAUAUUUACCAACUAACCCAGUUUUUCAUGCUAGAACAAAACACAUUUAAAUAGAUUUUCACUUUGUCAGAGAAAGAGUUGAUAGUAAGCAAUUGGAAAUGCGAUUUAUACAUUCCAGAGAUCAAGUUACAGAUGGCUUUACAAAGGCAUUGCCCACAAAUAGCUUUGAAGAACUCAAGCGUAAUCUCAACUUAUGCAAGUUGUGAUUAAGGGGGAGUGUUAAACAUAUUAUGGCGUCGCGUUACAUACGCAGAGGAGGUUGUAGGUAGUUUGGUAGACAUAUAUAUUGGUUGUUUAUUUUAUACUUAUCUCAUGUAACCGAUUGUAUCUCUCCUCUAUCCCUUGUCUCCCAAGCAUGUAAUCUCAACAACCUUGUAUGCAUAUUCUAGAGUUAAGCACCUGGCUAUAUUAACAUGCACCCGUCACCCUUGGUAGGGUAUGAUGUUUCCCUAAACUUUCCAUAGUAUCCACUCUCUUCUCUGCAGAUGGUCACUGAACCACAACCUAUUUUGUGGAGAAGCCAAGUAAAAAAACUUAAGGCAGGUAGGUGCCUAAGAGUGCCAGAAGAUUUAUCUGAAGCUGGAUUUGAUCAAUCCCUAAAACUGGAACUUAUAUGCAGAGCUUGUGGUGUAGAUUCUAGAAUCUUCAUGGUUCCACUUGAUCGUGUCUCUAGAUGAAUCAUUUAGUUGAAUAUUACGAGCCUGAAUCCAACGACGUAAACUGCUCACUUGUGCCCAGAUUGGUUUGGUGCUCCCAUGAGCAAGAUCAUUUAUCCAGGUCUGGUUUGUCAGGGCCUCUUUUACAGUCCUAUUAUUCCUUCAAGAGUGCUUGUAGAGGGUUGGGAAGGCCGGUCUUCAGGUUGCCUUUGCUAGUCUAGGAGUAGUUCAAGAACAUUAUUGUUGCGACAUCUCCAAUGGUAGAAGUGGUGGACGUGAUAAAGAGUACUCUGCAUUGCCAUGGCAUGUCCAGCUCGUCCAUGACUGCUAGAGCCAGUGCAGACACAGGGCUCUGCCCAAUCGCUGGAAAUCUGGUAUCCUCGGCCCCCAUUGUCGAUUGACGAGCAUAAAACAGACCAAUUGACAUUGCAUUUGCCGCCGGUGAUCUCUUCUUCUUGGGCCCAUAGAACUUAUCAUAUAACCAUUUCAACACAGCAUGGCACUUUGAGCACUGUCAUGGCAAAAGUUUGCAGCAUGCUGAGGACACUCCUUCUGAGCGCUCGUCUUCCCACGAUUGACAUGAGCUUUCCCUUCUGGCCCGCAAGCCUUGCCUUGAUACGGACAAGGAUGAACUAGAUAUGGACAAGGCGCAGCCUGGAAAGGGUGAUUGGGAGGCCAAGGUAUCGGAGAGAGAAAUCCACUGUGUGCCCGCCAAAAUUCUGAAGUUUGUUGUAGGUUUAUCUCUUUACAUCAGAUCGCCAUUGUUGUGGAUUUUGCUAGGUUAACUUUCAGGCCCGUUGCAUCGCGAAAUCUUGCAGGAUGUUUAGGAGUGUAUCACUCUUUGCCUUGAUCAGGUUAGCAAAGAUAACCGCAUCAUCAGCGUAAAAACUGAUUCUCAAGGAAAUAUCUCUGCCAGCCAGUGGGGUGAGGAGGUCUAAUUUAGUAGCUCUCUACAGUAAACGGUGUAGUGGAUCAAUGGCGAUGAUGAAUAGGAGUGACGAUAAGGGAUCGCCCUGACGAAGCCCUCUUUGGUGCGUCAUUGUUUAACCAGGGAAGCCAUUUAGCAGGAAGGGCGUAUUGGGACAUAAUAAAAUUAACUUAAUUUAUAAAUAUGAAGUAGCACUCAUUUACACACAUUACAAUACCCCAUCUCGAUGACGUCCUUAGUGGUGAAGUCGAUGGAUCAGUGGGAAGCUUAUUCCAUUGUCUCCUUGAUUUGAUGGAUCUGGUGGUGUUUGUUGUUUCUAUGGCGGAUCUCAUCACGUGUGGUGCCGUCUUUGUUUGGGAGAAGAUGAAGGUCCAAGAACACUGUUGGAGGCUUGUGGGUGGUAGUUCUAGUGUUUUGCCUCGACGACAUCGACGGUAUGCAGCGGAUCUGGGUUUCAAGGAGCACGGGGAUGAUCCCCAGUCGACGCGCCACAGCGACAAUGGCCUUGCCGGUGGCAGGCCUUUUCUUUGGUUCACAAAGCCUUUAUAGGCGAUUGUGUUUCUUCGUCUCCAAAGAUGGCAAGUGGCAACGGUGGCUAUUGCAGAAUUGUACUUCAAUGGAGUUUUCUUGCAAUUGUUUCUGGACAUGUGUCCUCUCUCCUUUUCUAUCGUGGUUUUCAUGAUUUCGUGUUGUAAUAUGACAUCUGUUUAAUGGUAUAUGAAAUUUCUCAAUAUAGACAUAUAAGAUAAGUAAUAGUAUACUGAUCUCAACCUCCACACUCACCAAUGCACGCAUUGAUUAAAUUGACAUGGUCAUUGAUUCGUCUCCAACUUAUCUAUAAUUUUUUAUUGUUCCAUGCUAUUAUAUUAUCUGUUUUGGAUGUUUAAUGGGCUUUAAUAUGCUCUUUUAUAUUAUUUUCGGGACUAACCUAUUAACCGAAGGCCAAGUGCUAGUUUCUGUUUUUUUUGGCCUAUUUUAGAGUUUUGCAGAAAAGGAAUACCAAACGGAGUCCAAACAGAAUGAAACCUUCGCGAUGAUCUUUCUUGGACCAAAAGCAAACUAGAAGACUUGGAGUUGAAGUCAGAAACGCCACGAGGCGUCCACAAGGAAGGACGGUGCGCCCAGGGGGGUAGGCCUUCCCCCACCCUCGUGGGCCCCUCGUAGCUCCACCGACGUACUUCUUUCGCCUAUAUAUACUCUUAUACCCUAGAAACAUCAGGGAGAGCCACAAAACCACUUUUCCACCACCGCAACCUUCAGUACCCGUGAGAUCCCAUCUUGGGGCCUUUUCCGGCAAUCUGUCGAAGGGCGAAUCGAUCACGAAGGGCUUCUACAUCAACACCAUUGCCUCUCCGAUGAAGCGUGGGUAGUUUACCAUAGACCUUCGGGUCCAUAGUUAUUAGCUAGAUGGCUUCUUCUCUCUCUUUGAUUCUCAAUACAAAGUUCUCCUCGAUGUUCUUGGAGAUCUAUUCGAUGUAAUAUUCUUUUGCGGUGUGUUUGUCGAGAUCUGAUGAAUUAUGGAUUUAUGAUCAGAUUAUCUAUGAAUAUUAUUUGGUUCUUCUCUCAAUUCUUAUAUGCAUGAUUUGAUAUCUUUGCAAGUCUCUUCGCAUUAUCGGUUUAGUUUGGCCUACUAGCUUGAUCUUUCUUGCAAUGGGAGAAGUGGUUAGCUUUGGGUUCAAUCUUGCGGUGUCCUUUCCUAGUGACAGUAGGGGCAGCAAGGCACGUAUUGUAUUGUCGCCAUCGAGGAUAAAAAUAUGUGGUUUAUAUCCUAUUGCUUGAGUUUAUCCCUCUACAUCAUGUCAUCUUGCUUAAUGCGUUACUCCGUUCUUAUGAACUUAAUACUCUAGAUGCAUGCUAGGUAGUGGUCAAUGUGUGGAGUAAUAAUAGUAGAUGCAGAAUCGUUUCGGUCUACUUGACACGGACGUGAUGCCUAUGUUCAUGAUCAUUGCCUUAGAUGUCUUCAUAAUUAUGCGCUUUUCUAUCAAUUCCCCGGCAGUAAUUUGUUCACCCACCGUAAUACAUGCUAUCUUGAGAGAAGCCACUAGUGAAACCUAUGGCCCCCGGGUCUCUUUUCUAUUAUAUUGCAUCUCUUUUCCAUUAUAUCGCAUCUCAUUUACUAUCUUGCAAUCUUUACUUUCCAAUCUAUACAAAAAAAAUACCAAAAAUAUUUAUUUUACUAUCUCUAUUAUAUCUCACUUUUGCGAGUGACCGUGAAGGGAUUGACAACCCCUUUAUCGCGUUGGUUGCAAGGUUCUUGAUUGUUUGUGCAGGUACUAGGUGACUUGUGCGUUGUCUCCUACUGGAUUGAUAACUUGGUUCUCAAAACUGACGUAAAUACUUAUGCUACUUUGCUGCAUCACCCUUUCCUCUUCAAGGGAAAAACCAACACAAGCUCAAGAGGUAGCAAGAAGGAUUUUUGGCGCUGUUGCCGGGGAGAUCUACGCCAAGUCAAGCCAUACCAAGUACUCAUCAUAAACUAUUCUCCCUCGCAUUACUUUUUUUCCAUUCGCCUCUAGUUUUCCUCUCACCCACUUCUAAAACGAUUUUCGAAAACCUUUGCCUUUUCUUCGCCCUUCUUCAGUCUGCCUUUCCUUUUUUUUUGCCCAUGUCUAGCUCUUCUUCCCCUCCAUUGUCUUCUAACUUUGAUGUUCUUCACUUCAAGCAGAAACAAGGAGAAAAUUUCAAGGAUGCUUGGUAUAGGAUAACAAAAUAUUAUCGUAAUUGCACCAUUCAAGGAGAUUUUAAAAUCUUACUCCGUAAUUUUUACGUUGGAUUGACCUUGCCUCAUGGGCAACUCUUGGAUUUCGCCUCCAAAGAAAACUUUAUCGAAAUUGAUCCCAACAUCGCUUAUGAAAUUCUAGAAGGAGUAGUUGGCAUAUCACCUCCACCUUCGGGUUUACCCCAAACCCACGAGGGAGCUCAACCUUUUGAAAAACUUUGUGAGGUAGUUAAAUUUUUUCAAAAAUCGCUUGAACCUCUCAAAAAUGUCAGUGGAAAUAUCCACAGUAUGAACAUGUUGAUCACCCUUUGUAAUAAACGGUUGGAUGCUUUAGAUCUAAAAAUUUCUGAAUAUGAGGGAAAGCCUAAAGAACUUCCCGUACCUGAACAAAAUUCCCUCAAAAGAGUAAAAACCCAAAGAUGGCAAUACCUAGAUCUAUUCGUGUUUUUAUACCUAGCUAGGGGCGUUAAACGAUAGCGCUUGUUGGGAGGCAACCCAAUUUUAAUUUUGUCCUUUGCUUUUUGCUCCUGUUUAGUAAUAAAUAAUUCAUCUAUCCUUUGUUUAGAUGUGGUUUUAUAUCUUUAAUUAGUGUUUGUGCCAAGUAGAACCUUUGGGAAUACUUGGGUGAAGUUUUUGCAAUCUUGCUGUAAAAAACAGAAACUUUUGCACUCAUGAGAUUAGCCGUCAUUUUUUACAGAAGAGUAUUUUUAGGUUGAUUAUUUUUGUAGAAGAUUAAUAAAUAAAUUCCUCACGUCCACCAAUUUAUUUCAGAAUUUUUGGAGUUACAGAAGUAUUCUAAAGUUACAGAUUUCUACAGACUGUUCUGUUUUUGACAGAUUCUGUUUUUCGUGUGUUGUUUGCUUAUUUUGAUGAAUCUAUGAGUAGUAUCGGGGGGUAUGAACCAUAGAGAAGUUAGAAUACAGUAGGUUUAACACAAAUAUAAGUAAAUAAUGAGUUCAUUACAGUACCUUAAAGUGGUGGUUUAUUUUCUUAUACUAACAGAGCUCAUGAGAUUUUUUGUUGAAGUUUUGUGUUGUGAAGUUUUCAAGUUUUUGGGUACAAGAUUUGAUGGAUUUUGGAACAAGGAGUGGCAAGAGCCUAAGCUUGGGGAUGCCCAAGAAACCCCAAGGUAAAAUUCAAGGACAACCAAAAGCCUAAGCUUGGGUAUGCCUCGGAAGGCAUCCCCUCUUUCGUCUUCAUCUAUCGGUAACUUUACUUGAGGCUAUAUUUUUAUUCACCACAUAUAUGUGUUUUUCUUGGAGCGUCUUGUAUGAUUUGAGUCUUUUCUUUUUAGUUUACCAUAAUCAUCCUUGCUGUACACACCUUUUGGGAGAGACACGCAUGAAUCAAAAUUUAUUAGAAGACUCUAUGUGCUUCACUUAUAUCUUUUGAGCUAGACAAUUUUGCUCUAGUGCUUCACUUAUAUCUUUUUAGAGCACGGUGGUGGUUUUAUUUUAUAGAAAUUGUUGAUCUCUCAUGCCUCACUUAUAUUAUUUUGAGAGUCUUUUAGAACAGCAUGGUAAUUUGCUUUGGCUAUAAAACUAGUCCUAAUAUGAUGGGCAUCCAAGAUGGGUAUAAUAAAAACUUUCAUAUAAAGUGCGUUGAAUACUAUGAGAAGUUUGAUUCUUGAUGAUUGUUUGAGAUAGGAGGAUGGUGAUAUUUGAGUCAUGCUAGGAUAGUAAUUGUGAACUUGAGAAAUACUUGUGUUGAGGUUUGCAAGUCCCGUAGCAUGCAUGUAUGGUAACUGUUGGGUAACAAAUUUGAAGCAUGAGGUGUUUCUUUGAUUGUCUUCCUUAUGUGUGGAGGUCGGGAUCACGCGAUGGUUAACUUCUAUCAACCCUUCCCCUAGGAGCAUGCAUGUAGUGCUUGGUUUUGAUGACUUGUAGAUUUUUGCAAUAAGUAUGUGAGUUCUUUAUGACUAAUGUUGAGUCCAUGGAUUAUACGCACUCUCAUCCUUCCACCAUUGCUAGCCUCUCUAGUACCGCGCAACUUUCACCGGUACCAUAAACCCACCAUUUACCUUCCUCAAAAAAGCCAUCAUACCUACCUAUUAUGGCAUUUCCAUAGCCAUGCCGAGAUAUGUUUCCAUGCAACUUUCCACCGUUUCGUUUAUUAUGACACACUUCAUCAUUGUCAUAUUGUCUUGCAUGAUCAUGUAGUUGACAUCGUAUUUGUGGCAAGGCCACCAUUCAUAAUUCAUUCAUACAUGUCACUCUUGAUUCAUCGCACAUCCCGGUACACCGCUGGAGGCAUUCAUAUAGAGUCAUACUUUGUUCUAAGUAUCAAGUUAUAAUUCUUGAGUUGUAAAUAAAUAGAAGUGUGAUGAUCAUCAUUAUCCCAUGUGAGGAAAUAAAAAAAAGGCCAAAGAAGCCAAUGAAAAAAAAUAAGAGGCCAAAGAAGCCAAACAAAAAAUGAGAGAAAAAGAGAGAAGGGGCAAUGCUACUAUCCUUUUUCCACACUUGUGCUUCAAAGUAGCACAAUGAUCUUCAUGAUAAAGAGUCUCUCAUUUUGUCACUUUCAUAUACUAGAGGGAAUUUUCGUUAUAGAACUUGGCUUGUAUAUUGAUACGUCUCCAACGUAUCUAUAAUUUUUGAUUGUUCCAUGCUAUUAUAUUACCUGUUUUGGAUGUUUAUGGGCUUUAUUUUACACAUCUAUAUCAUUUUUGGGACCAACCUACUAACCGGAGGCCCAGCCCAUAUUGUUGUUCUUUUUUGCCUAUUUCAGUAUUUCGAAGAAAAGGAAUAUCAAACGGAGUCCAAACGGAAUGAAACCUUCGGGAGCGUGAUUUUUGGAAGGAACGUGAUCCGGAGAACUUGGAGUGCAAGUCAAGAAGCAAUCGAGGCGGCCAGGAGAUAGGAGGGCGCGUCCACCCCUCCUGGGCGCGCCCCCCUGUCUCCUAGGCCCCUCGAGCGGCCACCGAUGUACUUAUUCCUCCUAUAUAAGCCUACGUGCCCCGAAAACAUCCAGGGAGCCACCGAAGAAAUAUUUCCGCCACCAUAACCUUCUGUAUCCGCGAGAUCCCAUCUUGGAGCCGUCGUCGGUGUCCUGCCGGAGGGGGAAUCCACCAUAGAGGGCUUCUACAUCAACACCAUAGCCCUUCCGAUGAGUUGUGAGUAGUUUACCACAGACCUUCGGGUCCAUAGUUAUUAGCUAGUUGGCUUCUUCUCUCUUUUUUUAUCUCAAUACAAUGUUAUCCCCCUCUCUUGUGGAGAUCUAUUCGAUGUAAACUCUUUUUGUGGUGUGUUUGUCGAGAUCCGAUGAAUUGUGGGUUUAUGGUCAAGUUUAUCUAUGAGAAAUAAUUGAAUAUUCUCUGAAUUCUUUUAUGUAUGAUUGAGUUAUGUUUGCAAGUCUCUUCGAAUUAUCGGUUUGGUUUGGCCUACUAGAUUGAUCUUUCUUGCCAUGGGAGAAGUGCUUAGCUUUGGGUUCAAUCUUGCGGUGUCCUUACCCAGUGAAAGAAAGGGUUGCAAGGCACGUAUUGUAUUGUUGCCAUCGAGGAUAAAAAUAUGGGGUUUAUAUCAUAUUGCUUGAGUUUAUCCCUCUACAUCAUGUCAUCUUUCUUAAUGCGUUACUCUGUUCUUAUCGACUUAAUACUCUAGAUGCAUGCUGGAUAGCGGUCGAUGUGUGGAGUAAUAGUAGUAGAUGCAGGCAGGAGUCGGUCUACUUGUUGCGGACGUGAUGCCUAUAUACAUGAUCAUGCCUAGAUAAUCUCAUAAUUAUUCGUUUUUCUAUCAAUUGCUCGGCAGUAAUUUGUUCACCCACCGUAAUACUUAUGCUAUCUUGAGAGAAGCCUCUAGUGAAACCUAUGGCCCCCGGGUCUAUCUUUUAUCAUAUAAGCUUUCAAUCUACUUUUAUUUGCAUCUUUACUUUUUGCAUCUAUAUUAUAAAAUACCAAAAACAUAUUUAUCUUAUCAUAUUAUCUCUAUCAGAUCUCACUUUCGCAAGUGGCCAUGAAGGGAUUGAUAACCCCUUUAUCGGGUUGGUUGCGAGUUCUUUGUUUCUUUGUGUAGGUUCGUGGGACUUGUGAGGAGCCUCCUACUAGAUUGAUACCUUGGUUCUCAAAAACUGAGGGAAAUACUUACGCUACUGUGCUGCAUCACCCUUUCCUCUUCAAGGAAAACCAACGCAAGCUCAAGACGUAACAUAUAUUCCAAUGAUGGGCUUCCUCAUAAUGCCCUAGGUCUUCGUGAGCAAGCAAGUUGGAUUCACACCCACUUAGUUUCUUUUGUUGAGUUUUCAUACAUUUAUAGCUCUAGUGCAUCCGUUGCAUGGCAAUCCCUACUAACUCGCAUUGAUAUCUAUUGAUGGGCAUCUCCAUAGCCCAUUAAUAUGCCUAGUUGAUGUGAGACCAUCUUCCUUUUUUAUCUUCUCCACAACCACCACUCUAUUGCACCUAUAGUGCUAUGUCCAUGGCUCACGCUCAUGUAUUGCGUGAAAGUUGAAAAGGUUUGAGAAUACUAAAGUAUGAAAAAAUUGCUUGGCUGAAACCGGGGUUGUGCAUGAUUUGGAUAUUUUGUGUGACGAAGAUGGAGCAUAGCCAAGCUAUAUCAUUUUGUAGGGAUGAACUUUCUUUAGCCAUGUUAUUUUGAGAAGACAUGAUUGCUUUGUUAGUAUGCUUGAAGUAUUCUUAUUUUUAUGUCAAUAUUAAACUUUUGUCUUGAAUCUUUUGGAUCUGAACAUUCAUGCCACAACAAAGAAAAUUACAUUGAUAAUUAUGUUAGGUAGCAUUCCACAUCAAAAAUUCUGUUUUUAUCAUUUACCUACUCGAGGACGAGCAAGAAUUAAGCUUGGGGAUGCUUGAUACUUCUCCAACGUAUCUAUAAUUUUUUAUUGUUCCAUGCUAUUAUAUUAUCUGUUUUGGAUGUUUAAUGGGAUAUAAUAUACUAUUUUAUAUUAUUUUUGGGACUAAGCUAUUAACCGGAGGCCCAAUGCUAGUUUCUAUUUUUUGCCUAGAGUUUUGCAGAAAAGGAAUAUCAAACGGAGUCCAAACGGAAUGAAAUCUUCGCGAUGAUGUUUCUUGGACCGAAAGCAAACCAGAAGACUUGGAGUUGAAGCCAGAAACACCACGAGGCAUCCACGAGGCAGGAGGGUGCGCCCAGGGGGGUAGGCACGCCCCCACCCUCGUGGGCCCCUCGUAGCUCCACUGACGUAUUUUAUUCACCUAUAUAUACUCUUAUACCCUAGAAACAUCAGGGAGAGCCACAAAACCACUUUUCCACCGUUGCAACCUUCCAUACCCAUGAGAUCCCAUCUUGGGGCCUUUUCCAGUGAUCUGUCGGAGGGGGAAUCGAUCGCGGAGGGCUUCUACAUCAACACCAUUGCCUCUCCGAUGAAGUGUGAGUAGUUUACCAUAGACCAUUGGGUCCAUAGUUAUUAGCUAGAUGGCUUCUUCUCUCUCUUUGAUUCUCAAUACAAAGUUCUCCUCGAUGUUCUUGGAGAUCUAUUCGAUGUAAUAUUCUUUUGCGGUGUGUUUGUCGAGAUCCGACGAAUUGUGGAUUUAUGCUCAGAUUAUCUAUGAAUAUUAUUUGGUUCUUCUCUGAAUUCUUAUAUGCAUGAUUUGAUAUCUUUUCAAGUCUCUUUGAAUUAUCGGUUUAGUUUGGCCUACUAGAUUGAUCUUUCUUGCAAUGGGAGAAGUGCUUAGCUUUGGGUUCAAUCUUGCGGUGUCCUUUCCCACUGACAGUAGGGGCAGCAAGGCACAUAUUGUAUUGUUGCCAUCGAGGAUAAAAAUAUGUGGUUUAUAUCAUAUUGCUUGAGUUUAUCCCUCUACAUCAUAUCAUCUUGCUUAAUGCGUUACUCCAUUCUUAUGAACUUAAUACUCUAGAUGCAUUCUGGAUAGCGGUCGAUGUGUGGAGUAAUAGUAGUAGAUGCAGAAUCGUUUCGGUCUACUUGACACGGACGUGAUGCCUAUGUUCAUGAUCAUUGCCUUAGAUGUCUUCAUAAUUAUGCGAUUUUCUAUCAAUUGCUCGGCAGUAAUUUGUUCACCCACUGCAAUACAUGCUAUCUUGAGAGAAGCCACUAGUGAAACCUAUGGCCCCCGGGUCUCUUUUCUAUUAUAUUACAUCUCUUUUCCAUUAUAUCGCAUCUCAUUUACUAUUUUGCAAUCUUUACUUUCCAAUCUAUACAACAAAAAUAUCAAAAAUAUUUAUUCUACUAUCUCUAUUAGAUCUCACUUUUGCGAGUGACCAUGAAGGGAUUGAAAACCCCUUUAUCGCGUUGGUUGCAAGGUUCUUGAUUGUUUGUGCAGGUACUAGGUGACUUGUGCGUCAUCUCCCACUGGAUUGAUAUCUUGGUUCUCAAAACUGAGGGAAAUACUUACGCUACUUUGCUGCAUCACCCUUUCUUCUUCAAGGGAAAAACCAAUGCAAGCUCAAGAGGUAGCAGUCAUGUAGACAAACCAAACUAAGGCACAAAAACAGUAGCUUCCAACACAAGCUCGGUCCUACGACGAGCUGUGAUCCCAUAUGCUUCACUCAUAUCAAGGUUCUUCGGGUUCCCACCAUCGGGAAGCUUCUAGUCAAAGUGAUAGAGAAGGCUCACAAGAGCCAUCUCGAUGUUUGACACUCCAAACAUCAUACCAGGGCACAUUCUCCGUCCAGUGCUGCCAGGGAGGAAUCUGAAGUCCGUACCACCAUAAUCAACCUUUUCAUCGUCAAACCUCUUGGGCAUGAACUCACUCGCAUUAGUCCAGCUAUUCUCGUCCCUAUCGAUUGCCGACACAUUCACGAAUACCGUGGUGCCUUGUGGAAUAUCAUAGCCCAUGACCUUUGUUUGCGUCAGUGCAAAGCCUCGGCAUGAGAAACAACACCGGUGGAUGCAACCUGAAGGUCUCCUUGAUGACCAUCUGCAGGUAGUGCAGCAGGCCAUCGAUGUCAGCCUCAGUCACCUCAGUCUUACCGUGGAGGACUCCUCGAACUUCAGACUGUGUGGCAGCCAUUAUGUGUGGGCUCCUCAUCAGCUCGGACAUUGCCCAAAUUGUUGUUGUGGCUGUCGUCUCCGAUCCCACAGCGAAAAGGUCCUGGUGACACACACGUAAAUAUGUGAGAUUGAAAUAUCAUGUAGCAAGCAAAAGGUGGUAGCUAGCAGGGUUUUAAAUUUUAGUAAAAUUUCCAAAUUUCUGGUAAUUAUGGUGGGUAAUGGAACAUUUCUAACAAUGAAAUUUUGUGCCAUAUUAACUAAUUUUAAGCCAAAUGUUACAAUAGGCAAAAUUCAUCUGAUUUAAAAUUUUCAUCAAAAUCCAAAAAAAUCUGAAAUUCCUACAAGAUCCCAAAGUGAUAUGGUACCAACCUUUUGGUUAUAUCAACUGUUGCCAAAAAAAUCUGCUACUGAAAUUUUAAGAGAAAAGCUAACUGGUUACCGUUUGAUGGGAGAGCAUGGCUUUUCAAACGUUUUUCCUGGCAGUUUUAGUUGUGUCGGAGGCGACAGUGUCUUUAGAAAAACGUGGCAUUUUCUGGGAGGAUAGCCGUUUUGAGCCUUCACUCCAGAAAAUGCCAUGCUCUUAUGAAGAAACUUCCACCCCGGCCAACUAGAACUCCAUCAAAAUGUUUGCAAAUGCCACCCCUCCCAGUCAAUGGUCGCCAGAUAAGGGGGGUCCAAUUUUAAACCAUGGUCUUGGGUAGCUAGUGGUGACUGGUGACUCACGAAGAGGAUGUCGCUCAUGUUUUCAUUGGUGAGGGCGACGCCGCCAAUCUCGUUGUCCCUCUGGAAAUAGAGCAGAGUAGUGAGUAUGUCGCCCCUCUGCUCACGGCCGACAUCAUUGUCCUCCUCAUCCUCCAUAGCUGUUCUGUGAUCGCUGAUCAUGGCGUCCAUGAUGGAGUGGAUUCUCCGGUGCACCUCCCACGUCGCUCUGAGAGCCUGGCCACCGAUAGCCCGGGCGAGGCACGACGUCGGGAACAGGUCGAUGAGGUUAAACCCGGACAUGAGGUCCAGCACCUUGUCCAACUCCCGUAGGUACGCGCCCUGCUGCGUGCACCUGUCGUCGACGGACGCCCUCAUGACCACAUCGUUCAUCAUCACCUAUAGCAUGUCACCGACAUUGACGACGCGGCCGGCGUCAGCAACGGACCACACGAGCCUCACCGCCUCCUCCUCCUGGACACGGCAGAACGACCGGACCCGCCUCGGGCUCAGCAGCUCGACGGCGCAGAGCUUUCGGAUGGACUUCCAGUACCUACUGCUGUGGCGCGCAAAGGAGAUGUCCUCACCGUCGUAGGUGAAGAUGUGUGUGGUGGCGUACACGGGGCGGUCGGUGAAGGCGGCGUCGUUGACCUUCAUGACCUCCCUGGCUGCCUCGGCGGAGGAGAGCACGAGCGUUGGGACAUGGCCGAGACGGAGAAGCAUGACGGGGCCGUGCCGACGAGCGAGCCUGUGCAUGGCCUAUUGCGGAAUGGCGCCGAGCAGGAGGUGCAUGUGGCCAAUCACCGGAAGCACCCAUGGGCCGGGAGGUAGGUUCAGGCGGCUAGCAGAGGUGGCUUGCCUGUGCUUGAGCUUAACGAGUAUGGCCAUGACAAGGAUACAGAGCAAAGUGUAGCACACGAGCUGGGUGUGUUGGGUUUCCUCCAUUUGAGCUACCUCGAUCGUGGUCGUAUGAGCUGAAGAUUCAAGAUGCGUUUAUAUAUGAGAGAAUGACAAGGAGUAAACAAUGCAAGAGUCCAUGUGAGAUGCGGAAAGUAUUUCUCUGAUUGGGGAUCAAUUCGCCAUGGAUGGCAGUACAAGCUCACACACGCAUGUGGUCCUGGCCGCAGCCACCAAAUCCUUCCCAGAUCCACACGCAACACACGCCAACGGUUAUAGGCCAAUGUACACCCUUAACAGGCCCAGUUCGGGCCUGCAAGCCACUGGGGAAGUUGCCGAGCGCGAGUGGUCCGUGCAAUCAGCCCAUGAGUCGAAUCAUCAUCUUCGCGCUCUCCUGGUUGCUCUGUUCUGGCGCUGGGCUCGCUGCCAUUCCCCUCUUCUUGAGAGUCAUCUUGACCCCAAGCCGGAGCUCACGGAAACAGCUGACAAAUGGAAUCCCUAUCUUCCCAGGUAGCUGAAGACGCGUCUCCCCCACUCCACUGGACCAGAAGUUGCGCCACCGAUCUGUUGUCUGAACGGCUGAUACGCUCCUGCAGCACCUUGACAGGAAAUUGGAGAUGAGCAUCGAUAGAGGGGAGCGACUUGAGUACCUCAUGGUGUGGCUGCACACAACAUUUCAGUUGUGAAACAUGGAAAACUGGAUGUAUACGGCUGGCCGCUGGUAACUGCAAGCGGUAAGCCACCUCGCCAAUCUUCUCCAGGAUAAGAAAUGAACCAAAGUACUUGAAGGCGAGUUUGUGAUUAGCUUUGUGCACCACCGAGGACUGCGCAUAUGGUUGAAGUUUGAGAAAUACCCGAUCACCAACAGCAAAUGUUCUUCCGGUGCGUUUCUUGUCAGCCUGGUGCUUCAUUCUUUGUUGAACACGCAACAGAUGCUGGCGCACCAACUGCUGAACGACUGCCCGAGCAUCCAACCAUUGUUGUAAAUCAACGGCGUCAAUGGAAUCAGAAGCAGAAAUUCCAAAGUACCGACGACCAUGGCCAUAAAGGACUUCAAAUGGAGAUUUGUUAAGUACCGAGUGCCAAUUUGCAUUGUACCAAAACUCGCAAAGUGAGAUCCACCUGGCCCAUUUCUUCGGAUGAGCACUGAUGAAACACCUCAAAAAACAUUCAACCUGGUGAUUAACACGUUCAGUCUGUCCAUCAGUUUCAGGAUGAUAUGUCAUGCUCAUAUUAAGUACAGCUCAUGUCCUCUUUACCAGAGAUUGCCAAAAUUUCCUUGUGAACAUUGGAUCCCUGUCAGACACUAUAUAGAGAGGCAUGCCAUGAAGCUUGUAGAUAUUGUCCAAGAAGAGAUCAGCAAUUUUUUGGGUAGUGUAUGCGUGUUUGACAGGAAUAAAAUGGCCAUAUUUUGUAAACUUGUCAAUGACCACCAUGAUGCAGUCAUACUAAUCAGAAGAAGGCAGCCCUGAAAUGAAAUCCAUUUUCACAGUUUCCCAAGCUUUGGCAGGAACAGGUGAUGGUAAUAGAAACCCAGGGUAAGCUACUCUCUCGGGUUUUUCUUGUUGACAGAUAAGGCAAGAUUGCACAAACUGCUGGAUCUUUUUCUUCAUACCCACCCAUUUAAACAGUGCACGAAUUCUUUUGUAGGUGACAGGGAACCCUGAAUGACCCCCCAAGGGAGUGUCAUGGAAAUCCUGACAAAUCUUAACAUGUAGCCCAUUGUCAUUUCCCACCCAAAUGCAACAUUUAUAUCUCAGCACACCCUGUAUCAGUUGAAAGUUAUGUUUGGACUUAGGUUGCACUGACAACUGUUGCAAUAAUUCAUGUGCUUUUGGGUCAUUCUUGUAGCUUUCAACAACAUCUUCAAACCAACUAGGAUGAACUCCAGAAAUUGCUAGCACUUGAGAAUCUGAUUGUGGUCUCCUGGAGAGAGCAUCAGCAGCAGAAUUAUUAGUACCUUUCUUUAUUAGUACCUUUCUUGUACACAAUCUUAUAAUUCAGCCCCAUCAUCUUUGUAAGUGCCUUUUGCUGCCAAGGUGUAUGUAGUCUUUGAUCAGAGAUAUUAAUCAAACUCUUUUGAUCUGUCCUGAUGAUAAAUUCCUGGAACUGUAAGUAUGGUCUCCACUGCUCAGUAGCUAAUAAUAUAACUAGAUAUUCCUUUUCAUAAACAGAUAGCUGAUAUGUCUCCAACGUAUCUAUAAUUUUUGAUUGUUCCAUGCUAUUAUAUUACCUGUUUUGGAUGUUUAAUGGGCUUUACUAUGCACUUUUAUAUUAUUUUUGGGACAACCCUAUUAACCAGAGGCCUAGUCCAAAUUGUUGUUUUUGCCUAUUUCAGUGUUUUGCAGAAAAGGAAUGUCAAAUGGAGUCCAAACGGAAUGAAACCUUCGGGAGAGUUAUUUUUGGAACAAACACAAUCCAAGAGACUUGGAGUGGACGUCAGGGAAGCAACGAGGUGGCCACAAGGGUCCAGGACACGCCCUACCCCCUGGGCGCUGCCCCACCCUCGUGGGCCCCUCGUGGUUCCCCUGACCGACUUCCUUCGCCUAUAUAUAUCCAUAUACCCUAAAAACAUCGAGGAACACAAUAGAUCGGGAGUUCCGCCGCUGCAAGCCUCUGUAGCCACCAAAAACCAAUCGGGAUGCACCCUGUCGGAGGGGGGAUCCCUCACUGGUGGCCAUCAUCAUCCCGACGCUCUCCAUGACGAGGAGGGAGUAGUUCACCCUCGGGGCAGAGGGUAUGUACCAGUAGCUAUGUGUUUGAUCUCUCUCUCUCUCUCUCUCUCUCUCGUGUUCUUGAUUUGACACGAUCUUGAUGUAUCGCGAGCUUUGCUAUUAUAGUUGGAUCUUAUGGUGUUUCUCCCCCUCUACUCUCUUGUAAUGGAUUGAGUUUUCCCUUUGAAGUUAUCUUGUCGGAUUGAGUCUUUAAGGAUUUGCGAACACUUGAUGUAUGUCUUGCAUGUGCUUAUCUAUGGUGAAAAUGGGAUAUCACGUGAUCCACUUGAUGUAUGUUUUAGUGAUCAACUUGUGAGUUCCGUUACCUCGUGAACUUAUGCAUAGGGGUUGGCACACGUUUUCGUCUUGGCUCUCCAGUAGAAACUUUGGGGCACUCUUUGAAGUACUUUGUGUUCGUUGAAUAGAUGAAUCUAAGAUUGUGUGAUGCAUAUCGUAUAAUCAUGCCCACGGAUACUUGAGGUGACAUUGGAGUAUCUAGGUGACAUUAGGGUUUUGGUUGAUUUGUGUCUUAAGGUGUUAUUCUAGUAUGAACUCUAUGAUAGAUCGAACCGAAAGAAUAGCUUCGUGUCAUUUUACUACGGACUCUUGAAUAGAUCAAUCAGAAAGGAUAACUUUGAGGUGGUUUCAUACCCUACAAUAAUCUUUUCGUUUGUUCUCCGCUAUUAGUGCCUCUGGAGUGACUCUUUGUUGCAUGUUGAUGGAUAGUUAUAUGAUCCAGUUGUGUUAUUAUUGUUGAGAGAACUUGUAGUAGUGAAAGUAUGAACCUUAGGCCUUGUUUCCUAGCAUUGCAAUACUGUUUGUGCUCACUUUUAUCAUUAGUUACCUUGUUGUUUUUAUAUUUUCAGAUAACAAAAACCUAUAUCUACCAUCCAUAUUGCACUUGUAUCACCAUCUCUUCGCCGAACUAGUGCACCUAUACAAUUUGCCAUUGUAUUGGGUGUGUUGGGGACACAAGUGACUCUUUGUUAUUUGGUUGCAGGGUUGUUUGAGAGAGACCAUCUUCAUCCUACGCCUCCCACGUAUUGAUAAACCUUAGGUCAUCCACUUGACGGAAAUUUUCUACUGUCGUACAAACUUCUGCACUUGGAGGCCCAACAACGUCUACAAGAAGAAGGUUGCGUAGUAGACAUCAAGCUCUUUUCUGGCGCCGUUGUAAGGGAGGUGAGUUCUUGAAGGUAUAUCUUUAGAUCUUGCAUCGAAUCUUUUUGUUUCUUGUUUUAUCACUAGUUUAGUUUAUAGAAGAAAACUACAUAGAAAAUGGAAUUGAGUUUGCCUCAUACGCUUCAUCUUUUUAAUAUCUUCCGUGAGAAUGAUGGUAAGGAAAAUUGUGCUCAAGUGCUAGAAGAAGAAGUCUAUAAAAUGUUUGGCACUAAAUCUUUGAAUGAGGAUCAUGAUUGCAAUGUUAUUAGUAUGAAUUCUUUUAAUACCCAUGAUGCUAAUGAUAUGCAAAGCUACAAGCUUGGGGAAGCUAUGUUUGAUAAAGAUGAUAUUUUUUUGUCCCCCAAGUUUUGAUGAGCAAAUUUAUUAUGAUGAAAGCAUGCCUCCUAUUUAUGAUGAUUAUUGUGAUGACACGUAUGCUAUAAAGAAUAAAGAUAACCAUGAAACUUGUCAUCAUGAUUUUAAUUUUCAAUUGGAUUAUGCCUCACACGAUAAUUAUUUUGUUGUGUUUGCUCCCACUACUAUUCAUGAGAAGAAAUUUGCUUAUGUGGAGAGUAGUAAAUUUUCUAUGCUUGUAGAUCAUGAAAAGAAAGCUUUAGUGCUGGUUAUAUUGUGGAAUUAAUUCAUGAUGCUACUGAAAAUUAUUAUGAGGGAGGAACACAUGCUUGUAGGAAUUGCAAUAAUAUCAAGUUUCCUCUCUAUGUGUUGAAAAUCUUGAAGAUUUGCUUGUUUUACCUUCCUAUGCUAGUUGAUUAUUGUUCCCAUAAGUUGUUUUCUCACAAAAUCCCUAUGCAUAGGAAGUGGGUUAGACUUAAAAUUGCUAGUCAUAUUCUUCAUGAUGCUCUCUUUAUGUUUCAAUUCUUAUUUUUUAUGUGAGCAUCAUUGAAAUCAUCAUGCCUAGCUAGGGGCGUUAAACAUUAGCGCUUGUUGGGAGGAAACCCAAUUUUAUUUUUGUUCCUUGACUUUUGUUCCUGUUUAGUAAUAAAUAAUUCAUCUAGCCUCUAUUUAGAUGUGUUUUUAUGUUUUAAUUAGUGUUUGUGCCAAGUAUGACCUUUGGGAAGACUUGGGUGAAGUCUAUGCGGUCUUGUUGUAAAAAACAGAAACUUUUGCGCUCACGAUAUUAGCUGCCAUUUUUUACUGGAGAGUGAUUUUAGGUUGAUUAUUUUUUCAGAUGAUUAAUAGACAAAUUCCUAAGGUCCAUUUCAGAAUUUUUGGAGUUACAGAAGUAUUCAAAUGAUACAGAUUACUACAGACUGUUCUGUUUUUGACAGAUUCUGUUUUCUAUGUGUUGUUUGCUUAUUUUGAUGAAUCUAUGAGUAGUAUCGGAGGGUAUGAACCAUAGAGAAGUUUUAAUACAAUAGAUAUUACACCAAUAUGAAUUUAGAAUGAGUUCACAAGAGUACCUAAGUGGUGAUUUAUUUUCUUAUACUAACGGAGCUUACGAGUUUUCUGUUGAGUUUUGUGUUGUGAAGUUUUCAAGUUUUGGGUAAAGAUUCGAUGGACUAUGGAAUAAGGAGUGGCAAGAGCCUAAGCUUGGGGAUGCCCAAGGCACCCCAAGGUAAUAUUCAAGGACAACCAAGAGCCCAAGCUUGGGGAUGACCCGGAAGGCAUCCCCUCUUUCGUCUUCGUUCAUCGGUAACUUUACUUGGAGCUAUAUUUUUAUUCACCACAUGAUAUGUGUUUUGCUUGGAGCGUCAUUUUAUUUUGUUAGUAUUUGCUUUCUGUUAUUUAUAAUAAUGUUUUGCAUCUAUAUUUUCAAUAAAAAUGUCAAGGAUAGCCUUUACCAUGCUUAUUUUGCAAGUAUACAUGUUGCUGUUUCAAAACAGAAAGUUUACCGCUGUUGCAAAAAAUCCCUAGAGAAUUCAGAGAAUGAUAUAAUAUUGAAACCUUUUGCAUAUUGAUCGCUGAUAAAUCUACUACAGUGUAGUAUUUUUCUCAUAAUUUUUGGAGUUAGGUAAGUAUGAUGAAUCUUGCAUUCUUUACAGACUAUACUGUUUUGACAGAUUGCUGUUAUGUUUGCAUUGUUUGCAUAUGUUUGCUUGUUUAGUGAUUCUAUUUGAGGAUAGGAGUAUUAAAUAUGCAGAGACAUUUAGUAUGCAAUGUCGAAUAAUAAUUUUAGUGAUUUGUUACAGUAUAAAAUGAUAAGGUUUUUGCAUUGGUUUAUACUAACUUAUCUCACGAGUUCUUGUUGAGUUUGGUGUGGAUGAAGCUUUCGAGAUUUAGGAAACCGAGAUAUAAAAGGAAUUAAGGAGACACAAAAGCUCAAGCUUGGGGAUGCCCAGCGCACCCCAAGAUAAUAUUUCAAGAAGUCUCAAGCAUCCAAGCUUGGGGAUGCCCCGGUAGGCAUCCCACCUUUCUUCUUCAACAAUUAUUGGUUAGUAUCGGUUGAACCUAAGUUUUUGCUUCUUCACAUGAUGUGUGCUAUCCUUGAAAUAUCAUUUUGUUUUAUUUUGUUUUGAUUUCUGUUUGAAUAAAAUCCCAAGAUCUGAAAUUCUUAAAUGUUAGAGAGUCUUCACAUAGUUGCACAAUUAUUAGAAUACUCUAUGUGCUUCACUUAUAUCUUUUGGAGUAAUUUGUCAUUUGCUCUAGUGCUUCACUUAUACAUUUUUAGAGCACGGUGGUGGUUUUAUUUUGUAGAAAUUAUUGACCUCUCAUGCUUCACUUAUAUUAUUUUGAGAGUCUUUUAGAACAGCAUGGUAAUUUGCUUUGGUUAUAAAAUUGGUCCUAAUAUGAUGGGCAUCCAAGUUGGGUAUAAUAAAAACUAUCAUAUAAAGUGCAUUGAAUACUAUGAUAAAUUUGAUACUUGAUAAUUGUUUUGAGAUAUAAAGGUGGUAAUGUUAGAGUCAUGCUAGUUGGGUAAUUAUGAAAUUGAGAAAUACUUGUGUUAAAGUUGGCAAGUCCCGUAGCAUGCACGUAUGGUGAACAUUGUGUGACAAAUUUGAAGCAUGGGGUGUUCUUUGAUUACCUUCCUUAUGAGUGGAGGUCGGGAUCGCGUGAUGGUUAACUCCUACCAACCCUUCCCCUAGGAGCAUACGUAGUAGUACUUUGCUUCGAGGGCUAAUAUACUUUUGCAAUAAAUAUAUGACUUCUUCAUGACUAAUGCUAGUCCAUGGAUUAUACGCACCCUUACCAUUCCGCAAUUUGCUAGCCUCUACGGUACCGUGCAUUGCCCUUUCUCACCUUGAGAGUUGGUGCAAACUUCGCUGGUGCAUCCAAACCCCGUGAUACGAUACGCUCUAUCACACAUAAACCUCCUUAUAUCUUCCUCAAAACAGCCCAAGGGGGGGAGUCCUACUCCCACCGGGAGUAGGACUCCUCCUUUUCCUAUUUGGAGAGGGAGAGGGAAGGAAGAGGAAGGAGGGAGGAAGGAAAGGAGGGGCCCGGCCCCCUUCCCAAUUCAGAUUGGGCUUCGGGGGGCCUCCCUUGCUCCUUUCCCCUCCUUUCCACUAAAGCCCAUUAAGGCCCAUAUACCUCCUGGGGGGUUCCGAUAACCUCCCGGUGCUCCGGUAUUGUCCCGAUCUCACCCGGAACUAUUCCGGUGUCCAAAUAUAGUCGUCCAAUAUAUCGAUCUUUAUGUCUCGACCAUUUCGAGACUCCUCGUCAUGUCCUUGAUCACAUCUGGGACUCCGAACUACCUUCGGUACAUCAAAACACAUAAACUCAUAAUAUAACUGUCAUUGAACUUUAAGCAUGCGGACCCUACGGGUUCGAGAACUAUGUAGCCAUGACCGAGACACGUCUCCGGUCAAUAACCAGUAGCGGAACCUGGAUGCUCAUAUUGGCUCCCACAUAUUCUACAAAGAUCUUUAUCAGUCAAACCGCAUAACAACAGAUGUUGUUCCCUUUGUCAUCGGUAUGUUACUUGCCCGAGAUUCGAUCGUUGAUAUCUCAAUACCUAGUUCAAUCUCGUUACUGGCAAGUCUCUUUACUCGUUCUGUAAUGCAUCAUCUUAUAACUAACUCAUUAUUCACAUUGCUUGCAAGGCUUAUAGUGAUGUGCAUUACCGAGAGGGCCCAGAGAUACCUCUCCGACAAUCGGAGUGACAAAUCGUAAUCUCGAAAUGCGCCAACUCAACAAAUACCUUCGGAGACACCUGUAGAGCACCUUUAUAAUCACUCAGUUACGUUGUGAUGUUUGGUAGCACACAAAGUGUUCCUCCGGUAAACUGGAGUUGCAUAAUCUCGUAGUCAUAGGAACAUGUAUAAGUCAUGAAGAAAGCAAUAGCAACAUACUAAACGAUCAAGUGCUAAGCUAACGGAAUGGGUCAAGUCAAUCACAUCAUUCUCCUAAUGAUGUGAUCAUGUUAAUCAAAUGACAACUCAUGUCUAUGGUUAGGAAACUUAACCAUCUUUGAUUCAACGAGCUAGUCAAGUAGAGGCAUACUAGUGACAUUAUGUUUGUCUAUGUAUUCACACAUGUACUAAGUUUCCGGUUAAUACAAUUCUAGCAUGAAUAAUAAACAUUUAUCAUGGUAUAAGGAAAUAUAAAUAACAACUUUAUUAUUGCCGCUAGGGCAUAUUUCCUUCAAUUAUUCCCGCAUCAACGUCGAUUAUGCCUAUCCAGCAUCCUCAUCGUCGACUCGCGGAGGAGGCCUGCUUGAUCAGAGGGGCCAUGUCCGGGACUGGGCUACGUUGGGCUGGUACUGGGAUGUGCUACCUUUCACGGGCGCAGGUUGGUGAGGAGCCAGCCCAUCAUUGACCCGAACCUUCUUUGGUGGCGGUCGCGUGGGCCAGUGAUGGUGCGGAGGCUUGAGGACCCCGUGGAGGUGGUACGUCACCAUGUCAAUGAGGAGGACGAGCACGUCCAUCGCUACAUAGUUUUGUUGGAGGGCAGGUUCUCCAAUACCUGGCAGGUUCUUCAGGGAUCUCACUGGAGCUAUGAUCCUGUGAUGGUUCCUUCUCUUUGAGUGUCCACCGCCCGGGCUGAUACCCGUCGUUUGCUAGGGUUUUAGCUGUGUUAGUGAGGUUAUAUGUAUGAUACUAUUCAAGAUGUAUUAGUGGUAAUAUUCGACGAUGUACUGACGCAAGAGAUGAUUUAGUUUUGCUUAUUGAAUGCAUGCUAAUUUUAAUACUAAUUUAUUUUAUGAUUUAGUUUUGCUUAUUGAAUGCUCAAAUUGGAGAACUACUCCUAUUUUGAAUACUCAAAUUGGAGAGCACUAUGCAAGGCGUUUGCAUUUGAUUGGUUGAUAGCUUAUAGGGUUUCACUAAGUCCUAAGAUGAGGAUAAUGAUGUUUUUAUUUAUAUUUUGUUUUUGCAGCCAAAUAUCCAUGUCGUCGUCGCCGUCGCCCCUGUCAUGGACCCCCUCCAACCUCGAGGUGGCACCAGCCAAAUCUCCAUGUCAAUAUGAGUCCUAUAAUAUAUUUUGAAAUGUUUUUGUUCAUAUUUUCAACCACAUUGAAAUGCAAUGACCAUCAAAUUUGAAUGCAAUGACCAUCAAGUUUGAAUGCAAAUAGGAUAUGUGCUUGCCCAAGUGGCCAUGUUUGCAGGUAACACCUCCGAGUGGCAUAUGUUUUGCCGAAGUGUUGAUUAAUUUCCGUUCCCGCAAAUUUCAGGCGCUCGAUAUAUCCUUUUUUAGCAAAGGUCAUGCCGUAUUUUUCCGUGAAUUUUGGCAUGGCUUGUGCUAGAAUAUGUAGGAAAUAUCGAGUGGCCUAGAUUUUCUAGAAAGAUAAUUAAAUGACAUUUCAGGUUGACUUUAAGUCUGUCGAGGCUCCAUACAUGACAAUCAAAAAAUGAGUGAGGGAGAAAGUCUGCACCAUAUACGAGAGAGGAAGAAUCCCGACUGUUGUCGUGGGGGUCAUUUCUCCUUCUUCUCCUUGUGCUAUACCUUUGUUAUGCACUAGGGGAAGGAGGAGUAACGACUACCACCGACGGUCAAAAAAUCAGUGAGGGAGUGUGUCCACCAUAUACUGUAUGAGAGAAGAAGAAUGUCGACUGUUGUCAUGGGGGUCGCUUCUCCUUCAUUCCCAUGUGCUAGACAUUUUGGUCGAAUAUAUACACCACGUGAGCGGAGAGUUUUUAAAAAAGACUCGACGGACAGAUAGUCAACCCGUGCUGAAUAAUAAUGAUCUAAUUUAGUUUUUGUAGUACAUAUAUUGAAUUUUAGAAGUUUAAUCUUUGAAUUAUGAACAUAGGAAAUGCCGUCGGACGAUGGAAGUCUCGCGGAGUGCUCCUGGUGUGGCAACAACCGGGGUUUCUGCGAUAGACCUCACUUCGGCGCUUCAGCAUUAAGCUCGAGGAGACCUUCGAUGUUGAAACGGUACGCAACGAUGCAAAAAAAUUUUUCGUAAUUAAGCUCGACUUCUUCUUCUUCAACGUGUAAUUUUCAUCUUUUACAAUUUGACUAGCUUAUCCCAUGCCAUGCAAGACGCUAUGUCUUGGAGAGGAUGGAUUUUGAAGAUCAUGAAAAGAUGGAAACAAAGAUAGUUCACCUAAGGACCCAUCAUGGUUUUGAUUUUCCUGUAAAUCUAUACAAUUCAGUGAGUGUAUCCCAUUUUGGUUGCCCGAAUUGGGAAGCACUUUGCAACGCAUAUGAUUUCCAUGAGGGUAUGCUUGUCACCAUGGAUCUUGGUGAUCCUGACACCGAGGAAGACAAUAUGGAGAUUUUGGUCCUUGUUGAUACACUUCCAAUUCUACCGCUAUGUGAGUUUCUCAAACAUAGUUAUUAAGUAAUUUAUAUUGUUUAUUUCAAAAUACUUGACAGCUUAUUUCGAUUGAUAGCUUAUUUUCAUUCUUCAAAGAAUGUGCGGAAGAUGGUAGACAGAACCUACUACACCGAUGGCGCAUAAUUAACUUAUCAGGAUAAAAAUCAUCUGAUCUCAUUUAUUAGUGAUCUUGAGAAUUACAAUAUCUAUAAUCAAACUCCUGCACAUUAUGGUCAAUACGUGCCACUAGUGCACGUGUUGAACAACGGUAACAUCCAUGGAGAUGGCAUGGUAAGACUUUUUACUAUUACGACAUCCAUGCAUCUUUUGCAUAAAUUCUUCUAAAACUAAACUACAUUGCUAACUAUGAAGUUAUUACUAUGUUUUUCAACAGAAAAUCCUGAAGGAUUGUGUGCCUCAUCUGAUGUUUCUGAAAGGUCGCCUUGAUGUUAUGAGCUUACGGCCGGGUCAUUCUACGCAUCACAGUUGUUCAUACCAGAUUUCUAAAACCGAUGAAGACAUGACAAUCAAAGAUUGGAAACAAUGUAUGGUCAGUCAUAGGGAGGUACUUGGAAGCAACAUUAUGCGAUGCGCAAGAAUUGGAGACAGGAUAAUCUCCAUUCUCCAUAAUGGAGAGUCAUGGGCCUAUCUUGUUUUAUGCUAUUUUACCUAAGAGAGUGUAGUAGGUCCUAUUAGAGAGGUGUAGGUCCGGUACAAUGUGUUAUUAUGUGGUACAAUGUGUUAGAGUUGAUGAUGAGGAGGAGGAGUUGUGAUUAUGACUAGUGACCAACUUGCUAUGAUGUCUCAUUGACGGAAAUGAUGAUCAUGAGGAGGUGUUAUAUGACAAUGAUGUAUUAUGAUGAUAAGUUGUUGAUGAUAUGAUGAUGAUGAUGAUGAUGAUGAUGAUGAUGAUGAUAUUUAUUAUAUCAUUGGGUGAAAGAACCACGGAUUAGUUUCAAGUGGAUGUCCAUCCACUUGAAACUAGUCCACGGUUCUUUCACCCAGUGAUGUAGUAACUCAUUAUGAUGUAAAAACAAUCUCUAAAUUGCUACUGUAUGAAAACUUGUAUAAAGGUGUAUGAAUACAACAUGAAAUAAAAAAGAAAUAGAAUACGGGAUAAUAGUAGUAGCGCGGGCUGCGAGAAUCGCUACUAGUAAUUACCAGUAGCACCCUUUUUAGGAAGCGCUACUACUAAGUGGAUAUAGCAGUAGCGCGGGUAGACCCACGCUACUGCUAACCUUUAGCUGUAGCGCCAUAGCAGUAGCGAUGUCACCCGCGCUGCUGGUAGGCCAAAAACCCGCGCUACUGGUAGGCUUUUCCCUAGUAGUGUUUAUCUAUUGUUGUUUUCAGGGGAUGGAGCCUUAGACAGCUAGAUGUGUAGAAUGCGUUCCUUCAUGGUGUUCUGGAAGAGGAUGUCUACAUGAAACAACCACCUGGGUUUGAAAAUAAGCAAUUUCCCUCACAUGUGUGCAAACUUGAUAGGCCAUAUAUGGUCUGAAGCAGGCCCCCAGAGCAUGGUACUCCCAUCUUAGUCACAAACUGCAAGCACUUGGUUUUACUCCCUCCAAGGCUCACACCUCAUUGUUCAUUUACAGCAAGUCAAAUACUUCUAUAUUUGUACUUAUCUAUGUUGAUGAUAUUAUUGUUACUAGUUCAUCUAAUGAGGCAGUGGCAAGAUUGUCGAGGGAUCUGAGUGCUGAGUUUUCUCUAAAAGAUCUAGGAGAUUUGCAUUUCUUCCUAGGCAUUGAGGUGCAGAAACAUGGAGAUGACCUUCAUCUGUCUCAGGAAAAUAUGCAACUGACCUGGUAAAGAGGGUUGGCCUGCAAGGAUGUAAACCCUCAUCAACUCCAUUGUCAAGUUCUGAAAAACUGUCUCUCGCAGAAGGAAACCUCUUGAAUCAAUAGGACAACACCAACUAAAGAAGCUUGGGUAGGUGCACUUCAGUACUUGACUCUUACAAGGCCAGAUAUAUCUUUUGUUGUUAACAAAGUAUGUCAGUUCCUUCAUGCACCCACUACUGUUCACUGGACUGCAGCUAAGCGUAUUGUCAGAUAUGUUAAAAAUACUUUGACUACAGGCCUUACCUUCAGCAAGUCAUCAUCUAUGCUUGUCAGUGCAUUCUCUGAUUCUAAUUGGGCACGUUGUGUAGAUGACAGAUGCUCAACAAGUGGCUUUUUGUGUUCUUUGGACCUAACCUCAUAUCGUGGUGUGCAAAGAAACAAGCUACUAUAUCAAGAUCAAGUACAGAAGUAGAGUACAAGGCUAUAGAAAAUGCCAUAACAGAAAUUAUCUGGGUUCCGUCUUUGUUAAGGUAACUUGGUAUUAAAUGAAUUCCAGCUCCAUGCUUAUGGUCUGACAACCUCGGUGCUACAUAUUUACCAACUAACCCAGUUUUUCAUGCUAGAACAAAACACAUUUAAAUAGAUUUUCACUUUGUCAGAGAAAGAGUUGAUAGUAAGCAAUUGGAAAUGCGAUUUAUACAUUCCAGAGAUCAAGUUACAGAUGGCUUUACAAAGGCAUUGCCCACAAAUAGCUUUGAAGAACUCAAGCGUAAUCUCAACUUAUGCAAGUUGUGAUUAAGGGGGAGUGUUAAACAUAUUAUGGCGUCGCGUUACAUAUGCAGAGGAGGUUGUAGGUAGUUUGGUAGACAUAUAUAUUGGUUGUUUAUUUUAUACUUAUCUCAUGUAACCGAUUGUAUCUCUCCUCUAUCCCUUGUCUCCCAAGCAUGUAAUCUCAACAACCUUGUAUGCAUAUUCUAGAGUUAAGCACCUGGCUAUAUUAACAUGCACCCGUCACCCUUGGUAGGGUAUGAUGUUUCCCUAAACUUUCCAUAGUAUCCACUCUCUUCUCUGCAGAUGGUCACUGAACCACAACCUAUUUUGUGGAGAAGCCAAGUAAAAAAACUUAAGGCAGGUAGGUGCCUAAGAGUGCCAGAAGAUUUAUUUGAAGCUGGAUUUGAUCAAUCCCUAAAACUGGAACUUAUAUGCAGAGCUUGUGGUGUAGAUUCUAGAAUCUUCAUGGUUCCACUUGAUCGUGUCUCUAGAUGAAUCAUUUAGUUGAAUAUUACGAGCCUGAAUCCAACGACGUAAACUGCUCACUUGUGCCCAGAUUGGUUUGGUGCUCCCAUGAGCAAGAUCAUUUAUCCAGGUCUGGUUUGUCAGGGCCUCUUUUACAAUCCUAUUAUUCCUUCAAGAGUGCUUGUAGAGGGUUGGGAAGGCCGGUCUUCAGGUUGCCUUUGCUAGUCUAGGAGUAGUUCAAGAACAUUGUUGUUGCGACAUCUCCAAUGGUAGAAGUGGUGGACGUGAUAAAGAGUACUCUGCAUUGCCAUGGCAUGUCCAGCUCGUCCAUGACUGCUAGAGCCAGUGCAGACACAGGGCUCUGCCCAAUCGCUGGAAAUCUGGUAUCCUCGGCCCCCAUUGUCGAUUGACGAGCAUAAAACAGACCAAUUGACAUUGCAUUUGCCGCCGGUGAUCUCUUCUUCUUGGGCCCAUAGAACUUAUCAUCUAACCAUUUCAACACAGCAUGGCACUUUGAGCACUGUCAUGGCAAAAGUUUGCAGCAUGCUGAGGACACUCCUUCUGAGCGCUCGUCUUCCCACGAUUGACAUGAGCUUUCCCUUCUGGCCCGCAAGCCUUGCCUUGAUACGGACAAGGAUGAACUAGAUAUGGACAAGGCGCAGCCUGGAAAGGGUGAUUGGGAGGCCAAGGUAUCGGAGAGAGAAAUCCACUGUGUGCCCGCCAAAAUUCUGAAGUUUGUUGUAGGUUUAUCUCUUUACAUCAGAUCGCCAUUGUUGUGGAUUUUGCUAGGUUAACUUUCAGGCCCGUUGCAUCGCGAAAUCUUGCAGGAUGUUUAGGAGUGUAUCACUCUUUGCCUUGAUCAGGUUAGCAAAGAUAACCGCAUCAUCAGCGUAAAAACUGAUUCUCAAGGAAAUAUCUCUGCCAGCCAGUGGGGUGAGGAGGUCUAAUUUAGUAGCUCUCUACAGUAAACGGUGUAGUGGAUCAAUGGCGAUGAUGAAUAGGAGUGACGAUAAGGGAUCGCCCUGACGAAGCCCUCUUUGGUGCGUCAUUGUUUAACCAGGGGAGCCAUUUAGCAGGAAGGGCGUAUUGGGACAUAAUAAAAUUAACUUAAUUUAUAAAUAUGAAGUAGCACUCAUUUACACACAUUACAAUACCCCAUCUCGAUGACGUCCUUAGUGGUGAAGUCGAUGGAUCAGUGGGAAGCUUAUUCCAUUGUCUCCUUGAUUUGAUGGAUCUGGUGGUGUUUGUUGUUUCUAUGGCGGAUCUCAUCACGUGUGGUGCCGUCUUUGUUUGGGAGAAGAUGAAGGUCCAAGAACACUGUUGGAGGCUUGUGGGUGGUAGUUCUAGUGUUUUGCCUCGACGACAUCGACGGUAUGCAGCGGAUCUGGGUUUCAAGGAGCACGGGGAUGAUCCCCAGUCGACGCGCCACAGCGACAAUGGCCUUGCCGGUGGCAGGCCUUUUCUUUGGUUCACAAAGCCUUUAUAGGCGAUUGUGUUUCUUCGUCUCCAAAGAUGGCAAGUGGCAACGGUGGCUAUUGCAGAAUUGUACUUCAAUGGAGUUUUCUUGCAAUUGUUUCUGGACAUGUGUCCUCUCUCCUUUUCUAUCGUGGUUUUCAUGAUUUCGUGUUGUAAUAUGACAUCUGUUUAAUGGUAUAUGAAAUUUCUCAAUAUAGACAUAUAAGAUAAGUAAUAGUAUACUGAUCUCAACCUCCACACUCACCGAUGCACGCAUUGAUUAAAUUGACAUGGUCAUUGAUUCGUCUCCAACUUAUCUAUAAUUUUUUAUUGUUCCAUGCUAUUAUAUUAUCUGUUUUGGAUGUUUAAUGGGCUUUAAUAUGCUCUUUUAUAUUAUUUUCGGGACUAACCUAUUAACCGGAGGCCAAGUGCUAGUUUCUGUUUUUUUGCCUAUUUUAGAGUUUUGCAGAAAAGGAAUACCAAACGGAGUCCAAACAGAAUGAAACCUUCGCGAUGAUCUUUCUUGGACCAAAAGCAAACUAGAAGACUUGGAGUUGAAGUCAGAAACGCCACGAGGCGUCCACAAGGAAGGACGGUGCGCCCAGGGGGGGUAGGCCUUCCCCCACCCUCGUGGGCCCCUCGUAGCUCCACCGACGUACUUCUUUCGCCUAUAUAUACUCUUAUACCCUAGAAACAUCAGGGAGAGCCACAAAACCACUUUUCCACCACCGCAACCUUCAGUACCCGUGAGAUCCCAUCUUGGGGCCUUUUCCGGCAAUCUGUCGAAGGGGGAAUCGAUCACGAAGGGCUUCUACAUCAACACCAUUGCCUCUCCGAUGAAGCGUGGGUAGUUUACCAUAGACCUUCGGGUCCAUAGUUAUUAUCUAGAUGGCUUCUUCUCUCUCUUUGAUUCUCAAUACAAAGUUCUCCUCGAUGUUCUUGGAGAUCUAUUCGAUGUAAUAUUCUUUUGCGGUGUGUUUGUCGAGAUCUGAUGAAUUAUGGAUUUAUGAUCAGAUUAUCUAUGAAUAUUAUUUGGUUCUUCUCUGAAUUCUUAUAUGCAUGAUUUGAUAUCUUUGCAAGUCUCUUCGCAUUAUCGGUUUAGUUUGGCCUACUAGCUUGAUCUUUCUUGCAAUGGGAGAAGUGGUUAGCUUUGGGUUCAAUCUUGCGGUGUCCUUUCCUAGUGACAGUAGGGGCAGCAAGGCACGUAUUGUAUUGUCGCCAUCGAGGAUAAAAAUAUGUGGUUUAUAUCCUAUUGCUUGAGUUUAUCCCUCUACAUCAUGUCAUCUUGCUUAAUGCGUUACUCUGUUCUUAUGAACUUAAUACUCUAGAUGCAUGCUAGGUAGUGGUCAAUGUGUGGAGUAAUAAUAGUAGAUGCAGAAUCGUUUCGGUCUACUUGACACGGACGUGAUGCCUAUGUUCAUGAUCAUUGCCUUAGAUGUCUUCAUAAUUAUGCGCUUUUCUAUCAAUUCCCCGGCAGUAAUUUGUUCACCCACCGUAAUACAUGCUAUCUUGAGAGAAGCCACUAGUGAAACCUAUGGCCCCCGGGUCUCUUUUCUAUUAUAUUGCAUCUCUUUUCCAUUAUAUCGCAUCUCAUUUACUAUCUUGCAAUCUUUACUUUCCAAUCUAUACAAAAAAAAUACCAAAAAUAUUUAUUUUACUAUCUCUAUUAUAUCUCACUUUUGUGAGUGACCGUGAAGGGAUUGACAACCCCUUUAUCGCGUUGGUUGCAAGGUUCUUGAUUGUUUGUGCAGGUACUAGGUGACUUGUGCGUUGUCUCCUACUGGAUUGAUAACUUGGUUCUCAAAACUGACGUAAAUACUUAUGCUACUUUGCUGCAUCACCCUUUCCUCUUCAAGGGAAAAACCAACACAAGCUCAAGAGGUAGCAAGAAGGAUUUUUGGCGCUGUUGCCGGGGAGAUCUACGCCAAGUCAAGCCAUACCAAGUACUCAUCAUAAACUAUUCUCCCUCGCAUUACUUUUUUUCCAUUCGCCUCUAGUUUUCCUCUCACCCACUUCUAAAAUGAUUUUCGAAAACCUUUGCCUUUUCUUCGCCCUUCUUCAGUCUGCCUUUCCUUUUUUUUUUGCCCAUGUCUAGCUCUUCUUCCCCUCCAUUGUCUUCUAACUUUGAUGUUCUUCACUUCAAGCAGAAACAAGGAGAAAAUUUCAAGGAUGCUUGGUAUAGGAUAACAAAAUAUUAUCGUAAUUGCACCAUUCAAGGAGAUUUUAAAAUCUUACUCCGUAAUUUUUACGUUGGAUUGACCUUGCCUCAUGGGCAACUCUUGGAUUUCGCCUCCAAAGAAAACUUUAUCGAAAUUGAUCCCAACAUCGCUUAUGAAAUUCUAGAAGGAGUAGUUGGCAUAUCACCUCCACCUUCGGGUUUACCCCAAACCCACGAGGGAGCUCAACCUUUUGAAAAACUUUGUGAGGUAGUUAAAUUUUUUCAAAAAUCGCUUGAACCUCUCAAAAAUGUCAGUGGAAAUAUCCACAGUAUGAACAUGUUGAUCACCCUUUGUAAUAAACGGUUGGAUGCUUUAGAUCUAAAAAUUUCUGAAUAUGAGGGAAAGCCUAAAGAACUUCCCGUACCUGAACAAAAUUCCCUCAAAAGAGUAAAAACCCAAAGAUGGCAAUACCUAGAUCUAUUCGUGUUUUUAUACCUAGCUAGGGGCGUUAAACGAUAGCGCUUGUUGGGAGGCAACCCAAUUUUAAUUUUGUCCUUUGAUUUUUGCUCCUGUUUAGUAAUAAAUAAUUCAUCUAUCCUUUGUUUAGAUGUGGUUUUAUAUCUUUAAUUAGUGUUUGUGCCAAGUAGAACCUUUGGGAAUACUUGGGUGAAGUUUUUGCAAUCUUGCUGUAAAAAACAGAAACUUUUGCACUCAUGAGAUUAGCCGUCAUUUUUUACAGAAGAGUAUUUUUAGGUUGAUUAUUUUUGUAGAAGAUUAAUAAAUAAAUUCCUCACGUCCACCAAUUUAUUUCAGAAUUUUUGGAGUUACAGAAGUAUUCUAAAGUUACAGAUUUCUACAGACUGUUCUGUUUUUGACAGAUUCUGUUUUUCGUGUGUUGUUUGCUUAUUUUGAUGAAUCUAUGAGUAGUAUCGGGGGGUAUGAACCAUAGAGAAGUUCGAAUACAGUAGGUUUAACACAAAUAUAAGUAAAUAAUGAGUUCAUUACAGUACCUUAAAGUGGUGGUUUAUUUUCUUAUACUAACAGAGCUCAUGAGAUUUUUUGUUGAAGUUUUGUGUUGUGAAGUUUUCAAGUUUUUGGGUACAAGAUUUGAUGGAUUUUGGAACAAGGAGUGGCAAGAGCCUAAGCUUGGGGAUGCCCAAGAAACCCCAAGGUAAAAUUCAAGGACAACCAAAAGCCUAAGCUUGGGUAUGCCUCGGAAGGCAUCCCCUCUUUCGUCUUCAUCUAUCGGUAACUUUACUUGAGGCUAUAUUUUUAUUCACCACAUAUAUGUGUUUUUCUUGGAGCGUCUUGUAUGAUUUGAGUCUUUGCUUUUUAGUUUACCAUAAUCAUCCUUGCUGUACACACCUUUUGGGAGAGACACGCAUGAAUCAAAAUUUAUUAGAAGACUCUAUGUGCUUCACUUAUAUCUUUUGAGCUAGACAAUUUUGCUCUAGUGCUUCACUUAUAUCUUUUUAGAGCACGGUGGUGGUUUUAUUUUAUAGAAAUUGUUGAUCUCUCAUGCCUCACUUAUAUUAUUUUGAGAGUCUUUUAGAACAGCAUGGUAAUUUGCUUUGGCUAUAAAACUAGUCCUAAUAUGAUGGGCAUCCAAGAUGGGUAUAAUAAAAACUUUCAUAUAAAGUGCAUUGAAUACUAUGAGAAGUUUGAUUCUUGAUGAUUGUUUGAGAUAGGAGGAUGGUGAUAUUUGAGUCAUGCUAGGAUAGUAAUUGUGAACUUGAGAAAUACUUGUGUUGAGGUUUGCAAGUCCCGUAGCAUGCAUGUAUGGUAACCGUUGGGUAACAAAUUUGAAGCAUGAGGUGUUUCUUUGAUUGUCUUCCUUAUGUGUGGAGGUCGGGAUCACGCGAUGGUUAACUUCUAUCAACCCUUCCCCUAGGAGCAUGCACGUAGUGCUUGGUUUUGAUGACUUGUAGAUUUUUGCAAUAAGUAUGUGAGUUCUUUAUGACUAAUGUUGAGUCCAUGGAUUAUACGCACUCUCAUCCUUCCACCAUUGCUAGCCUCUCUAGUACCGCGCAACUUUCACCGGUACCAUAAACCCACCAUUUACCUUCCUCAAAAAAGCCAUCAUACCUACCUAUUAUGGCAUUUCCAUAGCCAUGCCGAGAUAUGUUUCCAUGCAACUUUCCACCGUUUCGUUUAUUAUGACACACUUCAUCAUUGUCAUAUUGUCUUGCAUGAUCAUGUAGUUGACAUCGUAUUUGUGGCAAGGCCACCAUUCAUAAUUCAUUCAUACAUGUCACUCUUGAUUCAUCGCACAUCCCGGUACACCGCUGGAGGCAUUCAUAUAGAGUCAUACUUUGUUCUAAGUAUCAAGUUAUAAUUCUUGAGUUGUAAAUAAAUAGAAGUGUGAUGAUCAUCAUUAUCCCAUGUGAGGAAAUAAAAAAAAAGGCCAAAGAAGCCAAUGAAAAAAAAUAAGAGGCCAAAGAAGCCAAACAAAAAAUGAGAGAAAAAGAGAGAAGGGGCAAUGCUACUAUCCUUUUUCCACACUUGUGCUUCAAAGUAGCACAAUGAUCUUCGUGAUAAAGAGUCUCUCAUUUUGUCACUUUCAUAUACUAGAGGGAAUUUUCGUUAUAGAACUUGGCUUGUAUAUUGAUACGUCUCCAACGUAUCUAUAAUUUUUGAUUGUUCCAUGCUAUUAUAUUACCUGUUUUGGAUGUUUAUGGGCUUUAUUUACACAUCUAUAUCAUUUUUGGGACCAACCUACUAACCGGAGGCCCGGCCCAUAUUGUUGUUCUUUUUUGCCUAUUUCAGUAUUUCGAAGAAAAGGAAUAUCAAAUGGAGUCCAAACGGAAUGAAACCUUCGGGAGCGUGAUUUUUGGAAAGAACGUGAUCCGGAGAACUUGGAGUGCAAGUCAAGAAGCAAUCGAGGCGGCCAGGAGAUAGGAGGGCGCGUCCACCCCUCCUGGGCGCGCCCCCCUGUCUCCUGGGCCCCUCGAGCGGCCACCGAUGUACUUAUUCCUCCUAUAUAAGCCUACGUGCCCCAAAAACAUCCAGGGAGCCACCGAAGAAAUAUUUCCGCCACCAUAACCUUCUGUAUCCGCGAGAUCCCAUCUUGGAGCCGUCGUCGGUGUCCUGCCGGAGGGGGAAUCCACCAUAGAGGGCUUCUACAUCAACACCAUAGUCCUUCCGAUGAGUUGUGAGUAGUUUACCACAGACCUUCGGGUCCAUAGUUAUUAGCUAGUUGGCUUCUUCUCUCUUUUUUUAUCUCAAUACAAUGUUCUCCCCCUCUCUUGUGGAGAUCUAUUCAAUGUAAACUCUUUUUGUGGUGUGUUUGUCGAGAUCCGAUGAAUUGUGGGAUUAUGGUCAAGUUUAUCUAUGAGAAAUAAUUGAAUAUUCUCUGAAUUCUUUUAUGUAUGAUUGAGUUAUGUUUGCAAGUCUCUUCGAAUUAUCGGUUUGGUUUGGCCUACUAGAUUGAUCUUUCUUGCCAUGGGAGAAGUGCUUAGCUUUGGGUUCAAUCUUGCGGUGUCCUUACCCAGUGAAAGAAAGGGUUGCAAGGCACGUAUUGUAUUGUUGCCAUCGAGGAUAAAAAUAUGGGGUUUAUAUCAUAUUGCUUGAGUUUAUCCCUCUACAUCAUGUCAUCUUUCUUAAUGCGUUACUCUGUUCUUAUCGACUUAAUACUCUAGAUGCAUGCUGGAUAGCGGUCGAUGUGUGGAGUAAUAGUAGUAGAUGCAGGCAGGAGUCGGUCUACUUGUUGCGGACGUGAUGCCUAUAUACAUGAUCAUGCCUAGAUAAUCUCAUAAUUAUUCGUUUUUCUAUCAAUUGCUCGGCAGUAAUUUGUUCACCCACCGUAAUACUUAUGCUAUCUUGAGAGAAGCCUCUAGUGAAACCUAUGGCCCCCGGGUCUAUCUUUUAUCAUAUAAGCUUUCAAUCUACUUUUAUUUGCAUCUUUACUUUUUGCAUCUAUAUUAUAAAAUACCAAAAACAUAUUUAUCUUAUCAUAUUAUCUCUAUCAGAUCUCACUUUCGCAAGUGGCCGUGAAGGGAUUGAUAACCCCUUUAUCGGGUUGGUUGCGAGUUCUUUGUUUCUUUGUGUAGGUUCGUGGGACUUGUGAGGAGCCUCCUACUAGAUUGAUACCUUGGUUCUCAAAAACUGAGGGAAAUACUUACGCUACUGUGUUGCAUCACCCUUUCCUCUUCAAGGAAAACCAACGCAAGCUCAAGACGUAACAUAUAUUCCAAUGAUGGGCUUCCUCAUAAUGCCCUAGGUCUUCGUGAGCAAGCAAGUUGGAUUCACACCCACUUAGUUUCUUUUGUUGAGUUUUCAUACAUUUAUAGCUCUAGUGCAUCUGUUGCAUGGCAAUCCCUACUAACUCGCAUUGAUAUCUAUUGAUGGGCAUCUCCAUAGCCCAUUAAUAUGCCUAGUUGAUGUGAGACCAUCUUCCUUUUUUAUCUUCUCCACAACCACCACUCUAUUGCACCUAUAGUGCUAUGUCCAUGGCUCACGCUCAUGUAUUGCGUGAAAGUUGAAAAGGUUUGAGAAUACUAAAGUAUGAAAAAAUUGCUUGGCUGAAACCGGGGUUGUGCAUGAUUUGGAUAUUUUGUGUGACGAAGAUGGAGCAUAGCCAAGCUAUAUCAUUUUGUAGGGAUGAACUUUCUUUAGCCAUGUUAUUUUGAGAAGACAUGAUUGCUUUGUUAGUAUGCUUGAAGUAUUCUUAUUUUUAUGUCAAUAUUAAACUUUUGUCUUGAAUCUUUUGGAUCUGAACAUUCAUGCCACAACAAAGAAAAUUACAUUGAUAAUUAUGUUAGGUAGAAUUCCACAUCAAAAAUUCUGUUUUUAUCAUUUACCUACUCGAGGACGAGCAAGAAUUAAGCUUGGGGAUGCUUGAUACUUCUCCAACGUAUCUAUAAUUUUUUAUUGUUCCAUGCUAUUAUAUUAUCUGUUUUGGAUGUUUAAUGGGAUUUAAUAUACUAUUUUAUAUUAUUUUUGGGACUAAGCUAUUAACCGGAGGCCCAGUGCUAGUUUCUAUUUUUUGCCUAGAGUUUUGCAGAAAAGGAAUAUCAAACGGAGUCCAAACGGAAUGAAAUCUUCGCGAUGAUGUUUCUUGGACCGAAAGCAAACCAGAAGACUUGGAGUUGAAGCCAGAAACACCACGAGGCGUCCACGAGGCAGGAGGGUGCGCCCAGGGGGGUAGGCACGCCCCCACCCUCGUGGGCCCCUCGUAGCUCCACUGACGUAUUUUAUUCACCUAUAUAUACUCUUAUACCCUAGAAACAUCAGGGAGAGCCACAAAACCACUUUUCCACCGUUGCAACCUUCCAUACCCAUGAGAUCCCACCUUGGGGCCUUUUCCAGUGAUCUGUCGGAGGGGGAAUCGAUCGCGGAGGGCUUCUACAUCAACACCAUUGCCUCUCCGAUGAAGUGUGAGUAGUUUACCAUAGACCUUUGGGUCCAUAGUUAUUAGCUAGAUGGCUUCUUCUCUCUCUUUGAUUCUCAAUACAAAGUUCUCCUCGAUGUUCUUGGAGAUCUAUUCGAUGUAAUAUUCUUUUGCGGUGUGUUUGUCGAGAUCCGACGAAUUGUGGAUUUAUGCUCAGAUUAUCUAUGAAUAUUAUUUGGUUCUUCUCUGAAUUCUUAUAUGCAUGAUUUGAUAUCUUUUCAAGUCUCUUUGAAUUAUCGGUUUAGUUUGGCCUACUAGAUUGAUCUUUCUUGCAAUGGGAGAAGUGCUUAGCUUUGGGUUCAAUCUUGCGGUGUCCUUUCCCACUGACAGUAGGGGCAGCAAGGCACAUAUUGUAUUGUUGCCAUCGAGGAUAAAAAUAUGUGGUUUAUAUCAUAUUGCUUGAGUUUAUCCCUCUACAUCAUAUCAUCUUGCUUAAUGCGUUACUCCAUUCUUAUGAACUUAAUACUCUAGAUGCAUUCUGGAUAGCGGUCGAUGUGUGGAGUAAUAGUAGUAGAUGCAGAAUCGUUUCGGUCUACUUGACACGGACGUGAUGCCUAUGUUCAUGAUCAUUGCCUUAGAUGUCUUCAUAAUUAUGCGAUUUUCUAUCAAUUGCUCGGCAGUAAUUUGUUCACCCACUGCAAUACAUGCUAUCUUGAGAGAAGCCACUAGUGAAACCUAUGGCCCCCAGGUCUCUUUUCUAUUAUAUUACAUCUCUUUUCCAUUAUAUCGCAUCUCAUUUACUAUUUUGCAAUCUUUACUUUCCAAUCUAUACAACAAAAAUAUCAAAAAUAUUUAUUCUACUAUCUCUAUUAGAUCUCACUUUUGCGAGUGACCAUGAAGGGAUUGAAAACCCCUUUAUCGCGUUGGUUGCAAGGUUCUUGAUUGUUUGUGCAGGUACUAGGUGACUUGUGCGUCAUCUCCCACUGGAUUGAUAUCUUGGUUCUCAAAACUGAGGGAAAUACUUACGCUACUUUGCUGCAUCACCCUUUCUUCUUCAAGGGAAAAACCAAUGCAAGCUCAAGAGGUAGCAGUCAUGUAGACAAACCAAACUAAGGCACAAAAACAGUAGCUUCCAACACAAGCUCGGUCCUACGACGAGCUGUGAUCCCAUAUGCUUCACCCAUAUCAAGGUUCUUCGGGUUCCCACCAUCGGGAAGCUUCUAGUCAAAGUGAUAGAGAAGGCUCACAAGAGCCAUCUCGAUGUUUGACACUCCAAACAUCAUACCAGGGCACAUUCUCCGUCCAGUGCCGCCAGGGAGGAAUCUGAAGUCCGUACCACCAUAAUCAACCUUUUCAUCGUCAAACCUCUUGGGCAUGAACUCACUCGCAUUAGUCCAGCUAUUCUCGUCCCUAUCGAUUGCCGACACAUUCACGAAUACCGUGGUGCCUUGUGGAAUAUCAUAGCCCAUGACCUUUGUUUGCGUCAGUGCAAAGCCUCGGCAUGAGAAACAACACCGGUGGAUGCAACCUGAAGGUCUCCUUGAUGACCAUCUGCAGGUAGUGCAGCAGGCCAUCGAUGUCAGCCUCAGUCACCUCAGUCUUACCGUGGAGGACUCCUCGAACUUCAGACUGUGUGGCAGCCAUUAUGUGUGGGCUCCUCAUCAGCUCGGACAUUGCCCAAAUUGUUGUUGUGGCUGUCGUCUCCGAUCCCACAGCGAAAAGGUCCUGGUGACACACACGUAAAUAUGUGAGAUUGAAAUAUCAUGUAGCAAGCAAAAGGUGGUAGCUAGCAGGGUUUUAAAUUUUAGUAAAAUUUCCAAAUUUCUGGUAAUUAUGGUGGGUAAUGGAACAUUUCUAACAAUGAAAUUUUGUGCCAUAUUAACUAAUUUUAAGCCAAAUGUUACAAUAGGCAAAAUUCAUCUGAUUUAAAAUUUUCAUCAAAAUCCAAAAAAAUCUGAAAUUCCUACAAGAUCCCAAAGUNNNNNNNNNNNNNNNNNNNNNNNNNNNNNNNNNNNNNNNNNNNNNNNNNNNNNNNNNNNNNNNNNNNNNNNNNNNNNNNNNNNNNNNNNNNNNNNNNNNNNNNNNNNNNNNNNNNNNNNNNNNNNNNNNNNNNNNNNNNNNNNNNNNNNNNNNNNNNNNNNNNNNNNNNNNNNNNNNNNNNNNNNNNNNNNNNNNNNNNNNNNNNNNNNNNNNNNNNNNNNNNNNNNNNNNNNNNNNNNNNNNNNNNNNNNNNNNNNNNNNNNNNNNNNNNNNNNNNNNNNNNNNNNNNNNNNNNNNNNNNNNNNNNNNNNNNNNNNNNNNNNNNNNNNNNNNNNNNNNNNNNNNNNNNNNNNNNNNNNNNNNNNNNNNNNNNNNNNNNNNNNNNNNNNNNNNNNNNNNNNNNNNNNNNNNNNNNNNNNNNNNNNNNNNNNNNNNNNNNNNNNNNNNNNNNNNNNNNNNNNNNNNNNNNNNNNNNNNNNNNNNNNNNNNNNNNNNNNNNNNNNNNNNNNNNNNNNNNNNNNNNNNNNNNNNNNNNNNNNNNNNNNNNNNNNNNNNNNNNNNNNNNNNNNNNNNNNNNNNNNNNNNNNNNNNNNNNNNNNNNNNNNNNNNNNNNNNNNNNNNNNNNNNNNNNNNNNNNNNNNNNNNNNNNNNNNNNNNNNNNNNNNNNNNNNNNNNNNNNNNNNNNNNNNNNNNNNNNNNNNNNNNNNNNNNNNNNNNNNNNNNNNNNNNNNNNNNNNNNNNNNNNNNNNNNNNNNNNNNNNNNNNNNNNNNNNNNNNNNNNNNNNNNNNNNNNNNNNNNNNNNNNNNNNNNNNNNNNNNNNNNNNNNNNNNNNNNNNNNUCGGUGAAGGCGGCGUCGUGGACCUUCAUGACCUCCCUGGCUGCCUCGGCGGAGGAGAGCACGAGCGUUGGGACAUGGCCGAGACGGAGAAGCAUGACGGGGCCGUGCCGACGAGCGAGCCUGUGCAUGGCCUAUUGCGGAAUGGCGCCGAGCAGGAGGUGCAUGUGGCCAAUCACCGGAAGCACCCAUGGGCCGGGAGGUAGGUUCAGGCGGCUAGCAGAGGUGGCUUGCCUGUGCUUGAGCUUAACGAGUAUGGCCAUGACAAGGAUACAGAGCAAAGUGUAGCACACGAGCUGGGUGUGUUGGGUUUCCUCCAUUGGAGCUACCUCGAUCGUGGUCGUAUGAGCUAAAGAUUCAAGAUGCGUUUAUAUAUGAGAGAAUGACAAGGAGUAAACAACGCAAGAGUCCAUGUGAGAUGCGGAAAGUAUUUCUCUGAUUGGGGAUCAAUUCGCCAUGGAUGGCAGUACAAGCUCACACACGCAUGUGGUCCUGGCCGCAGCCACCAAAUCCUUCCCAGAUCCACACGCAACACACGCCAACGGUUAUAGGCCAAUGUACACCCUUAACAGGCCCAGUUCGGGCCUGCAAGCCACUGGGGAAGUUGCCGAGCACGAGUGGUCCGUGCAAUCAGCCCAUGAGUCGAAUCAUCAUCUUCGCGCUCUCCUGGUUGCUCUGUUCUGGCGCUGGGCUCGCUGCCAUUCCCCUCUUCUUGAGAGUCAUCUUGACCCCAAGCCGGAGCUCGCGGAAACAGCUGACAAAUGGAAUCCCUAUCUUCCCAGGUAGCUGAAGACGCGUCUCCCCCACUCCACUGGACCAGAAGUUGCGCCACCGAUCUGUUGUAUGAACGGCGGAUACGCUCCUGCAGCACCUUGACAGGAAAUUGGAGAUGAGCAUCGAUAGAGGGGAGCGACUUGAGUACCUCAUGGUGUGGCUGCACACAACGUUUCAGUUGUGAAACAUGGAAAACUGGAUGUAUAUGGCUGGCCGCUGGUAACUGCAAGCGGUAAGCCACCUCGCCAAUCUUCUCCAGGAUAAGAAAUGAACCAAAGUACUUGAAGGCGAGUUUGUGAUUAGCUUUGUGCACCACCGAGGACUGCGCAUAUGGUUGAAGUUUGAGAAAUACCCGAUCACCAACAGCAAAUGUUCUUCCGGUGCGUUUCUUGUCAGCCUGGUGCUUCAUUCUUUGUUGAACACGCAACAGAUGCUGGCGCACCAACUGCUGAACGACUGCCCGAGCAUCCAACCAUUGUUGUAAAUCAACGGCGUCAAUGGAAUCAGAAGCAGAAAUUCCAAAGUACCGACGACCAUGGCCAUAAAGGACUUCAAAUGGAGAUUUGUUAAGUACCGAGUGCCAAUUUGCAUUGUACCAAAACUCGCAAAGUGAGAUCGACCUGGCCCAUUUCUUCGGAUGAGCACUGAUGAAACACCUCAAAAAACAUUCAACCUGGUGAUUAACACGUUCAGUCUGUCCAUCAGUUUCAGGAUGAUAUGUCAUGCUCAUAUUAAGUACAGCUCAUGUCCUCUUUACCAGAGAUUGCCAAAAUUUCCUUGUGAACAUUGGAUCCCUGUCAGACACUAUAUAGAGAGGCAUGCCAUGAAGCUUGUAGAUAUUGUCCAAGAAGAGAUCAGCAAUUUUUUGGGUAGUGUAUGCGUGUUUGACAGGAAUAAAAUGGCCAUAUUUUGUAAACUUGUCAAUGACCACCAUGAUGCAGUCAUACUAAUCAGAAGAAGGCAGCCCUGAAAUGAAAUCCAUUUUCACAGUUUCCCAAGCUUUGGCAGGAACAGGUGAUGGUAAUAGAAACCCAGGGUAAGCUACUCUCUCGGGUUUUUCUUGUUGACAGAUAAGGCAAGAUUGCACAAACUGCUGGAUCUUUUUCUUCAUACCCACCCAUUUAAACAGUGCACGAAUUCUUUUGUAGGUGACAGGGAACCCUGAAUGACCCCCCAAGGGAGUGUCAUGGAAAUCCUGACAAAUCUUAACAUGUAGCCCAUUGUCAUUUCCCACCCAAAUGCAACAUUUAUAUCUCAGCACACCCUGUAUCAGUUGAAAGUUAUGUUUGGACUUAGGUUGCACUGACAACUGUUGCAAUAAUUCAUGUGCUUUUGGGUCAUUCUUGUAGCUUUCAACAACAUCUUCAAACCAACUAGGAUGAACUCCAGAAAUUGCUAGCACUUGAGAAUCUGAUUGUGGUCUCCUGGAGAGAGCAUCAGCAGCAGAAUUAUUAGUACCUUUCUUUAUUAGUACCUUUCUUGUACACAAUCUUAUAAUUCAGCCCCAUCAUCUUUGUAAGUGCCUUUUGCUGCCAAGGUGUAUGUAGUCUUUGAUCAGAGAUAUUAAUCAAACUCUUUUGAUCUGUCCUGAUGAUAAAUUCCUGGAACUGUAAGUAUGGUCUCCACUGCUCAGUAGCUAAUAAUAUAACUAGAUAUUCCUUUUCAUAAACAGAUAGCUGAUAUGUCUCCAACGUAUCUAUAAUUUUUGAUUGUUCCAUGCUAUUAUAUUACCUGUUUUGGAUGUUUAAUGGGCUUUACUAUGCACUUUUAUAUUAUUUUUGGGACAACCCUAUUAACCAGAGGCCUAGUCCAAAUUGUUGUUUUUGCCUAUUUCAGUGUUUUGCAGAAAAGGAAUGUCAAAUGGAGUCCAAACGGAAUGAAACCUUCGGGAGAGUUAUUUUUGGAACAAACACAAUCCAAGAGACUUGGAGUGGACGUCAGGGAAGCAACGAGGUGGCCACAAGGGUCCAGGACACGCCCUACCCCCUGGGCGCUGCCCCACCCUCGUGGGCCCCUCGUGGUUCCCCUGACCGACUUCCUUCGCCUAUAUAUAUCCAUAUACCCUGAAAACAUCGAGGAACACAAUAGAUCGGGAGUUCCGCCGCUGCAAGCCUCUGUAGCCACCAAAAACCAAUCGGGAUGCACCCUGUCGGAGGGGGGAUCCCUCACUGGUGGCCAUCAUCAUCCUGACGCUCUCCAUGACGAGGAGGGAGUAGUUCACCCUCGGGGCAGAGGGUAUGUACCAGUAGCUAUGUGUUUGAUCUCUCUCUCUCUCUCUCUCUCUCUCUCUCUCGUGUUCUUGAUUUGACACGAUCUUGAUGUAUCGCGAGCUUUGCUAUUAUAGUUGGAUCUUAUGGUGUUUCUCCCCCUCUACUCUCUUGUAAUGGAUUGAGUUUUCCCUUUGAAGUUAUCUUGUCGGAUUGAGUCUUUAAGGAUUUGCGAACACUUGAUGUAUGUCUUGCAUGUGCUUAUCUGUGGUGAAAAUGGGAUAUCACGUGAUCCACUUGAUGUAUGUUUUAGUGAUCAACUUGUGAGUUCCGUUACCUCGUGAACUUAUGCAUAGGGGUUGGCACACGUUUUCGUCUUGGCUCUCCAGUAGAAACUUUGGGGCACUCUUUGAAGUACUUUGUGUUCGUUGAAUAGAUGAAUCUAAGAUUGUGUGAUGCAUAUCGUAUAAUCAUGCCCAAGGAUACUUGAGGUGACAUUGGAGUAUCUAGGUGACAUUAGGGUUUUGGUUGAUUUGUGUCUUAAGGUGUUAUUCUAGUAUGAACUCUAUGAUAGAUCGAACCGAAAGAAUAGCUUCGUGUCAUUUUACUACGGACUCUUGAAUAGAUCAAUCAGAAAGGAUAACUUUGAGGUGGUUUCAUACCCUACAAUAAUCUUUUUGUUUGUUCUCCGCUAUUAGUGCCUCUGGAGUGACUCUUUGUUGCAUGUUGAUGGAUAGUUAUAUGAUCCAGUUGUGUUAUUAUUGUUGAGAGAACUUGCAGUAGUGAAAGUAUGAACCUUAGGCCUUGUUUCCUAGCAUUGCAAUACUGUUUGUGCUCACUUUUAUCAUUAGUUACCUUGUUGUUUUUAUAUUUUCAAAUAACAAAAACCUAUAUCUACCAUCCAUAUUGCACUUGUAUCACCAUCUCUUCGCCGAACUAGUGCACCUAUACAAUUUGCCAUUGUAUUGGGUGUGUUGGGGACACAAGUGACUCUUUGUUAUUUGGUUGCAGGGUUGUUUGAGAGAGACCAUCUUCAUCCUACGCCUCCCACGGAUUGAUAAACCUUAGGUCAUCCACUUGAGGGAAAUUUGCUACUGUCGUACAAACUUCUGCACUUGGAGGCCCAACAACGUCUACAAGAAGAAGGUUGCGUAGUAGACAUCAAGCUCUUUUCUGGCGCCGUUGUAAGGGAGGUGAGUUCUUGAAGGUAUAUCUUUAGAUCUUGCAUCGAAUCUUUUUGUUUCUUGUUUUAUCACUAGUUUAGUUUAUAGAAGAAAACUACAUAGAAAAUGGAAUUGAGUUUGCCUCAUACGCUUCAUCUUUUUAAUAUCUUCCGUGAGAAUGAUGGUAAGGAAAAUUGUGCUCAAGUGCUAGAAGAAGAAGUCUAUAAAAUGUUUGGCACUAAAUCUUUGAAUGAGGAUCAUGAUUGCAAUGUUAUUAGUAUGAAUUCUUUUAAUACCCAUGAUGCUAAUGAUAUGCAAAGCUACAAGCUUGGGGAAGCUAUGUUUGAUAAAGAUGAUAUUUUUUUGUCCCCCAAGUUUUGAUGAGCAAAUUUAUUAUGAUGAAAGCAUGCCUCCUAUUUAUGAUGAUUAUUGUGAUGACACGUAUGCUAUAAAGAAUAAAGAUAACCAUGAAACUUGUCAUCAUGAUUUUAAUUUUCAAUUGGAUUAUGCCUCACACGAUAAUUAUUUUGUUGUGUUUUCUCCCACUACUAUUCAUGAGAAGAAAUUUGCUUAUGUGGAGAGUAGUAAAUUUUCUAUGCUUGUAGAUCAUGAAAAGAAAGCUUUAGUGCUGGUUAUAUUGUGGAAUUAAUUCAUGAUGCUACUGAAAAUUAUUAUGAGGGAGGAACACAUGCUUGUAGGAAUUGCAAUAAUAUCAAGUUUCCUCUCUAUGUGUUGAAAAUCUUGAAGAUUUGCUUGUUUUACCUUCCUAUGCUAGUUGAUUAUUGUUCCCAUAAGUUGUUUUCUCACAAAAUCCCUAUGCAUAGGAAGUGGGUUAGACUUAAAAUUGCUAGUCAUAUUCUUCAUGAUGCUCUCUUUAUGUUUCAAUUCUUAUCUUUUAUGUGAGCAUCAUUGAAAUCAUCAUGCCUAGCUAGGGGCGUUAAACAUUAGCGCUUGUUGGGAGGAAACCCAAUUUUAUUUUUGUUCCUUGACUUUUGUUCCUGUUUAGUAAUAAAUAAUUCAUCUAGCCUCUAUUUAGAUGUGUUUUUAUGUUUUAAUUAGUGUUUGUGCCAAGUAUGACCUUUGGGAAGACUUGGGUGAAGUCUAUGCGGUCUUGCUGUAAAAAACAGAAACUUUUGCGCUCACGAUAUUAGCUGCCAUUUUUUACUGGAGAGUGAUUUUAGGUUGAUUAUUUUUUCAGAUGAUUAAUAGACAAAUUCCUAAGGUCCAUUUCAGAAUUUUUGGAGUUANNNNNNNNNNNNNNNNNNNNNNNNNNNNNNNNNNNNNNNNNNNNNNNNNNNNNNNNNNNNNNNNNNNNNNNNNNNNNNNNNNNNNNNNNNNNNNNNNNNNCAUGUAGCCCAUUGUCAUUUCCCACCCAAAUGCAACAUUUAUAUCUCAGCACACCCUGUAUCAGUUGAAAGUUAUGUUUGGACUUAGGUUGCACUGACAACUGUUGCAAUAAUUCAUGUGCUUUUGGGUCAUUCUUGUAGCUUUCAACAACAUCUUCAAACCAACUAGGAUGAACUCCAGAAAUUGCUAGCACUUGAGAAUCUGAUUGUGGUCUCCUGGAGAGAGCAUCAGCAGCAGAAUUAUUAGUACCUUUCUUUAUUAGUACCUUUCUUGUACACAAUCUUAUAAUUCAGCCCCAUCAUCUUUGUAAGUGCCUUUUGCUGCCAAGGUGUAUGUAGUCUUUGAUCAGAGAUAUUAAUCAAACUCUUUUGAUCUGUCCUGAUGAUAAAUUCCUGGAACUGUAAGUAUGGUCUCCACUGCUCAGUAGCUAAUAAUAUAACUAGAUAUUCCUUUUCAUAAACAGAUAGCUGAUAUGUCUCCAACGUAUCUAUAAUUUUUGAUUGUUCCAUGCUAUUAUAUUACCUGUUUUGGAUGUUUAAUGGGCUUUACUAUGCACUUUUAUAUUAUUUUUGGGACAACCCUAUUAACCAGAGGCCUAGUCCAAAUUGUUGUUUUUGCCUAUUUCAGUGUUUUGCAGAAAAGGAAUGUCAAAUGGAGUCCAAACGGAAUGAAACCUUCGGGAGAGUUAUUUUUGGAACAAACACAAUCCAAGAGACUUGGAGUGGACGUCAGGGAAGCAACGAGGUGGCCACAAGGGUCCAGGACACGCCCUACCCCCUGGGCGCUGCCCCACCCUCGUGGGCCCCUCGUGGUUCCCCUGACCGACUUCCUUCGCCUAUAUAUAUCCAUAUACCCUGAAAACAUCGAGGAACACAAUAGAUCGGGAGUUCCGCCGCUGCAAGCCUCUGUAGCCACCAAAAACCAAUCGGGAUGCACCCUGUCGGAGGGGGGAUCCCUCACUGGUGGCCAUCAUCAUCCCGACGCUCUCCAUGACGAGGAGGGAGUAGUUCACCCUCGGGGCAGAGGGUAUGUACCAGUAGCUAUGUGUUUGAUCUCUCUCUCUCUCUCUCUCUCUCUCUCUCUCUCUCUCGUGUUCUUGAUUUGACACGAUCUUGAUGUAUCGCGAGCUUUGCUAUUAUAGUUGGAUCUUAUGGUGUUUCUCCCCCUCUACUCUCUUGUAAUGGAUUGAGUUUUCCCUUUGAAGUUAUCUUGUCGGAUUGAGUCUUUAAGGAUUUGCGAACACUUGAUGUAUGUCUUGCAUGUGCUUAUCUGUGGUGAAAAUGGGAUAUCACGUGAUCCACUUGAUGUAUGUUUUAGUGAUCAACUUGUGAGUUCCGUUACCUCGUGAACUUAUGCAUAGGGGUUGGCACACGUUUUCGUCUUGGCUCUCCAGUAGAAACUUUGGGGCACUCUUUGAAGUACUUUGUGUUCGUUGAAUAGAUGAAUCUAAGAUUGUGUGAUGCAUAUUGUAUAAUCAUGCCCAAGGAUACUUGAGGUGACAUUGGAGUAUCUAGGUGACAUUAGGGUUUUGGUUGAUUUGUGUCUUAAGGUGUUAUUCUAGUAUGAACUCUAUGAUAGAUCGAACCGAAAGAAUAGCUUCGUGUCAUUUUACUACGGACUCUUGAAUAGAUCAAUCAGAAAGGAUAACUUUGAGGUGGUUUCAUACCCUACAAUAAUCUUUUUGUUUGUUCUCCGCUAUUAGUGCCUCUGGAGUGACUCUUUGUUGCAUGUUGAUGGAUAGUUAUAUGAUCCAGUUGUGUUAUUAUUGUUGAGAGAACUUGCAGUAGUGAAAGUAUGAACCUUAGGCCUUGUUUCCUAGCAUUGCAAUACUGUUUGUGCUCACUUUUAUCAUUAGUUACCUUGUUGUUUUUAUAUUUUCAAAUAACAAAAACCUAUAUCUACCAUCCAUAUUGCACUUGUAUCACCAUCUCUUCGCCGAACUAGUGCACCUAUACAAUUUGCCAUUGUAUUGGGUGUGUUGGGGACACAAGUGACUCUUUGUUAUUUGGUUGCAGGGUUGUUUGAGAGAGACCAUCUUCAUCCUACGCCUCCCACGGAUUGAUAAACCUUAGGUCAUCCACUUGAGGGAAAUUUGCUACUGUCGUACAAACUUCUGCACUUGGAGGCCCAACAACGUCUACAAGAAGAAGGUUGCGUAGUAGACAUCAAGCUCUUUUCUGGCGCCGUUGUAAGGGAGGUGAGUUCUUGAAGGUAUAUCUUUAGAUCUUGCAUCGAAUCUUUUUGUUUCUUGUUUUAUCACUAGUUUAGUUUAUAGAAGAAAACUACAUAGAAAAUGGAAUUGAGUUUGCCUCAUACGCUUCAUCUUUUUAAUAUCUUCCGUGAGAAUGAUGGUAAGGAAAAUUGUGCUCAAGUGCUAGAAGAAGAAGUCUAUAAAAUGUUUGGCACUAAAUCUUUGAAUGAGGAUCAUGAUUGCAAUGUUAUUAGUAUGAAUUCUUUUAAUACCCAUGAUGCUAAUGAUAUGCAAAGCUACAAGCUUGGGGAAGCUAUGUUUGAUAAAGAUGAUAUUUUUUUGUCCCCCAAGUUUUGAUGAGCAAAUUUAUUAUGAUGAAAGCAUGCCUCCUAUUUAUGAUGAUUAUUGUGAUGACACGUAUGCUAUAAAGAAUAAAGAUAACCAUGAAACUUGUCAUCAUGAUUUUAAUUUUCAAUUGGAUUAUGCCUCACACGAUAAUUAUUUUGUUGUGUUUUCUCCCACUACUAUUCAUGAGAAGAAAUUUGCUUAUGUGGAGAGUAGUAAAUUUUCUAUGCUUGUAGAUCAUGAAAAGAAAGCUUUAGUGCUGGUUAUAUUGUGGAAUUAAUUCAUGAUGCUACUGAAAAUUAUUAUGAGGGAGGAACACAUGCUUGUAGGAAUUGCAAUAAUAUCAAGUUUCCUCUCUAUGUGUUGAAAAUCUUGAAGAUUUGCUUGUUUUACCUUCCUAUGCUAGUUGAUUAUUGUUCCCAUAAGUUGUUUUCUCACAAAAUCCCUAUGCAUAGGAAGUGGGUUAGACUUAAAAUUGCUAGUCAUAUUCUUCAUGAUGCUCUCUUUAUGUUUCAAUUCUUAUCUUUUAUGUGAGCAUCAUUGAAAUCAUCAUGCCUAGCUAGGGGCGUUAAACAUUAGCGCUUGUUGGGAGGAAACCCAAUUUUAUUUUUGUUCCUUGACUUUUGUUCCUGUUUAGUAAUAAAUAAUUCAUCUAGCCUCUAUUUAGAUGUGUUUUUAUGUUUUAAUUAGUGUUUGUGCCAAGUAUGACCUUUGGGAAGACUUGGGUGAAGUCUAUGCGGUCUUGCUGUAAAAAACAGAAACUUUUGCGCUCACGAUAUUAGCUGCCAUUUUUUACUGGAGAGUGAUUUUAGGUUGAUUAUUUUUUCAGAUGAUUAAUAGACAAAUUCCUAAGGUCCAUUUCAGAAUUUUUGGAGUUAUAGAAGUAUUCAAAUGAUACAGAUUACUACAGACUGUUCUGUUUUUGACAGAUUCUGUUUUCUAUGUGUUGUUUGCUUAUUUUGAUGAAUCUAUGAGUAGUAUCGGAGGGUAUGAACCAUAGAGAAGUUUUAAUACAAUAGAUAUUACACCAAUAUGAAUUUAGAAUGAGUUCACAAGAGUACCUAAGUGGUGAUUUAUUUUCUUAUACUAACGGAGCUUACGAGUUUUCUGUUGAGUUUUGUGUUGUGAAGUUUUCAAGUUUUGGGUAAAGAUUCGAUGGACUAUGGAAUAAGGAGUGGCAAGAGCCUAAGCUUGGGGAUGCCCAAGGCACCCCAAGGUAAUAUUCAAGGACAACCAAGAGCCCAAGCUUGGGGAUGACCCGGAAGGCAUCCCCUCUUUCGUCUUCGUUCAUCGGUAACUUUACUUGGAGCUAUAUUUUUAUUCACCACAUGAUAUGUGUUUUGCUUGGAGCGUCAUUUUAUUUUGUUAGUAUUUGCUUUCUGUUAUUUAUAAUAAUGUUUUGCAUCUAUAUUUUCAAUAAAAAUGUCAAGGAUAGCCUUUACCAUGCUUAUUUUGCAAGUAUACAUGUUGCUGUUUCAAAACAGAAAGUUUACCGCUGUUGCAAAAAAUCCCUAGAGAAUUCAGAGAAUGAUAUAAUAUUGAAACCUUUUGCAUAUUGAUCGCUGAUAAAUCUACUACAGUGUAGUAUUUUUCUCAUAAUUUUUGGAGUUAGGUAAGUAUGAUGAAUCUUGCAUUCUUUACAGACUAUACUGUUUUGACAGAUUGCUGUUAUGUUUGCAUUGUUUGCAUAUGUUUGCUUGUUUAGUGAUUCUAUUUGAGGAUAGGAGUAUUAAAUAUGCAGAGACAUUUAGUAUGCAAUGUGAAUAAUAAUUUUAGUGAUUUGUUACAGUAUAAAAUGAUAAGGUUUUUGCAUUGGUUUAUACUAACUUAUCUCACGAGUUCUUGUUGAGUUUGGUGUGGAUGAAGCUUUCGAGAUUUAGGAAACCGAGAUAUAAAAGGAAUUAAGGAGACACAAAAGCUCAAGCUUGGGGAUGCCCAAGGCACCCCAAGAUAAUAUUUCAAGAAGUCUCAAGCAUCCAAGCUUGGGGAUGCCCCGGUAGGCAUCCCACCUUUCUUCUUCAACAAUUAUUGGUUAGUAUCGGUUGAACCUAAGUUUUUGCUUCUUCACAUGAUGUGUGCUAUCCUUGAAAUGUCAUUUUGUUUUAUUUUGUUUUGAUUUCUGUUUGAAUAAAAUCCCAAGAUCUGAAAUUCUUAAAUGUUAGAGAGUCUUCACAUAGUUGCACAAUUAUUAGAAUACUCUAUGUGCUUCACUUAUAUCUUUUGGAGUAAUUUGUCAUUUGCUCUAGUGCUUCACUUAUACAUUUUUAGAGCACGGUGGUGGUUUUAUUUUGUAGAAAUUAUUGACCUCUCAUGCUUCACUUAUAUUAUUUUGAGAGUCUUUUAGAACAGCAUGGUAAUUUGCUUUGGUUAUAAAAUUGGUCCUAAUAUGAUGGGCAUCCAAGUUGGGUAUAAUAAAAACUAUCAUAUAAAGUGCAUUGAAUACUAUGAUAAAUUUGAUACUUGAUAAUUGUUUUGAGAUAUAAAGGUGGUAAUGUUAGAGUCAUGCUAGUUGGGUAAUUAUGAAAUUGAGAAAUACUUGUGUUAAAGUUGGCAAGUCCCGUAGCAUGCACGUAUGGUGAACAUUGUGUGACAAAUUUGAAGCAUGGGGUGUUCUUUGAUUACCUUCCUUAUGAGUGGAGGUCGGGAUCGCCUGAUGGUUAACUCCUACCAACCCUUCCCCUAGGAGCAUACGUAGUAGUACUUUGCUUCGAGGGCUAAUAUACUUUUGCAAUAAAUAUAUGACUUCUUCAUGACUAAUGCUAGUCCAUGGAUUAUACGCACCCUUACCCUUCCGCAAUUUGCUAGCCUCUACGGUACCGUGCAUUGCCCUUUCUCACCUUGAGAGUUGGUGCAAACUUCGCUGGUGCAUCCAAACCCCGUGAUACGAUACGCUCUAUCACACAUAAACCUCCUUAUAUCUUCCUCAAAACAGCCACCAUACCUACUUAUUAUGGCAUUUCCAUAGCCAUUCCGAGACAUGUUGCCAUGUAACUUUCCAUCGUUUCGUUUAUUAUGACACGCUCCAGCAUUGUCAUAUUGCUUUUGCAUGAUCAUGUAGUUGACAUCGUAUUUCUGGCAAAGCCACCUUUAUAAUUCUUUCAUGCAUGUCGCUUUUGAUUCAUUGCAUAUCCCGGUACACCGCCGGAGGCAUUCACAUAGAGUCAUAUUUUGUCCUAAGUAUUGAGUUGUAAUUCUUGAGUUGUAAAUAAAUAGAAGUGUGAUGAUUCCCAUUAUUAGAGCAUUGUCCCAUGUGAGGAAAGGAUGAUGGAGACUACAAUUCCCCCACAAGUCAGGAUGAGACUCCGGACUUUAUGAAAAAUAAAAGAGGCCAAAGAAGGCCAAAGAAGCCCACCGAAUAAAAAAGAGAGAGAAAAUGAGAGAAAAGAGAGAGAAGGGACAAUGUUACUAUCCUUUUACCACACUUGUGCUUCAAAGUAGCACCAUGAUCUUCAUGAUAGAGAGUCUCUUAUGUUGUCACUUUCAUAUACUAGUGGGAAUUUUUCAUUAUAGAACUUGGCUUGUAUAUUCCAAUGAUGGGCUUCCUCAAAAUGCCCUAGGUCUUCGUGAGCAAGCAAGUUGGAUGCACACUCACUUAGUUUCUUUUUUAUGAGCUUUCGUACAUUUAUAGCUCUAGUGCAUCCGUUGCAUGGCAAUCCCUACUCCUCGUAUUGACAUCAAUUGAUGGGCAUAUCCAUAGUCCGUUGAUUAGCCGCGUCAAUAUGAGACUUUCUCCCUUUUUGUUUUCUCACAUAAUCCCUAUCGUCAUACUCUACUCCACCCAUAGUGCUAUGUCCAUGGCUUACGCUCAUGUAUUGCGUGAGGGUUGAAAAGGCUGAAGCGCGUUAAAAAGUAUGAACCAAUUGCUUGGCUGAAACCAAGGUUGUGCAUGAUGGGAGUAUUUUGUGUGACGAAAAUGAAGCAUGGCCAAACUAUAUGAUUUUGUAGGAAUAAGCUUUCUUUGGCUAUGUUAUUUUGAUAAGACAUGAUUACUUUGCUAGUAUGCUUGAAGUAUUACUAUUUUUAUGUCAAUAUUAAACUUUUAUCUUGAAUCUUUUGGAUCUGAACAUGCAUGCCACAAUAAAGAAAAUUACAUUGAGAAUUAUGCUAGGUAGCAUUCCACAUCAAAAAUUCUGUUUUUUUCAUUUACCUACUAGAGGACGAGCAUGAAUUAAGCUUGGGAUGCUUGAUACGUCUCCAACGUAUCUAUAUUUUUUGAUUGUUCCAUGCUAUUAUAUUACCUAUUUUGUAUGUUUAAUGGGCUUUACUAUGCACUUUUAUAUUAUUUUUGGGACUAACCUAUUAACCGGAGGCCCAAUCCAAAUUGUUAUUUUUUGCCUAUUUUAGUGUUUCAUAGAAAAGGAAUAUCAAAUAGAAUCCAAACGGAAAGAAACCUUCGGGAGAGUUAUUUUUGGAACAAACGCAAUCCAGGAGACUUGGAGUGGACGUUAGGGAAGCAACGAGGUGGCCACGAGGGUCCAGGGCNNNNNNNNNNNNNNNNNNNNNNNNNNNNNNNNNNNNNNNNNNNNNNNNNNNNNNNNNNNNNNNNNNNNNNNNNNNNNNNNNNNNNNNNNNNNNNNNNNNNNNNNNNNNNNNNNNNNNNNNNNNNNNNNNNNNNNNNNNNNNNNNNNNNNNNNNNNNNNNNNNNNNNNNNNNNNNNNNNNNNNNNNNNNNNNNNNNNNNNNNNNNNNNNNNNNNNNNNNNNNNNNNNNNNNNNNNNNNNNNNNNNNNNNNNNNNNNNNNNNNNNNNNNNNNNNNNNNNNNNNNNNNNNNNNNNNNNNNNNNNNNNNNNNNNNNNNNNNNNNNNNNNNNNNNNNNNNNNNNNNNNNNNNNNNNNNNNNNNNNNNNNNNNNNNNNNNNNNNNNNNNNNNNNNNNNNNNNNNNNNNNNNNNNNNNNNNNNNNNNNNNNNNNNNNNNNNNNNNNNNNNNNNNNNNNNNNNNNNNNNNNNNNNNNNNNNNNNNNNNNNNNNNNNNNNNNNNNNNNNNNNNNNNNNNNNNNNNNNNNNNNNNNNNNNNNNNNNNNNNNNNNNNNNNNNNNNNNNNNNNNNNNNNNNNNNNNNNNNNNNNNNNNNNNNNNNNNNNNNNNNNNNNNNNNNNNNNNNNNNNNNNNNNNNNNNNNNNNNNNNNNNNNNNNNNNNNNNNNNNNNNNNNNNNNNNNNNNNNNNNNNNNNNNNNNNNNNNNNNNNNNNNNNNNNNNNNNNNNNNNNNNNNNNNNNNNNNNNNNNNNNNNNNNNNNNNNNNNNNNNNNNNNNNNNNNNNNNNNNNNNNNNNNNNNNNNNNNNNNNNNNNNNNNNNNNNNNNNNNNNNNNNNNNNNNNNNNNNNNNNNNNNNNNNNNNNNNNNNNNNNNNNNNNNNNNNNNNNNNNNNNNNNNNNNNNNNNNNNNNNNNNNNNNNNNNNNNNNNNNNNNNNNNNNNNNNNNNNCGCCCUACCCCCCUGGGCGCGCCCCCCACCCUCGUGGGCCCCUCGUGGUUCCCCUGACCGACUUCCUUUGCCUAUAUAUAUCCAUAUAGCCUGAAAACAUCGAGGAGCACAAUGGAUCGGGAGUUUCGCCGCCGCAAGCCUCUGUAGCCACCAAAAACCAAUUGGGACCGUGUUCCGGCACCCUGCCGGAGGGGGGAUCCCUCACCAGUGGCCAUCUUCAUCAUCCUAGCGCUCUCAGAUACGUCUCCAACGUAUCUAUAAUUUUUUAUUGUUCCAUGCUAUUAUAUUACCUGUUUUGGAUGUUUAUGGGCUUUAUUUUACACAUUUAUAUCAUUUUUGGGACUAACCUACUAACCGGAGGCCCAGUCUGUAUUGCUGUUUUUUUUGUCUAUUUCAGUAUUUCGAAGAAAAGGAAUAUCAAAUGGAGUCCAAACGGAAUGAAACCUUCGGGAGCGUGAUUUUUGGAACGAACGUGAUCCAGAGAACUUGGAGUGCAAGUCAAGAAGCAAUCGAGGCGGACAGGAGAUAGGAGGGCGCGUCCACCCCUCCUGGGCGCGCCCCCCUGUCUCCUGGGCCCCUCGAGCAUCCACCAACGUACUUCUUCCUCCUAUAUAAGCCUACGUGCCCCGAAAACAUCCAGGGAGCCACUGAAGGUAUAUUUCCGCCACUGUAACCUUCUGUAUCCGCGAGAUCCCAUCUUGGAGCCGUCGUCGGUGUCCUGCCGGAGGGGGAAUCCACCAUAGAGGGCUUCUACAUCAACACCAUAGCCCUUCCGAUGAGGUGUGAGUAGUUUACCACAGACCUUCGGGUCCAUAGUUAUUAGCUAGUUGGCUUCUUCUCUUUUUUUUUAUCUCAAUACAAUGUUCUCCCCCUCUCUUGUGGAGAUCUAUUCGAUGUAAACUCUUUUUGUGGUGUGUUUGUCGAGAUCCGAUGAAUUGUGGGUUUAUGAUCAAGUUUAUCUAUGAGAAAUAAUUGAAUAUUCUCUGAAUUCUUUUAUGUAUGAUUGAGUUAUUUUUGCAAGUCUCUUUGAAUUAUCGGUUUGGUUUGGCCUACUAGAUUGAUCUUUCUUGCCAUAGGAGAAGUGCUUAGUUUUGGGUUCAAUCUUGCGGUGUCCUUACCCAGUGAAACAAAGGGUUGCAAGGCACGUAUUGUAUUGUUGCCAUCGAGGAUAAAAAUAUGGGGUUUAUAUCAUAUUGCUUGAGUUUAUCCCUCUACAUCAUGUCAUCUUUCUUAAUGCGUUACUCUGUUCUUAUGGACUUAAUACUCUAGAUGCAUGCUGGAUAGCGGUCGAUGUGUGGAGUAAUAGUAGUAGAUGCAGGCAGGAGUCGGUCUACUUGUUACAGACGUGAUGCCUAUAUACAUGAUCAUGCCUAGAUAAUCUCAUAAUUAUUCGCUUUUCUAUCAAUUGCUCGACAGUAAUUUGUUCACCCACCGUAAUACUUAUGCUAUCUUGAGAGAAGCCUCUAGUGAAACCUAUGGCCCCCGGAUCUAUCUUUUAUCAUAUAAGCUUUCAAUCUACUUUUAUUUGCAUCUUUACUUUUUGCAUCUAUAUUAUAAAAUACCAAAAAUAUAUUUAUCUUAUUAUAUUAUCUCUAUCAGAUCUCACUUUCGCAAGUGGACGUGAAGGGAUUAACAACCCCUUUAUCGCGUUGGUUGCGAGUUCUUUGUUUGUUUGUGUAGAUACGUGGGACUUGUGAGGGCCUCCUACUGGAUUGAUACCUUGGUUCUCAAAAACUGAGGGAAAUACUUACGCUACUGUGCUGCAUCACCCUUUCCUCUUCAAUGAAAACCAACGCAAGCUCAAGACGUAGCAAGAAGGAUUUCUGGCGCCGUUGCCGGGGAGGUCUCCGCUAAAGUCAAGUCAAGGCCUAUUUAGCACAGUAGCGGUAUUCUGAUUCUUCUCGCCUUCUUUCUAGCCUAUUUCUAUUUCAUUUAUGUUUAUAACAUGGUUUUUGGUAUUCUUUUCUUUCCUUUUUCCUUUUUAUUUUUAUUAUUUUAUUUUUUAUUUUCUCUUUUCUUUUAGAUGAUUUGUUUUCCUUCAUGCAAAUCCAUGAACUUUUCCCAAAUUCAUGAACUUUUUAAAAUAUCGUGAAUGUUUUUCUUAAAUCUGUGAAAUUUUUCCUAAAAUUCGUAAACUUGUUUCCAAUUACGCACCCAUUCCAUUCCCAAGCAGCGCCAUGACUCCUUAGCCUCUUUGGCUUAUAUUCAAACCCACAAUUCAAAUGCGAGCCAAAUUCUUCAUGCACACAUGCGAUCACGCACCCCUUCCAUUCCAUUCCCAGGUCGCACCACUACUUCUUAGCUUCUUCGUAGUAUAUCCAGCCCAAAAUCCAAACGUCAUGUUUCGCAGCAUGCGAAGCUCCUUCCACCUUGAAUGUGAAGGAUCUCUUUCAAUUAGCUCACACCAAAAAACUGUGUUGAACAUAUUUAAAUUGGUGAGAAUCAGUAUAAGGAAGCCAUCUGGGAUUAUUCAACACGAAAUAUCAAUAGGCAUUAAUACCAUGGGGUGGGAAUUCUAUUCUUUGCACGACGAUAUUGUGCACACGUCAGUGGAACAUGCCCAAUAGCUAGAGUGCAGGCCAACGCCCAGUACCGUUUAAUUACCCAUUUCAAAAUAUAGAAAAAAAUUAGAACUUAUUUUUGUUCACAACCAGCUGUCUCAAUUGGCCAUCGCGAUGCCCCAUGUACGUUGGAGGUCUUAGGUUCGAAUCUCUCUUCUUGACCUUAUGUUUAGUUUGAAUCCUUGGUCUUGCAUUUUUUUGGUUGAUUUUAGUAAUAUUGUUCGCUGAUGCAGCAGGCCUAACAUGGAGGCCCAGCUGUUUGACGUGGGACGGACAAAAUUCCCGUUAGAAGCCCAUGUGGUCCAGCCAGAUAGACAAAACAAAAAUUAGUACCACCUUGUAUAGAUACGGCGAGUGGACCAAAAAUUAAGAGAAACGCCGAUAAUUCAUCCUGGAGCCCGGGCUCAUCUGCUCCCGCUCAGCAAAAAAUUCAAAAAAAAUACUAGAAAAAAUCAAAAAAUUCCAAAUUUUUUUGUGGUGGUAGAUAAUUUGACGCGUGAGGUGCGCCCCAAAAUUCAACUUAUUUGGACAUCUAAGUAGCCCUCGGUAAAAAAGACAAAUCGGGUCAAAACAGUGCAUGAACAGUAUACAUUUUUACAGACCCUGAUUUUGUCUUUUUUGCCGAGAGCUGCUCAGGUGCUCAAAUGAGCUGAAUUUUGGGGUGCACCUCACGCGUCAAAUUAUCUACCACCACAAAAAAAUUUGGAAAUUUUUGAAUUUUUUUAGUAUUUUUUUUGAAUUUUUUGCUGAGCGUGGGUGCAGAUGAGCCCGGGAGCCAAAACUCCGCGUCCGAGAAACGCACCUUACUGUACUAGUACUAGCAUAUAUGCCCGUGUGUUGCAAUGGGGAGAAAAAAAUAGUAUGCAUUUGAAGUUAGUGAGAAUUAUAUGUGCAAACAAAACCCUGUGUGCGCGGAAACAAGGAACAUUUAGCUUCUCAGUUUCGCCGGUGUGAGGUAAUCAAUCCGCUAUUUUUUCAUUCUUUGAUCGAGGGCAUAAGAGUUUUGUUACGUCAUUGUACGCCAGAGAAGGCUCAUGAAGUUUCUGAAUAUUGUAGGAAACAUGAACCAUUUUUUCAAUCCUGAACAGUUUUUUAAAAUUUAUGUACACUUUCAGAAAAAUACGAACAAAAUUUGAAAUAGUAACAUCCUAACAUUCUUUUUACAAAAACAUGAGCACCAUUUGAACUUGUGAACAUUUUUUAGAAUAGGAACAUGUGUUCAAAAUUCAUAAUAUAUUUCGAAAAUGUGUAUCUUUUAUACGUGAACAUUAUUUUGAAUUGUCAAAUUUUCACUAAAACAAGUUAUAUUUUUGGAAUUUGGGAAACUUUUAAAUGCCAUUUUAUUUUUAUAAAUCUCGAACAAUUUUGAAAAACAAUAAAAAUAAGUAUGAAAAAAUGGGAAACUUUUUUCAUGUUCCAAAUAUUUUUCAAAAUAGCAACAAAAAGUUGGAAUUCUAAACAUUUUCUAAAAUUUGAUUUUGUUUUUAUUUCUGAACGUUUAUGCGAAUUUCGAAUUUAUAUAAUAAAUUCUAGAAGAAAAUAAACUUGAAAGGGAAAAGAGAUAGGGGAAGGAGAAUAAAAAUAAAAAUAAAACACAGAAACAAAGAAAAAUGUGCCAGUCCAUUACUGGUUGUCUUGUGUGAAGCUCUAACUAUUUGUCGCCCUGUGCGAGAAAUAUAAUUUUCCCAGCUGCCUGGGCAGAAAAAUAUGUGGGCUGGCUUCGCUAGGCCUCAUCGCGCAGCCUACGUAUGAAAUUCUGGAGAAGUCUUUUUUUUCAGCAGACGAACGCAUAAGAAUUUAAUACCACCUCGGAUAGAAAAAAAUAUUUUCGACAAUGAACGGAUGAAAAAUUUGGCGAAACACAUCUUAGUUUAUUAGUAGGUAUAGAUAUAGAUAUAGAUGUAUGUAUGUAUGUACUAUGAGUGUCAAGCAAAGAUAAAAGUGAGUGGGAUAUACCUGCUAAACAAACAAAACAUCAUAGAUCCCAACAUGUCUCCUCUUGGCUACACUGCAAGUGAAACAACCACACACUUUGUGUUGCAAUGCAAUAGGACGAGGGGUAAUUGGAAUUUGCUAGGCGUCCAGCUAAGUAACGAUGGGGAGCUGGUUGGUGCGUUCAGUUUGUGUAGCAUGCAAUUUGCACAUAUGAAGCGAAGAUCUUGAACUUUGGAGACUACAACUAUUUCCUGGACUCUAUGGCUCCGAAAAGCUUUAUUCCACCUAUCAUGGCUGCCAAAUAAAUUGCAGACAAUGUUCAAGUAUAGACGCAUAGAACUCGUGGGGCAGUUUCUUUUGUUGUUUCUUUCCUCUUUCUUUUUCUUUUGUCUCCUACCCUGUAUCCGUCUUUGUAGUUCUAUACUCUUCCCAUUAUGCGUGUAAAAAAUUGUGUUGGACAAGGUUGUCCAUGCCUGUCAUCCAUUUCUAAUGAAAAGGUAGGGGCCUCCCCUCGUGAAGUUGCUGAAAGAAUACUAUAUAUGUUCUAGCAACAUAGUUGAGCAUUGUGUGCUCUAGUAUGAUAUGAGUUAGAAAAAUUUGCCCAUCGCCUCUGCUAUACAUCGAUGUUAUAUCGUCAAAAUAAAAUUCUAGUAUUGUGAAACCUUCAGUUCAUACAUAUUUUUAUCGAUGAAGAUUCAAACCAUAAAUUCAAUUAAUGCAUUACAAAUGAAGACACGUCAAACAAGCACUCAUGCAGAUAACAAGCUGUAAUUUAUUAAUAUAUUCGACACCUUACAUAUAUAUGAUCUUCAAUAAAAGUAUUUAUUCCAAUUCAUUUGCUAUGAUGCAAGCAAAUUAUUCAUAACAGCUUUCUCUCAAUAAAAAGGUGCACGCUCAGGGAUCCCCUUUCGGCGGUGACGAAUAACCCUUGGUGGAGAUGGUUUUUCGUUGCAAUAAUCUGCAUCGCUGCAACUCUCUUCAUUGUUUCCAGUAUUUCCACUUGUGUUACUGCAAUCUGUAUCAUCAUCCUUCCUUGUAUAGUCAAUAAUAUCUCUAGUUGGAAUGCUCGUCCUCAUAUCCUCUUUGAUUGCUUUAAGCUGCCAAGAAAAUGUCCAGUCGAAAAUAAGUAAACAUUAAAGGAACCAAUUCCAUGGGGUGACUUUUCAAUAGUUACACAUUAGCUUAGUAGCUUACGUUGCAACCCAGGGAGCAGAAGCGGAAUGGGUCAAGAAGAGCACGAUUGCAACUCUCACAAUUGUAUGAUGAUGAUGAUGCCUUGACCACAGAAACACCACAACCACGUUGUUGUGGGCGCUCAUUAAGAAAUACAACCGUUGCACUGUUGAUCACAUAUGUUUGUACAUCACUGAUAUCAAGUACAUCUUUUAACUCGGCAACCCUGACCACAUCAUGGUAUGAUGACCGCCUUAUCUAAAAGAUUUCAUAAGUUAAUUCGUGUUAGUCAUGACACAAAGGUAUAUCGAUCCACUUUUUCACUAAAGAUAAUACAUGUGUGAUGAUAACUAGAUUUUUAGAUGAUCACUUACACUAAGUACUUUUUGACAUAUGUUCUAUAAAUAUGAUGUAAAACUACUCUUGCAUAAUCUCUAUUACUAAAUCGUAAUGUUGUACACCAUACCUGGAUUACUCGAUGGGUGGAAUGAUGGUGUGAACGGCAAUAAUAGCAUAAGGCAGCCUUUGAUUCCUCGCAAUCUAUGCAAAACAGGUUACACUCAUUGCGAGUAGAGGAGAGAUGGUUGGUGCAUAUUGCAAAGAACUGUGUUGCGAGCAGUAGCUCUAGCCAUGUAGGCACCGUCCCCCCCUUCAUUGCAAAAACAAAGAUGUUUUGC
rnacentral:lncRNA from 1 species